rnacentral:lncRNA from 1 species
UUGUGAAUACCUCAGCCAUGCGAAUGUAGAAAAAGUAACAAGACAUAGAAGAAUAUAUAGCUACUUAGUACAAAACAAGCCCAGCCCAGCCUACAUAACACAAUAAAAGGCAGCACAAGCGAAAAUACAAUGACAGACCAUAUUAGUGAUGUAUAUAGGAAAACAAAGUGAAUAAGACCAAAUUACAUCUCAUAUAGAUGAAUUCUAAGCACUGCCAAUCUGCAAUGUCAUCCCAGUUUACUCGGUCACGGGAACAGAAGUACAUACGAGAGGAAGGGAAUGGGCUUGCUCAUUCUUUCGGCUCAUGAUUCGUCUGUUUCCGCUAACUGGACUGCAUGCAGACGUACGUGGUAUGGCUUGCUCGGUGGUCUCGACCCUAUACUCCAUGGAACUCUCCAGUUUUCUCCCGACUUUUAUUUCUUCCUCCUCUGGUGUGCAUGGCACUGCAAUCGAUAGUACUACACCGUACAUGAAAUGACGUGACCAGCUAGCCGUGGUCCAAAUCCAGUACACUAAUUUUCACUCGUAGGCACCGCAUAACCGUAGGUGGGAGUGGUAAGUCGGAGGCUCAUCAGAUCAGAGCCUGCCGUCGGCCGAGGUCCACCUGUCGAGCAUGGCGAGGCACUCCUUGGGGCGAUACUCGGGCGCGGUGUGGCCGCCGCCCUUGACGGUGGCGAAGGUGAGGUUGUGGGCGUACUCCGUCGUGAACCCGGCGACCUGCCGGUUGGCGUACCACGGCCUCCACGGCGCCACCGCCGGGUAACCCAGCGUCCGGAUCCAGGCCUGCGUGCCCACGAAGGUCAUGUCCAUGUCGUGGUCGCCGUUGUACACCAGCGCGCGGUAGCCUCGCCGCGUCAGGUUGGCGUGGUAGGGCACGGUGCUGUACACGUCGUGCCGGAAGUGCGUCAGCUGCACGCACCGGCUCCACGCGCCGACGGUCCCCUCCCGGAUGCCCAGCGUCGCCCUCACCUCCGGGUCGUCCGCCCAGGUGUAGGACAGCCGGUACCCGUUGUCCCGGCACUCCACCGGGAGCGCCAGCCGGUCCGCCUCCUGCACCAGCAGCCUCGCCGACCUCCUCCUCCCCGCGCCCGCGGAGGAGAGGAUGCUGCUGAUCGGGGCCGUCGGACGUAGAGCGCGCGGCGCCAGCGCCAGCCCGCACAUGGGCUCGAGGAUGUGCACGGGGUUCACGGCGAAGGUGGCGAUGGUGAUCGCCAUGAGCGCGUUGGCGCACUGCACGUUCCGGGGGGUCGUCACGAAGUCCCCGCCGCAGCUGCCCUGCGCCGCCUCGUAGAGCUCGUCGGAGAUGAGCCCCAUGCCGUGCAUGAACGGCACCUUGCCGCCGGAGUCGUGCUUGUCGUCGGUGGCGGCGUUGCCCACCAGGUACCCCUUGAGGUUGAGCCCCCCGUUAUCCGGCUGGUCGGCGAUCUCGAGCGCGGCGACGGGGACGGUGUACCCGGAGUAGGAGUCGCCGCCGAUGUAGAGCGGGUUGGAGGCGAACUCGGGGUGGUCGGCGAUCCACCGCUGCAAGAACACCCGGAGGUGCGUGCCGGUGCCGGUGAGGCUGACGUCGAGGCCCUGCUCGUCGCGCGCGUAGGAGAAGCCGGUGCCGACGGGCGCGUCCAGGAAGAUGACGUUGCUCACCCGGGUCCACGAGUCCUCGAAGUAGACGAGGCGCGGGAAGCCCUCGGUGUAGCCGGCGACGUCGAACUUGAGCGGCCCGAUCUCGAAGAGGAGGCCCGAGAGCGCGGAGCAGCCGGGGCCGCCGGUGAUCCACAGGAUGAGCGGGUCGUCCCGCGGGCUGCGCUCCGACUGGAUGAAGUAGUAGAAGAGCUCGGCGCCGUGCGCCUCGUCCACCUCCACGUACCCGGUCUCCAGGGCGAAGGGCAGCGCCCCGUCGAACCCCUUGACGUGCGUGAUCGUGUUCCUCUCCUUCCCCCCCGCCGCCGCCGCCCCGUGCCCGUGGCCGGCGGUGACUACGAGGAGCAGCACCAGCAGCUUCGCCAUGCCCAUCUCGAAACAAACUAGCUGAACCUGGAGUGGACUAGCGGCGUGCUCUGUUGUAGCGCGCGCGGUGGUGGUGGUGGCGACGCGGUCCAGUUGUAUGUAUCCGCCGGCGGGCGAGCGACAUGUACUAUGUUUCGUUUCGUUUCAUUUUUCUUUGUGCGACGAAAGGGUUGUUGGAUUGGGACCUGGGUCUUAUCGAGAUGUAGGUGGCAAGGGUGCACACGGCAUGCACACAGGAGAUGCGGUCACUGAUCACGUAAGCUACUUGGUGAGUUUCUUGCACGAGGCCGAUGAUUUUCUUGAAGAAAAACUCAACGACCGAUGACGAGAGCUAGGGAGCGAGUGCGACACCAUACAACCGCGCAACUUCUGUAUGAUGCAAACCUUGACCUUUCGAAUCAUCUAGUUGCCUUCCCCGCCAAAAUUCUAGUUAAAUUUGGUGCGAUCACCCUCGGAGUGUGAAAAAACGGGUUCGGUUUGGUCCUAUGUUCAAACUGAAAAUGGUUGGAUGCAGAGAAGCAGCCAGGGAUUGGAUGGUUGGAUCAUCUCUAACAGAUCCCUUAAAAAUGGUUAAAUUCAUAAGAAAUAACGUCAGUUGUCAACAAACAUCUCAAGUACUAUUUUCAAACGAAUAGAGCCCGUAAAAGUGGUUAAAUCCGUAAACCCCUGAGCAUCCACCCCAUGACUCCUUUAUUUCCAUAUUUGGAGGCAGAACUGAGGAUACCUUAAAAACCGGUCAACGUUACUCCCUCCCUCCGUCCACAAAUAAGUGUACAUAUAGAUUUUUACUUAGUUAAAUUUUUUAAAAUUUGAUCAAUUUUAUAGAAAAUAGUAGCAACAUAUAUGGCAUAAAAAUGAUAUAUUUAAAAACUUCAUGUAAAGACGAAUCUAUUGAUACUUAUUUGAUGUCAUAAAUGCUAACACUUUUCUCAAUAAAGUUAGUCAAAGUUUAACUAGUUUGACUGACAGAAAAGGAAAAAGUACACUUAUUACCGGACGGAGGGAGUAUAUGAUAAAGGAUUUUGUCGUGCGCACACGGGCUCCGAUGACCUUUCACCAUGAAACUCGCCAACUCGAGCAGCUACGGACUAGCUAGCUACGCUAGAUCGAUUUGUAUUUGGCUGCUUCGUGUGCUGUUCGUCGGCUUUUUAGAGCGAGCUAGUUGAUCGUGGAUAUGAACGAGAUGAAGAAGAAGACUGAGACAAAUAUAAGCAAAUAUUCAGUUUUAUAGUUUAAGUUUGAGAGGUUUGUUCGACCGCAACUCAAAUCGAUUCUUAAAAUGCGUUUUUUUCUGAAUUGAAAACCGCGCUUCAGUUUCACGAUUUAAGGGUUCUGCUGGAGGUGCUCUUAGGAGGGUGUCCGUGCCCCGGGCUAUCACUCAUCAAACCUCGGGUAAUGGGCAUCAUUUAAAAAAAAUAGAGACGACAUUCUGGUGUGAGUGCACGCAUGCAUGAGUCUACAUUGUAACAUGUGUUUAAAAAAGGAUUUUGUUUUAGAGGAUUUGAUGCUUAUGAUCACCUAGUCAAGGAAAUGAGUUAAGAAACUCGGUAACUGGUUUCUUGUAAUCGGUGUUUUCCAUGUUGAUAAUUUUCUUCGUCGAAAAUUAAGAUAAUUUGGAAACAAAAAUAGGAAAAGAGUUUCUUUUGUUGAAAACUAAGAUAAUUUGAAAUGAAAACUAGGAAAAGGUGAUUUAAAAUAUAAAAAAUAUAUGUGACCAAAAACAAGAAACCGGUUGUGUAUAAAACUGCAAGCUUACACAAGGAAUUUUGACUUGAAAUUUAUCGGGAAACAUCCAUAAUCACAUAAGAACUCUAAAAUGUUUAGACAAAUGUGAAAUAUUCCACAUAAGGAUUCGAAAACUUUUGAGAACUUUUAGAAGUAAAAAAAUGUUUAUAUCUAGUCCCAUGUUCAAACUAAAAAUGGUAUGAUACUAUACAUUGGACAAAUGAAGUAGAAAAGUAAGGAAAAAAGGAAGUGUUGUAAAUAAAUAGUCGAAAACUUAAGUGAUUCGAAGGAAAACAAUGAAAAGUAAUGUUAAAAACUUACGGAUAUACAAAAGAAAAAAAGAAACCAAUUGUGAAAAAGGUAUACAUUCAUAGAAACAUGAUAUUUCAAAAUUGAAAUUGUCUUGGAACAUCUAUAACAUCAAAAAUUCUGAAAUACCGUUAUAGUGUAAAAAAACUGUCUGCAUGGAUUGUUUUUGUCUAGUUCACCUCUGUUUUUAGAAUAAAUGUGUCUGUUAGGCAUAAAAUUCAUAGGAGAUAUUAGCAUUUCUUUAAUAUUUUUAGCUCCUUGUUUGUUUUCAAGUUUCUUGUUUUCCCUACUUAUUUUUGCUAAGUGUAUGUCUUUUGCGUGAAUAAGUGGAUGCAACCUCGUCAUAAAAAACAUUACUUGGGUAAUUAACCAACUUCUAGACAAUUUGACAAUUUUUUAUGCUUUCAAAAACAAGAAUGGCCAAUACAGAGUUAAGAUAUGACGAGGUUAUUUGGGUAAUUGACCAACUUUUAGACAAUUAUUUAUGUUCUCGGAAACAAGAAGUUGAGAUAUCAAACGGUUAUUUGGGUAAUUGACCAACUUUUAGACAAUUAGUUUGACCCACAAAAUAAUCGCCAAAAUAAGGGUUUGCACGGAAAAUGUUGCCACACAAGACCCUGCAAACGCGUCCGACCCGCAAACUUUUUUGACGGGCGCGGCAAAAUCCCCUCCCGACCCACGAAAACACAGGUUUCCGCCUCGCCUAUAGGAUGCCCUGCAUUCGAGGGAAGCGGUUAGCGGGACGGACAUUUCAGCCCACGCCCUUUCCCCACCCCCUUCCGCUGCCGCGCCGCCAUUAGUUCCCCCUAUCCCCCGUCGGUGAUUCUGCCGAAUCUACCGGGUGAAUCGCGCCGCUGGGCACCACUGUCCUCUUCCGCCAAGCCGCUACAUCGACUCCCCCGGAUCCGCCAAUCCACGGCGGCGGGAGAGCCACCGCCGGAGAUGGACUUGAGCCUGUGCGAGAAGUUUCCGCUCGAGGAUUCAUCCGAUUCGGACGACCCAGAUGUUGAGACGAUGUUCUCAUAUUUUGCCAGCAUAGUUUGGUGAUGGCCCUCGCCGUGAAGGAGCACGAAGACGAGCACCGAAAGAGGCGGCGUGGAUCAACUAUUAGUCGUCUUUGCAUUCCUCGAAAUAGCCAUCUCGGCAACGAGAUGCUGAUGCGAGACUACUUCGCCGCCAAUCCAACAUACCCGCCGCACCUCUUCGGGAGAAGGUACCGUAUGUGCAGAUCCAUGUUUGUUAAAAAAAGUUAAGCUUGCGAGGCUAAUUGUCGAUAUUUUACUCAAAGAAGGAAUGUCGCGGGCUUGAAGGGAUUUAGUGCAUAUCAGAAAAUCUCGGCAGCUAUGCGGGUAAUUUCAUACGGCGUUCCGGCUGACUAUACCGAUGAGUACCUUCGCAUUGGGGAAGACAGUACAAUUGAGUCGGUGCGUAGGUUUGCCAAAAUGAUUGUCCGUGUCUUUGAUCCUGAAUAUCUUUGGGCACCGAACGAGGAAGACACAAAAAAUUGAUGACAUUUAACGAAAGAAGAGGAUGGCUCGCAUGCUAGGAAGCAUAGAUUGUAUGCAUUGGACUUGAAAAAAUUGUCCAAAAGCAUGGCAAGGAAUGUACCGUGGCAAGUCUCGUGAUGCAACAAUUGUGCUAGAGGUCGUACCUUCACAUGAUUUAUGGAAUUGGCCUUGAUUUUUUGGUAUGCCGGGUACUCUAAAUGAUAUAUAUCAAUGUGUUGCAACGGUCUCAUUUGCUUGCUAGGCUUGCUAGUGGUGAUGCUCCAGCUUGCAAAUACACUAUCAAUGGGCAUGAAUACACAAAAGGAUACUAUCUUGCAUAUGGUAUAUACCCUUCUUGGUGCACAUUUGUGAAGAGCAUCAAAGACCCCCAAAGUAGAAAGGAGUCUGAAUUCGCAAGGGCACAAGAGGCAGCCUGAAAAGACAUUGAAAGAGCAUGUGGGGUUUUGCAAUCUAGGUUUGCCAUUGUUCGUGGUCCUGCUCGAUUUUGGGACAAACGAUCCUUAAAAAACAUCAUGACAUGUUGUGUUAUUCUUCAUAAUAUGAUUCUCGAAUAUGAGAGAGGCAUGAACUUGGAGUUCUUCUAUGCAAUGUGGACAGUCGUGUCAAACCAGCUAGAGACCCUAACCGAAUUAGAGCUUUUCUUUAGACCUACAGUGUAAUGACCCAGAUGUAACCCUUGCCUUUUGUGGAACCCUUUCCUAUUUUGGGUCAUGAUGGCAAUGCUAUAAGAGUAUCAUUUCAUGCGGUCAUUUCAUGUCAUCACUUUUGGAUCAUGCCAUUCAUUGCAUUCAUGUUUUCUCCUUUGUGUUGAUGUUGUUGCUUGAUCCUUCAUUAGUGGAGUGUGUUGUGUUUGAUGUGGUGAUGUCUUCAAAACAUUGUUGCUUUCAACUAGGUUUCAAAAACCCCUUCUUCUUUAUUUAUUCGAGCUCAUGUUUAACUUGCUCAAAAUCUAUUUUAGAAAUGUUGUUCAUUUUGUAGUUUUACCUUGUGGAUGAGGGAUACUGUUUUGGGGUUUUUAAAACUUAAAUGAAUGGGAGUUUAAAUACAAAAACAGCAUAGAUUUUCUGUUUUUGCAUUUAAAUUACUUGCUCUAAAAAUCUGGUUUUUAUUUUUUUUAAAUAGGGCAUAAUUCCCUUAUGCCCUGUGUGCUUUAGUUUUUAUUUUUCCAAACACUCUGGAGCACUGGGCUUUUUGCUUUCUGCUUGGUUUAAAUAAAAUAGGAAAAACCCUUGUUUUAUUUUUUUCCUAUCAUGCGCUAGAUAGGAGUGGGCUUCCUUUUCUCUCCCUGGGCCGCCUCCUUUUCUCCCGAGCCAGGCCCACCCGGCGACCCUCUUCUUCCUCCUCGCUGUCGUCACUGUGUACGACGCCACCUCCACCACUGAUCUUCCUCCCCCUUCGAUCUGGUGGCUCCAAGCAUGCCUCCCGAGGUCAUAUAAGGAGCCGGUGCCUCCCUGCGUCUAGGGUUCUAUUUUCCCCUCCUCUUCUCCCUCUAGCGCCGCCAGGAACAUAGCAGAGCAUCCCCAUCGCCAUGGAGACCUCCGGCCCGAGCUCGACGCCGGCGUAGCCUCGACCUCGCCUCCUCCCCGAAGCUGCCGGGAGCAAGAGGACUGAUGUCCCAUAAGCGUAUGGGAUCGCAACAGUUUUCGAGGGUAGAGUAUUCAACCCAAAUUUAUUGAUUCGCCAAGACGGGAAGCGAAAGAAUAUUCUCAAGUAUUAGCAGUUGAAUGUGUCAGAUUCAACCACACCUGAAAGAUUAGUGUCUGCAAGCAAAGUAUCAGUAGCAAGGUAGUAUGAUAGCAACGGUGCCAGAAACGAUCUGUUGACGGCAGACUAUUCCUAACUGUUGUAUCAAUGGCGCUAGCACGUUGACGGGGGAUUAUUCUUUAGAAGAAUGCUUCCCCGGCUACGGCUCCAACAAAGUCUUGCAACAAGUAACAGCGGAGUAGCAAGGAACAGCAGUAGCAGCAUCAACAAAGUAACAAGUAACAGCAGUAGCAAAGUGGCCCAAUCCCUUUGUAGCAAGGGACAAGCCUAGGCAAAGUAACGUAGCGAGGACCAGUAGUAAAAGACUCGUACGCAGUGGAUCGGUGAUGGAUGAGUAUGACGGAUGUGAUUCAUCAUGUAAUAGCUAUAACACGGAGAGAUAUGUAACUAGCUCCCUUUCAUCAAUCUAAUGUAGGCAUGUAUUCCAUAUGUAGUCAUACGUGCUUAGGGAAAAGAACUUGCAUGACAUCUAUUUUCCAUCCCUCCCGUGGCAGCGGGGUCCUAAUGGAAACUACGGGAUAUUAAGGUUCUCCUUUUAAUAAAGAACCGGACCAACGCAUUAACACGCAGUGAAUACAUGAACUCCUCAUACUAUGGUCAUCUCCGGGAGUGGUUCCGGCUAUUGUCACUCCGGGGUUGCCGGGUCAUAACACAUAGUAGGUGACUACAACUUGCAAGAUAGGAUCUAAAACACACAUAUAUUGGCGACAACAUAAUAGGUUAAGAUCUGAAAUCAUGACACUCGGGUCCUAGUGACAAGCAUUAAGCAUUGCCAAGUAGUAGCAACAUCAAUCUAGAACAUAGUGGAUACUAGGGAUCAAUCCCCGUCAAGAACUAACUCGAUUACAUGAUAGAUCUCAUCCAACUCAUCACCUUCCAGCAAGCCUACGAUGAGAUUACUCACGAACGAUGAAGAGCAUCAUGGAAUUGUCGAUGGAGAAAGGUUGAUGAUGACGAUGGCGACGAUUUCCCCUCUCCGGAGCCCGAAACGGACUCCAGAUCUCCUCCAGAUGAAGAACAAGAUGUGGCGGCGCCUCUGUAUCGCAAAACGCGAUGAAACCUUCUCUUUGAUUUUUUCCAGGCGAAACGGAAGAUAUAGAGCUGAGUUUGGGGGCGGUGGUGCCACGUGGGCCCCACAAGCCUGCACGGUGAGGCCUAGGGGGGUGGCCACGACCUGUGGACUUGUGGCCCACUCGCACGCCCCCUCAGGUGGAUUUUUGCGCAUGUAGUUUUCUUUUAUUCCAGAAAAAAUCUCCGUAAAUUUUCAGGACAUUCCGAGAACUUCUAUUUCUGCACAAAAACAACACCAUGGCAAUUCUGCUGAAAACAGCGUCAGUCCGGGUUAGUUCCAUUCAAAACAAGCAAAUUAGAGUCCAAAACAAGGGCAAAAGAGUUCGGAAAAGUAGAUACGACGGAGACGUAUCAAGGACCCAGGAGGGGUUCCAUUUUUGCUCAGAGCGGGAGCAGGGUCUUCUUCCACGACGUCCACGACGGCCGGCGUCCUCGUCAACUCCGGCGGCCUCUCCGUGCAGCAACACGUCGUCGGGCCUUCUUCCUCCACGGCGUCUCCCUCUCCUCGGCACCCUAGGUGACGCGCGGUUCCCUUCUCCUUCGUUUUCCCCUUGUAGCCGAGGCCCCGCCGUCGGUAGCCAUGUCCGCCGGCGAGCUGCUCGUGCAUGCGGUGCGUCUGUAGUGGUAACACCAGGAGUAGUUACAGGUUNNNNNNNNNNNNNNNNNNNNNNNNNNNNNNNNNNNAGGCAGUUCAGUAGCUAACGGCGGCAGCUUCAAUGCGUGCAUGCGGUGUGGUAGUAGCGCAGAUAACGGCAGUUCGUGGCAACAGCCUCCCUGUGUUCGUCCGGUAGUCGUCGUCGGCGCUUCUCUGUUUAAUAAAGAAGUCAAUGCCUUUUUUUCUGUUGUUGGUGUGGAUCCCAUAGCAGAGCAGAUCACCCCAUCUAGCCCGGCUGGCAGCACGCUUGCGCAUCGACCCUGAGGUUGCGGGUUCGAUACCCCUCCAAGCCCCCCUUUUUAUUCAUGUUUUUCGUUGCUGGUAGUUGCUUGGCAGAAGGGGUUAACCUACCCCCCCCCCCUUCCCCUUAUCUGUCGAGCAGAGGGCAGUAGCCCAGUGGUGGUGCUGUGGAGCAGGGGACCUGGGUUCGAAUCCAGGGUACCCCUUUUUUUACCCUUGUUCAUUUUUUUCCCUAUUUCUUUUCUUGUGCAGCAAGCAUGAUAGUUUUUCUUUUAGAUAGAGUUUUGGUGUGUAUUAUCUGCUGCCUAGGAUACCAUAUAUAGGUGUGUGCAAGUGCUUGUGUAUGCACUAGUGUGUGUAGGUGGAGUGUGUAUGAGUGUGUGUAUGGUGUGUGGUUGUGUGUGUGUGUGUGCACAUGAAUGAGUUGUGCACACAUGUGCAUGUGGGUGUGUGUGUGCAUAUGGUUGCACAUGCACAUGUGCAAGAGGGCCUAGCCCCUCUUGAUGCACCUCUUGUAGUGUGUGUGGGUGGGGCACAUAUAUUUGUGUGUAUGUGUUCAUGCAUGUGUGUGUGUGGGCAUGAGUGCACCUAUGCACUUGUGCAUGAGGGCUAACCCCUCAUGCUUGCCAUUAUGGUGAUGUGGUGGUGUAUGAACCUUGUGUGUGUGCAUAUGUAGGAGUAGUAGAUACUAUAAUGCUUUGUUCACAUGUGAUGAUGUCUCAUAUGAUCUUAUAGGAUUCUAUGUUGUUUUUCGAGCUAGCUUUGUGCCUACAUGUUACAAGCAAGUACCCAUGUAUUAUAUAUGCUUUUGGGGUAGAAUCAUCCCAAGAAUCCACUGGUGAAAUCAGAUUUCACUUUAGAGCAACUUCAUAAACUGUCAUUUUUUUGUCAUGAUGCCAUGUUUAGAGCUUUGUAUUAUGUAGUGCUUUGACCCUAUGAGGAUGAAUUCUUGAUGUGGCAGUAGUGGGUGAACCCCUCUACGGCAUGGGGUCUUUGUUGUAUUCAUAGGAGUUUGUAUGCACUUGUGGUGCCUUGUCAAAGUUGACAUUUGGCUGAAAUUGACACCUUUGUGAAAAUCUGUGAUUUUCACUGUCUGAGAAUCUGCUGUUAUUUUCUUCCCUUGUUGAUUUGGUUGCACAAGCUCAUGUGUUGGGAAUCAGCCCAUGCAACAAACUAAGGUUUGUGAGCUUUUGUGUUUGUCUAGCUUCCUGUUAAAUUUCAUGCUCAUUCACUUCCUGUAGAUAUCAUUUUGGAGGCUGCCAAAAUGCUUGAGAGCAUAAGCAGCUGGUGAUUUUCACUAAGUCCCAGAAUCUGUUAUUUUUGUCCAAGUUUGUGUCCAUAGAUCUUCUCAUGUGUGACUCCUAUGUAUAAACUUCUUGCACAUGCUUGUAGAGCUUUUGAAUGGCUUUUGCCUCAUAUCUUGUUUGGCUCAUUUGGGUGGUUGUAGGAACUUUAAAUGUUGUGGACAAACUGCUAUGUUGCUGUUAAAAACAGAUUGCAUGUUUUAGUUGUUUUGAAGCUUGUGUGGGCAUUGUUGAUGGUGUGGUGUGAUUCCAUGCACCACCCCACUUGUAUUUGAUUGUUUGAUCAUGUGGAAACCUGGUAACACCAUAGGAGUGCCAUUGGAGUCUGCUUGUGGUUGAUUUGAACCGUAGGACUCCAUAUCUUGUUUUGUAGUUUCCGGUUGAUCCGUAGCUCCGUUCUCUACGUUCUUUAUAUGUUUUUGCUUCGUUUUCUCGUGCUGCACAUGUUCAUGACAUCCUCAUGCAUGUUGAUACAUCUCAAACGUAUCUAUAAUUUUUGAUGGUUUCAUGUUGUUAUCUUGUCAUCUUUGGAUGUUUUAUGUACCUUUUAUAUCUUUUUGGGGACUAACUUAUUAAUUCAGUGCCAAGUGCCAGUUCCUGUUUUUUCUGUGAUUUUGGCUCUUUUCAGAUCUGAUUUUGGAACGGAGUCCAAACGGAAUAAAAUCCCCGAAAUGAUUUUUUUUUCGAACGGAAGAAGAUCAGGGGGCCUAUGGGCCAAGCCAGGAGGGCUACAGGGAGCCCACAAGCCCCCACUCCGCCACCAGGGGGAGGCGGCGGUGGGCAGGCUUGUGGCCUCCCUGGCGCCCCCCUGACCUAGAUCUAGCGCCUAUAUAUUCCCUAAAAAUCAGAAAAAAAUCAAGGGAUCCACGAAAAUACUUUUCCGCCACCGCAAGCUUCCGUUUCCGUGAGAUCUCAUCUGGAGACCCUUCCCGGUGCCCUACCGAAGGGGACCUUGGAGUUGGAGGGCUUCUUCAUCAUCAUCAUCGCCCCUCCAAUGACUCGUGAGUAGUUCACUUCAGACCUACGGGUCCGUAGUUAGUAGCUAGAUGGGUUCUUCUCUCUCUUGGAUCUUCAAUACAAAGUUCUCCAUGAUCUUCAUGGAGAUCUAUCCGAUGUAAUCUUCUUUGGCGGUGUGUUUGUCGAGAUCCGAUGAAUUGUGGAUUUGUGAUCAGAUUAUCUAUGAAUUAUAUUUGAGUCUUUGCUGAUUUCUUAUAUGCAUGAUUUGAUAUCCUUGUAAGUCUCUCCGAGUCUUGGGUUUUGUUUGGCCAACUAGAUCUAUGAUUCUUGCAAUGGGAGAAGUGCUUGGUUUUGGGUUCUUACCAUGUGGUGACCUUUCCCAGCGACAGUAGGGGCAACAAGGCACACAUUAACUAGUUGCCAUCAAGGGUAACAAGGUGGGAUCUGGCGUUGAUAUGAGAUUGUCCAUCUACAUCAUGUCAUCUUGCUUAAGGUGUUACUCUGUUCUUUUGGACAUAAUACACUAGAUGCAUACUGGAUAGCGAUCGACGUGUGGAGUAAUAGUAGUAGAUGCAGAAAGUAUCGGUCUACUUGUUUUGGACGUGACGCAUAUAGAUAUAAUCAUUGCCAUAGAUGACGUCACGACUUUGCGCGGUUCUAUCAAUUGCUCGACAGUAAUUUUUUCACCCACCGUCUACUUGCUUUCAUGAGAGAAGCCACUAGUAAACACUACGGCCCCCGGGUCUAUUCACAUCUAUCGUUUCCACUUUCGCUUUUACUUUGCUUUGUUACUUUGUUGCUUUCAGUUCUCACUUGGCGAACAAUCUAUAAGGGAUUGACGACCCCUUCAUAGCGUUGGGAGCAAGAUUUUUGUGUUUGUGCAGGCUCUUGUGAUACUCCUUCACUGGAUCGAUGCCUUGGUUCUCAAACUGAGGGAAAUACUUACCACCGCUGCGCUACAUCAUCCUUUCCGCUUCGAGGGAACACCAACGCAAGGCUCCAAGGCCACGGGGGAAAUCCUUUGCAUAUUUGCCUAGGAAGUCCCUUAAGGCGUAGCCGUAGCAGAAGGAUUCCUGGUGCCGUCGACACACCUAUUUCUGGCGCCGUUGGAAGGUCUUUUGUUGCAGUAGCACAUGUCAUGAUCAGUUAAGAUGAGGUUCUGUCCAGAACUCUAUUGACUCAUCUCAUGCAUAUGAAAGUGUCUAGAAUAGUGAUGCAUAGUUCCUUCUUCACUCAUGCAUCAUAUUGUUUGUUGCAUCAUGUUGUGUUGGUGUUCAUUGGGUGUUAUUUUAUCUUGGAUAGCAUCGGGAUCGGAGAGCGGGUACGUGGAUUCUUGAGAGUACGUGCAGGAAGAUCACGAGCAGUUCCAAGCUGAAGACAUCAUAGGCAAGAUGACCGUGACCUUGAUACCGUAUCUAGCUUUGUUAUGCUUAGAAUCACGUUUCCUUCAACAUAUGCUCGCUGCCUACCACUUGAUAUAAAUGCCUCCUGACAUUGCCAUGAAACCCAAACACCUUCCUCUCCUAGCAAAAGUUGUUUGGCUAAGUAGGCUUGCUCAGCUUCUAAUGGAUAGCUUUGCUAGUUGCAGGUGCCAGCUGUCUCAUGUGAUAACAUGAGUAUUUUGAUAUCAUUAUGUCUAAACUGCUAUUUAAUUAAUGCACCUAUAUACUUGGUAGAUGACGGAAGGCCUAGCCUUUUGCCGGGUGAUUUGUUCCGUUAUUGUCGCCUUAGUUUUGGUCACCGGUGUUUGUUUCCAUAACUGAUCGCUCCUAACACGUUCGGGGUUGUUAUGGGGACCCCCUUGAUAAAUCGUGUAGUGUUAAGGCUUGUCCGGCAGGACCCAACAUUGGUUUUAAUCUGCUAAUCACCUAAUAAUAAUUUUGCAUAGGGAAUAGCUACCCCGAGGAAUUUAAUCGACCCCCGGGCCAGUGCUCCUCAUGAGUGUUGGUCCAAACUAGAGUCGUGUGCGGGGCCAACCCGGGGCAACUCGGGAGAUGUCUAUCAGGCCACUGUACGCUGUGCUCAUCCGUCGUGUCGUGAGACUGAGAUACACGGCUCUUAUCGGGGUCGUCUACACGGCGGGAGGUCCUGCUAGAUUUGUCUUACCUUAGCGAUAUAUCUUGCGUAUAGGAACCCCGGUGAAACUUUGGGUCUCCUCAAAGUUGAGGUUUUCCUCUAAGGAAUCCGACGAGAUCACGAGCUUCGUGAUAGAGGAUUACUUUGCGGCCCGUGGCAGUUUGCGAUGGACUACUUGGAGCACCCCUGCAGGGUAUAAUCUUUCAUAAAGCCGUGCCCGCGGUUAUGUGGCAAACAUGGAUAAUUUGUUAACAUCCGGUUCUAGAUAACUUGAAGUAACUCUAAUAAAAUUGCCAACUGCGUGCGUAACCGUGACUGUCUCCUUCGAAGACCUCUCUUCGAUCGGGAACAUUAUGGGGUUAUGUUUGACGUAAGUAGGUGUUCAGGAUCACUUAGUGAUCAUCUAGUCUUCGACCGCUCGCGUAGACCACCAUAUCAAUUACUCUGAUCAUCGUAAGUUAGCCAUCAUAUAUGCUUAGGUUGUUGCAAACCUAUACACUAAACCUUCCUCACCUAAUAACUUGACUAGAUUCGAUACCAAGGUCAUCCGAUUGUUGAGUCCCCGUGGCUCACAGUUUACUACAAAACCCCAACAGGUACAGGUACGCUCGACGCAGGAGAUCCUGAUGGCACCCAGCUGAUGUGGCAGUACGAUGAGGAGUCUGGCCGACUGUACGUGAACUAUCCGGAGGACUGAGGCCGUGGUCGUGAUCGUGGGCCAGCAUGUGGGAUGUCAUAGUUCUUUUACUUGUUUCAUGUUGUCCGUAGCGGGACUAAACUUUGCUCUGAAUAAUUGUGUGGAUGUAAACCUUAUGUUAUACUAUGUCAGAUGGCAAGUGUAUGCCCUACUUGUCAUUCUUCAGUUAUGUAAUGUUAUGAUUAUCUCGCUUGUGAAACGUUUAGAUAUGCCUCUUUCNNNNNNNNNNNNNNNNNNNNNNNNUUUCCCUUUUGGGGCAUCGCCCUCAAAAUAGGAAAGGGCCGUAUCUUAGUCGUUACAUACAGGGAGAUUGAAAAUGCAAACACCGAGUGCCAACUUCAGAAGGAUCUCAUUGAGCACCAUUGACAAAGGGCUGGGCAUUAACUCAUUCUAUUUUUCCAUUCAUUUUCAUUUCAUUCAUGUGUGAUUUGUAUACGGGACAAGUUUUGUAUUCAUGUGUGACAUUCAUUUAGUUUGCUACGGUGAUUUGAAUAAUUAUUGUACUUUAGAUGAUUACUGUAUUUGUAAUAUUGGCAUUUUACUUAUAUUGCACAUGAUGAGUAAUUCUAAUUUACGGGGUAUCCGGGUUGUGGGUCGACGCGGUGGCGCCCAAGCAGACCCCGCAUUGACGAUCCGUAUAAUAGCAUCUUCUGUGAAUAUCCUUUUAUACGUAUCCAUUUUGGAGGGUCUACCUCUAUCCACGCCCGCGUCGAUCCGCAAAAACCGUUUUUCAUGAACUGUAAAAAUAUUUUUUGCGGAUCGGCAUUAUACGAGGUCUUCUGGAGAUGCUCUUAGCGCAUCCUCAAAGCGAACCCUCAAAGCUUUGGUACACCGUGUCCGAACCAGUUUUGCUAACCUUUAUAAUUUAAUGGGACUUUAAACGUCUGCAGAUUAGUGUGGACCCCGAUUUUUGACAAAUUUAAAACAGAAUUGAGGAAGCUAUGGUGAAGUCGCGACAUGCAAUUGACCAAUAAAAAGCCCCUUCACGGUCCUCCUCUAUUUUCUCUCUAGUCACAUGCAUGACCACCCUCCUCCUCUCAACCGAACACAACAACACAAUAUCCCACUACAUGCAUAGUCCUCUUCUACUCUCUCUCUCUCUCUCUCUCCUUUCAAUUGGAAUAAUUUGUAAAUAAAAUUGGACAUAAAAACAAACAUUUGCGGUGUCCGUUUAGGGGUCAGUGUUGGAAAUGCCCUUAGUAAACGAAAAUGUAAUUCUAAGAUAUUUACUGUGAGAAAGGGGUGUUGGGAAUUAUUUGAAAUGCGAUACUCAUAUGACCAUAUGGGAUGCGGCGGGAAAAAAGAAAGAAAGGAGGAUAUUAUUUGGUUGGCUCCGUCGAGAGGAGAGAAGCGUGGGGAAAACAAACUGCAUAUAUACGGCCGGCGGGGUGGGUGGUGAAAACUAGGAGCGAGGAGAGAUCAGUUGGAUGGCGACUGGGAUAUGCGCCAUGUAGUAUACGGCCCGUGUCGUGUCAAUCAACACAUGUGUCGUUUGUUUGGCUUGUCCGUUUGUCAUUUCCUCCUUCGUAGGCACCACGACGAGCCCUGCGCCUAAACGGCAACCGCAAGUCUCAUAUGUGUUCGUCAGCUAGCCAGCUAGCUAUCCUCAAAGAAAAGGGAAAAAAGAAAAGUAGCUAGCUAGCUAUCCUCUUAGAAAAGGGAAAAAAGAAAAGUAGCUAGCUAGCUAGCGCCAUUGGUCGAUGGACGGGGAGGUUUGCGUUCCGUGUCCAUCACGGCCAUCUCCUGCCGAGCCACCGAGACCUUUCCAACCUUGGGAAGAACAUGGAGCGGAUCACUUCUAGAAUCUCUCGACAGUGGACGUUUGGUUUCUGGACUGAUGAAGCACCUGGACUCGGACGAUUGAGAUGUCAUCGCGGACACCAUGCUAUGUGGAGCAGCGUGCUGGUCACAGUCGAAAGUAUCGUAUAUUGAUACUACGUCCAUAAUGCAUAGAAUUAUGGUUUGAUAUCAUACUUAAUUUUAUUUAUUUAAUUAUAUGUUACCUUAAUAAAAUAUCUAAUUCACAUGUAUGAUACUAGCUAUUAUAUUACGGACGUGGAUUUUUUUUUGCUCUGGGGAGCAUAUGAUGCUCCCUAAUGAACAGUAAAACCAAAAAAAAAAAAAAGUAAAUAAGUUUUAAAAAUUCUGAAUUUUUUUUAUAGAUGUUCACAUUAGUGUGGCAAGUGUGCUUGCUAAUUUUCAUGACAUAUGGGAUAGCGGUGCUUCGUUGGUGAAAAAAUUAAAAUUAAACUAAACAUUUGAAGAUAACAUUUGACGUUGGACUUGUUCAUUUUGUGCAGACCAAAAUACUUAAGUUUUUGACCUGUAAAUUGCAUAUACCAUUUGAGUGUGACAAUGAACACAUCUGUUUUUUUCAAAAAAUUUGAUAUUUGUAAAAUACAUUUUUAACACGCAGAAGCAUAUGCUUCCUAGAAUCAAAUUGAAUAUCCAUUAUACUACCAGCCUAAGAGGCGACACAUCCGACAAACAAGUGUCAUUAAUAGGCACAUGCUCAGGUGGACAUGUUAUCAUAAAAUAAAUGAUCAAGUUAGAAACAAAGGAAUAUAAUACUCCUUCUUUCAAAAUAAAUGACUCGAUUUUAUAUUAAUUUUAUAAGGUUAGUAUAAAAUUAAAUCAUUUGUUUUGAAACAAAGGAAGGACAGGUCAAGGAGGAGGUGGCACAGACUAAAGAAAAGCUUAUCCUAUACCGACUAGAUGUGACUUGGACAUAUCCACCACAGGCAUGCAAAAGCGUCAAUGAAAAUACUCUAGGAAGGGUAGGGGCAACUAAAAUUAGAGCAUCUCUAGCACACCCUGUGUAAUGCCUCGUCCCGUAAAAUAACCGCCAAAAUAAGGAUCGAAAAUAUUACCACAUCAGAUCCCGCAAUGUGUCCGAGCCGUAAAAAACUUUGCGGGGCGCGAUAAAAGUUUGCCCUCAACCUUCAGAUUCACGGGGUGGGAGGCCGACCCGAGCUCGCCCCCUAUCCGCAACGAGAUUUAACGCGAGGGAAAUUUCCGCGCGGUUGUUCCCUGCUCCCCCCUCCUCGACUGCCAUUGCCACGCUACCGCGCGCUCCGGACCAUCUUCCCCACCAUUCCAUGCCGCCAUGGAAGCCUCUCAGCCGGCGGAUCUCGUCAACAUGGAGGUUACGCAUGCACAAUCCCAUCGGCGGAUCUCGUCAACAUGGAUUAAUACUUCCAACUCAUGGUCAAGUAUCCCAAUAAGACAGUACGAACCUUUCAGUCACUCCAAGGUCGUUGGGACGUGAUCAAGCCGACUUGUAGCCAUUGGGCAGCUUGCUUGGAACAAGUUCGCAAUGCUCCUCCAAGUGGAACCGUGGAAUCCGACUAUGUUAGUUUGUUUUCACGUCCCAAGUUCUACACACCAUUUGCAUCAUGUGAAAUGGUUCCAUCAUUUGACUUUGUUUUAAUUGUGUAGGAAAAAAUUGCCCAACACCGGUACAAAGACAUGGAAGCUUCAUAAGGCAAAAAAAUUAAACUAGAGCAUUGUUGGGAAAUGAUCAAAGACUGCGACAAGUGAAAGUUGAUUGACAAAGAAUCCCCACCGAAGAGAGGUUCACUUACGAACAUGGAUGAAGAUGAAGAUGAUGAUGACCCAAGAAACUUGAACAAGCCUGAUGGUGACAAGAAGACAAAGAAGAAGAUCAAAAGGGAACACGAAGCAUCGAGCUUGCGGGAUAGGAUAUAUGCCAUGGUAAAAUCAAAUGAGGUGAUGCUAGCGAAGUCUCUGGAGGCAAAGAUAGAGUUGGCCGAGAAGAAGGCAUGAGAGAAACAAGAGAGGUGGAAAUUGCUAAAGGACAUUGAGGAGAGAAGAGCACGUGUUGCUGAGAACAAAACCAUGGCCAACCUUCUUGCCGAAGAGAACAGGAUCAUGACUUUGAACUGUAAUGACAUGGACGACAUCAGCAAAGAAUGGCAUGAUAUGACAAGGAGAGAAAUCUUGAAGAGGAGGAUGCUUGCGUGUUACAAUGGCGGCGAUGUUUUCUCAUUGGGAAUCGGAACCAAUAUUGUCGAUGAUUUCAAUGCCGGAGUUGGAACAAGUGUCAGCGAUGGAUACGGGGGAGUCGAUGGAUUCAGGGGCGACGAUGACCUCGAUGGUGCGGAGUGAAGAGCGACCAGGAUGCAUGAAGUCCUUUUGGGUUUGUAUUUUAAACUAUGCUUUCAUUUUGCACGCGAACUAUGUUAUAUUGUUUAAAAUCGAAUUCAUUUCUCGGANNNNNNNNNNNNNNNNNNNNNNNNNNNNNNNNNNNNNNUCUCAAAUUCGCUUAUUGGGAGGCUUUUCGGUUUACGGGUCAACGUGGCGGCAUCCGAGCAGACCCCGUAUUGCCAACCCGUAAAAAACAUCUUCUGCAAAUAUAUUUUUUACGGAUCCGUUUUGCGGGAUCUGAUUCCAUUCGUGCCCGCACUGGCCCACAAAACCCUUUUUUCUCGAACUGUAAACGACUUUGCGGGUUAACUUUAUACGGGGUCUGCUAGAGAUGCUCUUAACAUGAGAAUAGACAAUGCUCUUAACAUGAGAAUAGACAGUAAAAGGAGACAUCAAGGAGAGUGCAAAGUUUUAAUGGACGGGGGCAUUAGAGGACUUUAUUUCAAAAGAUUCAAAAAUGAUAUUUCUAUUUUUUUUUAAAUCCCAAAAUAAAUAUUUGAAAACUUAUACGUAUUUGCAGUGGAUCUAUGAAAUUUCGUUCAAAAAUUUUAUUUUUUACAAGCUGCACAAAAAUUAAAAAAUUAUGGCCCAAAAACAACAAAAAAAGAUCCAUUUUCAUUUAUGUUCUUGUUUUUUAUGUAUACGCCACGUAUGAAAGUAUAUUGUUAUGAAUUUUUUCCUCAACAUGUUAUAUAUGUAUUUUCAUAUGUAUAUUUUUUUACUUUUUUGUGAUGUGGAAAUAUGUUUUUUUUUAAGUCCAUCCUGGUGCCCAUGCUCCAUUUGCACUUUUUCGACGUCAAGGACUUGUAUAUACCCGGAGAUUUGGCCCUUUGUAAGACUGCAUGGAGAUCUCUUUUAUGAAUUCUCGUAUGUUUUCAUCUCUAGCCUACCUCAAUUUGCUUGAAACAAAAGGCUUUGUUGUUGUUGUUGUUGUAACAUACUAAAACGAACCAAAAUUUCUUUUCUCGAAGAGUUGUGUUUAUCGUACUUGUUUGCCCCAAGAUUUGAAGUACUUCAUUCAUACGGCCCAAAGAAAGGCGUUGGCUCUUUUUGAGACUGCUCCUUAAAAUUCAGCUUUGGUUUAGAAAAGACAAGCCAAACGGGGUAGCUCCACGAUAUGCUGCUCCCUGAAAAAACUAGAAUCUGGGAUUCAACUUCAGAGUUUUUAUGAAGCUCCUAAGAGGGUGCUCCAAAAAACUCUAGAAGGUGGAGUUGGGAGGAAAUUACCCAUCACUGCCACCAGUAAGUGGAUACCCCUUCAUUUCUUUCCCCUCAACCAAUUAAAUAGAUUCUUUCCAUCAAAUUUUCUAUUCUUGAAGUUGGAGCUAAACGGAAGUCAAACAUUCUCUUGAUAGUGCUAUAGCUUCUGUAUGAAACUGCUCCAAAAUAAAUUUAAUGAAGUGAAGCUGAUUUUGGUGAAUUGAAGCAGUCCCAAACAGGCCCUAAGAUACAGAAACUGUGUACAAAUGAGCAAGAUUUGUGUCGUUUCUCAGAUCACAUCUUUGAACAAGCAGUGAUAUAUUAUGGUGGUCUGAAUCACAUGCGACGAAGGUGCACAUGUGUUUUUCCUGAAACCAAUGAGGCUAACAGACAUGAUCAAACAUGAGCAAAGCUAAAGCGCCACAUUCUGGAAAUCAUUAGUAAGUAGCACUAGCAACAUGAACAGCACCGGCAGCACAACAGCAGGAGUGAUAACCCCACAAACAUGGGUGGUGCUUCAAAGGAGGGACCAGAAGCGCGGACCCCCAAAAAAAGAGAGGUCAAACAUGGCGCUAGCGGGGUGACCAGUUUUCUCAAGUUCAUAUUCUCAAUAGAAAACUGUAAAUAUCAGGUUUUUACCUUCCACAAAUGUUCAGACCAACAGGAAACUGAAGGUUGCCCGAAGAAAAUUAACAAAAUAAACAUGGUACGUGAGCUAGUGUUCAGUAGUCACCUUUGGCAUCAUGCCUGUGACAUCCGCCGCAGAUGAGGUAUGCGGAAGAUGUUUUAUUCAGGAACGGCAUCACUCUCUUCAUUCGAGACAGCUUGAUCUGAAGACACAGGUGCGUGAACCGCGUCCCUCCCUUCAUUAGAGCCAGCUUGAUCUGAAGAUGCAGGUGCGUGAACCGCGUCACUCCCUUCAUUAGAGACAGCUUGAUCUGAAGAUGCAGGUGCGUGAACCGCGUCACUCCCUUCAUUAGAGACAGCUUGAUCCCAAGAUACAGGUGUGUUCCCUACAUCUACACUUGUAGCAGCAGCCUUAGGAACAUUUCCCCCCUCUUCUUGGCUACCAGCAUCAACAUCCAUGCUACAAUUGGUAUUGUCCUGGUCAUCUAAUUUGGAUGAAUCAACCUUGUCAAUGGCGCCCUCGUUCAUGGUAACGCUGUCCCCACUAUGAGCAUUAGAAGUAGUCUGUCCAACUGAAGCCCCAUCGUUAUCCACUUGAGUGUCAGGCAAUGGAGGAAUAGGACCUACAAGGUCUCCAUCUACAUCUGCAUUGUCCAUGUCCAUCUGAUCCCCCUUGAUUUCUUUGCUUCCUGCAGCUUCUUCAUCAGUAACCAUAUUCGUCUGUCCUGAUUCCUCUUCAAUGUCAUGAUUCUUCCUCUCAUUUUCUUCCUCAGCAGCACGAUUUUGAGCUGCAGCUUCCUCCUCCUUAGCACGGGUUUCUGCCUCUAUUGCCGCUUCCUUAGCACGGUUUUCUGCCUCUAUUGCCUCCUCCUUAGCACGGUUUUCUGCCUCUAUUGCCUCUUCCUUAGCACGGUUUUCUGCCUCUAUUGUCUCUGCCUGUAGCCUAAGUAGCCUCUUGUGCUCCUCAAGUUGUUCAUGGAUGCUCUGGUAUCCAGACAGCAGAUCACCAUAGCGGCUCUGGAGAGUCCGUUCUAAUGCUUUCUGUUUAUUCACUUCAUCAGACAAAUUUUUCACACGAUAGGCAGCAGCCAUCUGUUCUUGUUUCUGCAACUCUUGGAAGCAUUCAAGUUCUGUGGCUGCAGUGUUCAUCUGCUUGAAGGUGUCCUGGAUCUGUGACCCCAAUUUUGCAGCCCGAGCCUAACAAAUCAAAUAACAAGUGGAACAAACCAUCAGCACUGCAAAUCGACAUGGAAAACCUAGAAACAAAAUGAAAACAAUAUCAUACAAUAUUGUUUCAGUAGAACUAAUCCAGUAUGUAUCAAAUGAAAAGCAAUAGAACUAAUCCAGUAUGUAUCAAAUGAAAAGCAAAAUAAGAAGUGAUCACUAAACUGUUGCAUUUCUUUGCAAAUUAUGCAAGUUUGGUUUGGGGCAACUGGAUAAUCUUUCAAAUUAUGGGUUAGCUUACACAUGGUGCAUUUUUAAAUGACACCAAACAUCAAUGGGGCAGAGAUGUUAGAGAGGUGCCCUUGGUGCCCUUACACAGACUAGAGAGAAACAUUUAGCAUAGCUAGACUGUAUAAAAUGCUGUCUGGAAAAAAGUUAAAACUAAUAUAGGCAUACCACAAAGAUGAUGCAUCAUCCUCAACUAACCUGGUAUCCUUGUGUCAGCAGUUUGAUCUUCUGCUCAAGCCGAGAAGCUUUCUUUGCCUCAUCAUCCAUUCUCUUCUUUACCAUUUCAAACUCAUGUUGCAAAGCAGAAAUUUUAUCAGCAUUUCCAGCAACACUAGCAAGACCAUAGCUGUUGUUAGUAGGGAAAAACAUAAGGUCCUCCUGGCAUGCAUCAUGUGACUUUACAAAAUCCUCAAAAGAUUCAUUUUCAUGGCCCAUGGCCACACGAAGAUACUGAAUCUCCUCCUCAACCAUAGAACUUGCCUGUCAACAAAUAAAUAUGUGAUUUUAAAAACUUCUUCAUCAUUACGAUUAGACUAAAGCGGGCAAACAGGACUGGCACAAAGAACUAUAAAAAACCGUAAAUAAGAUUUAGCAAGAAAUCAAAUCCAUAUACGGUUAAAGAAAACCACCCACUCACAAGUCAUAACACACAGCCUUCUAUUGAAAGGCAAAAAUCUCCAUUCACAGAUGGUAUGCUAGACAACAACCCACUUAGUCAGGCUAAACAAAAAGGACAGAUGGCUAUAAGUGAUUACUAAAUUGAAGAAGUGUUUCAGUAAUUCAAUAUAUGUGUAUCUGAGUUCUUAUGCAGAAAGAAUACACAUCUCAAACUUUGUCAAUACUAUUGUGAAGAAAUACUGCACAGUUCUCUACAUGGUGUGUGCCCAUGUGCAUAACAUAACAAUUCUAACUAACACAUUACUUGUAGAUGGUAACAUCCUUUACACUCCGGAGGGACAUAUUUUCAAACUGGAGAAUCCAUAUAUUUUUAUCUUGAUUGAAUUCUUGAUAUUUCAGACUUCCAACCACGGUUUUCAAAUUCUUUUCAACUUUCAAUCCCCGAGAGAGGUUGUUUUUCAAGCAAUCUUGUGCACUCAUUGUCUAUCCAUGACAAUGUCACAUCUAAGUGAUGCAUGCUUAACCUGAUUAGUGGCCUCUUGGAUUUUUGAGCAUUCAUUCAUUUUCCAGAAACACGAGUAUCCUAAAAAAUGGGGUAAGCACUGCAUAAAACCUAGCACAAUUCUUCAAUGAAUCCUACAGCAAAACAGUUAUCUUGUGAGUGAUGUGCUGUAUACAGCUCCCACUAUACAAAAUAAACAUGCUUUCCUUCCCUUGCCAUCUCCAGGAUAGCACUCAAUGCCAAUGGAUUAGCUAUAAAAGUAAUUGGCUAUCAGAAGUAAGAUCAUAAAGGUUGGUACAGGAAUAGUUUAGACCUGCUGCUCACAUACAGGCGCUAUAUUCCAUAUUACUGUGUUACUCACUUGUGUAUAUACAAUUAUGAAACCACAGCAAGUAAUUAUUGAUGUGCCUAAUACUACAUGAAAUCGGAAUAUAUGUUAUCAUGUAAAUUGAAUAUACAGUUCAACAUCAAAUACCAAUAAUAAAAAAGGAACAGAAAAGAAGUAUACCUCUUUUAGUUCAUGCUCAUCAAAACCUUCGAUUUCAGGGACGAAAGCUGCCCCAUUUGCCUGACGCUUGCUGCCUUUCUUUUUCUCUCUUUGAGUUUGUUCAUCAAGAGGAUAUUUAGCAUUAUCAUGCUCAAGGAGCCUAAGGAGUUCCUCAUUUAUUAGCUCGUCAGCUUGUUCAAGUGAUGUAGGAGGCACAAAGGUACUUCUGGUUUCACCACCUUUAAUCAGAGAUUGCCGGAGAAUCUCCACUGAAGCAGCAGGUGGCCUAGGCAAACUCCUCUGCAACACUUUGGACCUCUUUCUGAGCAAUGCCUCCUGCCUUGCUUGUUCCUCAGCCCUUUCUCGUGCUAACCUGUCUGACAUAUCCUCUUCAAUUCUCUCUUCUGCUUCUUCCUUCUCCUCUGUGAUAGGUGGCAUAACUAUCUGGUACUCAUUCUUAGGCUGUGGAAUAGAAGCAAAACCAGACCGCAAACCUCUUCUCAGCUCGGCUUGCCUACGAAGCUCAAGCUGAGCGCUGUCUUGCAUUUCCACCUCUUCAUUUAUGUGAAGCUCAUCCCUGAAAGGGGUUCCUUUUGGAGUUAACCCAAAGGCAUUUCCAUCUCUGGAUGGUGUCAAACCAAUCCUUGGGGUAACACCAGGGCCAGGGCUAGCCAGAGGCGUCGCCAUGGGAUUUGGAGUCUGUAUCUCUUUCUUACGUGGUGUAACGCCUGAGAAAUCUGAUGGGUGAAGCUCUGGGUUAUCGCCUCCUAAAAGAGGUGUUUGUGAUUCCCUUAAACGUGCAAGAUUCUCUGCCUCCAUCAUAAUAGCGUCACCUUUCCCACCUGGCGUUCGUUGCGGCGUUCGCAAUGGUGUCAUACCAAGCCUUGGAGUCUGGGAAUAAUUUGCAAGCAGUGUCCUAGUGGCAGUACUUCCUUCACCAAGCUCCUCGGCUAGAGCAGGAUCACCGGCAUUGCCCAUCUUUGCAAUCUCCUCCAAUUCAUGGUCGGAAAUUUGGGGUGGUGGAAGCAUUAGUUUGGACCUUCUUGUGACAGCUUCUGGGUCAUUGAGUUUAUUUGCUUGCAUUAUUGCGGCAGGGGCAUCCUGCCUCUGCAGAAUCUUGUUCUUGGCAAUGUCUUGCUUUCUUAAUUGAGCCUCUACAUCCACUCUUCUCCUCCCUUCAAGCUCCUCAAUGGUAGUUGGAAACUGCACAUGCUCAAGUGGCCUGUCCUCGCCCACUGUAUCAUAAAAACCUGGAGGGGGUCUCUUUUCAAAAGGGAUCUCGGCAUUAUAGUCAAUUCCCUUUCUCUUUCUUUUUUUGUGCCGGUUGUCAAUACCAGCUGCCUUCAGUUCUCUCCUUUUUUGCAGUGAUGCAAGCCGCCUCGCCUCUUCAAGCUGUUUCUCUCUUGCCUUCCGUUUUGCCUUUUUACCCCUGGUGUUAGCUAAGCGAGCCCUUGCCUCAGAAAGCAUUUCCUUUUCAUCUUCGUCCAUGUCAACAGGAUCUGGACGUGCAGGUUUUGACUCAGGGUUUGGAUCUAUCUCCCCAGGUCGCAACUUUCUUGGGUCAUCGUUAGGCUCAUAAUUCUCAUCCUUUGCACAGGCAGCAUCAAGCAAUUUUUCAUAACGCUCGAGGCACUGGGAUGGUGUUCGACCCACAAUAGGUGCAAUAGUCCUCCAUUGAGUAGGCAUGAGCUUAGCAAGAUGAAGCAGCUUCUCAUCCUCUUCCCUUGUCCACUCAGUCUGGGGUUAAUGGGCACUGGUUAGUUAAGUAACGUAAAUGACAGAACCUCUAUAUUAUUCGACAGACAACUGAAAACUGAAAAUGGGGCAGACCUAUGUCAUAAUAGAGCAGAUAUAACCAAUUAAAAGAAACAUUAAGCAUCAUAUGACAGGUAAAGAUUGACGGUUAUUUUGAACAAGUUAAUUUGAUUAGAAUGUGAAUCACACAGACUGAAAAUAUAGUUUAGUCAAGUUAGCUUGGUUUUUAUUAGACACUUAAGUUUUAGAGUUAGAUGACAACGCUAAUGAAGCAUUAAGAAUCAAAUUUAGAGUUCUCAACAAAGAUUUAUUAACAUCUUUCCUAUAACUUUAACAAGCUAGGUCCAUAUUUCAACGAUAUCACAGAGAAUGUGUUAAGAGCAUAACAUCAUGCAAGCCAUAAUAGUCAUGACCAAAAAAUAAGUAUACGAUGGCAACACAGAUAUGACAUAUUGUGUUCAUUAUAUUACCCUCGCUAACAAGAAUAUUACAAUGCACAAAGACAAUUAGUCAGUUCCAUUGGUAGAAGUUGACCAUCCAAUAACGUAUGUACAAUCAGUGCAUAGGAUUCUAGCAUGGUAUAGUAUGAAGAGAGAAUAACAUAACCUCAAAACCAAUAUGUGUGUUGAAAUAUGAGCACUUCAAAAACAUGUGGAGCAAUUUACAACAAAAAAUGUAAACUAGAUAAUGUAAACCAAAUGGCAAUUCGUCAAAACUGUACACAGUGUAGCAUUUUCAAAACACCACAUGAUAACCACGGAUCCUCUAGUUUGUACUCACUCCGCGUCACAAUUACAGAUCCUCUAUAUAAUCCUUUCAUAGCAGCAUCUAGUUGCAGUUCACUCGCUAACAAAGUACUAGCCAUCUAAAAAAAUCUNNNNNNNNNNNNNNNNNNNNNNNNNNNNNNNNNNNNNNNNNNNNNNNNNNNNNNNNNNNNNNNNNNNNNNNNNNNNNNNNNNNNNNNNNNNNNNNNNNNNNNNNNNNNNNNNNNNNNNNNNNNNNNNNNNNNNNNNNNNNNNNNNNNNNNNNNNNNNNNNNNNNNNNNNNNNNNNNNNNNNNNNNNNNNNNNNNNNNNNNNNNNNNNNNNNNNNNNNNNNNNNNNNNNNNNNNNNNNNNNNNNNNNNNNNNNNNNNNNNNNNNNNNNNNNNNNNNNNNNNNNNNNNNNNNNNNNNNNNNNNNNNNNNNNNNNNNNNNNNNNNNNNNNNNNNNNNNNNNNNNNNNNNNNNNNNNNNNNNNNNNNNNNNNNNNNNNNNNNNNNNNNNNNNNNNNNNNNNNNNNNNNNNNNNNNNNNNNNNNNNNNNNNNNNNNNNNNNNNNNNNNNNNNNNNNNNNNNNNNNNNNNNNNNNNNNNNNNNNNNNNNNNNNNNNNNNNNNGAGACCGGGGCGACGGGGUGGUGCGGCGAGGAGGGGAUUGGAGGAGCGGGGCCGCGGGGGAGGGCGGGAAAGUGGGCGACGGGGAGGGCCAAGCCGGCGGCGGAGGGCAGUGGCGGCGCUCCUCUCACGGGACGGAUUGGUUCGGGCUCGGGAGGCGGGACUUGUCCUGGUGAGGUAAACCCGAUGACGUGGCAUGUAACGCUCAGUCAAAACCAGUCAACCGCUGGAAAGAGUUUCUCUAGAGCAACCCUACCACACCCCGCAUCCCGUCGACCCGAAAAACACGUUUGCAGGUCGUGCUAAACUGCUUAUGCGGGCUGGCCUGGGCUGUCACAUAUGCAGAUCCCACAAACGGAUCCGUAAAAAAUAUAUUUGUGGAAUAUUCUUUUUUACGGGUCGACUUUGAAGGGUCCGUUCUUUGCACCGCUGCUUCCCGUAUCAUUAGACCGUAAAUAUCAAAUACAACAUAAUUCAACGGCCGAAAACAAACUGAAUUAUUCCAAUCAAACACAAUACAAUAAUCAUCCGCAUUACAAAUAAUUAUUCAAAACUUGUCAUGAAUACAAAUACAAAUGAAUACAAAAAUAAGUCGUUGUCUAGCCCUUUGCCAAUAGUGUUCAAUGAGAUACUUCUGAAGUUGAAAGUGGGUGUCUGGGUUUUCAAUCUCCUUGUAUGUCUGAAGAAAAGCUCUAAUGCGGUUUGGGUCUCUAGCUGGUUUGACACGGCUACCCACAUUGUCGUAAAAGAAUUCUAAGUUCAAUCCUCUCUCAUCUUCAAGAAUCAUAUUGUGCGGGAUAACACAGCGUGUCAUGAUGUUCUUCAAGGUUCUCUUAUCCCAAAAACGAGCAGGACCAUGCACAAUGGCAAACCUAGAUUGCAAAACACCGAAUGCUCUUUCAAUGUCUUUGCGGGCUGCCUCUUGCACCUUUGCAAAUUCAUAUUUUUUUUGUUUUGGGUUCUUUGAUGCUCUUGACAAAUGUGCACCAAGGAGGGUAUAUACCAUCUGCAAGAUAGUACCCCUUUGUGUAUUCAUGUCCAUUAAUAGCGUAGUUGCAAGCAGGAGCAUCAUCACUAGCAAGCCUAGCAAACAAAUGCGACCGUUACAACACAUUGAUAUCAUUGAGAGUGCCCGGCAUACCAAAAAAGCAAUGUCAAAUCCAUAAAUCCUCGGAUGCUACGGCCUCUAGCACAAUUAUUGCAUCACGAGACUUGUCACAAUAUAUUCCUUGCCAAGCCUUGGGGCAAUUUUUCAAAUUCCAAUGCAUACAAUCAAUGCUAUCUAGCAUUCCAGGCCAACCUCUCCUCUCAUUAGAUGCCAUCAAUUUCUUUGUGUCAUCUUCAUUGGAUGCCCGAAGAUACUCAGGACCGAAGAGACGGAUGAUCACUUUUGCAAAUCUACGCACAUACUCAAUUGUGGUAUCUUCACCAAUGCGAAUGUACACAUCGGCAUAGUUAACCGGAACGCCAUAUGCAAUCACCCGCAUAGCUGCGGAGAUUUUUUGAUAUGCACUAAAUCCCUUUAAGCCUGCGACAUUCCUUCUUUGAGUAAAAUACCGGCAAUUUUCCUCGCAAGCUUGAACAAUUUUCACAAAGAGGGAUCAGCGCAUUCGGUACCUUCUCCGGAAGAGGUGUGGAGGAUAUGUAGGAUUCUCCGCGAAAUAGUCUUGCAUCAACAUCUCGUUCCCAAGAUGGCGAUUCCGAGGAAUGCACAAACGCUCGACAGUCGAUCCUCGCCUCUUCUUAUGGUUCUCGUCUUCAUUCUCCUUCACGGCAAGCGUCAUGACUAAUGUUUGCUGACGAAAGGUCGCAAGCAUGGUCUCAACAUCCGAGCCGUCCGAAUCGGACGAAUCGGAUAGCAGGAACUUCUCACAUGGGGUCAACUCCAUCUUCUCGGGUAGUUGGCGGGAGGAUAGUAGGAACCACAAAAAAGGUACUAACCGGCGGCGGCGAUGAGGCGGUGGUCGAUCCCGGGCGGCGACGGCUAGAGGGGGCUCUUCUCGCCGGAUCCGGAGGGGCGGUGCAGCGGCUCGCCUGCAGAUAUGGCCGGAAUCGCCACCAGCAGGCGGGAGGAAGCAAGGGCGGGGCGGCGGCGGCGGAAGGGAGGGGAAAAUAGCGCGGGCUGAAAUGUCCCUCCCGCCAACUGCCUCUCUGUUAUGCAGGGCACCGCAGCCGUGAGGGGGAAACCCGCGUUUUCCCAGGUUGGGGUCGGGAAUUUGCCGCGCCCCCUGAAAAUUUUUGCGAGCCGGGGCGGGAUGCGGGGUCUGAUCGGGCAGGCUUUUCCACCCCGACCCGCAUUUUGGCGGUUAUUUUGCGGGUCGAGGGCGGAUGCGGGGUCUGCUAGAGUUGCUCUUAGAACCGAAAUCUCAUCGAGUGAAUGUUUUACGGAAAUACUAACUGACGAACGUUUCCUCUGUGGAAGGUAGAUGGCAAGCGAAUGCAUUUUCAUGACCGUUUUGGUUACGGCGCGAGAUUAAACGAUGACAGUUUUAGAAAAAAUGCCUUCUUUGAAAGAAAAAAGAAAACAAUUAAAAACAACCAACUGAUUCUCUCUCCCUUAAACCGUCGCCUCCGUACGCCAUGUGCCCUCAUGGAUUCAUCCACCGCUCACUCUCGUCCCACCUUAUCUCUUCCCCUCCACUCGUUUCUCCCUUUCCCUUUUCAUUGUUCUCUUAUUCGUCAGCUGUUAGAUGAGACACUGGAGGGAAAUCAGGAGGACUGUCGACGGAGUUGAGGAAUCGAGUGCAGGAUCGUCGUGCAGUCGCAGUCCCGAUAUCCCACACGUGUUGCUGCCCUAACAAUUGAAAAUCGGGGAUCAUCUGCCAUUGUUGUAGGAGAGGAGAGCCGCACAACGCUGACCACCCUGUUGUCGUGAGUUGCAGGGCAGCCAUCGCUGCUGAUAAGGGCUCGUCGUAUCGCCGCUCGAGGGUGUGGCGCUGCCGCAAAAGGAGAUGUCGCAGCACCCGUGAAGUUGCAAAGUGGCAACGGUCCGCUUGAGGAUGAGGCGUUGCAGCUCUCGUCGUGCUACAAUGGAGUACUCACCGGCGGCAUGCAAUGCUGGUCGGUGUUGCCGAAGCUGCAGUGCAACGGUCACAAUGCUGCAAUGGAGCGCUCGCGUGAGUAGUCGGUGCUGCGGCGAGGCUGUUGCGUUGCAACAGUUGCGACUCUACAGGGAGAAACGGGUGCUUCGAUGCAGCUUUGUCGGUGGUUGUUUGUGCUGCGGCGCAACGUUGUCGGAGCUCCGAUGGGCGCUCAUGAUGAUGCAUGGACGAUGUUGGUGCUUCGAUGCAGCGCUCAUCGACGACUAUCGUGCUGCAAUGCAAUGCUCAUCGGUGGCUGUUGGAAGGUAAGACAGGGGUGUGGCAGGUGAACCUACUGAUGAGCAUUAGUGAUGGAUAUGACCCCUACCACGAAGCAGAGGCUGGGAGGCAGGCGACGACCAGAGGAGAAAUAAGCAGGACAUGUUGACACGGUUUUGCAUUGACCGAUCCAGCUGCUACGCGGGACGGCUCCAACGGCUUUCGACCCGACUGAUUUUCUCUAGAAAUGAGCCGGAUGAUCCCUAGCAGUGGCCAUGUAUUCCUAUAAAGAUAUUGUCAUGACAUUCUUUUUUUCGGAAUGAAAAGGAGUUUAUUCUAAUAUUAUAGGGUUACAAUCACGAGUCAAAUGCUCCUCACAAAACAGAGGACUCAUGUUCAACCAUACCGCAGGGCAACACUCGAUACGGCUAUAAUGUGUGAGAAGAUGUGCUACCCUAUUUUGCUCUCUACCAAUUUUACAAGGAACAAACUCACUAACAACUAUGUGAUUUUUAAUGUUAGCAUCCAACUGACUAAAGAUUGAUCUCGAAAGACUGACGCCUGAGAGUACUGUCAAGGCAUUCGUAGAGUCGUGUUGGACGAUUACCGGCUUGUUUGAAUGCUCAAUGGUCAAUGCCAUACCUUGCAUGAUUGCGUGAAUUUCUGCAUCAAGUGCGUCAUUGCAAUGAAAGAUAUACUUGUAUGCAUCAAAGUUCGCGGAAUCAUCCUCAUUUCACAGAACCAUUCCAGCACAUGCACGCCCAUCAUGACUCGAAAAUGAGCCUCAAACAGAAAAGGCACACCAUCCAGCUGUUGGAAAUAUGCCCUAGAGGCAAUGAUAAAAUAGUUAUUAUUAUAUUUCCUGUUUCAAGAUAAUCGUUUAUUAUCCAUGCUAUAAUUGUAUUGAAUGAAAGCAUAAAUGCAUGUGUGGAUAUAUAGACAAAACAAAGUCCCUAGUAAGCCUCCAGUUGACUAGCCAGUUGAUCAAGGAUGGUUAAGGUUUUCUGACCAUAUGCAAGUGUUGUCACUUGAUGACUGGAUCACAUCAUUAGGAGAAUGAUGUGAUGGACAAGACCCAAACUAUAAACGUAGCAUGUGAUCGUGUCAUUUUGUUUCUAUUUUUUCUGCGUGUCAAGUAUUCAUUCCUAUGACCAUGAGAUCAUGUAACUCACUGACACCGAAGGAAUACCUUGUGUGUAUCAAACGUCGCAAUGUUACUAGGUGACUAUAAAGAUGCUCUACACGUAUCUCCGAAGGUGUCCAUUGAGUUAGCGUGGAUCAAGACUGGGAUUUGUCACUCCGUGUGACGGAGAGGUAUCUCGGGGCCCACUCGGUAAUACAACAUCACAUAUAAGCCUUGCAAGCAAUGUGACUAAAGUGUUAGUCACGGGAUCUUGUAUUAUGGAACGAGUAAAGAGACUUGCCGAUAACGAGAUUGAAAUAGGUAUAGGGAUACCGAUGAUCAAAUCUCGGGCAAGUAACACACCGAAGGGCAAAGGGAAUGGUAUACGGGAUUAUAUGAAUCCUUGGCACAAAGGUUCAACCGAUAAGAUCUUCGUAGAAUAUGUAGGAUCAAAUAUGGACAUCCAGGUCCCGCUAUUGGAUAUUGACCGGGGAGUGUCUCAGGUCAUGUCUGCAUAGUUCUCGAACCCGCAGGGUCUGCACACUUAAGGUUCAGUGACGUUUCGGUAUAGUUGAGUUAUAGGUGUUGGUGACCGAAGGUUGUUCGGAGUCCCGGAUGAGAUCACGGACAUCACGAGGAUUUCUGGAAUGGUCCGGAAACGAAGAUUGAUAUAUAGGAUUGUUUCAUUUGGCCUCCGGAAAGAUUUCAGGCAUUACCGGCAGUGUACCGGGAGUGACGAAUGGGUUCCGGGUUUUUACCGGGAGGGAGCCACCCACCCGGGAGAGAACCCAACAUCACAUGGGUGGCGCACCAGCCUUUGGUGGGCUGGUGAGGCCAGCCCAAUGGGUCUAUGUCGGCUAGAAGAAAAAUCAAAGGAGAAAAAGAAAAAAAAUGAGGUGGGAAGGAAGGAGGGGACUCCUCCUUCCCCAAACUGAAUUGGAGUUGGAGUCCCCUCCUCCUCCACUCGACCGACGCCCUAGGGGCUCUCUUGAGCCCCAAGGCUAGUCCCCCCCUCCUGUAUAUAUUAGAGGUUUAGGAUUUUUGGUGACACAACUUUAGCCAUGUGCAACUGUAAACCUCUACUUCGUAGUUCUUCCUCUAGAUCGGUUUUCUAUGGAGCUCGGGCGGAGCCUUGCAGGAAUAGAUCAUCACCAUUACCGGGGCGCCAUCACACUGUCGUGGAACUCAUCUACUUCACCGUCUCUCUUGCUGGACCAAGAAGGCGGAGAUCGUCAUCGAGCUGUACGUGUGCUGAACGCGGAGGUGCCGUCCGUAAGGCGCUAGAUUAGAACGGAUCGUGGGACGACGGUGAUUUGAAUCACGAAGCUGUUCCACUACAUCAACCGCGUUUCUUAACGCUUCCCACUUAGCGAUCUACAAGGGUAUGUGGAUCCGAUCUCCCUCUCGUAGAUGAACAUCACCAUGAUCGGUCUUCGUGGGCGUAGGAAUUUUUUUGUUUCCCAUGCAACGUUCCCCAACAGUGGCAUCAUGAGCUAGGUUCAUGCGUAGAUGUAAUCUCGAGUAGAACACAAAAGUUUUUGUGGGCGUUGAUGUUCGAUUUGCUGCCCUCCUUAGUAUUUUCUCGAUUCGGUGGUAUUGUUGGAUUGAAGCGGCCCGGACCAACAUUACUCGUACGCUUACGAGAGACCGGUCCCAUCGACUAACAUGCAAAUUGUUGCAUAAAGAUGACUGGCGGGUGUCUGUUUCUUCAACUUUAGUUGAAUUGGAUUUGACCGAGGCGGUCCUUGGAGAAAGGUUAAAUAGCAAUUUGCUCAUCUCCGUUGUGGUUUUGCGUAAGUAAGAUGCGAUCAUACUAGAUACCCAUAUCAGCCACGUAAACACAUGCAACAACAAAUUAGAGGACGUCUAACUUGUUUUUGCAGGGUAUGCAUGUGAUGUGAUGUGGCCAAAGACAUGAUGUAAUAUAUUGGAUGUAUGAGAUGAUCAUGUUGUGAUAGUUAAAUAUCGACUUGCACGUCGAUGCUACGGCAACCGGCAAGAGCCAUAGGUUUGUCUCUAAACUAACGUUUGUGUUCGCAGAUGCGUUUACUAUAUUGCUAGGUUGUAGCUUUAGUAGUAAUAGCAUAGUUAGCACGACAACCUCGAUGGCGGCACAAUGAUGGAGAUCAUGGUGUGGCGCCCGUGACGAUGAAGAUCAUGCUGGUGUUUGGUGAUGGAGAUCAAGAAACACAAGAUCAUGGCCAUAUCAUGUCACUUAUGAAUUGCAUGUGAUGUUAAUCCUUUUAUGCACCUUAUCUUGCUUAGAACGACGAUAGAAUUAUAAGGUGAUCCCUCACUAAAUUUCAAGAUAAAAUUAUGUUAUACCCGACUGUGCACCGUUGCGGCAGUUCGUCGUUUCGAGACACCGCGUGAUGAUCAGGCGUGAUAGACUCAAUAUUCACAUACAACGGGUGCAAAACAGUUGCACACGCGGAACACUCGGGUUAAACUUGACGAGCCUAGCAUGUGCAGACAUGGUCUCGGAACACAUGCGACCGAAAGGUCGAGCAUGAAUCAUAUACUCCAUCCGUUCCUAAAUAUAAGUCUUUUAAGAUAUUUCACUAGUAGUUUACAUACGGAGCAAAAUGAGUGAAUCUACACUCUAAAUUAUGUCUAUAUACAUCUGUAUGUAGUCCACUAAUAAAACUUCUUUAAAGACUUAUAUUUAGGAACGAAGGGAGUAGUUAAUAUGAUUAAUAUAGAGAUGUUUACCACUGAAACUACACUCAACUCACGUGAUGAUCGGACUUGAGUUAGUGAAUUUGGAUCAUGCCACACUCAAGUAACUAGAGGGAUGUCUAUUUGAGUGGGAGUUUAUUAGUAAUUUGAUUAGCUAAACUCUAAUUGUCUUCAACAUAGUCAAGUCCAUUUUGAAAUAUUUUAUGUUGUAGAUCAAUGGCUCACGGAGUAGCAACCGUGAAUUUCAAUACGUUCCUAGAGAAAGCUAAGCUGAAAGAUGAUGGUAGCAACUUUGUAGACUGGGCUCGUAAUCUAAGGCUCAUCCUACAAGCUGGGAAAAAGAAUUAUAUCCUUGAUGCAGCGCUAGGAGAUGAACCACCCGCUACGUCUGAUCAAGAUGUUUUGAAUGCUUGGCAAGCACGUAAGGAGGACUACCCAGUAGUUCAAUGUGUAGUCUUGUAUGGCUUAGAACCGGGACUCCAACGAUGCUUUGAACGUCAUGGAGCAUAUGAGAUGUUCCAGGAGUUAACGUUUAUCUUUUAGAAGAAUGCCCGGAUCGAGAGGUAUGAGACCUCCGAUAAAUUCUGAUCUUGCAAAAUGGAGGAGAAUUUGUCUGUCAGUGAACAUGUGCUCAAAAUGUCUGGGUACUCAAAUCGUCUAGCUGAGCUGGGAGUUGAACUUCCGCAAGAGGCUAUCACUGACAGAAUUCUUCAAUCACUGCCACCUAGCUACAAGAGCUUUGUGUUGAACUAUAACAUGCAAGGGAUGAACAAGUCACCCGCGAGUUAUUCGCGAUGCUGAAAGUCGCAGAGUCAGAACUCCGGAAAGAACAUCAAGUGUUGAUGGUCAAUAAGACCACUGGUUUCAAGAGAAACAGCAAAGACAAGAAGGGUAACUCUAAGAAGAGCGGCAAAAUUGUUGCCACUCCGACGAAGAAACCUAAGGCUGGACCUAAGCCGGAAACUGAGUGUUAUUAUUGCAAGGGGAUGGGUCACUCGAAGCGCAACUGACCAAGUAUUUUUUUGAUAAGAAGGCGGCCAACGCCAAACCAGGUAUAUGUGAUAUACAUGUUAUUGAUGUGUAUCUAACCAACUCUCAUAGUAGUGCCUCGGUAUUUGAUACCGGUUAUGUUGCUCAUAUUUGCAACUCGCCCAUGGGUGGCGCACCAGCCCUUGGUGGGCUAGUGAGGCCAGCCCAAUGGGGCUAUGUCGGCUAGAAGAAAAAUCAAAGGAGAAAAAAAGGAAGGUGGGAAGGAAGGAGGGGACUCCUCCUUCCCUAAACCGAAUUGGAGUUGGAGUCCCCUCCUCCUCCACUCGCCCGACGCCCUAGAGGCUCUCUUGAGCCCCAAGGCUAGCCCCUCCCCUCCUCCUAUAUAUACUAGAGGUUUUAGGGUUUUUGUGACACAACUUUAGCCACGUGCAACCCUAAACCUAUACUUCGUAGUUCUUCCUCUAGAUCGGUUUUCUGUGGAGCUCGGGCGGAGCCCUGCAGGAAUAGAUCAUCACCAUCACCGGCGCGCCGUCACUCUGACGGAGAACUCAUCUACUUCCCCGUCUCUUUUGCUGGAUCAAGAAGGCGGAGAUCGUCAUCGAGUUAAACGCGGAGGUGCCUUCCGUUCGACGCUACAUCGGAACGGAUCGUGGGACGACAGUGAUUUGAAUCACGAAGUUGUGCACUACAUCAAUCGCGUUUCUUAACGCUUCACGCUUAGCGAUCUACAAGGGUAUGUGGACCGAUCUCCCUCUCAUAGAUGAACAUCAUCAUGAUAGGUCUUCGUGUGCGUAAUUUUUUUUGUUUCCCAUGCAACGUUCCCCAACACCAGCAGGUGGAUGAGGCCAUGGUACAAUAAGUAGCACACGUUUGUUGUGUACACAGCUUGGCCUUCCUCCAUCGUUGGCAUUUUUCCUUCUAUGAUUUCUUCCGUAUUGAACUUAGUUGCCAAGUUAAGCGACUUAUAAUAGAUGUUCAAAUAGUCAACUAUAACUUGAAUCGGGGUCUCACACUUCCCAUGUGUAAAAUCAUUCUGAAGUUGCCAAAUUCGUCAAAUGGUCAUGAUCACCAUGUCCUUGGUUUGUACCGAACAUUUAUACAAGAGUUGCAAGGGCCAAUCCUUCCCUCAUACUAUCCCUUACAACGAACAUUCACCAGCUAUCCAUUGUUGUGCAAGAAACUUAACUAAUACAUGGGGAGGUGUUCUUCGUCGAGGCAUUAUCGCUUCCCUACAACAUGCAAUUCAUGAAUAAGUCUCCACCAAAAACAAAGAGUUGAUGCUUUUUCCGCCCCAAUCACUUUGGCUCCUCAGUGUAAUGCUCGUCCUUUCAAAGUGUUGGAACACCGGGAAUGCAAAGGCAUUUCGUCAGCUUGAUAUCCAUUCAGACACAUUACUUCGACUUACGAUUUCAUAUUUGGACCUUUGGUCUCAUAGACUUUGUAAACAUGAGUUGAAAAUGCCUGAACUUCCAUGCCUCCGGUUCAUGUCGAAUAAGGAAAAAAAACAUUAUCCUACACGAAGGCAGCGAUUUUUCUUCACCCAUGAUUAAAAAGAAACAAUUCUCAUAUAUUUCUCCCGGAGCACUCUCCAACAUGAAAUUUCUCGCUUCGUCACCUUAAGUGUUUCUCUGGCCAGGAAUAAUUACACCUUUUAGGGCAUGAAUCCAACCACUAGUCCGGUUCGGUCCUAUUCCCUCAGUUCAUAAAUAUUUGUCUUUCUAGAGAUUCCACUACGGACUACAAAAGGAUGCAUAUAGACAUAAUUUAGAGUGUAAGUUCACUCAUUUUGCUCCGUAUGUAGUCCGUAGUUGAAUCUCUAAAAAGACAAAUAUUUAAGAACGGAGGGAGUACUUUCUAGGAAAAAAUCUGGUGCACCGACAAGCCAAAAAUCUACACCCUAUAUGAUGAUUUACACCAAUUCAUCUUUGACAUGGCUAGUAUAAAACCGCCCACAUAGCACUGCUGCUGAAACAAGAUCAAGCUCGCAUCAUAUACGUGUGUCGACCUAUAUCGUUCUGCCCUAUAAAAGCUUCAGCCAAACAGUGAUAAAUAGACUCAAACCUACAAUACCUUUCAUAUGUAUAGGGGCCGACAAAUGAGUAUCCUUUGAUGUUUGCAACUCCUGUGUCAGCGAUGAAGGAAACACCGAACGUUUAUUUUUUCCCAGCCCAGGAGAAUCGGUUUCCAGCAACAGCCCUGUCAAUUCUGUAUAGAUACCAAAGUUGGGUAGAGUUUUAUCAGAGACUUGCAAUGGAUAUCUUCUGAGCACCGAGAAGAUAUCUCCAUUUUGGCUGCUGACUAGCUCACAUUUUGACACUACGGUUAUCCUAUACUCAGUGUGUUCAUUGCAUCACUCGUAAGGACAGAAAACAUAUCCAUGGUGUUUUAAACUGGAAACCGCACGUUCUUCAAUCUUUUCAGUGUAGACAACGUGUGUUUCAGCCGCUCUGAACUGCAACCUGCGUUUCAGUGCGUUCUCGGCGUUUUUCUUGUUGUUGCUGUUCUAAUCACCUUCGAUUUCGUGCCGCCGAUCAUGGUAGUACCGGAAUUCAUACAUGUAGUAUUUGAGCAUGUCUAACAAUAUGUGAUUCUCUGAAGAACUCCACGCAUCAAAGGUACUGCGCUAAACUGAGUGACAAUAAUUAUGCACCACAGCACACAGUAUUUCUCAUUUCUUCAUCCAACAACUGAAUGAUAUCACAUAUUCUAUCUGACGGAUCAAGUUCCUGCCCGCCUGAUACAAACACCUUAGCAGCACCUUUCAGUUGGAUCCAGCUACAGCCAGGAGACUUCUUGACACCAUGCUCUGCCAUGGCUCUUCUCACCCCCUCCGCUUCCUUCCACUGCCCAGUGGCGCACAACAUGUUGGACAACAUCACAUACCCAGUGUCUCUCACAGGCUCCAUCGACACCAUGCCGCUCCCCACCUUCCUUCCGAUUCUUGUGUCCAGUUGCACCGAUGAGUAGGCACUAAGCAGAGACUCACGCAUAUCGCUGCUGUGCAUCUGAACCGUUUCAGAGUAUUGCUCCAGCACCUCAAUGGCUUUUGCGAUGUUCCCAGAUCUAGCAUACAUGUCGAGAACGCAAGCUAAAUGCUCCGGUGUUGGCUUCAGUCCAUGGACAGACACCAUCGACUCAAAGAAGGCUCUCCCUUGCUCCAGGAGGCCAGAAUGGCUGCAGGCUGUGAGCAAGCCUGUGAAUGUGACUUCGUCGGGGCAAACAUCCUGGGACAACAUCCUUUCAUACACUGCAAAUGCUUGCUUUGCCCAUCCAUUUAUUGCAAACCCGAACAACAUGGUGUUCCAUGACACUGUGUCCUUCUGAAGAACGGCAUGGAACACAUUGCUUGCCCCCUCGACGUCUCCGCACUUUGCAUACAUGUCCAUCAAACUGUUGGCCACGUACAAGUAGCAUGCAUAACCCGUUUGGAAUGCACAGCCAUGAAUCAUCCUUCCACUGGCCAUAGAUGCCGCAGCAGCGCAAGCAUGAAGCACAGCACCAAAGGUGAAGUCGUCAGGAUGGAUAUGCCCGUGUUCCAACAUCUUACUAAAUAGUGCAAGGGCCUCAUCCGCACAGCCAUUCCUCGCAAAACCUCCAAUCAUCGAAGUCCAGGAGAUGUCAUUGGUCUCAGGAGCACUUUGAAACAGAGCAGCAGCUUGUUCAAUGUGGCCAAGCCUUGUGUGUGCGUCGAUCAGUGAAUUCCAUGACACAACGGUUCUACUCUCCAUAGACUCGAAGAUCUUGACAGCACAAUCCAGCAAGCUGAACUUACUGUAGAAGGAAAUAAGCGAGUUAUUGACCUCAGGGAUGGCACUCCAGCCACUCUGAACCACAAUCUUGUGGACUGCAGCGCCGGUGGAUGGGCAGGGCAGCUCCGUGCAAGCAUCGAUCAGAAUGCAGAGCGUCGCAUCGUCGCAGGAAAGCCCCGACACCCGCAUCUCGUUGAACAGAAGCAGACACUGCUUGGCAUUGCCACAGCGGGAAUACCCCGUGAGCAGCGUGUUCCAGGCAACACUGCUAACGCUUCCAGCGGGCAUUUCGUCGAACAGCUCGCGCGCGAGCGCCAUGCGGCCCGAUGCGACGUAGCCGUGGAGGAGCGAGCACCAGGAGAGCGCGUUGCGGUCGCGCAUCUCCCGGAAGGCGCGCGCGGCGUCGUCGGCGCGGGCGCACCUGGCGUACAUGGCGACGAGCGCGUUGCCGACGGGGAGCGGCGCGCGCAGGCCGAGCCGGAGGAGGCGGGCGUGGAGCUGCGCGCCGGCGCCGGGCGAGCGGAGGGCGGCCGCCGCGGAGAGCGCGGCGGUGAGGGAGAAGGCGUCCGGACCGCGCAUGGCGGCGAAGAGGGCGAGNNNNNNNNNNNNNNNNNNNNNNNNNNNNNNNNNNNNNNNNNNNNNNNNNNNNNNNNNNNNNNNNNNNNNNNNNNNNNNNNNNNNNNNNNNNNNNNNNNNNACGCGGUUGAUGUAGUGGAACGUCCUCACGUCUCUCGAUCCGCCCCGCGAACAAUCCCGCGAUCAGUCCCACGAUCUAGUACCGAACGGACGGCCCCUCCGCGUUCAGCACACGUACAGCUCGACGAUGCUCUCGGCCUUCUUGAUCCAGCAAGAGAGACGGAGAGGUAGAAGAGUUCUCCGGCAGCGUGACGGCGCUCCGGAGGUUGGUGAUGACCUUGUCUCAGCAGGGCUCCGCCCGAGCUCCGCAGAAACACGAUCUAGAGGAAAAACUAUGGAGGUAUGUGGUCGGGCAGCCGUGAGAAAGUCGUCUCAAAUCUGCCCUAAAAGCCCCAUAUAUAUAGGAGGAGGGAGGGGGACCUUGCCUUGGGGUCCAAGGGAACCCCAAGGGGUCGGCCGAGCCAGGGGGGAGGACUCUCCCCCCCCCCCAAACCGAGUCCUACUUGGUUUGGUGGGAGGGAGUCCUUCCCCCUUCCCACUUCUUCCUCUUUUUUUUUCUUCCUUUGAUUUUUCUUCCUUGGCGCAUAGGAUUUGGUGGGCUGUCCCACCAGCCCACUAAGGGCUGGUGUGACCCCCACAAAUACCUAUGGGCUUCCCCGGAGUGGGUUGCCCCCCUCCGGUGAACUCCCGGAACCCAUUCGUCAUUCCCGGUACAUUCCCGGCAACUCCGAAAACCUUCCGGUAAUCAAAUGAGGUCAUCCUAUAUAUCAAUCUUCGUUUCCGGACCAUUCCGGAAACCCUCGUGACGUCCGUGAUCUCAUCCGGGUCUCCGAACAACAUUCCGUAACCAACCAUAUAACUCAAAUACGCAUAAAACAACGUCGAACCUUNNNNNNNNNNNNNNNNNNNNNNNNNNNNNNNNNNNNNNNNNNNNNNNNNNNNNNNNNNNNNNNNNNNNNNNNNNNNNNNNNNNNNNNNNNNNNNNNNNNNAAUAAUAACUAUACAUUUAUUAUUGCCUCUAGGGCAUAAUUCCAACAUAGAUGUCAUGCAAGUUUUUUUCCCUAAGCACGUAUGACUACAUACGGAAUACAUGCCUACAUUAGAUUGACGAAUGGGAGCUAGUUACUUCUCUCUCCGUGUUAUAACUGUUACAUGAUGAAUCACAUCUGACAUAAUCAUCCAUCACCGAUCCGAUGCCUACGAGUCUUUUACUACUGGUCCUUGCUACGUUACUCUGUUGCUACUGCUGUCACUGCUGCUACUGUUACUCCGUCACUACUGCUGUCACUGCUGCUACUGUUACUUUGUUGCUACUGAUUACAGUUGCUACUGCUGCUAUCAUACUACCUUGCUACUGAUACUUUGCUGCAGUUACUAAAUCUUUCAGGUGUGGUUGAAUUGACAACUCAACUGCUAAUACUUGAGAAUAUUCUUUCGCUUCCCCUUGAGCCGAAUCAAUAAAUUUGGGUUGAAUACUCUACCCUCGAAAACUGUUGCGAUCUCCUAUACUUGUGGGUUAUCAAGACCUUUUUCUGGCACUUUGCUGGGGAAGCACAUCUAUAUUCUCUGAGUCACUUGGGAUUUACGUCUGCUGGUCACUAUGAAGAAUCCGAUAGAUCCAAGAACUAAAGCCUUGCCCUCAACUACGAGGACAGGUAAAAAACUGCCAUCUAGCUCUGCACUUGAUUCACCUUCAGUUAUGAGUAAGUUUGCGACACCGCCCCCUGCUAGAAAUCUUGAUAUGUCGCAUGUGCUUGAUUUUGCUAGUUCUGCUGCCCAUGAUGCUUAUGAUGAUGCUAUGCUUGAUACUGCUUUGCCACUAGGUGCAUUCCUUGAUGUACAAAUUGCUAGAGUUGCUGCUAGAUGUGAUGAUACUUCUGAAACUGCUGAUACUAUUGAAGUAGAACCUGCUAUUUUGCCUGCUAGAACUAGCUCUUCUAGAAAUGAAUUGCCUGAUAUGUCUGAGCGUUAUGUUAUGGAGGGAGAGAUAGCUGAGGACUUUCUUGCGUGUAAGGAUAGCUAUGAUGUUGAUAAAUUACUGCUCAAGUGGAAAGAAAAAUGUAUGAACGCUAGGAUGAAAUAUGACCCGAAGUUUGCUACUUCGCCUAUCUUUGUUACCGAUAAGGAUUAUGAAUUCUCUGUCGACCCUGAGUUAAUCACUCUGGUCGAAUCUGAACCUUUUCACGGUUAUGAGUCUGAAACGGUUGUAGCCCAUCUUACCAAACUGCACAAUAUAGCCACCCUAUUCACGAGUGAGGAAAAGAUCCAUCACUACUAUAUCCUCAAGUUGUUUCCUUUCUCGCUAAAGGAUGAUGCUAAGACUUGGUUCACUUAUCUUUCUCCUGGUUGUGUGCGUAGCCCCCAGGAUAUGGUCUACUACUUCUUUGAAAAAUAUUUCCCUGCCCAUAAGAAGCAAGCUGCCUUGCAGGAAAUAUACAACUUUGCUCAAGCUGAAGAAGAGAGUCUCCCACAAGCUUGGGGGAGGCUCGUCCAACUACUGAAUGCUUUGCCUGAUCACCCUCUUGAUAAGAAUGAAAUAUUUGAUAUCUUCUAUAAUGGACUUACCGAUGCUUCCAGAGACCACCUAGAUACUUGUGUUGGUUGUGUUUUUAGGGAACGAACCGUAGAACAAGCUGAGAUCCUAUUGAAUAACAUCUUGUGCAAUGAGAAUGCUUGGACUAUUCCCGAACCACCUCCUAAGCCAACUCCGAAGAAAAGAGGUAUUCUAUUCCCCAGUCCUGAAGAUAUGCAAGAAGCUAAGAAAUCUAUGCGAGAGAAAGGCAUUAAAUCUGAAGAUGUCAAAAAUCUACCACCUAUCGAAGAGAUCCAUGGUCUUGAUAACCCGAUACAGGUAGUAGAAGUAAAUUCUCUGCGUAGGUUUGAUGAGAGUGAUAUUCCUUUUGAUAAACCUGCUAGCCUAUGCCUAGAUGAAUUUGAUAACUUUGUUGCCAAACAACAGAGUUUCAAUGAUUAUGUUAGCACACAAUUGGAACAAAAUGCUCGUAUGCUUAGUCAUUUAAGUGCUUGUGUGGACAAAAAUGUCAAUGAUCUUAAGCUCUUGAGUAAACAUGCCUCUAUGGUUACUACUCAGGUAGAACAAGUACUUAAGGCUCAUAAUGACUUGCUCAAUGAGUUGAAUGACAAUUAUGUUAGAGUCGUUACUAGAGGCGGUAGAAUGACUCAAGAACCUUUGUAUCCUGAGGGUCAUCCUAAGAGAACUGAAAAGAUUCUCAAGGAGUUAGCAUUGAUGCACCUAGUCAUCCUAGGAAGAAGAAGAAGGAUGAUAGGAACCUGCACGCUAGCAACCCUGUUGCUGCUACACCUGAGAGUCCAAACGAUGUCUCUGUCUCUGAUGCUGAAACAUAAUCUGGUGAUGAACAUGAGCCUAAUGAUAAUAUCGAUAGUGAUGUUCAUGAAGAUGCCCAACAUAGCAAUGAUAAGGAUGUGGAGAUUGAACCUGUUGAUCUUGAUAACCCAGAGCCUAAGAAUAGAAGAUACAAUAAGAAUGACUUUGCUGCUAGGAAGCAUGGUAAAGAAAGGGAACCAUGGGUUCAUAAACCUAUGCCCUUUCCUCCCAAACCAUCCAAGAAAAAGGAUGACGAGGAUUUUGAGCAAUUUUUUGAAAUGAUUAGACAUGUCUUUCUCCUAAUGCGUUUGACAGAUAUGCUCAAGAUGUCUCUGUAUGCUAAGUACAUGAAGGAUAUUGUGACUAAUAUGAGGAGGAUACCUGAGGUUGAGAUUUCCAUCAUGCUCGCUAAUUAUACCUUCAAGGGUGGAACUCCUAAGAAACUAGGUGAUCCCGGUGUGCCCACUAUACCUUGCUCCAUUAAAGGAAACUACGUUAGAACUGCUUUAUGCGACCUUGGGGCCAGUGUUAGUGUUAUGCCUCUCUCUCUUUAUCGUAGACUUGAACUAGAUAAGUUGACAGCCACUGAAAUCUCUCUGCAAAUGGCCGAUAAAUCAAAUGCUUUCCCUAUCGGCAUUUGCGAGGAUGUGCCUGUUGUGGUUGCCAACGUCACUAUCUUAACAGACUUUGUUAUCUUGGAUAUUCCCGCGGACAUGCCAUGGCGGUCAUCCUCGGAAGACCCUUUUUAAACACUGCAGGGGCUGUUAUAGAUUGCAACAAAGGCAAUGUCACUUUCCAUGUCAACGGUAAUGAGCAUACGGUGCACUUUUCGAAGAAACAAUAUCGAGUACAUUGCAUCAGUGCUAUCGAAAAAACUUCAUCGAUUCUUAUUGGGAGCUUUGAAUGCCCUAUUCCUCAUGUUAAGAUGAAGUAUGAUUUGCUUGUUGGGGAGAUACACAUCCCCAUUGAGGUGACCUAGUGACUAUUUGAAAAUUCUCCGGUCUCUUUUUCGAUUCGGAAAAGUUUAUCAAGGAGACUUGAUCAACCUCAUUGACAGAUUUCUUUCGAUGGACCAUGAGAUGGAUGAAUCGAGGAGUCACAAACCUCUAUUCCAAGCUUUCACCUUCGGUUGCUUAGAAUAAAAAUGACAGGUUUAGUUUAGUUUUCCCUGUUUUCUGUUUUAGCGUCCGGUAGAAAAGUACCCCGAAAAUAAAAGUUCUCCAAACGUCCUGAAAAUCAAGUAUGAUUUUUUCUGGAUUUUUUGAAAAAUACUGAGACGAAUAGCUAGUCUGGGGUUGCACCAGUGGGCCACAAGCCCUGGAGGCGCAGGAACCCCCUGGCCGCGCCUACCUGGCUUGUGGGUCCCACGUGCACCCCCUCCACUCAUUCUAGCUCCCAUCUGGUUCUCCUAACUCUAGAAAAAAAUCGUCUUGCAGCUCAAACCCGUGUUCUUGCUCCUCUUGCUGGGAUUUUCGAUCUCCUUGCUCAAAGCACCAUUCUCCGAACUAUUUUGGGAAAUUACUCCUUGGUAAGUGACUCCUCCAUUGUCCAAUUAGUUUUUGCUCUAGUGCCUUGCACUUCGCGUAUUUUUGCUGCCUUGGUGACCAUGUUAUUGAGCUUUGCAUGCUAAUUUUAGCUGGUCCCAAGUGGUUUUGAUGCGUAAUAUGGCCUCUAGGCACUUGUGGGAGUAGUUGCUACGAGUUUCGUUGAGCCUUGUUCACUUUUCCUUAGAAUCACUAAAAUUUCAGAAAUUUUCAGAGAUAGAAAAAGGAAAAGAUGAGGAGGUUCUUAAGAGGCUCUUCAAGCCGUGACCCCAAGGAUGAUGGAAGUGAGAAGAAGCCCAAGUAUCUGGUCCCUCGAGUCGCAGAAGUUCAAGCGUGCGAGUGGCCAAGCGGUGUGUUCUUACGCGCCGCCAGACUUUAUGAGGAAUUUUACUACUUGGUGGAGAACGCGGGCCUUACCGCCUUCGUUGAAGAUAAGUGUCCGCAAUACCUCCUCCUCACUAAUAUCUUCGUACAAAUCUUUAACUUCUAUCCGAGGAAGAAUCCUCCUAUGGUUGAGUUCAAACUUUAUGAUAUCCCCCAGCGCAUGUCACUCCAGGAUUUUUGCAAUGUCUGCAAAUUACCUUACAUUGGGGAUAUUCAUGAACCUCGUCCACGGGACUUGGAGGCUUUCAUCGGUACAAUUGUUGUAGGAGAGGAGAGAGGAGUGUCUUGCGCUAGAGCUAUUAGCAUUCAUUUUCCCGUGCUACGGUACUUCUCAUUAUUCGUGGGAAAAUGUUUGAUUGGUCGUGGGAAAGCUGGGUCACUUAGUUCCCCAGAUCUUGCGGUCUUGGGCGAAGCCCUUUAUAAUGAUAAAACUUAUAGCUUGGGCGCUAUAGUAGCUCAACGGUUGAACACGAACCAUUCUAAAGGCAUUGUCUAUGGAGGUAUCUAUGCUAGUCGUCUUGCUAGACACUUUAAGAUACCUAUUAGACUGGAGGAGGAAGAAGAGAUUCUUCUUCCCGAGAGAUAUCUAGAUUACGAUAGCAUGGUUCGCCAUGACUUUCUUGAUAGAGAUAUAAAUAGAAGGAUGAUCUAUAACCUGGUAUUUAGUCAGGGUACUCGUGAGACUAUUACUUUGCCUGCUCCUUAUUUGUUCAAUCUUCAUGCAUGUAGGUACAUUAUUAUGCCCUUGGACAUCUACGCAUAUUGGGGCUUGGCCCAACCACAGGUGCCCGUGCCCGAGCCACCAGUCGAGUACCAGACGCCGGUUUAUCAGUGGGAGCCAGAGGAGCUCACACAGCAUUGGCAUCCUCAGUCCACUCUGGAGUAUCCCGGAGCUAGUUAUUUCCCUCCUUGGGAGUAGCCCAACUUAGGCCAAAAGCCUAAGCUUGUGGGAGUACGUGUUUCUCACCGACUUUACAUUCUUGCUUAUGCUUUCACUUUGUUCGUCGGUGUUCACACUUUGCCAUUGUAUCAUCCAUGCUAGUUUAUUUCUUUUUCUCAUUUUCUUUUCGUGUGUCUGUCUAGUUUGAGAAAACCCAAAAAGAUUUUCUUUUUCUUCUCUUGCUUGUUGGGAGCUUUCCCGUGUAAAUAGUUUUCUUUUUCAUUGGGUCAAGGUAGAAGACCAUGGUUACAAUGUUUAAUGGCUCUCGCAUGCAUAUAUGUUUAUCUGUUAAAGAGCCAUAUUACUUUGUCUUCUCCUUUGUGUUUGCAUGCAGAUUCCAGCUUAGUCCAAUGCACAAGCACUCUUAUUAUUGUUCACAUCGUUCGGUCGUGAAAGUGAAAGGCAAUAAUGACGAUAUAUGAUGAAGUGACUGAGCCUGGAAAAGCUGGUAUGAACUCGAUCUAUUUUGUUUUUAUAAAUAUGACUAGCUCAUCGUGCCUGAUUCAGCUUUGUUGUGAGAGAAAGAUGUUUGCAACUUAGAGAUCAUAGUUGCUUAUGCCAUGCUUAUUUAGCUAGGAGCUUAUAAUGGUUUGUCUUGGAUGCCCACAUGAACUUUGAGAUGACUAUGAUGUAGUAUGAUAGGAUGGUAUCCUCCUUUGAAUGAUUCAAGUGGCUUGACUUGGCGCAUGUUCACGCAUGUAGUUGAAACAAAAUCACCAUAGCCUCUACGAUGUUCAUGUUCAUGGUGAUUUAUGUCCUACUCAUGCUUGCACUCAAUGUUAGUUAAUCUCGUUGCAUUUUGAUGACCGUUGUCGCUCUCUAGUUGGUCGCUUCCCAGUCUUUUGCUAGCCCUCACUUGUACUAAGCGGGAAUACUGCUUGUGCAUCCACUUCCAUAAACCCAAAGUUGUUCCAUAUGAGUCCACCAUACCUACCUAUAUGCGGUACCUACCUGCCGUUCCAAGUAAAUUUGCAUGUGCCAUUCUCUAAACCUUCAAGAAAUAAUAUGUUUUGCUUGCCCGAACCGCUCAUGUGGUGACAGGGGGCUAUCAAUAUCUUCCGUGCUAGGCGUGUUAUCCUCGAUAUGUGUUUAUUCACUAUCAUUCACGAGAAAGGGGCCGGUAAUUAGAAUGCCUAGUUCCAUGCUCAAAUCGAAAAGAUAAUUGCAAACAAAACUCUCCCUAGAUUGAUGUUGGUAUGGACGGCACCCAAGGAUUCGGCUAGUCGUGGAGUGUGAUUGAUCGGUGGUGGGGGAGUCAAAACUUUACUUUUCUGUUUGGGAACCGCCUAUAGCAUGUGUAGCGUGGAAGAUGAUGAGAACUCUUAGUCAUUGCGUUGACAAUGAAAGCAUGCCACCCAAAAUUAUUAUCUCUGUUUUCAAAGCUUGAGCUCUCGCACCUCUGCAAAUCAACGCUUCCCUCUGCGAAGGGCCUGUCUAUUUAUGUUCCUGUUGAGUCAUCCUCCUCUUAUAAAAGCACCAAUUAGAGAGCACCUCUCUCAUUUUUUAUGCUUUGCUUUUAACUGUGUUGAGUAUGACUCUGACUGGAUGUUCUUUGCCAUGAAUUACAAUGUUUAGUCAGCCCUUGGUCUUUGAAGGUGCUCUGCAUUUAUGUUUUGCGGUCUCAGAAAGAGCUAGCGAGAUACCAUCUGUUCGUACUGCUUCAUGAUUGUUUUGAUUGAAGUGUUGACGUUUGAGACUUAUUAUUAUUUGCUCGCUAGUUGAUUAUGUCGUUGAUAUGAGUUUAUCGUGAGACCUUGAUGUCAUUUGCUUAUGUGGUUUGUUUGUGAUCUUGCUGAAAUUCUGGUUAUGAGUUAGACAUAGUUGCAACCACAAGAUCAAACCGAGUUCGUCAAAUUUUUUCUUUUGUCCCUUUCAGUUUGUCAACUGAAUUGCUUGAGGACAAGUAAGGCUUUAAGCUUGGGGGAGUUGAUACGUCUCCGUUGUAUCUACUUUUCUGAACUCUUCUGCCCUUGUUUUGGACUCUAAUUUGCGUGAUUUGAAUGGAACUAACCCGGACUAACGUUGUUUUCAGCAGAAUUGCCAUGGUGUUGUUUUUGCGCAGAAAUAAAAGUUCUCGGAAUGACCUGAAAAUUUACGGAGAAUUUUUCUGGGAUUUAUGAAAAAUACUGGCGCAAGAAUUAGCGGAGGGAGUGGAGCCGUGAGCCCAUAAGCUCACCAGGCUCGGGCCCCCCUGGCCACGCAUGGCAGGCUUGUGGGGCCCACAAAGCUCCACCGCCUCUCAAUCCAGCUCUAUAUAGUCCGUUUCGUCCGGAAAAAAAUCAAGGAGAAGAGUUCAUCGCAUUUUACGAUACGGAGGCGCCGCCACCUCCUGUUCUUCAUCUGGAGGGCAGAUCUGGAGUCCGUUCUGGGCUCCGGAGAGGGGAGAUCGUCGCCAUCGUCAUCACCAACCUUCCUUCAUCGCCAAUUCCAUGAUGUUCUUCACCGUUCGUGAGUAAUCUUAUCGUAGGCUUGGUGUACGGUGAUGGGUUGGAUGAGAUCUAUCAUGUAAUCGAGUUAGUUUUGACGGGGAUCGAUCCUUAGUAUCCACUAUGUUCUGAGAUUGAUGUUGCUACUACUUUGCCAUGCUUAAUGCUUGUCACUAGGGCCCGGGUGCCAUGAUUUCAGAUCUGAACCUAUUAUGUUGUUGCCAAUAUAUAUGUGUUUUAGAUCCUAUCUUGCAAGUUGUAGUCACCUACUAUGUGUUAUGACCCGGCAACCCCGGAGUGACAAUAGCCGGAACCACUCCCGGAGAUGACCAUAGUAUGAGGAGUUCAUGUAUUCACAAAGUGUUAAUGCGUUGGUCCGGUUCUUUAUUAAAAGGAGAACCUUAAUAUCUCGUAGUUUCCAUUAGGACCCCGCUGCCACGGGAGGGAUGGACAAUAGAUGUCAUGCAAGUUUUUUCCCUAAGCAUGUAUGACUACAUACGGAAUACAUGCCUACAUUAGAUUGACGAACGGGAGCUAGUUACUUAUCUCUCCGUGUUAUAACUGUUACAUGAUGAAUCACAUCCGGCAUAAUCAUCCAUCACCGAUCCAAUGCCUACGAGUGUUUUACUACUGGUCCUUGCUACGUUACUCUGUUGCUACUGCUGUCACUACUGCUACUGUUACUCUGUCACCACUGAUGUCACUGCUGCUACUGUUACUUUGCUGCUACCGGUUACUGUUGGUACUGCUGCUAUCAUACUACCUUGCUACUGAUACUUUGUUGCAAAUACUAAAUCUUUUAGGUGUGGUUGAAUUGACAACUCAACUGCUAAUACUUGAGAAUAUUCUUUCGCUUCCCCUUGAGUCGAAUCAAUAAAUUUGGAUUGAAUACUCUACCCUCGAAAACUGUUGCGAUCCCCUAUACUUGUGGGUUAUCAAGCACCUCCGCCGGCUUGUUUUGCACGACCAUCGUUGACCUUGCAGGGAGGGGGAGUGGGUGGUGUGUAGCCGGUGUUGCAAAUCUCACCUAUGCAGCGGGAGGAACACCUGGUGCUGUAGACCUCGCCGCACCUGGCGACGAUGUCUGCUGCCACGCCGGCGAUGGAGUUCCGUUGCAGCAGGCGAGGCUAAGGGGAAGCUGCAUUGCAACAGGCCACAUCGAUGGCGAGCUGCAUGGCAGCACGAGAGGCUACGAGGACACUGUGAGGUCAUGCCAGUGGUAGAAGUUACGGGAAUGUUGCAUGCCAAAAAGCCACGCUGGCUGCGAAGCUAUGUUGCUAUGGACUAUGGGGACACUUCUGUCAUGCCCCCGGGGUGGAGCUGCGUUUUAGCAGACGGAUUAUGAUGUCGUUGCUGCCAUGCCCAAUGUGAGAGCUACGUUGCAAGAGUGGUCCAUUGCAACAGGGUGGCUGGAGACAACACUGCCAUGACCAACGACGAUGCAACUUCAAGCAGGGGCGGAGCCCAUGGGGGCGAGCAGGGGCCAGACCCCCCCCCNNNNNNNNNNNNNNNNNNNNNNNNNNNNNNNNNNNNNNNNNNNNNNNNNNNNNNNNNNCCCCCCCCCAUCGUUCGGCCACCCCCAUCGAUUUUCAGGGGGGCUGGAUGUAGAAGUUUUGUUAACUUGCGAUAAUUAGUACUAGAUCAUGGAAGUAAUUAUAUUGAUAUAAGUAGUCAAACACCAAGUUGGGAAAAGGCCCAAGCCUAGGAAGCAACUGACAUCGGCCCAUUAGAUGGAUGCGUAACUUUUGUAUUCUAGACCGAGUGCACCUGCACUACUCGAUGAUGUAUUAGUUGACUACCAGUAGUCGGCCCCGUGCGCUAGGGCAUCGUCAGCGUCUGGCGGCGACACAUGUGUUUGUUGAUUGUCCCCCCGUGCGCUAGGGCAUCGCCAGCAUCCGGCCACAAUGCGUGUAUUCGUCGUUUGUCACCCGUGUGUGCUAUGGGGAUCGCCUGCGGCGAGUCUAUGCGCCAAUUUCAUGAUAUCCAUGUGUUAGGCGCUUCAGCUUAUACCAUCAGAAUAACACUAUACCACUCGCGCCGGAUCUAAGGUAAUCAUAUUACGAUUUCAUGUCUUGGAUACCAUGUGUUAUUACUAUUGCUAAAUCUGUAUAUAAAACUGCUAGAUGCUAAAUACUGUUUGUUCAUCGGUUAUAAAUUAUACAUAUCGUCUAUACAUAACAGCCUCAAUAUCACAUAUUUUUAUAUAGAAACUGCCAAUCAAAUAUUUAGCGUAAAUAGAAAUUGCACAGCAAACUAGACAAUAUAAGAUUCUGAAUCUGUUACAUGCAUUUUUUUGUUGUGUUAGUGAUACAUCCAAACUAAUAAAAUUCUACAUGUUUUCUAAGUACAAAAUAUAUGUUAUCACGUGUUGGUCUUGUAUAGGCCCGGGCCCACAGUGGUGCAAACUGUGCGGCCCGUACAGGGCCCAAAAUUUUAGGGGGCCCAAAAAAUUUUAAGUAGGCCACGUACUAAAAAAAAACCUAUGGACUACUCACUACUCGACCAGUGGGCUGCUGGGAGCCAACGAGCCAGCGAGGCUCGAUGUCCCGCUGAGGCCAUCAAGGCAAGUAUCCAUCCAGCCAGAUUCUGCUUCCCCUAAUCACGCUGCUGCCGUUUUUUUGGAUCGUGGCAGCCUGCAGGUUGCCUCUUCGUCCGUUCGUCGCCUCGUCGUUCGUCUCCCCCUCGAGUCGCUCGUCCGCUCACAGGCUGGUCGUCGCCUCGUCGCUCGUCUCCUCCUCGAGUCCCUCGUCCAUUUGCAGGAUGCUCAUCGUGUCGUCGCUCGUCUCCUCGACGCCUCGUACUGUCAUACAAACUACAGACUACAGAGACUUUGCCUCCUCUCAAAAAUUUUAGAUUCGUGGACGUUUUCUUGUCCGAUUGAUCUUCAAGUUCUUUUUAUUCAUCGUCUAAUCGUCUUUAUAUUAUAUUUCAACAAUGCAGAUUUGAAUCAUCAUGGGAAAACAACAAUCUGAUGCCUAUAAACGCAAGAUAAAAACACAAGAACAAAAUUUAAUAAAUCUUAUAAAGAAGGUAUGGACAUAUUUGUUAAAAAAACACCAGAAGUAUCAUCUGGUAAUCGGUCUGUUGAUCCUUCUAGCCUUGCACUUGCAAUUUUUCCUUACAUUGAUUCAAGAUCUGCUCACACAGAGACAGAUAAUAUAGAGGUAGAGACAUAUAAUAUUGAGGCUGAUGAUUAUUUUCAAUAUGAUAUAUUUGACUCAAAAAACUGGAAUUCUCUUGAUUGUAAACAGAUUUAUAUCUUACCACAAAAUGAUCCAAAAAGAGACAAAUCAAUUAAGAAAGGUCCCAAAGAUAGACAUCGUAAAAGGUUUACUGCAGCCUUCUAUACUAGAUUCCUAUAUUUUCACACAGGGCCCCGGUUUUUGUCGGCCCGGCCCUGGUCUUGUAUGAUCAUUGUAUAAAAAAGUGUAUGAAAAUCUCUGGCAGGAGCUCGCCACCAUCAGGGUUAGUUUUCCUGCAUGUGUGUGGUGGGGUGGGCUGUAACUGGAUUUUCCUGCUCCUUUUUGUCGCAAGGCAAUGGGGGCGAAGCAGCCUCUCUAAUAUGUUGUGUAUCGAACGGUUAAGCCAACUUUAGAGUACGAUCCCAUUCGGUCCAGCUCUGUUUAUUUGGGUCAAAACAAACAAACCUCACUAUCCAGCGCGCAUCGUUCUGGACGCAUCUCGUCCGUUUUGUGUCCGGGACGACCCAUUUCCGACGCAAACAUGCGUCCAGUUUGGGUCCUGAUGGACAGCGAGCAGACGCGUUCGAGCCCACCUCUCGUCCGCGUCGGGGACGCAUGGCAGGCGGCCACCUACCUCCCACCCGCCCGUAUUUACUAUGCACGCCCGGUAGGCCCCACCUGUCAUCCACUCAGGCGGGCUAUCGUCGUCCUUCUUAAAUCGGGAAGCCGUGGACCGGCAUCGUACAACGCACGCGUCCACUCCACUGCCUCCUCGGGACCGACACCAAACCCGCGUGCCCGCUCCAAACCCUAGCUUCUCCCCCUCUCUCGAUCUCUCCGGCCGCCGACAGCAAUGGGAUGGUGGAGCACCGGCGGCAAGGGGAAGGGGGCGCACGACCACGAGGCUGGGUCCUCGUCUGGCCGCCGCAGCGCCGCAAGCGAGUCUUCUCCUCCGCGACGGCCUACUCAGGCACCCUUCUCCAUUGCCCCUCCGGACGCCCCGACGCGCUCCCGGCAGUACGUCCACGCGGAUGUGUGCCCUGACGACGAUGACGACAACGGCGGUCCCUGAAGACAUGACGGGCACAACAGCAGCGCGGGGCGGCCCCAUUUUUAUCUAUUUUUUUAAUUAUGUUAAUUAAGGAUUGUGGGUCGUGGGACCGUUAAAUUAUUGAUGUAUAAUUACUAAUGUUUGACUUUAUUUAUAUAUUUUUUUUGUUUUUUUUUGUUUUUCCAAUUUUUUAAUUCCGGAUAAUUUGAUGUGCGGCCACGCGUUGGACACAUCGACCCGGCCACGGACCGAUCCAGACAUGGGCAGGCCAAUUAUCGUCUCAAACGGAUAGAAUUGAGAUCAAACGGACAUUCGGAUGAGGUCACGCGCUGCAAUUGGCGUUAAGGAAGACGAAAUCGAGACAGAACAAGCGGCCAGCAAGCCGACUGAUUUUGGGACGCCUAGCAGCCGGCUACCAACAAAUACACAUGUGUGUCCUAUGAGCACAUCCGAAGGAAUGAACCAACGGAUCUUAAGAUUGAAAGUUCACCACAGACGCAAAUGUUGUAACAGUUCUCGUGCUCUAUUCCGUGAUGACCAUGGAACUAUGGAUGCAUUCGUCGUUUAAUUUAUUCCACUCCAUGGAGAAUAGCGGUUCANNNNNNUCCAUGGAGAAUAGCGGUUCAGCAGAUAACAUCGUUGUGGCACUCUCCAACGGCAGGUGCGUAGCUGCCAACAGGUAUGGAGCACACGUCUACCUCUAGGUAGCUAAGCUAGCUAGGCGAUGUACCCUAGCCUCUGGAGCAGCGCGGAGCGGAGGGCGCCGUCGCCGUCGUCGUCCUGUAGUCCAGCGGGCACGUCGAUGACGACGUCCUGCACCGUCACGCCCUCCAUGCGGUGCACGCACGCGUGCUGCACCUGCAGCUCUAGCGACCGGAGCGCACUCAUCAGCCGCGCCGGCGCGUGCCGGGCUCGUCCCGAGCUCAUCACGCGCACCGCCGCCGCGUCCUUCCCCACCAUCCGCACCUCCACCACAUCGUCGCCAGCCCCGGCGUGGCUGCCUCGGGACGAAGAAGCGGGCCCGUUCGACGCCUCCCACCUAGCGGCGGCCGCCUGCCGGCCCUCCUCCUCGAGCCGCGCGACGCGGGAGCGCAGCUCGGUGAUGUAGGCGACGGCGUCGGCGAGGAGUGAGGCCUUGUCCAUCCGGGACACGGUGGGCACGGCGGCGCGGAGGUCGCAGAAGCGUCGGUUCAGCUUGUCGCGGCGCUGGCGCUCGGCCUCCACGUGGCUGACGGUGAGACCAUCGGGCCGCGGCACGGGCUUCCGCCCACGCCGCUUUGUAGGCGUGGUCGUCGACGCCGGCGGUAGCUCGGAGUCCGGGGAGAGCGACGAGCUCCCGGCAGGCCACAAGAAAUCUACAUCCUCGCUCUUGGCCGGCACUGCGGUGUCGCCGAGCAGCCAUUGCUCGGGGACCUCGCAGGAGGCGAACUCGAGGAGCUGGUGGUGGGACCCUUCGGCGGUAGAGAACUGGGUAGGCGGCGAUGGCGGGAAGAACGGGGAGCACGGCGAUAGCAGCUCGUCCAUGGCCGGCACGCCGCUGUACCCUGUACGUCUCGCUAUGCUAACUGAAGAGCUCGAAGUGGCAAAUUAGCGGCCGGAGAUGUGUGGUGUGGUUUACUGUGGGCGAGUGUCUUAUACAGGUGGCAUAUUUGCAGUUGAGACCUUGCUUACAUGUAGGAGUAUGUGUCAUGUUAAAUGCAUGUAUCUGUCCUUCUCGAUUUUAAUUCCCUCUCGCGAAAAACAUGUCCCUUUGGGAUUAGAAGUACGAAAGAGAUUGGAAGUUUGGAACCAAUAGCUAAGGCUAUCUCCAAUGUAUCGAUGUGCUAAGCACAUUAAAAGACUUAGCAACUAAAACAUAUUGUUGCGAACGGACUAAAUCUGGGUCGUCAAUUAGCAAACCGUCGUUAGGACGUGAUUAGUCACUUAUUAGUCCAAAACGUCGUACGGACGCGUCCGUCCGUACAGGCGUCUUUUUGUACAGACACCUCUUCGCAUGCGUCCCAAACCUUGUAUAUAUAUUUCAGAUCAAUGAAAGAGAGACAGUGAUUCGCACAAUAUUUUGCUUUCGUUGUUUCACACGUUAUCAAGCACUGCUCUGCCAGAAAGAUAAAGAAGAAAUAGAUUUUACGGGAAAAUAAUCCAAUGAAAGAAGAAUUAUGUUUGGUGGACAGUUGUACCACUAACACAAUUUUAAGGGAAAUAAAAUAUUUCCAAACUCUAACUAAGAGAAAAGGGAAUAUUGUGACAAUCGCCGGUCGCGAUGCAUCAAUUAUUGGUUCAGGACGAGCCACACUUGUUCUACCUAUGGGUACUACGAUUGUAAUUGAGGAUGCACUCUUGUAUCCUGAAUCUACACGCACCCUUCUAAGUUUCAAAGACCUCAGAUCAAAUAAUUUUCAUGUGGAAACAAUUUCUGAAAAUAAUUCUGAAUAUUUGCUUUUAACAAAAAGCAAUGGGUUCUGAGAAACAAAUUCUUGAAAAAUUCCCCUCACUUUCAUCUGGAUUAUAUUACAGUUAUAUAAAACCCGUACCACAUGUUGCGUACAAAAUAAUUUUUCAAGACCUUGAUAAAUUCAAGACUUGGCAUGAUCGCCUAGGUCAUCCUGGCAUAGGGAUGAUGAGAAAAAUUAUUGACAAUUCUAUUGGUCACAGCCUUCCAACUAAAAAUUUUCCAAAAUCAUCAGAUUUUGUGUCCACCGCAUGUGCAACUCGAAAAUUAAUUAUAAGACCAUCUUAUCUUAAGGUAAAAAGUGAGUCACUUAACUUUCUUCAACGCAUUCAAGGAGAUAUAUGUGGUCCAAUUCAAUCACUAUCUGGACCUUUUAGAUAUUUCAUGAUGCUCAUAGAUGCAUCUACUAGAUGGUCAGAUGUAUGUCUAUUGUCCACACGAAAUCAUGCUUUUGCCAAGAUAAUUGCUCAAAUUAUCAAAUUAAGAGCAAAUCAUUCUGAAAAUAGGAUAAAAACAAUUCGAAUGGACAAUGCCGCUGAAUUCUCUUCACGAGCAUUCAAUGAAUACUGCAUGGCUAUGGGCAUUCAUUUAGAACAUUCUGUGCCUUAUGUCCAUACUCAAAAUGGUUUGGCUGAGUCUCUCAUCAAAAGAGUAAAAUUAGUUGCUCGACCACUAUUACAGAAUUGUAAUUUACCAGCAUCUUGUUGGGCACAUGCAGUAUUACACGCCGCAGAUCUGAUACAAAUCAGACCAACUGCAUAUCAUACAACCUCCCCACUGCAACAAGUACGUGGCACUCAGCCAAGUAUUUCCCAUCUGCGAAAAUUCGGUUGCGCAGUAUACGUACCGAUAUCACCACCGCAACGUACAUCCAUGGGCCCCCACAAAAAACUAGGGAUCUAUGUGGGUUAUAAUUCUCCGUCAAUUAUUAAAUAUCUUGAACCUCUUACAGGGGACCUGUUUACUGCCGGCUAAGCUGAUUCAAUUUUUGAUGAGGACCAUUUCCCGACAUUAGGGGGAGAAUCAAACCACAAAGAAUACCAGGAAAUAGAUUGGAAUGUAACAGGCAUUCAGUCCUUAGAUCCACGUACUAAAGAAUCUGAAACUGAAGUUCAGAGGAUCAUAGACUUGCAACACAUUGCAAAUAAUUUGCCAGAUGCAUUUACUGACCAUAAAGGUGUCACUAAAUCACAUAUUCCCGCUGUUAAUGCACCAGAACGAGUGGAGGUACCAACUAAAACCACUCAAACCCCAAAUGAGAGUAAGAGGGGGAUAAAUCUGGUUAGCCGGAAUAUAGCUUCUCAAAAGCCUCUGCGGAAACAGAAGAAACCAAAUCCUGUACCAGUAAAUGCAAUUCAACCUCAAGUUGAAGGACACCAACCAGAUGCUCAACAUCUUGAACCUAGCAUAAAUGCGCAUAAAAACAUAAUAGCUGGGACAUCGGAACACCAUGACUCUAUUGUUGUGGGAAAUCACAUAGAGUCUGAAGGUAUAAAAGAAAUUUCCAUAAACUAUAUAGAAUCAGGAGAAUCAUAUAAUCGAGAGACUACAAUUGUCGACAUAUAUUUUGCCUCUGAAAUUGCUGAAACCCUUCAACUGGAUCCAGAACCAAAGACCGUCAGGGAGUGCCUCAAGCGUCCUGAUUGGCCUAAAUGGAAGGAAGCAAUUGAGGCAGAACUGCACUCGCUCAACCAAAGAGAGGUGUUUUCCUCAGUAAUACCUACUCCUCAGAAUGUCUUCCCUGUGGGAGCAAAAUGGGUUUUGUCCGAAAAAGGAACGAAAACAAUGAGGUGGUGAGAUACAAAGCGAGGCUUGUAGCACAAGGGUUCACGCAGAGACCCGGCAUCGAUUAUGAUGAUACAUACUCUCCUGUUAUGAGUGGAAUAACGUUUCGAUACUUAAUAUCUAUGGCAGUACAAAUGAGUUUAUCUAUGCAGUUGAUAGAUGUAGUGACAGCAUACUUAUAUGGGUCACUCAAAUCGGACAUAUAUAUGAAAGUCUCUGAAAGACUUAAAAUGCCGAAUCCAAAAGCAAAUCGCAACGCAUGUUGUGUAAAAUUACAGAAGUCACUAUAUGGCUUAAAACAGUCGGGUAGAAUGUGGUAUAACCGACUAAGUGAGUUCCUUAUUCAGAAAGGCUACUCAAAUAAUGAUGAUUGCCCUUGUGUAUUUAUAAAGAAGUCCUCAAAUGGAUUUUGCAUCAUCUCAGUGUAUGUUGAUGACCUCAAUAUCAUUGGAAGUACAUCUGAUAUCGAAGAAGCACGCAAUCAUCUAAUGGCGGAAUUUGAGAUGAAAGAUUUGGGAAAAACCAAAUUCUGCUUAGGCUUACAGCUUGAGCACCUUCCCUCAGGAAUUUUAGUAUACCAACCUGCUUAUAUUCAAAAGGUUUUGGAAAAAUUUAAUAUGGAUAAAUCAUAUCCAACCAAAACACCCAUGGUUGUCAGAUCCCUUGAUAUGAAUAAAGAUCCUUUUAGACCUUGGGAUAAUGACGAAGAGAUAUUGGGACCUGAGUUCCCAUAUCUCAGUGCCAUUGGUGCGCUAAUGUACCUUGCAAAUUGCACGAGGCCUGAUAUUGCAUUUGCGGUAAAUUUACUAGCUAGACAUAGCGCUACUCCAACAAAACGUCAUUGGAUGGGAGUAAAGAAUAUCCUUACAUAUUUACAUGGCACAAAAAACCUUGGCUUAUUCUAUCACAAAAACCAAGGUAUGACUAUGGUAGGAUAUACUGACGCUGGCUAUCUAUAUGAUCCUCACAAUGCCAGGUCACAGACAGGUUUCGUAUUCUUAUAUGGUGGAACUGCUUUUUCGUGGAAGUCAACAAAACAGACUCUCGUAGCAACUUCCACUAAUCAUUCUGAAAUUAUUGCAUUAUUUGAAGCAUCAAAAGAAUGUGUAUGGCUUCGUAGGAUGAUUAACCACAUUCAAACUACAUGUGGUGUUGGUUCAUUAGGAUCACCAACUAUUAUUUAUGAAGAUAAUGCAGCUUGUAUUGCUCAAAUGCAAAUGGGUUAUAUAAAAAGCAAUAUCACAAAACACAUUUCUCCUAAAUUGUUCUAUCCUCAUGAAUUACAGAAAAAAUGGAGAAAUUGAUAUUUUGCAAACUAAAUCAUGUGACAGUCUAGCAGAUUUGUUCACAAAGUCUUUACCAAAUUCAACGUUCCAGAAAUACAUUCAUGGAAUUGGUAUGAGACGACUUCGUGAUUUGCAAAGUUCAGGGGGAGAAAUCUCCUGAAAAUAUAACCCUUUAAUUAUCAUCAGAUAAUGAAUAUUGUACUCUUUUCCUUUAUGAGUUUUUCCAAGAGGUUUCUCAUAAAAGGUUUUUAACGAGACAAUUAAAUACAAGCAUUGAUGCAUGCCAUAUCAUAUUUCUCCUUAUAUUUUUCCUACUAGGUUUUAAAGGAGUUUUUCAUGGCACAUCUCAUUGCACUCUUUUCAUUAUGAGUUUCUUUGAAAUUUUCUCUCAUAAUGUUUUUAAUGAGGCAAUAUCUUCAUUAAUAUCAUAUGCUAUACUUGCUAUUUUUCCUAUUAAGGUUUUUAAAGGAAAGUAUCUAAAGCAUAUUUAUUGUCCUCUAAAACUCACUAAUAAUUUUCUCCUUCUUUGAAGGUUUUUCUCAUAUGAGUUAUCAAGAGACAAUAAUCACUAUAUGUUGUAUUAUUUUCUCCUUAUAAUUUUUCCCAUUGGGUUUAAAAGGAGUUUUAACAACAUAUCUAUACAUUUCUCCUCAUAUUUUUUUCCCACAGGGUUUUUGGGGGAGAAUCUCAAGAAUUGACUGAUGGAUAUACAAGGAGUUUUCAAUAAUGGAUUACUCAAGAUGGCGUUGUACAAGGGGGAGUGUUGCGAACGGACUAAAUCUGGGCCGUCAAUUAGCAAACCGUCAUUAGGACGUGAUUAGUCAGUUAUUAGUCUAAAACGUCGUACGGAUGCGUCCGUCCGUACAAGCGCCUUUUUGUACAGACGCCUCUUCGCAUGCGUCCCAAACCUUGUAUAUAUAUUUCAGAUCAAUGAAAGAGAGACAGUGAUCCGCACAACAUUUUGCUUUCGUUGUUUCACACAUAUAAGGUUGUCCGUAAUGGGAGUAUCAUAGCUAGUAUCAUGCAUGCGAACUAAGCAAUUUUGAUGAAGUGGCAUAGAAUUAAAUGAAGAAAAAGAAGGUUGAGUAUCAUAUUAUGAUACUGUAUCAUAUUAAAUGAUGUGCUACUAUGUGGCUUGCAUGACAAUAAAUGAACUAUCUUAUGACACUAACAUAUGAUACUAUGCAUUACGGGUGUGGUAUCAUACACUAGUAUUAUAUGCAUAAUACUAGUAUAUGAUACUACCCAUUACAACCAGCCUAAUGCAUAGGUGUUUAACUUGUUGUUGCUAAGUAUCCUUCACUUAAUGAUUUAGGAACUAAAGUUAUUCAUACAUUGGCGUGUUUCUUUCAUUUAAGUGUUUUGUCUAAGUUCAUGCGCUUGGCAUUGUUUCUUCAUGAGGUUACUACACUCAUCUCUUUCCUUUUAAUUAUCUUGCACAUCACAUUUUCCAUCUACAUUGCAGCCUUAGCACCUAUACAAGGUGGAGCACCAGAUGUAGUCAUUUUGCUUUCCGAAGCAGAUGUAGUCAUUUAUAACUUGAUUUCGAUAUACAAAUGGAAAACAUGUAAGAGCAUCACCAACGACGAUCCGCAAACCGUCCGCAUAUGUCCUAAUUGUGUUGUUCGGAUCACGAAAGACAUCCAACGCGGGCCUGUAUCGGUCCGCAAGUCAGUUCGGACGCACUUUCUCCCGCAAACCGGAACCAAAUGGGAGACUUUGCUGGAGUACGAACACACGAAACUUCACUUUUUGCCCCCCUCCCCCGGCCCACCCAAAAGGAAGGCGUGCCCCCUCCCCCGGCCCACCCAAAAGGAAGGCGGAGCACGCGCUUUGUAGCAACCCGCACUGUUUCCGCACAAAAAUCGUCCACUCUCUUCUUCCAUCCCCUGCCGCUCUCCGACUAAUUCCCACUCUUUUGUCCCACCCUCUCCUUCCUUCCGUCGUCGAUGCAUGGAACCACCGGAGAUGGAGGCGUCGGAUGAUCCGAGCAUCACGCUCACCCAAAGAUGAACUCGGCUACGCGGUAGGAUCACCGCGUCAAAGCGAAGGCCGCAAAGGAGGAGAGGAUUAAGAAGCGAUUGGCCACCGGUGGGCUUGGUGGUGGCGUUGUGUGUGGCGGUCGUGAUGGUCAUGGAGGGCGUGGCAGACGUCGCCGGACGAGCACACCCAUGGUACAUACGGCACCGUGGAUGGAGCAUUAUAAGCCUCCAUACUACUACGCCGCCAAGCAUCUCGGAACCCUCUCCGAUAAGGUUCCUUUCAUCAUUGUCGUAAAUGGGAUGUCGUUCUUCUCCGAGUAUUGUUCAUUGCAGCUCGUGUGGGCGCGAACAAUGGUUGGGGAGCAGAUGGAUGACCGCACAUUGUUCGCUACAAUGCCUAGAGCGGAGGAGGGGGUGAAGUACUAUGAUAUGGACACGGAGAGGGUCAACAUGUUGGAAAUAUGCCCUAAAGGCAAUAAUAAAUUGGUUAUUAUUAUAUUUUCUUGUUCAUGAUAGUCGUUUAUUGUCCAUGCUAGAAUUGUAUUGAUUGGAAACUCAAAUACAUGUGUGGAUACAUAGACAACACACUUUCCCUAGUGAGCCUCUGAAGGACUAGCUCGUUGACCAAAGAUGGUCAAGGUUUCCUGAUCGUAGAAUGAGAUGUAGUUUGAUAACGGGAUCACAUCAUUAGGAGAAUGAUGUGAUGGACAAGACCCAAACUAUGAACGUAGCAUAUGAUCGUGUCGUUUAUUGCUACUGUUUUCUGCAUGUCAAAGUAUCUGUUCCUAUGACCAUGAGAUCAUGUAACUCACUGACACCGGAGGAAUGCCUUAUGUGUAUCAAACGUCGCAACGUAAUUGGGUGACUAUAAAGGUGCUCUACAGGUAUCUCCGAAGGUGUCUUUUGGGUUGGCAUGGAUCAAGACUGGGAUUUGUCACUCCCUAGACGUUGCCACCCUACCCUCCUCCCUUAAAAACUUCGGCCUCCACCAAAGGAAGCCGGUAGGCAAUCCCUGCCCAUUAGAUAGCAAACCCUGAUCUUCCCGCUCGUGAGACAAGAGAUCGACAUCCUGGAGCACGGCGUUGGCCCUAGAUGACGACCAUAUAAGAAGCGUAGUGUGGAUUACGGAGCGGCGACACGAGGACGAUGGUGGUCGGGUAGCCGGCGGUGGCCCGAGGAGGUGCCGAGGUUGCGAUGACCUCGUUCUUCGGGCAAGAGGCCAGUCAAGAAGGACAUGUUGUGUCUUGAAGUGAGAGAUUGGCGGUUGAUGAUGCGUAGUAGCAUGGUGGCUAGUAGGCGACCAAGGGGUAGAUGUCUGGUCGAGAUCAAGUCAUUGUGACGUUGUGUGAUGGUAGUGCUGGAGUUUGGUGAUUGGGGCGAGCGUUGAUUUCUUCUUCAUCGGAAGUGGCCUCUGUGAUCAUGAGGGAGAUGUAGAGGCUAGAUUUCGAGAUAGUGAUGUCCUUUCUGAGGCAUGCGGCGGUAUAGGACGCCCCCUCCACCUCUAGAGUCGGUUCGGUCUAUCUCCCUAGGUGCUGCACACGACGACUCUUGUGGAUGUGCUGAGUUAUGCAUGCCACCGCGAGGUGAUACGCACAUCGGCUCAUGCAGAGGCACCAAGUCAUGAUUCUGCGGGCAGGUGCUACACACUCUUGCUCCUAUAGACGCGACAAGUCAUGCAUGUGGCUGCUAUAACGAUGGUGCGAUAGUGAAGGGAGGCGAGACGAAGUGGUGCGUCUUGUCCUUCCGGUACCUUCUCUAGAGAUAACCGGGCAAGGGAUGAUGGUAGAGGCGGCUUCAACACCGAGUAUGCGCACUCCGAUGGAACAUAAGUCCCCUGAUUAGACUAUGUCAACAUGUGACUGCAUUGUGACCUUGCCAAAUAUGUUGGAUCGAAGCUCGGCUUAUGGGACGAAAUUCCGAGACCAAACUAUGUUUGGACUCAUCACUACCGGUGCAUGGAUGCCGCUUCCUUCGUGAAUGAUUAUCUUAGGAGUUGUGUAGUUUGCCUUUGUUCCUGUUUGUUUCCAUAGGGUUAGUGUUUGCUUAGUGUAUGUAAUGUCGUGAGGCAAGCGACCUUUCUUUUUUCUUUCCAAGUCAAAUUUGUUCGGUUGUUGGAGUUUGUUUUAUGAAUGAUAUAUGACAUGUGAUGCAAAACCUAGGGUUAUCCUCCUUUCCUAAAAAAUAUGCACACAUGUAUUAACAUGAUUUUCCGUUUGUCUCUUCUUGAGAGAAGUCUGUUUAUGUGGAGAAAUGUUCAUUGAGAGAUCCUUUAAACAUGUUCAUGUUAUUACACUUGAUAAAUCAUGUGCCGACUCUAAGUCCAUGAUUGGUUUGUUGACACAUGCCGAUAUUUGAAAAUAUUGAAAUGCCAAAUAUUGGCUAACGAUUGCUUAUUUACCCAUUUUUCCCGUCAGCCCCACAAAAAAGUUGCCAGUUUUUGAUAAACUUUGAUUUUUGCCACAUGUCAACAAACCAAUCAUGCUCUAAGUUGAUCGUACGCAUAAGGACUUAGACAUGACAUGGAACUAUACUUUGCACAUAGGUGUGCACUCCUUGUAGCCAAAAGGACAAAAAUGCAUAUACAUUUGGACACGUUACGUACGUGCUUCACGUGUGCGCCCUUUGGCCGGUGCAGUGAGCAUGCGCCCGUACACAGCCCUGAAAGCAUCCGCACGCAAGCGUCUAUGUAGGUGGAAAAGUCAGCGUUCUCUAUCUCCUUCAAAUAUCUGUUGUCACUUGUCAGUUUGUCACGUCCUAGCACCAUCCAUAUAUGGUAUGUGAAAACUUUAAACUAUUUUUUCUGUAUCUAAAUGAUUGUAAUUAAAGAAAACUAAUCUAAGUAUGCUAUUUAAUUACCCAUAAUUUUUCUUAAAGUUAAUCACCGAUAAAUCUUGAAGCUUAGGCCAUUUUCAAUGCAUUGGUGCUAAGAUGAGGUGCUAAGCAUAUUAAAUAGUUUAUCAAUUGAAGUCCACAAUGCAUAGUUGCUUAGUUUAUUGUACUACUAAAGUUUUGCAUAUUUAAUGCUUUUACAACUAAAGUUGUGCAUGCAUUGGUGCAUUUCCUUUAUUUAAUUGGUUUACCUAGUUUCACGCGCUUAACAUUGUUUUUUUCUGGGGUCACCACACUCAUCUCUCUCCUAUUAAUUAACAUGUCACAUCAGAUUUUUUGCCUAUGUGACAGCCUUAACACAUGUACAAGGUGGAGCAUUGGGAGUAGCCUUACCGAUGUGUUGUGCUGCUUUGCUUAGAGCAAGUACAAUAAGGUACAGUCAGCAGGCUGUAAGAAUUAAAAUACUAUAUUUUUGCUGAGUUGGAUGAGAGAGAAGAGGAGAGAGAAGGAAAGCGGGCUCUUCGUGAAGAGUCAGCUGUAGCACGUGCUCCUAGGUGAUUUGUGAGAAUGAAAGAUGGACCAUAUAUGAUAAAAAUAGUACUAUUUUAUAGCUAAUUAUUAUAAAAGCUAGCUAUAAGAUGAGCUAUAAGACUGCUUAUAGCCAGCAGUUGGCUAUACUAUUAAUCAUGCUCUUAGACGCGUAGGGAUAAGAAUGGACACGUUGGACGUUUUGCCAUGUCCGGGAGAGACUGGCCGACUGCAACGAGGAGAUUCGUUGACAUUUCAUUCCGCAAAAGAUAUUCCUUUGGCAUUUCUCCACAUAGAUGGGUGCCAGCAGGGCCAUAGCCCAGCCCGUGCACUCACGUACGUCAAGUGUGGGAAAUGGCCGAACGCAUGAUGCCGUUGCAGCCAACGGGGCGCAGAUAGAGGCCAGGGCAUGCAUGCCGCACUCCGGCGAGCUCGAAGGGACCGGACAAUUGGAGGAGGUCCAGGAGGGACACGUGUAGUAUGGUCCUACAACAGCGCGGCAGGCAAAGGGCCUGGCCUGGUCCUGGUCCUGGUCCAUCGUCCACGCGACGUAGGUCGUGGACCAACAACGUAGUACGACGCUCCGCCCCGGACGGACGUGUUAUCUUUACUAAAUGGCCCCUAAAGGAUUUUAUGUCGCACAUUGACCCUCCAAAAAACUUGUUUCGUCCUCUGAUCCUCACAUUCAUUUCCCGAUCUGCAUCAUAUGGUUCUCCAACGUGUUUAUAUUUUUUAAUUGUUCUAUGCUAUUAUGUUAUUAUUUUAGGAUACUUUUUAUAUUAUUAUUUACCAACUUAUAUUAUUUUUGAGCACUAACUUAUUGACCCGGUGUCUAGUGCCAGUUUCUGUUUUUUUUGUGUGUUUUUUGUUUCACAUAAAUUCCAUAUCGAGCGAAGUUAAAACGCGAUAAAAACUUACGGAGACUAUUUUGGAAUAUAUGUGAAUUUUGGGAGUUAGAAUCAACGCAAGACGAUCCUCAAGGGAGGCACAAGCCAAGAGGGCGCGGUCUGGGAGGGUCGCCCCUCAUGGCUCUGUGUCCACCCCUUAAGUCGGUCGGAGCUUUCUUUUGGCCGCAACAAAGAUAUUUUUUUAAUAAAAAUUCCCUCAAAAAUUAAUUGUGGUCGGAUUUUGGGAUAUCAGGUUAUUGAAGUAACGGUGAAGGGCCAGAAACAAGUCGUGCAAACAGGAGAGAAACACACACAGACACGCACACACACACACACACAUAGAGAGAGAGAGAGAUCCAAUCCCGGAGGGGCUGCUGCCCUCCGGGUCCCAUGGCGGCCUUGGACCAGAGGAGAAACCCUCCUCCCACCUAGGGAGGAGGCCAAGGAAGAAGAAGAAGAAGAAGGAGGAGGAGGGGGCUCUCUCCCCUCUCUCCCGAUGGCACCGGAGAGCUGCCGGGGUAACCCUCGUGACGGGGGUCCACACCAACAACUUCGCCGCCGUCACCACCAACUCUCUCCUCCUCUAUGCGAUGGUGUAAAAUCUCUCUUCCUUGUUGUAAUCUCUACUUGAACAUGGUGCUUAAUGCUAUAUAUUAUUAUCCAAUGAUGUGUGGCUAUCCUAUGAUGUUUGAGUAGAUUCCUUUUUGUCCUACGGGUUAAUUGUGAUAUGAUGUUAUUGAUAUGAAUCGUGUGUUGAUAUGAUGCUAUCCUAAGGUGUUUUCCGUUAGGCGCACACUUGAAAGAUUCACGCUGGAGGGUUUGCAAUAUAUUCUUGAUUCGCUUAUAGUGGGUAGCUAGAGUGACAAAAUCUUACACCUGAGUAAGGAAGUUGUGCGCAUGUGGAAGUAAAGAGGACUUGAUGUUUAAUGCUAUGGUUGGGUUUACCUUAAUGGUUUCUAGUAGUUGUGGAUGCUUGUUAGAGGCCCAAUUGUAAGUGCAAAUGAUCCAAGUACGGAAAGUGUGCUAGCGUAUGCCUCUCCCUCAUUGCAUAUGAUAUGUAUCUAUUAUGUUAUAUUCAAUUGCCUAUUGACAAUCUUCCUAUUGCGUUGUAGAGAAAAUCUGUCUACUAAAUAGCCCCUUACUUUUAUUCACUUGCUCUUUUUUUUCUUGCAAAACUAUCUAUUUCACCUAGUAAGUACUUCUAGUCUCCUUCCCGAAAAAUAGGUUCAUACUUGUUCUAGAUAAAGUAAGCGUUAGCGUGCGUAGAAUUGUAUCAGUGGUCGAUAGAACUUGAGAGAAUAUUAAUUCUACCUUUAGCUCCUUAUUGAGCUCGGCACUUACUUAUCGAAAAAGACUACAAACGAUCCCUUACACUUGUGGGUUAUCAAGACCCUUUUCUGGGGUCAUUGUCGGUGAGAAAUAGCGUAGUGGUCGAUAUUCUCGUGUGCUUGUUUUCUUUAUCACAAAGUAAUUUUUAUUUUCUGUUAUUGAUUGUUUUAUAUCUUUAGUUAUGGACAUGGAACACAAAACACCCAAAAAAAUAGUUAUACUUGCUACUCAUGGAGAUGGGGAACCUCCUAAAAUUCUCGAUGCUAGUUAUGUGAAACACAUUAAUUACUGCUUUGAUAAUACUGAGAAAUCCUCAUUCAACUUGAUAAUUGGAGACACGUUGGAUCAGCGUGAGUACUUUAGGGAUUAUCAUUUGUCUCAAAAAGGAAAACACUUAUGGGAUCAAAUUAAAAUGUUGCGUUGGUAUGUUUGGGAUUUAUGCGUGAUAAGUGAUUAUACUUGUUGCUCUAAAAGCAAGGGUCUAAACCUUCCCUUUCAAUGUAAAUUUAAUGAUAAUAGAACCAUAGACUCUUAUGCUAAUGGUAUAUAUGAUUACUAUGAUGUGAACAAAAUAAAAGAAUUUGUUGCCUUUAAGGGUGCAUAUUAAAUUGCUUCUUUGAUUGGAAAGUAUGAUGAUAUUCCUUAUAAAUCUGAAAAUUUUGACAUACUUAAAUAUUGCUAUGAGAAUUAUGAAUAAAAUGUUGGUAUUAAUGAAUUUCUUGAAAGAAUGACCGUUGCCUUGGAAUAGAUUAACAUUUUGCAGGAAUCUAUGGAAGAAGAAAUUGUUGAAUCUCUGAGCUCAUUAGAUGAAAAAGAUGACGAGGAGAGCGAAGAGAGGGAGGGUUGCAGCACCCAAUGCCACAGCACGGCCUCUCCCUCUCCCUAUAGAUCGUCUCUUCCUCUAGAUAUUCCGGUAGUGCUUGGCGAAGCCCUGUCGGGACAGCAACAUCACCAUCACCGUCAUAUCGUCGCGCUGCCAGGGGACUCAUCUACCACUCCGCCCUCGCUUUCUGGAUCGAGAAGGAGAAUACGUCAUCGGGUUGUACGUGUGCUGAAUGCGGAGGUGCCGUCAGUUCGAAACUUGAUCGGGAGUUUGCGGGACAGAUCGUGAUAGGAUCGCGAAGACGUUCGACUACAUCAACCGUGUUUCUUAACGCUUUCGCUCAGCGAUCUACAAGGGUAUGUAGAUUCAAUCUCUCCUCUUGUAGAUGUGCGUCUCCUAGAUUGAUCUUGGUAAGCGUAGGAAUUUUUUUGUUUCCUAUGCAACGUUCCCCAACACUUCUAUCUGUGUUAACAUGGGAAAUCUCACAAACACAUUAGUCCCUCAACCACGUUUGUCUUCAAUACUCCAAAACCAACAAGUGGUGGAACUAGAUGCACUUACGAUCUCCCCCUUUUUGGUCACUGGUGACAAACUGGCUGAAGUUUUCAACGGGGAUAAGAAUAUGUGAAGAUAAAUACUUGGAGAUUAUGAGAGCUCUCCCUCAAGAUGUUCUUAUGAAGGUUUUUCUUUGAAUGCAAAAGCACAUGGUAGGUUGUAGUUAGUGGAUAUCUCCUCCUAUAUCUUGGAAUCCAUUCACUAUGCAUUUUAAAGGUUUCAUGAAGAUUCUGUAAUGCAUAAUGAAAAAUAGGCAUCUGCUGAAUGACUUCAGACGCAUAUGAUAAGAUAUGGAAUAGCGCCAAAGAUACGAUAAACAUAGAAUAUGAAGACGUCCAUCAAGACUUAAGUUUUACAACCCAAAAGUGCAAUUGUUCAGAACAAGAGUUCUAAACUUAACAAAAUAGCAGCACCCAACCCUUAUAGACCCAUUCGAAUACUAUCAAUCCAAUGCUUCUCCCCCUUUGUCAUGGGAUGACCAAAAAGGGCGAAGACAUUGGGAACUACUCGUCCCCAGCUUGUGAAUACGUUGGUGCAGCAGGGUCAUCAAAGGUUGGUGCAGGUUCGCCUGGUUUAGUGUCGAUGCGAUCUGUUGGUGCAACAGGGGAAGUACAUCAUCAGUGUCAUUGUUUGCAAGAUUGGUAUGACCGGAUACUGCUGAAGAAGAGUAGUAACUUUAUUCGAUGGAUGGUGUCUUGCAUCAUUUCUCCGUACGAGGAGGAGGGGCACAAAAUUUGAAGUAUUUUUCAUAGCCAUCCUCACGAAGAUCUUCCUCCGGAGACAUGAGAGUCAAUUUCUUCCAAGAAUGCCUACAAGUUUCAUGUGCAACAAAGAUAUUCUUGGUGGAGAGGUUGCGAAUGCGAUUGAUAUCUGUUGCCAUAGAGUGCAUUUGUCUUCGCGUCACUCAUGGUGACAAUCCUACUUUUGUAUGAGCGAAACAAGAAGCUCUUGAUUAGUCAUAGCAUGUUCCCGUCUGGGUUGGGGAUGUUGAGGCAGAGUGCUAGCAGUGGCUUCAGUUGAGGUGGCACUUGGUUGUGGUUGACGGAAUGUGCCAAUCAGUCUUGCCUUGACAGGAUCACAAGGAAUGUGAAGCCCUUCAAUAUGUGUGGUGCCACUAGUGCCUUCAAUAAUGGGAUUCUUGCCCUUGGAUGGAUAAAUGUCUUUGUGUCUGACUUCCACAUCCAGAAGAUAUAUUCCAUGAUUAUGAGCGGAGGGUAGAAACCUUGUAUUUGUUAUGCGCUUAAUGAAGUGCAUGAUCCAUGGUGCAUAGAUCUUGAGUUCAGAGAUUGAUGCUAUUGGCAGCCAGGGUUCUCAAAAAUAAGUCUUGAAGAUUGAACCUGAUGCCAUAGACGACAUUGUAGAUCAACGUCUUCAAUGCCCCUUAAACCUUGCUUGAAGAAUAAUGUCAUUUGAUUGGCCAUAUGGUGUGACAAAGAAUAUGGUAGAUAGUCUUUGGUAGAUAUUGAAGAUCAUCAACAAAGAAUGUUGUGGGCAAGUCCGCAUCUGGGUCUAAAGGUGAAAGGACGUGGAUGUCGCCUAGAGGGGGGGUGAAUAGGCGCUUUAAAAUAAUUAAGGUUUAGGCUUGAACAAAUGCGGAAUAAAACUAACGUUUAAUAUGUCAAGCACAAAACCUCAAACAACUAGGCUCACCUAUGUGCACCAACAACUUAUGCUAAGCAAGAUAAACAACUAAGUGAUAGCAAGAUCUAUGACAAGAGACAAUAUGGCUAUCACAAAGUAAAGUGCAUAAGUAAAGGGUUCGGGUAAGAGAUAACCGAGGCACUCGGAGACGAUGAUGUAUCCCGAAGUUCACACCCUUGCGGAUGCUAAUCUCCGUUGGAGCGGUGUGGAGGCACAAUGCUCCCCAAGAUGCCACUAAGGCCACCGUAAUCUCCUCACGCCCUCGCACAAUGCAAGAUCCCGUGAUUCCACUAAGGGACCCUUGAGGGCGGUCACCGAACCCGUACAAAUUGCAAACCUUGGGGGCGGUCACCGAACCCGUACACGUGGCAACCCUUGGGGGCGGUUACCGGUACCCGUACAAAUUGCUCGGGGCAAUCUCCACAACCUAAUUGGAGACCCCGACGCUUGCCCGGAGCUUCACACCACAAUGAUUGAGCUUCGAGACACCACCAAGCUUCUAGGACACCAAAGCAUCCACGAAGAACAAUAUCUAUGGUACUAAGUACCAAAGGUAAUAAGCUUCUCAAACUUCACUUCCACGUAUCACCGUGGAGAACUCAAACCGAUGCAACCAAUGCAAUGGCAAGAACACACGAAGUGGUCAAGUCCCUCACACUCAAAUCCCUCCACAACAACGAAAGCUAUGGAGAAAUAUGAGAGGAAGAACAAGGAGCUCACAAAGAACUCCAAGAUCUAGAUCCAAGGGGUUCCCCUCACAUAGAGGAGAAAGUGAUUGGUGGAGAUGUGGAUCUAGAUCUCCUCUCUCUUUUCCCUCAAGAACAAGCAAGAAUCAUUGGAGGGAUUGAGAGUAAGCAAGCUCUAAGAAUGUCAACAAUGGAGGUAGAACAAGAGCUCAACGGAUGGAUAAGGCCAAGGGGCAAGAAGACCCCCUUUAUAUAGUGGGGGAAGGAAUCAGACCGUUACCCCCACUUACAACCCGAGUCCAGCGGUACUACCGCUGACCCUGCAGAGGUACUACCGCUGAGCCCAUGGUAGCGCAAAGAUACUACCGGGCCAAUCACCGCCAAGAAAGUCUUCGCAAAAAGGUCCGACGAAGUACAGCCGCUAGGAAGGCCGUACUAAGCUCCUGGAGCGGUACUACCGCUGACCAGGGGCGGUACUACCGCCAGCACAGCGGUACUACCGCCAGCUCUAGCGGUACUACCGCCAGCUCUAGCGGUACUACCGCUAGGGCCAGCGGUACUACCGCUCGCCACUGAAACAACCAUAACUUUCGCAUACGAGCUCCGAAUCGAGCAAACCCAAGCUUGUUGAAUUAAGACCAUGCUGAUAUGAAAAUGCCAAUGAUCUAGAGAUGUGAGACCUCUAUAAAUGAAGAACCGGCAAAAACUCCAACAUCGAAAACAUCAUAGUAGUUGCAUAUGGACUCCGUUUUUGAUGAACUCGAGCUUGUCAUGAAGAUGACCAUAAGCUCUAAAACUCACAAAGAGAAACACCAAAUAAGAACCAAGAAGUAUGAUGCAAGGAUGCAAAUGGUUUGAGCUCUCAACGAACGAUACGAUCAAGCUAAUCACUUGAGAGCCCCCUUGACAGUACAUCAUUCUAUCCUAAACAGAAAACCUAUCAAGGGAAAACCUAUACCUUGCACCUCAAUCUCUUGAGCUAGAUGAUGAUGAUCUUGGCUUCCUCAAGAUGGACCACCUUUCUUGAUUGCGUUGGCUUGAUGAAGACUAGGUUAUUGCUCCCCCAUACUCACUAUGGAUGAGCCACUCUUCAACAUACCUUCACAAGUCCAUUGCCACCACAAUGGACGGCAAGCUUCAAGCACGAUAUAUUCGUGUUGAUCCUCUUGAACUUGCACACCGCAAUCUUGAUGACGAUCACCACUUGACGUCAUCCUUCAUGGGUUGUAUGAGAUCUUCAUUUUGACACAAGCCCAUGGAAACACACCUAACCCACACAUAGAACUCUCACGAAGACCAUGGGUUAGUACACAAACACGUAAUGGAUAAUGCUUACCAUACCAUGGGAUCACUUGAUCCCUCUCGGUACAUCUUGUACGCUUUGUGUGUUGAUCAUCUUGAUUUACUCUUUGUCUGAGAUCUUGAUCAACCUUGUGUCUCUAUGACCAUUCUUUGGAUAAUACCUUGAAUACCACCUUGGUCAUCAUAUAAACUCCUUGAACCCAACAGAUGGACUUCAAUAAGUGCCUAUGGACAAAUCCUAUAAAUAUAACUUAAGGCAACCAUUAGUCCAUAGGAAUUGUCAUCAAUUACCAAAACCACAUAUGGAGAUAUAUGCUCUAACAAAAGGCUUCAUAAGUGUCAAAAUUUCAGACAUGUUAGGCUCACGCAUUUGAAAGAUGCUUCUUAUGGCUUCUUCAUAGGUGGGAGAUUUUGGAUCAAGAUCUUAGCCUGAUGCAGCAAGUGGAGUGGUGGCAAAGAAUUACAUAGCAAGAGCUUUCACAUGCCCAUCAUGGAUCAUGAAAUCCAUAACCCAUGUCUUCAGAUCUCAUCCAUAGCCAAAGAUGUGGAGAGUUGCAUAAAAUUGAAGAAUUGGUUCUUAAUUCCAAUCUUCAUGAUCAACAGCAAACGACAACAAUCCAACAUCUCAAAGACAAUUGAAGGCCUGGUCAAAACAAGGAAGACCACUCAUGGCUUCCAUGCUGAGAUGCUUGGGGGGAUCCUUUUUGGUCAUAUAGCACACAUGUAUAAUAGGUACGUUGAGGUACACUCCAGAAGUGAUCAGAUUGAAUCUUUAGACGCGUAUAAGGAUUCUUUUUAGAAUCAAGGAAAGUGUUGUCGAGCCGGAAUUCCCUCACGCUAAAGACAAGAGGACGUGUUGUUCCUAGUUGUCAAAGACUUGGAAGCCUAGGCAUUGGAUUCAUAACUUUUGGGCGACGAAAGAUGUUUAAUUCAUAUUGUGGACCCAUUCUGUUGGGUGGUGAAACAAGCUUGGGCCAUUUUGUUGGCACCAUCUCUCCCGCCCUAUUGCGAUCCAUGACAAUAUUGUCAGCAUUGUCGUCGGUCAAUGGCGUAGCACGCACAGGAGAACCAUCAGGGGAUGGAGCAUUGGCUUCUCCAUCAGUAAUCGGUGCUUCUAGAGGUGCAACGGUGUCAUCAGCAGCAAUGUCUUCACAUGCACUCGCUUCGAUCUAAGGUUGUUCACGAGCAACAUGUUCAAGUAUGAGAACUUCAUCGACUGAUGCAGUCAGAGUCACACGCACUUCAUCUUCUGGAAUGAUUUACAUUGAAGAUAUAGGUGGCCUUGGUCCUUUGUGAAUCCUUUUGAGAGGCGAUGCAUGUUCAGUUGUUUCAACUUCCAUGGGAGCAAAUGGGAAUUUAGGAGAUCUUGCCACUAGAGUUGGAAAUGGACUAGGCAGAGUGCUAGGAUUGGCUUCAGGCACGUUUCACCUUAGUGGAGUGCCAAUGUCCACAAAUUCACUGCCUUCAUGCAUUGGCGAUGAUACCAUUGGUGCAUCACGUUGAGGCACAUCAGUUUCUAUUUCAACAUUGUCUUCGGCAGAAGCAACGUUUUCAGCAGGNNNNNNNNNNNNNNNNNNNNNNNNNNNNAGCAGGAUCACCUGCAUUGUCUUCGGUUGCGGUGGUUUCAGCAGCUGGUGCAUCAUCUGUUGUUUGAGCCUUUAUGGUAACAGACUCAUGAAGAACAACUUGCCUCUCGACAUUUUCCUAGGGAUUUUAUCUCAACAAAUUUAAAUAAUCUCUAAAAUAAAUUCUCUUAUGCCACCGAGUAAACAAUUUGAUUAGGGACUAGUAGCGAAGGGAAUUAAAUCAAUAUAAAUUUGUGUUUAAAAGAUAUUAGCAAUCUAGGGUUUUGAGCAAAUUCAAAAUCUACUAUGCAAAUUUUAAAACUUCUGAAUCUAUGCAAAACUUCAUGUUAUUUGUGACAUGUUGCCAAAAGAAUCAACUAAAAACAAUCAAAAACUUAAAAGAUAUUAGCAAAACAAAGUCAUGAACUCCUCUCGAUUUGAAAUAAAGCAAAUAAAACAAAACAAGAAUUAAGUAUCGGCCAGGGGUGAUGUGGCACAUUCCUAUUGUGGCAGCGAAGUGUGCGCGAGAAAGAACACAGCGGCUAACUGAACACUAGCGUGUACCGGUUCGUGAGUUUAAGUGAUCUAAUCUAGAUCGUUCAUUGCAGAUCUGACGGUGGACACGAGAGAGAAGCUUACAACGGCGACGAUGGAGUUCUCCAGCGAGGCAGAUGGCUUGGGGUUGACGGCGAUGGUGCUCCAAUGGUCUUCCGGCAAUGGUGUCAGCUCCAAUCGAUGCACGCGAAGACGAUGGUGAGGUUGGUGGCAUCGGACGGUGUCGGGGCAGACUGCGGCGAGCGGCACGAGCUCAACGGGCUUCGGGCAUGGCAAAAACUAUGACGAGAUGUUGGGGUGGCAGUGGAGCAUGGAGGAAGGGUUUUAGGGAGGAAUCGGGUGCGGGAGGUCGGGGCUUUAUAGGAGAGGCAUUUGGUGGGGUCAAACGGAACGGGAGCGGCGAGAUGGAUCAGAUCCGGAGAUACGUCGGAAAGGGAAGGUGAGGUCGGGUAAAGGAAGGCGCUGACCGAGGGGGGUUCGGGUCGGGCAGGUGGGGUCGGUGCGCGAGAGGUAGGUGACCGAUUCGUUCGCGAUUCGGAUCCGAUCAGAGAGAAAAUGAAAAAUAAAGCAAAGAAAGUAUAUAUAAUAUAUACCUAUUAUAUAUCAACAAGUUCAGAAAAAAUAGCUCUACAACAUGAACAUAUUUUCAAGAAUUUUUGAAAUACUUAAUAUUUUUUUCCAAAAUUCAAAAAUGUCGUUGAUCCAAAGAUCAAAUAUUUUCCAAACAUUUUUCUGAGUUUGUAAAUUCAAAUGAAAUCAAAUUUGCCCCUGGUUUUGAGUGUGAUGUUUCUCCUCUCUUUAUUUUUAAUAUGAUCAUGUGCAUUUGAAUUUAUUCCAAUUCAAAAAUUGAAAUGGAUCGAAUUUGCAAAUGGAAAUACUCCAAAUGGAAACUUUUAAGAACUUUCAAAUCCCAUUUCAAAUUCUUCCAUUGAAGAAGUCGUGUCAUAUUCUCUCUAUGAUUUUAAAUUUGAAUUGGAUUUGAAUUCAAAAGCAAGGAAGAAAGUUUUGGGAAAGUCAUUUUAUCCCCUCUCUUCUAUUUUCCAAAAGUUUUCAAAUUCACUCAGUUUCACACAAUAAUUCAGACAAUCAAUCAAUAUAGUUCAUUUAAUAUGACAUUCCAAAAUUUAGAAUUUUGGGACGUUACACGCAAUCCUUCAAUGUUUUGCACCCAGAUGUCUCCUCAUUUCGCUUAGUGCUACAGAUAUAAAUGGUUGGUGGAACAAGAUCUCCGGGAAGUGGAAACGCAAAACUGGCCCAUGAUGAUAACUCGGUGGCGGCUUGCAUUGCUUAAAACCACUGGAAAGGGAGGAAUCACGGAAUUUUGAGAGGAAGGGGGUAAACCAUCCUUGGUUUGUGAAGCAUCAUAAUUUUUCUUGAAAGGAUUUAUCUGCUUGAUCUACUCCCUUUAACAGUGCGUUAUCCAAGAUGGGAUUUAUUUUCCAAGCGAAUGAGAUAAUUGUCCCCGGUUUGCGUAGCAUGAUGAAAUUUUUUUAGACACACGAAGCAUAAUGAUCUAAGCCUCCUGGACAAGCCCGUUGGAGACAUGGCCCUUAAUCUUCGUGCAGUCCAGACCCAGUUGCACCUUUGCAACAUCUGUUUUACACUGUUUCCCUCUUCUUAAUCGGGAAGCAGAACAUUUGCUGCGCUUGUGAAAAAAUUAUAUCCGGAUCACUACAUGGGUAGUGGUUCAGCAAGAUCCACCUUCAAUUUCACUGACUGAUAAAUAUGCUAGGACAAAAGAAACUGCUUACUGUUCCUCGUGAAGAAACGAUGUAGUUUAUGGAGUAUGUACGAGUCUUCCCAGAUUUUGCGUUUCCAUACAUAUAUUACGACCAAAAGGGUGCAACACGGCCACUUUUAUAACCGGAUGAGCACUUGUCCGUUGUCACCAAGUUCCCAUCGAUCUUUCGUACCUGGACCCGAGUGGCCUGGACGCUGCAGCUGAAGAACACUGUACCGAGUUUCAGACGGUGCCUCUGAGUCGAACAUUGUGUGGACCUGGCACGGCGCCUCAUCCCAUCAGACAAGGAGGCACCCGUAUCUUUCCGCAUUGUACAUACGAAUUGUAAGGCAGAAGCUGUGCUGGUGCUGGUGCUGGUGCUGCUCUAGCUCUACCCUGUGCACAAAGCCAUGCUACAGUGACAGAAUUCCUCUGCGCAUCAAGCAUUCCUGNNNNNNNNNNNNNNNNNNNNNNNNUCAAGCAUUCCUGCACGGCCAAGGUUUUAAAUUAUGUACUCUCACCAUCAUGGCCCAUGAAUUGGUUGUUCGGUUCGCCCGACAAACAAACCAACCAACAAGACGUAGUACUUGCUGGUCAGACAGAAACGGGCGUGUCCAUUAAAUCCUCUCGGAAAAGGAGUAUUUUUGAAGAAAAAAAAAGGUAAGCAACUCGCACGGGGUGAACUGAAGAUAACACUGGCAAGAGUUAGAGUAGCAACGAACUGACAAGGAAAAACAGACAAGGAUUCAGUACAACAGCAAGAGUUCCGCGUGGUAAAAAGGUCUCAGAAGUCUCAUGCUACAGUAGGCAAGUUGUGCUAGGUUUCCAUGGAACACUUGCCACAGAAGAGAUUUGAUUCUAGAUCUUACCCUCCCAGAGGCACUCAGGGGAGGGGCCGCCGUUGUUGCGGUUGUUUCCAGAGGCGGCGCGCGCUAGGAGAUCACCAAGGUGGGGCGGUGGCUGGAGGCCCAUGGCGGAAGCACGCUCCCAGCGCUGAAGCCUGUUCACACCGAUGCAUGGGCCAAACUUCAUGUCCAUGUCAAACUGCCGCAGCUGCUCCUCUUGCUCACUGAAAUCAUCUGCAGCAUCAUAAGCAAGAGUUAUUGUUUGCAAACAUAAAGCACUUGUGAGUUUAAACUGUAUGCAUAACAAUCUCUCCAGCGGGUACCUUUGAGGUCAAAGGAUCCGUGAGAAAUUAGUGCUGCUGUCUGAGCCUUAUUCGAGGCCCCAACAGAGGCCCCUCCAGUAUAAUUCUGUGGUUUCUUCUUAGAAGAUGCUGAAGUUUUGCCGGCACCUCCUUUCUUCUUCUGCCGGUAGAAAUCUUUCACGCCAGUAGAAGCCAUUCUUGUCUAUUAUUCAGUCCUACCUGUGUUUUCCUGUCAAAGACCCCCAACGGAAACUUAAAAUCACUUCUGCUGUAGCUUUUGUGUUUCAUUUGCAUUUUAUUCAUUUCACCACAAAGAAUGCUAUGAGCUAUAAUAAGUACGAUGUGAACAUGACAACAGCAGAAACCUUUCAUGGUUUGUUCAUAGGUCUUACAUAGCCAAGUCCUUAUUCCCGAACACUAACGACCCAAUUUAAUAGAAGGAAUCUGAUAGCUGACGUUGUUCUAUCUACGAGAAUAUCAGUUUUUCUGUGACGACUUGUAAACGGCAUACAGUAUGAUUUAAGACUACGAUAAACUAGGUGCGAAACAGUUACUGCAAGAAGCAGCAACUACCAAGUAAUAUUUGCACAUAGGUUGUAAGACAUUAACCCAGCCAGUUCAAGAGUAAAUAGUCCGUUUGCCUGCCAACGUCAGAACAAAUGGAGCAAUCAUCUGACAAAAACAUGGAGCAUAAAUAAAACAGCAAGCAGGCAUGAAGAGAAGACAUAAAGCAUCAUUGUUCCCCAUCAGCAUAUAGUAUACCGACGACAACCAAACUACAAAAGGCCUACCUAUCUCUGUCAUUUCAAGGUCUAUUAAGCAGUGAGUUUAAGACACUGAAAUGCAUUGAUACAAGAGACACAUCUUGGUUCUUGAAACUCUGUAAAACAAAAACUCAUACUACUAACUAGUUAUGCCCAUGGUCAGCCACCGAACCCGAUGCUCCAAAACCAGAAUUGGCACUCUAGUGGAGAUGUCAUUUGUUCUACUUCCAUCACCCCCUGGGCUUAAAUACACAUAAUGUGCUCUUCUCUUAAGAACACCCCACCCCCCCCCCNNNNNNNNNNNNNNNNNNNNNNNNNNNNNNNNAAGAACCCCCCCCCCCCCCCCCCCUCCCUCCCUCUGGAAAAUCGGCCAAAAAGAGAGGCAAAACGAUACUAAUAAAACACAAUGAUAGCGGCUACUCCCCUUGCAAAUCUGAGGCUGUACCUCCAACUCCAGGCGGUCGCUCAACCAUUACAGUGUACAAAACCUAUCCCAAUCCCUUCCUGGUAAAGAAAUGUAUCCCCUAGACCUAGAAUCUCCCUCCCUCGAACUUGCCGCUGCGGUACAAAAUUAGGCGGUGAACGGCUGGGUUCUACGCAGGGAGGAACUCGGAAGUUGAUUGGAUGGAGCGGAGGGCGUACCAGGGGAGGCGGCGGAGCGGACCGAGCGGAGAGCCGGAGAACGGCGGCGAGGUCAGGUCGGUAGCGAAUCAGGUCUUCGCCUCUUUCGCGUUUGACUACGACGAUACUACAGUACUACUUUGUAUCGUGGCGUAAGAUAUGUAACGUAAACAUGCUGGCCCAGCGACGGCCCAUCAAGUCAGUGGGCGCUUAUAAACCAGACGUAGGGCAACCCAUCAAGUCGGGAAUUCCUACCUGCCGCUCGCUGCGGCAGGGGGUCGCUCCCAAGCACACGCAGGCGUCCUACUGGGCCUGCCCAUCUUUUUUUCUAAAGAAAAACGAUAAUUUCCUUUUUCAUUUCUUUUUUACUGUUUCUUCUUUCCUUUACUGCUUUUCCGCACCUUUUUUGGCUCCUUUUUCUUCCCGUUUCCUUUUUUAUUUUUGUAUCAAAACGAACAAAUGUUCAAUUUCUCAAUCUUUUUUUGAAAUACUAAAUGAUUUUUAAAUCAGAGAACAAAAAAUAAGGAGCUUUAUUUUUUGAAAAGUCAUGAACAAAUUUGGAGACGCGGACAAUUUUCUAAAGCAUGAACAUUUUUUGAAUCUUGAUAAAGUUUUUUGAAACAGAGAACAAUUUUGAAAAAACACAAACAAAUUGAAAGCACGACAUUUUUUGAAUUUUUAGAAGAAACAAAUUAAAGCACAAACAUUUUUUGAAUCUUGAGAACAAAAUUUUCAAAAAUAUAACAAUUUUGACAAACCCCAAACAAAUUUGAAAGCGCAAAUAAAGUUUUCAAGCACAAACAUCUUUUGAAUUUCUAGAACAAAUUUUGAAAUCAAAAACAAAAAUGAAAAAUCGUGAACAUAUUUGAAAGCGUGAAUAAAUUUUUUAAAGCAUGCCCAUUAUUUGAAUUUUGAGAUCAAAAUUUUGAAAUGAAGAACAAUUUUGAAAAACUCCGAACAAAUUUGGAAGCGCGAACAAUAUUUUCAAGCACAAACAUUUCCUGAAUCUUGAGAACAAAAUUUUGAAAUGGAGAACAUAUUUGAAAAACCCCGAACAAAUUUGGAAGCGCGAACAAUAUUUUCAAGCACAAACAUUUCCUGAAUCUUGAGAACAAAAUUUUGAAAUGGAGAACAUAUUUGAAAAACCCCGAACAAAUUUGGAAGCGCGAACAAAUUUUUAAAGCACGAACAUUGUUUGAAUUUUGAGGAGUUUCGAAACCAAUAACAAUUCUCAAAAAUCCUGAACUAAUUUGAAAGCGCAGACAAUUUUUUAAAGCACGAACAUUUUUUGAAUAUUAAUAACAAAUUUGAAUCUCAAGAAGAAAAUUUGAAGAAGUUUUCAAGUUGUGUACAAAUUUUGAGAAAAGAGAAACAUUCUCCAUAAAACAGGAACAUUUUUAUAAAAAAGUGAAAACAAUAACAUUUUCUGAAAACACAGACCAAUUUAAGAAAAAAUGAACUUUUUAAAAAAAACGAGCAAUUUUUUUUAAUACGAGAACAACUUUUGAAACACGAACACUUUUAAAAAUAUGAACACAUUUUGAAAGCAAGACGAAUUUUUGAAGCGCAAACAAUUAAAUAUAAAUAUUGAAAACGGGAACGUUUUUUGAAAUUCAAAACAAAUAUUAGAAAAUGUCAAACACAAAUAUAGGAAAAGGAAAAAAGGAAUAAAAGUGAAUGAAAUAAUGAAUACCAAAACAAAUAACAUUUUCUAAAAUUCGAAUAAUUGUUCUGAAAAUGUCGAACAUUUUUUUCAAAUCGCGAAAAAAAAUAGAAUUUAGAAAUGUUUUUGAAAAAUGGAAUUUUUUUACAAUUCCGAUUUUUUCUAUAAAAUUAAGAACAUUUUCUGAAUUUCAACAACAAUUAUCAAACAUGAACUUACUUUAAAAAAUAACCAUAGAAAAAAUGAGAAACAGAAAAAAGGACAAAAAAAGGGGGAAACGAAACAGAAAAAAGGACAAAAAAAAAAGCAAAAGAGGAACUGCCUGCAGAGGGAGAUGGGCCUCAAUGUGGUGAUUAAAGUAAUUAUAUUUCCAUUCCUCAAUGUGGUGAUUGAAAUAAUUAUAUUUCCAUUCCUUUGCUCACUUUUUUCCAACUGUUACAAUUAUCCUUGAUACCUAUAGAAAAGAUACAUUGGUCUAAAGAGUUUUGUGCAUUGUAAUAUUUGCACACAAUGUGUCUUCGUACCCACAGUAUACUAGGAUAUGAUUCCUGACUUGUUCACAUGCCACAAAUCUAAUUUUGAUUGUUUACAAUUAUCGGUGUUAAUGAUGCUUGUUCUUGUAAUUGACAUAAAGAAAGAAAAAUAUUAGUGUAGAUUCAUUGAUCUUAGAGUUCAAGAUUUAUGUUAGAAAUUGAAUGUGUCCUCGUUAAGAGGAGUUAAUCGUGUCCUUGUUGGGUUCGACACUCUUACUCAUCGAAAGGACUACGAUAGAUCCCCUGUAAUUAUGGGUCAUCAGGGACCCACAUGAACGUGGGUAGGCCCCACACCCCUAGUCAAGGUGCACCAAGAUCCCCCCUUAGAAGGAAUAAGAUCAUAUCCCGAAGGGAUAAGAUCAAGAUCCCUAAAAAAGGGGGAUAACAAUCGGUGGGGAAGGGAAAGGAUGGGACUUCUUUCCUCCCACAUUUGCCAACGCCCCAAUGGACUUGGAGGGCAAGAAACCGACCCCCUCCACCCCUAUAUAUAGUGGGAAGGCGCAUGGGAGCUUAACCCUAGCCCCUGGCGCAGCCCUCCCCCUCCUACACCUCCUCCUGCUCCAUAGUGCUUAGCAAAGCUGUGCCGGAGAACCACGAGCUCUACCGCCACCACACCGUCGUGCUGCCGGAGUUCUCCCACAACUUCUCCUCUCCCCUUGUUGGAUGAAGAAGGAGGAGACGUCCCCGGGUUGUACAUGUGUUGAACGCGGAGGCGCCGUUCGUUUGACGCUUGGAUCGGAUCUUCUGCGAUUUGGAUCAUCAUGAGUACAACUCCAUCAACAGCGUUCUUUGCAACGCUUCCGCUUAGCGAUCUUCAAGGGUAUAAAGAUGCACUCCCUCUCUCUCGUUGCUAGCAUCUCCUAGAUUGAUCUUGGUGACACAUAGGAUUUUUUUUGAAUUAUUACUACGUUCCCCAACAACUACCGCCAAAGAGUAGUAGUAAAAAACUACUACCACUCUUCCUACGGUACUAACGCUGGCACUAGCGGUACUACCGCUGUAAGUGCAUCUAGUGCGCCUUAGUGAUUUUGGUGGUUUGAAGACUUAUAGGUUAAGUAUCUAAUGUGUUUACGAGUGUACACAGGAUCUAUAAGUCACUGAGGAGUUUGAAAUAUUUGAGGAAUAUCGACCCCUAAAAAUGUAUAUCUUCGGUUGAAGAAAUUGGUCUAAAGCUGAAAAAUUGAAUCGCGAAGAAUCCGCGAUGAAAUUGAUAUUCCUCAUGAAGAUAUUGAAAUUGAGGAAUUCGGUGUGUCCUAAAGAAAAUCAUUCUGAAGACUUUGAAGCAUGAGGAUUUACUCUUUCUGUUUUAUUUUCUUCACACUUGAGUAAUAGGAACACCGUACUGUUAAAGGGGGUCGAAGUUACACUCUGGAAUGAAUUUCUUCAUGAUGCUCAACCCAAGCCUAAUCCUACCAAAAGCCUCAAGUGAGGAAUACGAGUGACAUGAGGACUCUCACAGUUGAGGGUUCCGACCGUUUCGAUAGCCACGCCACAUCAUUGGUCUUAUCCACACCAACGGUCAUAUUAUUUAAGGGCAUUAGUGUCAAAUCAUGUCAGGAUGCUCCCAGGCUAUAAAUAGCCGCCCCCACAACCAUUAGCUGGUUGGCUGCUCUGUUAGAAACUGACACUUGUCAUAAGAGCAACCCAAUUCCUCAGAGUCUUCGAGAGAAAUUUAUCAGUGAGGAAAUACCCCAAACACCAAACCACAAACUUAGAACCAAGUGAUUGAGCAUCACUGAAGAAGUUGUUCGUGUGUGGUACUGAAGCCUUUUACCUUUGAGGACUGUGCAUCCUCCAAACGGUUAGGCGUCAUGGUCUAGAGCAAUCGAGCAGUCAAUUGUGGAUCGCCGGGUGACCAAGUUUGUGAGGGUUUGGAAGUCUGCCCUGAAGACUUACCACGAGUGUUGGGUGAGGGCUGUGUGUUCUUAGCCCAAGGAGAAUACGGUAGGGACUGUGUGUCCCGGGACUGUGUGUCUUUUGGUUUCAAUACCAAACCGCUCCAAACCAGAUGUACGACUGUCAUAGCAGUUGGAACUCGGUCAUCAACUACUGUCUUCGCUGUGAAACGGAUUCUAAUUCCUCAACCCUUUACAUUCCUCAGAUUAUGUGUUGAUGACUUUCACUGUGACUGUUUGAAUAAUUUGCUGAAGACUUUCUCUGAAAUUCCUCAACCCCAAAUUCUUCAAACUAGUUAAUCCUCAUCUAUUUUCUGCCUGCCUGCUCACUGUGCAAUCUGUUUUCACAUUCCUCACACUGAAAAACUAUUGUUGUGAAACUUUGCACUUCUGAUCCUUUACUGUUUCCAAUGUAAGUUAGUCAUUAGUGAGGAAUUUCGUCAAAAGGAAUUUCCUGAGUAAUGAAAUUCUAAAAAUCUCCUAUUCACCCCCCUCUAGUCGAUAUAACGCACUUUCAACCGCUGGACACAGAAACUGCCAUAACUUUCGCAUAUGAGCUUCGAAUCAAAUGAACUGCAAGCACUGGGAGCUCGAGACAUUACUGAUCACGAAGUUGUGAAGAAACUGCUAAGAUCUUUGGAUUCUUCAUUUGAUACUUUAGUACUGAUGAUUCAAGAAAGACCAGACUACAAGAUGCUUGAUCCAGCUGAUAUACUCGAAAGACUCAAUACUCAUGAAUUCCAUGUAGAAGAAAAGAAAGAUCUAUAUGGACCAAGCUAUUCUAGACCACGUGCACUGAAGACUAGAGCAAUUUCCUCAUCUGAGGAAGAAAAUUCGGAUGAUAGCAUUGGUGACCCUGAAGAAUUUGGACAGGAGCUUGCAAUGCUCGUGAGGAAAUUCCAGAGGUUUACACGACGUGGUCAGUUCGGUAAAUCUUCAAGAAGAGACAUGAGGAAAUCAGAAUCUUCAUCUGAGGACUACAAGAAAAGAACCUGCCACAAAUGCAAGAAAUCAGGUCAUUACAUUGCUGAAUGUCCCCGUUGGGGAAAGGAAUCAAAGAAGAAGAAAUACAAGGAUGACAGUUCUGAUGACUCGUAGAAGAAGAAGAAAUCUUCAAAAUCCUCAUCUUCAAAGCCCUCAUCGCACAAGAAGACUAGUUUCAGAAAGGCUCGGGCACUUAUUGGCAAGGAAAUGGAUUCCGAGGCAGAAUCAGAGGAAUGUGAUGAAGAAGAGGGUUCUGAUGAAGACUCAGAAUCCGGACAGGCUAGUCUUGCACUUGCAACCACUUUCGUGAGCAAGUCAAUCUUCAACCUUGAAGAAGAUGACAACACCAUCCACAGUGAUGACUAUGCUGAUGACUUUGCUCCAACCUAUUGCUUCAUGGCAAAAGGUUCAAAGGUACCGAAUGAUGCUUCCUCCUCUGAUUCAAGUGACUCUGAACCUAAUGAUUAUAAAAAACCCAGUUACAGUAAACUUGCUAUCAUUGCCACUAAACAACAAACUGCCCUGGAAAAGCUUCAGAAACUGCUAGAUAGAAGUGAUGAUCUGUUGAAUGAUGAAAUGAAUCUUACCCAAAUCCUCACUGAAGAUGUGAAAAGUCUUCAGUCUAGAUUUGAUAAUCUUCAAGAUCGUUAUGAUACCCUCCUCGCUGAUCAUGAAAAACUUUCCUAUGAAUUUAUUCAAAGGAAGCUUGAUCUAGAGAAGUUGAGGAUUUCUCAUGAUGAUCUUCGUAUAGAAAAUGAUUCAUUUCUAGCUCAACAGAUCAGCGCUGCUCAAGCUGAAUUCAUUCCUCCAUGUCUUAAAUGCAUUGAAUGCGAAACUGCUAAUUCUUCACCAGAAUCAUCAAAUGCUUCUAUUGCUACAAAUUCUUCAACUGCACCUGUAGUGUCACUUGAGGAAAACACAAAUGUUACUGAUGAAAAUGCAGGGUUGAAGGAAUUGUAUGUGACAGGCAUAUACAAAAGCCUCAAAGGACAUCAAACCCUUUGUGAUGUUCUCAAAAAGCAGAUCUUGAACAGGAACCCGAGGAAAGAAGGAAUUGCCUUUGAGAGGAAAUUAAAUGCACAUGGAUCUUAUUGGAAACCUGAGCAGUAUCCAAAAACCUCAUGGGUUGCUGCUACUGGGCCUCCUUUUGAUCCAUCCAAUCUAACUGGCUUUUCAUGUGAAUUAUCCUAUUCCUCACAUGAGUCAUUUGACUCCAACUAUAAACUGUUCAAAUAUCAAUCUGGUGAAGUAUUUGCUCGAUAUGUUGGAACUAACUGCAGGAAUGGCCCUCCUUUGAGGAAAAUCUGGGUUCCCAAAAGUUGUCUUGAAAAUCUUCAGGUGAAUGUCCUCAUGACACCACCAAUGAAGAAUCUGAACCCCAGAUCAAAAUCCUCAGGAGGACCAAAGUCUUCAAGAGGAUCAAAAUCCUCAACUGAUCAAAAUUAUGCUCAUUCCCGUGCUAAUACUUCUAACAUGCAGGGAAACUACAAGGAAUAUGAAUAUGAGCGUUACUCUUCAAAUCAUUAUGUUCGUAAGUCCUCAAACCAGUUCUCUGCAUAUUCAUAUGAGUACUUUAACCCCCCUACUGUUAAGAGAAGUGCAUUAGCUUCAAUGCCACCUUUUUCAUAUGGUACUCGCAGGAUGAUGAAUGCUUUACCACCCCUUCAGAUGUGGAUGGUGAAGAAAUCGAACUAAUCACUUCUGCAGGUCAGGUCUCCACUUGAAAAUCACCAUCUGAAGAAUUUGCUGGAGACCUGAGGAAAUGCUUGAUAGGACGCAAGCUAAUAUUGAUGAAAUAGAAAUAUUUCACACGUCUUUUUUAAUUCUGUUAUGAUGAAAUUCUUAUCUUAUGAAAUUGAUAUCAUAUUCUUCAAAUCUGAAGUGUAUGAGAUGGUAAGCUGUACUAAUUCAUCUACAGGAUGACAAACCCAAGAAUACUGUGUGGGUUCUUGAUAGUGGCUGCACCCAUCACAUGACUGGUGAUAAAAGCUUGCUGAUGAAUAUGCCACUAACUCCAUCACCUCUGAAGCAAAUCACAUAUGCUGACAAAGGUAAAAGCAAGGUAUUGGGACUUGGCAAAGUGGCUAUUUCCAAGGAUAGGCAUAUGGACAAAGUGAUGCUUGUUGAAUCCCUUGGUUUUAACCUCAUGUCAGUCUCGAUGCUUUGUGAUCUUGAUAUGAUUGUUAUCUUUGGUAGAUAUAGAUGUGUAGUCUUCAUGGAAUCUGACAGAUCCAAAGUCUUCGAAGGUGUAAGAAGAGGGGAUUUGUGCAUUGUUGAUUUCUCUACAAGUCCUCAACCAGCCACUUGCUUACUAGCAAAGACCUCAGAAGGAUGGGUGUGGCACCGAAGACUAGGUCAUGCAGGCAUGAGGAAUUUGCACACGCUUGCGAAGAAGAAGCAUGUCAUCGGCAUCGAAUCAGUCAAAUUCCUCAAGAAUCAUCUCUGCGGUGCAUGUGAAUCUGGGAAAAUGACCAGAUCCAAGAAUCCCUCGAAGACUAUCAUGACCACUACACGUCCCUUAGAAUUGCUUCAUAUGGAUCUAUUUGGACCUACUCACUAUGCCACACUAACCAAUGCAGCAUCUUUAUAUGGCUUCGUCAUAGUUGAUGAUUAUUCCAGAUAUACAUGGGUGCAUAUCAUCAUAUAUAAAACUGAAGUGCAGGAAAUCUUCGAACGAUUUUCUUCAAGGGCCUCGACGAACUUUGGCAUCAAGAUCAAACAUAUCAGGAGUGAUAAUGGAAUAGGGUUCAAAAACACUGGUCUCGAUGAUUAUCUUGAUGAACUUGGUAUUACUCACGAAUUAUCUGCUCCUUAUAUUCCUCAGCAGAACGGUGUCGUCGAGAGGAAGAACAGGACUCUGGUUGAGAUGGCAAGAACUAUGCUUGAAGAAUAUCAGACUCCUCGUCGCUUUUGGCCUGAAGCAAUCAACACUGCAUGCCAUAUCAUCAACAGGGUAUAUCUUCACAAAUUCCUCAAGAAAACCUCAUAUGAACUCAUCACUGAUAAGAAACCCAAUGUAAGUUAUUUCAAAGUCUUCGGUGCAAAAUGUUGGAUUAGAGAUCCUCACCAUAGCUCAAAAUUUGCACCUAAGGCACAUGAGGGUUUUAUGCUCGGUUAUGGAAAGGACUCGCACACCUACAGAGUCUUCAACAACUAUCACAACAAAGUUGUUGAGACUGUAGAUGUGCGGUUCGAUGAAACUAAUGGCUCGCAAAGAGAGCAAUUGCCUUGUGAUCCAGAUAAGUUGUCUCCUGAGGAAGCAAUAAAGCUCAAGCCUACUGAAGACAUUGUUCCCACUGAGGAAAUUGAUGAAGAAACCAUCCCCAUCACUGAUGAAAAUCAAGAAGAUGCUCUUGAGGAAAUUGCUCCAGAACCUCUUCCUCAGCCCAGACGAAAUCCUCAACCAGCUCAUCCGAGGAUUGCAAAUGAAGUAGAACUUGACAAAAUCCUCAACGACAUCAACGCGCCAGGUCCUCUCACUCGCUCAAAAGCUUCACACUUAGUUAACUUUUGUGGGCAUUUUUCCUUUGUAUCUAUCACAAAACCCUCAAAAGUUGUUGAGGCUUUCUUGGAACCGGAGUGGAUCCAAGCUAUGCAAGACGAACUUCUUCAAUUCAAGCUGAAUGACGUAUGGGAGCUAGUCAAACGACCAGAUCCUCGCAAGCACAACAUCAUCGGAACAAAGUGGAUUUUCCGAAACAAGCAAGAUGAGGAUGGUCAAGUGGUGAGGAAUAAGGCAUGACUCGUAGCCCAAGGCUACAUCCAGGUUGAAGGAAUAGAUUUCGAUGAAACUUCUGCACCUGUUGCUAGACUUGAAGCUAUUCGAAUACUACUUGCUUAUGCUAAUCAUCAUAACAUCAUCUUAUAUCAAAUGGAUGUGAAAAGUGCAUUCCUCAAUGGUAAGCUUGAGGAAGAAGUAUAUGUUGCUCAACCCCCAGGUUUUGAGGAUUCAAAGAAUCCAGACAAAGUAUUCAGACUCAAAAAGGCGCUCUAUGGUCUCAAGCAAGCCCCUCGGGCAUGGUAUGACACAUUGAAGGAAUUCCUCAUGAAGAAAGGCUUCAAACCUGGUUCACUCGAUCCAACUCUUUUCACUAAAUCCUAUGAUAAUGAGCUAUUUGUGUGCCAAAUAUAUGUCGAUGAUAUCAUAUUUGGCUGUACUGACAAACGAUACAGUGAUGAAUUUGCUUACAUGAUGAGUGAAAAAUAUCAGAUGUCUAUGAUGGGGGAGCUGAAAUUCUUCUUAGGUCUUCAAAUUCGUCAACAACGCAAUGGAAUCUUCAUAUCACAGGAGAAAUACCUCAAGGAUGUUCUGAGGAAAUUCGACAUGCAUGAAUGCAAAGGUGCCAAGACUCCAAUGCCUACAAACGGACACCUCGGCACUGAUGAAAAUGGUAAAGAAUUCGAUAAACAGGUAUAUCGCUCUAUGAUUGGCACUUUAUUGUAUCUGUGUGCAUCUAGGCCAGAUAUAAUGCUUAGUGUUUGCAUGUGUGCACGUUUUCAAGCAAAAUCGAAGGAAUCACACCAUAAGGUUGUGAAAGCAUAUUCUUCGAUACUUAGCUCACACACCAACACUAGGAUUAUGGUAUCCCAAGGGCUCAAAUCUUCAUCUGGUAGGGUAUUCUGAUUCUGACUAUGCUGGUGAUCAUGUGGAUCGCAAGUCAACUUCUGGUACAUGUCAUUUCCUCCGAAGAUCACUAGUUUGCUAGUCCUUAAAGAAGCAGAAUUGUGUAUCACUCUCCACUGCCGAAGCUGAGUACAUUGCUGCUGGUUCAUGCUGUGCUCAAUUACUAUGGAUGAAGCAAACCCUCAAGGACUACGGCAUCAACAUGAAGAAUGUGCUUCUCUACUGCGACAAUGAGAGUGCAAUCAAGAUUGCAUACAACCCAGUACAACACUCGAAGACCAAGCACAUCCAGAUUUGUCAUCAUUUUCUUCGGGACCAUGUCCUCAAGGGCAAUAUCCUCAUCGACCAUGUGAAGACUGAUGAUCAACCGGCAGAUAUCUUCACUAAGCCCUUGGAUGAUAAAAGGUUUUGCAAGUUGCGGUGUGAGCUAAAUAUCUUAGAAUCUUCAAAUGUUUUGUAAAAACAUGCACACAUCCUAACACUUAUGCAAAAUUGAUGACUUAGAUGUGCAACACAUGAUGAAUCGAUUUUCUUCAACUAAUGAAGAAUAUCACUCUGAAUGUGGAGAAAUCAACGAAGAAAUUGAUUCUCACGGCCCUACGACAAUUGUACGCGGCGUCUGUAAUCAACAUUCUUAUAUGGUGGGUCACGCCACCGCCCAACGUGAAAUUCCUCAAGUUGAUUUUCUUCAAAGUUCCAUUUCCUCAAAACUUGUUUUUCUUCAAAAACACUUGAUGACUUUCGUUUAACUACAUAGACUGUGAUUUCAAGUCCUCAACAGCAUUCACUUAUAGCUAUUUCUUCAAGUUGAUAUUUCAUCUAAGUGAAUGUGAUCGGACCCUACUUUCCCUCUAUGCUAUUCUCAUCCAGUCUAUUCGAUUCUUCAUAUGCGUUCUGCUUGAAACUUUGUUCAAAAUCCUCACUGCGUCCUUGUCAGCUGAUGAUUUUGUAACUAAAAUCCUCAACUCUUCAAAAAUGUUUCUUUAAUGCACAGUAACCGAACCCCACUUCCCACGUUCGGAUAACCACGAUCUCCACUAUCUCCACCGCCUUGCUCGGGAGCUACACGUGUCCUGCGGAGACGUAGAGGCAGGGGUUGUUUGGUCCGAAUUCUUCGCGCCGACAGUAACUGCCUGGCUAUAAAUAUGUCCUUAUACCCCUCGGCAAACACUUCUUCGCUCCAUUGCUCUCCUGCUAUAGCAAAAGCCCCGAACCCUAGCGCCACCGGUGGAAGUCUCAUCGCCGGCAAAGAAGAGCUUCACUGCCUCGACUUCUCCGUCGCCGGAACCACGCCGGAGUCGGACCAUCUUCGUCCGCCGCCGCCGUAGACGUCCUCUGCUGCCGGGUUAGGGCGCAUUGGACACGCACCGAAGAGCUUCUCUCUGCAACUCUUCUCUGUUCUUCGUGCGCGCCAUCUAGGGUAAAUAAAAACCCUAUUUUUACAGCAAGUUAGAUCUACUAUUUUACAUCUCAGAUGUGAAAUCUAUUUUUCCUCAAGAAUCCAUAUGCAUCUGAUUCCUCAAACACUGCCUAUCACCACACUGUUGAUGAACUUCACUAAGCAUCUAAGAUUUUCACGAGAUUCCUCAAUUGUGUGAAUUUUUGGAUCUGUACAACUCUGGAACCCAAGAACGGUAUGCUUAGGCAAAUUCCUCAACCACUGGUUAAAUGUUAGAAUUAUGCCCUAGAGGCAAUAAUAAAUAUAGUUAUUAUUAUAAUUCNNNNNNNNNNNNNNNNNNNNNNNNNNNNNNNNNNNNNNNNNNNNNNNNNNNNNNNNNNNNNNNNNNNNNNNNNNNNNNNNNNNNNNNNNNNNNNNNNNNNUAAAGUGAAUGCAGCUGUUUCUAAUGCAUAACCCCAAAACGAUAACGACAAAUCAGUAAGAGACAUCAUAGAUCGCACCAUUUCUAAUAAAGUACGAUUACGACGUUCGGACACACCAUUACGCUGUGGUGUUCCAGGCGGUGUUAACUGCGAAACAAUUCCACAUUGUCUUAAGUGAGUACCAAACUCGAAACUCAGAUACUCACCCCCACGAUCAGACCGUAGGAACUUGAUCUUCUUGUUACGAUGAUUUUCCACUUCACUCUGAAAUUGCUUGAACUUUUCAAAUGUUUCAGACUUGUGCUUCAUCAAGUAGACAUAACCAUAUCUACUCAAAUCGUCAGUGAAGGUGAGAAAAUAACGAUAUCCGCCGCGUGCCUCCACGCUCAUCGGACCACACACAUCGGUAUGUAUGAUUUCCAAUAAGUCACUUGCACGCUCCAUUGUUCCGGAGAACGGAGCUUUAGUCAUCUUGCCCAUGAGGCAUGGUUCGCAAGUGUCAAGUGAAUCAAAGUCAAGUGACUCCAAAAGUCCAUUAGCAUGGAGUUUCUUCAUGCGCUUUACACCAAUAUGACCCAAGCGGCAGUGCCACAAAAAUAUGGCGCUAUCAUUGUUUACUCUAACUCUUUUGGUCUCAAUGUUAUGUAUAUGUGUAUCGCUAUCGAGAUUCAAUAUGAACAAUCCUCUCACAUUCGGUGCAUGACCAUAAAAGAUGUUACUCAUAGAAAUAGAACAACCAUUAUUCUCAGACUUAAAAGAGUAACCGUCUCGCAAUAAACAAGAUCCAGAUAUAAUGUUCAUGCUCAACGCAGGCACUAAAUAACAAUGAUUUAGGUUCAUCACUAAUCCCGAUGGUAGGUGAAGUGACAUGGUGCCGACGGCGAUUGCAUCAACCUUGGAACCGUUUCCUACGCGCAUCGUCACUUCGUCUUUCGCCAGCCUCCGUCUAUUCAUCAGUUCCUGCUUCGAGUUGCAAAUGUGAGCAACAGAACCGGUAUCGAAUACCCAGGCACUACUACGAGAGCUGGUUAAGUACACAUCAAUAACAUGUAUAUCAAAUAUACCUGAUUUUUCUUUGCCCGCCUUCUUAUCUGCCAGAUACUUGGGGCAAUUGCGCUUCCAGUGACCCAUACCCUUGCAAUAGAAGCACUCUGUUUCAGGCUUAGGUCCAGCCUUGGGUUUCUUCGGCGGAUUGGCAACAGGCUUGCCGCUCUUCUUCGAAUUGCCCUUCUUGCCUUUGCCGUUUCUCUUGAAACUAGUGGUCUUGCUCACCAUCAACACUUGAUGUUCUUUACGGAGUUCAGACUCUGCGACUUUCAGCAUCGCAAACAACUCGCCGGGAGACUUUUUCAUCCCUUGCAUGUUGUAGUUCAACACGAAGCUUUUAUAGCUUGGCGGUAGUGAUUGGAGGAUUCUGUCAGUGAUAGCUUCUUGCGGGAGUUCAAUCCCCAGUUCAGCUAGACGGUUUGAGUACCCAGACAUUUUGAGCACAUGUUCACUNNNNNNNNNNNNNNNNNNNNNNNNNNNNNNNNNNNNNNNNNNNNNNNNNNNNNNNNNNNNNNNNNNNNNNNNNNNNNNNNNNNNNNNNNNNNNNNNNNNNGCCGCCAGGAUAGCCGAUUCUCUCUAGCGGACUGAUUCAGAGGCUCGUAGAGGAAUCGAGCAGAUCCGCGCCUUGUUGCUUAUGGUGCAAUAGCAAAAUUCGGCGAUCUCCCAGUCGCACAACAGGAUCCACAACAGUUCUGUUCAAGCGAACACGCAUCGGUCGGUUUUCAGUCCCGACUCUCACCAGCGAUGCAGAGGGGGCAGCCGUUCCAAGGACCCGAGUCGGAAUACGCUUCCCAUUUGGUCUCAUCCCGAAGAUCGUCGCCGUUCGCGUACUCCUCCAUGGUGUGGGCCUUACGGGCCCCGGCAUUACGAUGAUCGUCGUUCGGGCGGUGGCGCGCAUGAUCCAAGGCCUGAUGCAAGAGGGUACAUCACCCAGACGAAGGUCGACAAAAGUCGAGCCCACCGUGAUGGUCAGGAUAGAGACCAUCCGAGUGGAAGCAGGACCGUUGUUUCUGGCCCCGAGUGCUUCAGUCGGGCCAUCCGCUCAGCUGACAUCCCUCCCAACUUCUGAUUGGUGACGGGAAUCAGCAAAUUCACAGGAGAGUCCAAACCAGAAACUUGGUUGGACGACUACAGAGUGGCGGUCCAGAUCGGUGGCCGAGAUGACCAUGUCGCCAUGAAAUAUCUCCCACUGAUGCUCGACGGUUCGGUGCGAGCUUGGCUAAACUAGUUAGCUCCGUCAAGGAUCUACAGUUGGGCAGAUCUGGCCCGAGUCUUCAUAAGGACCUUUCAGGGAAUGUGCAAACGCCCUGCUGGUCUCGUGGAGCUUCAUCACUGUGUCCAGAAGCAAAACGAGCCCUUGCGCGAUUUCAUCCAGCACUGGACGACCCUCUACCACAAGGUGGAGAAUGUCACAGAGCACCAAGCAGUCUGUGCCUUCAAGGUAGGCGUUCAAUACAGAGAUCUGUACCUGAAGUUUGGUCGGACAGGCGACAUCUCCAUGAGCAAGAUGAUGGAGAUAGCCACGCGCUAUGAAAUGGCGAAGAGGAGGACCACAUAUGUAGCGGCAAGCAUAAGUCAGUCGCCGAUGGAGAUGGGAACAACUGUUGGAAGCAGAAGCAGAAUUCUCAAUCCACUCCGCAGGCAUAGGCAGCAGCCGUCACAAAUGCCAAGUUCAAAGGCAAGGGGAAAGCACAAUACGCCCCCAAGAAGAGGCAAUCAGGAAAUUCCAUCCUAGAUCAACCGUGUCCAAUCCACACGAAGACAGAUGAAGAAGGCAAUGUCAUAUUGUCGAAGCAUACCACUCGGCAGUGUCGCCUCCUGAUCCAAGGAUUCGGCGAAGGACAACCGAGUGAGAAGGACACCGAGCAGGAUGAUGAGGACAAGGAGGAUCCGUUCCCCCUAGUCCAUGCAACAUUGAUGAUUUUUGUUGAUGUGGAAAGCAAAAGUCGACUGAAGCUGGUCAACAGGGAGGUAAACAUGGCAACCCCAUCCACUCCCACGUUCCUCAAGUGGUCACAGACUGUGAUCACCUUUGAUCAGUCAGACCACCCAGCACACGUACCCACCCCAGGGAGGCAGGCUCUGGUCAUCGACUCGGUGGUGGAAGGAGUUAGGCUGCGCAAAUUCCUCAUGGACGGCGGCAGCGGCUUNNNNNNNNNNNNNNNNNNNNNNNNNNNNNNNNNNNNNNNNNNNNNNNNNNNNNNNNNNNNNNNNNNNNNNNNNNNNNNNNNNNNNNNNNNNNNNNNNNNNACGCACACACUACAUGUACUAUGUUCGUUUCGUUUCAUUUUCUUUGUUSCGMRAARGGGUUAGGUUUUGGGAAGUUUGGGGUACCGUUGGGGUCGUUAGUUCGAGGAUGUAGGUGGGCAACGGGUASGCACACGGCAUGCACACAGGAGAUGCGGUCACUGAUCACGUAAGCUACUUGGUGAGUUUCUUGCACGAGGCCGAUGAUUUUCUUGAAGAAAAACUCAACGACCGAUGACGAGAGCUAGGGAGCGAGUGCGACACCAUACAACCGCGCAACUUCUGUAUGAUGCAAACCUUGACCUUUCGAAUCAUCUAGUUGCCUUCCCCGCCAAAAUUCUAGUUAAAUUUGGUGCGAUCACCCUCGGAGUGUGAAAAAACGGGUUCGGUUUGGUCCUAUGUUCAAACUGAAAAUGGUUGGAUGCAGAGAAGCAGCCAGGGAUUGGAUGGUUGGAUCAUCUCUAACAGAUUCCUUAAAAAUGGUUAAAUUUCAUAAGAAAUAACGUACAGUUGUCAACAAACAUCUCAAGUAACUAUUUUCAAACCGAAUAGUAGCCCGUAAAAGUGGUUAAAUCCGUAAACCCCUGAGCAUCCACCCCAUGACUCCUUUAUUUCCAUAUUUGGAGGCAGAACUGAGGAUACCUUAAAAACCGGUCAACGUUACUCCCUCCCUCCGUCCACAAAUAAGUGUACAUAUAGAUUUUUACUUAGUUAAAUUUUUUAAAAUUUGAUCAAUUUUAUAGAAAAUAGUAGCAACAUAUAUGGCAUAAAAAUGAUAUAUUUAAAAACUUCAUGUAAAGACGAAUCUAUUGAUACUUAUUUGAUGUCAUAAAUGCUAACACUUUUCUCAAUAAAGUUAGUCAAAGUUUAACUAGUUUGACUGACAGAAAAGGAAAAAGUACACUUAUUACCGGACGGAGGGAGUAUAUGAUAAAGGAUUUUGUCGUGCGCACACGGGCUCCGAUGACCUUUCACCAUGAAACUCGCCAACUCGAGCAGCUACGGACUAGCUAGCUACGCUAGAUCGAUUUGUAUUUGGCUGCUUCGUGUGCUGUUCGUCGGCUUUUUAGAGCGAGCUAGUUGAUCGUGGAUAUGAACGAGAUGAAGAAGAAGACUGAGACAAAUAUAAGCAAAUAUUCAGUUUUAUAGUUUAAGUUUGAGAGGUUUGUUCGACCGCAACUCAAAUCGAUUCUUAAAAUGCGUUUUUUUCUGAAUUGAAAACCGCGCUUCAGUUUCACGAUUUAAGGGUUCUGCUGGAGGUGCUCUUAGGAGGGUGUCCGUGCCCCGGGCUAUCACUCAUCAAACCUCGGGUAAUGGGCAUCAUUUAAAAAAAUAAGAGACGACAUUCUGGUGUGAGUGCACGCAUGCAUGAGUCUACAUUGUAACAUGUGUUUAAAAAAGGAUUUUGUUUUAGAGGAUUUGAUGCUUAUGAUCACCUAGUCAAGGAAAUGAGUUAAGAAACUCGGUAACUGGUUUCUUGUAAUCGGUGUUUUCCAUGUUGAUAAUUUUCUUCGUCGAAAAUUAAGAUAAUUUGGAAACAAAAAUAGGAAAAGAGUUUCUUUUGUUGAAAACUAAGAUAAUUUGAAAUGAAAACUAGGAAAAGGUGAUUUAAAAUAUAAAAAAUAUAUGUGACCAAAAACAAGAAACCGGUUGUGUAUAAAACUGCAAGCUUACACAAGGAAUUUUGACUUGAAAUUUAUCGGGAAACAUCCAUAAUCACAUAAGAACUCUAAAAUGUUUAGACAAAUGUGAAAUAUUCCACAUAAGGAUUCGAAAACUUUUGAGAACUUUUAGAAGUAAAAAAAUGUUUAUAUCUAGUCCCAUGUUCAAACUAAAAAUGGUAUGAUACUAUACAUUGGACAAAUGAAGUAGAAAAGUAAGGAAAAAAGGAAGUGUUGUAAAUAAAUAGUCGAAAACUUAAGUGAUUCGAAGGAAAACAAUGAAAAGUAAUGUUAAAAACUUACGGAUAUACAAAAGAAAAAAAGAAACCAAUUGUGAAAAAGGUAUACAUUCAUAGAAACAUGAUAUUUCAAAAUUGAAAUUGUCUUGGAACAUCUAUAACAUCAAAAAUUCUGAAAUACCGUUAUAGUGUAAAAAAACUGUCUGCAUGGAUUGUUUUUGUCUAGUUCACCUCUGUUUUUAGAAUAAAUGUGUCUGUUAGGCAUAAAAUUCAUAGGAGAUAUUAGCAUUUCUUUAAUAUUUUUAGCUCCUUGUUUGUUUUCAAGUUUCUUGUUUUCCCUACUUAUUUUUGCUAAGUGUAUGUCUUUUGCGUGAAUAAGUGGAUGCAACCUCGUCAUAAAAAACAUUACUUGGGUAAUUAACCAACUUCUAGACAAUUUGACAAUUUUUUAUGCUUUCAAAAACAAGAAURGCCAAUACAGAGUUAAGAUAUGACGAGGUUAUUUGGGUAAUUGACCAACUUUUAGACAAUUAUUUAUGUUCUCGGAAACAAGAAGUUGAGAUAUCAAACGGUUAUUUGGGUAAUUGACCAACUUUUAGACAAUUAGUUUGACCCACAAAAUAAUCGCCAAAAUAAGGGUUUGCACGGAAAAUGUUGCCACACAAGACCCUGCAAACGCGUCCGACCCGCAAACUUUUUUGACGGGCGCGGCAAAAUCCCCUCCCGACCCACGAAAACACAGGUUUCCGCCUCGCCUAUAGGAUGCCCUGCAUUCGAGGGAAGCGGUUAGCGGGACGGACAUUUCAGCCCACGCCCUUUCCCCACCCCCUUCCGCUGCCGCGCCGCCAUUAGUUCCCCCUAUCCCCCGUCGGUGAUUCUGCCGAAUCUACCGGGUGAAUCGCGCCGCUGGGCACCACUGUCCUCUUCCGCCAAGCCGCUACAUCGACUCCCCCGGAUCCGCCAAUCCACGGCGGCGGGAGAGCCACCGCCGGAGAUGGACUUGAGCCUGUGCGAGAAGUUUCCGCUCGAGGAUUCAUCCGAUUCGGACGACCCAGAUGUUGAGACGAUGUUCUCAUAUUUUGCCAGCAUAGUUUGGUGAUGGCCCUCGCCGUGAAGGAGCACGAAGACGAGCACCGAAAGAGGCGGCGUGGAUCAACUAUUAGUCGUCUUUGCAUUCCUCGAAAUAGCCAUCUCGGCAACGAGAUGCUGAUGCGAGACUACUUCGCCGCCAAUCCAACAUACCCGCCGCACCUCUUCGGGAGAAGGUACCGUAUGUGCAGAUCCAUGUUUGUUAAAAAAAGUUAAGCUUGCGAGGCUAAUUGUCGAUAUUUUACUCAAAGAAGGAAUGUCGCGGGCUUGAAGGGAUUUAGUGCAUAUCAGAAAAUCUCGGCAGCUAUGCGGGUAAUUUCAUACGGCGUUCCGGCUGACUAUACCGAUGAGUACCUUCGCAUUGGGGAAGACAGUACAAUUGAGUCGGUGCGUAGGUUUGCCAAAAUGAUUGUCCGUGUCUUUGAUCCUGAAUAUCUUUGGGCACCGAACGAGGAAGACACAAAAAAUUGAUGACAUUUAACGAAAGAAGAGGAUGGCUCGCAUGCUAGGAAGCAUAGAUUGUAUGCAUUGGACUUGAAAAAAUUGUCCAAAAGCAUGGCAAGGAAUGUACCGUGGCAAGUCUCGUGAUGCAACAAUUGUGCUAGAGGUCGUACCUUCACAUGAUUUAUGGAAUUGGCCUUGAUUUUUUGGUAUGCCGGGUACUCUAAAUGAUAUAUAUCAAUGUGUUGCAACGGUCUCAUUUGCUUGCUAGGCUUGCUAGUGGUGAUGCUCCAGCUUGCAAAUACACUAUCAAUGGGCAUGAAUACACAAAAGGAUACUAUCUUGCAUAUGGUAUAUACCCUUCUUGGUGCACAUUUGUGAAGAGCAUCAAAGACCCCCAAAGUAGAAAGGAGUCUGAAUUCGCAAGGGCACAAGAGGCAGCCUGAAAAGACAUUGAAAGAGCAUGUGGGGUUUUGCAAUCUAGGUUUGCCAUUGUUCGUGGUCCUGCUCGAUUUUGGGACAAACGAUCCUUAAAAAACAUCAUGACAUGUUGUGUUAUUCUUCAUAAUAUGAUUCUCGAAUAUGAGAGAGGCAUGAACUUGGAGUUCUUCUAUGCAAUGUGGACAGUCGUGUCAAACCAGCUAGAGACCCUAACCGAAUUAGAGCUUUUCUUUAGACCUACAGUGUAAUGACCCAGAUGUAACCCUUGCCUUUUGUGGAACCCUUUCCUAUUUUGGGUCAUGAUGGCAAUGCUAUAAGAGUAUCAUUUCAUGCGGUCAUUUCAUGUCAUCACUUUUGGAUCAUGCCAUUCAUUGCAUUCAUGUUUUCUCCUUUGUGUUGAUGUUGUUGCUUGAUCCUUCAUUAGUGGAGUGUGUUGUGUUUGAUGUGGUGAUGUCUUCAAAACAUUGUUGCUUUCAACUAGGUUUCAAAAACCCCUUCUUCUUUAUUUAUUCGAGCUCAUGUUUAACUUGCUCAAAAUCUAUUUUAGAAAUGUUGUUCAUUUUGUAGUUUUACCUUGUGGAUGAGGGAUACUGUUUUGGGGUUUUUAAAACUUAAAUGAAUGGGAGUUUAAAUACAAAAACAGCAUAGAUUUUCUGUUUUUGCAUUUAAAUUACUUGCUCUAAAAAUCUGGUUUUUAUUUUUUUUAAAUAGGGCAUAAUUCCCUUAUGCCCUGUGUGCUUUAGUUUUUAUUUUUCCAAACACUCUGGAGCACUGGGCUUUUUGCUUUCUGCUUGGUUUAAAUAAAAUAGGAAAAACCCUUGUUUUAUUUUUUUCCUAUCAUGCGCUAGAUAGGAGUGGGCUUCCUUUUCUCUCCCUGGGCCGCCUCCUUUUCUCCCGAGCCAGGCCCACCCGGCGACCCUCUUCUUCCUCCUCGCUGUCGUCACUGUGUACGACGCCACCUCCACCACUGAUCUUCCUCCCCCUUCGAUCUGGUGGCUCCAAGCAUGCCUCCCGAGGUCAUAUAAGGAGCCGGUGCCUCCCUGCGUCUAGGGUUCUAUUUUCCCCUCCUCUUCUCCCUCUAGCGCCGCCAGGAACAUAGCAGAGCAUCCCCAUCGCCAUGGAGACCUCCGGCCCGAGCUCGACGCCGGCGUAGCCUCGACCUCGCCUCCUCCCCGAAGCUGCCGGGAGCAAGAGGACUGAUGUCCCAUAAGCGUAUGGGAUCGCAACAGUUUUCGAGGGUAGAGUAUUCAACCCAAAUUUAUUGAUUCGMCAAGACGGGAAGCGAAAGAAUAUUCUCAAGUAUUAGCAGUUGAAUGUGUCAGAUUCAACCACACCUGAAAGAUUAGUGUCUGCAAGCAAAGUAUCAGUAGCAAGGUAGUAUGAUAGCAACGGUGCCAGAAACGAUCUGUUGACGGCAGACUAUUCCUAACUGUUGUAUCAAUGGCGCUAGCACGUUGACGGGGGAUUAUUCUUUAGAAGAAUGCUUCCCCGGCUACGGCUCCAACAAAGUCUUGCAACAAGUAACAGCGGAGUAGCAAGGAACAGCAGUAGCAGCAUCAACAAAGUAACAAGUAACAGCAGUAGCAAAGUGGCCCAAUCCCUUUGUAGCAAGGGACAAGCCUAGGCAAAGUAACGUAGCGAGGACCAGUAGUAAAAGACUCGUACGCAGUGGAUCGGUGAUGGAUGAGUAUGACGGAUGUGAUUCAUCAUGUAAUAGCUAUAACACGGAGAGAUAUGUAACUAGCUCCCUUUCAUCAAUCUAAUGUAGGCAUGUAUUCCAUAUGUAGUCAUACGUGCUUAGGGAAAAGAACUUGCAUGACAUCUAUUUUCCAUCCCUCCCGUGGCAGCGGGGUCCUAAUGGAAACUACGGGAUAUUAAGGUUCUCCUUUUAAUAAAGAACCGGACCAACGCAUUAACACGCAGUGAAUACAUGAACUCCUCAUACUAUGGUCAUCUCCGGGAGUGGUUCCGGCUAUUGUCACUCCGGGGUUGCCGGGUCAUAACACAUAGUAGGUGACUACAACUUGCAAGAUAGGAUCUAAAACACACAUAUAUUGGCGACAACAUAAUAGGUUAAGAUCUGAAAUCAUGACACUCGGGUCCUAGUGACAAGCAUUAAGCAUUGCCAAGUAGUAGCAACAUCAAUCUAGAACAUAGUGGAUACUAGGGAUCAAUCCCCGUCAAGAACUAACUCGAUUACAUGAUAGAUCUCAUCCAACUCAUCACCUUCCAGCAAGCCUACGAUGAGAUUACUCACGAACGAUGAAGAGCAUCAUGGAAUUGUCGAUGGAGAAAGGUUGAUGAUGACGAUGGCGACGAUUUCCCCUCUCCGGAGCCCGAAACGGACUCCAGAUCUCCUCCAGAUGAAGAACAAGAUGUGGCGGCGCCUCUGUAUCGCAAAACGCGAUGAAACCUUCUCUUUGAUUUUUUCCAGGCGAAACGGAAGAUAUAGAGCUGAGUUUGGGGGCGGUGGUGCCACGUGGGCCCCACAAGCCUGCACGGUGAGGCCUAGGGGGGUGGCCACGACCUGUGGACUUGUGGCCCACUCGCACGCCCCCUCAGGUGGAUUUUUGCGCAUGUAGUUUUCUUUUAUUCCAGAAAAAAUCUCCGUAAAUUUUCAGGACAUUCCGAGAACUUCUAUUUCUGCACAAAAACAACACCAUGGCAAUUCUGCUGAAAACAGCGUCAGUCCGGGUUAGUUCCAUUCAAAACAAGCAAAUUAGAGUCCAAAACAAGGGCAAAAGAGUUCGGAAAAGUAGAUACGACGGAGACGUAUCAAGGACCCAGGAGGGGUUCCAUUUUUGCUCAGAGCGGGAGCAGGGUCUUCUUCCACGACGUCCACGACGGCCGGCGUCCUCGUCAACUCCGGCGGCCUCUCCGUGCAGCAACACGUCGUCGGGCCUUCUUCCUCCACGGCGUCUCCCUCUCCUCGGCACCCUAGGUGACGCGCGGUUCCCUUCUCCUUCGUUUUCCCCUUGUAGCCGAGGCCCCGCCGUCGGUAGCCAUGUCCGCCGGCGAGCUGCUCGUGCAUGCGGUGCGUCUGUAGUGGUAACACCAGGAGUAGUUACAGGUUCAGCAGCNNNNNNNNNNNNNNNNNNNNNNNNNNNNNNNNNNNNNNNNNNNNNNNNNNNNNNNNNNNNNNNNNNNNNNNNNNNNNNNNNNNNNNNNNNNNNNNNNNNNCCUUUUGGGGCAUCGCCCUCAAAAUAGGAAAGGGCCGUAUCUUAGUCGUUACAUACAGGGAGAUUGAAAAUGCAAACACCGAGUGCCAACUUCAGAAGGAUCUCAUUGAGCACCAUUGACAAAGGGCUGGGCAUUAACUCAUUCUAUUUUUCCAUUCAUUUUCAUUUCAUUCAUGUGUGAUUUGUAUACGGGACAAGUUUUGUAUUCAUGUGUGACAUUCAUUUAGUUUGCUACGGUGAUUUGAAUAAUUAUUGUACUUUAGAUGAUUACUGUAUUUGUAAUAUUGGCAUUUUACUUAUAUUGCACAUGAUGAGUAAUUCUAAUUUACGGGGUAUCCGGGUUGUGGGUCGACGCGGUGGCGCCCAAGCAGACCCCGCAUUGACGAUCCGUAUAAUAGCAUCUUCUGUGAAUAUCCUUUUAUACGUAUCCAUUUUGGAGGGUCUACCUCUAUCCACGCCCGCGUCGAUCCGCAAAAACCGUUUUUCAUGAACUGUAAAAUAUUUUUUGCGGAUCGGCAUUAUACGAGGUCUUCUGGAGAUGCUCUUAGCGCAUCCUCAAAGCGAACCCUCAAAGCUUUGGUACACCGUGUCCGAACCAGUUUUGCUAACCUUUAUAAUUUAAUGGGACUUUAAACGUCUGCAGAUUAGUGUGGACCCCGAUUUUUGACAAAUUUAAAACAGAAUUGAGGAAGCUAUGGUGAAGUCGCGACAUGCAAUUGACCAAUAAAAAGCCCCUUCACGGUCCUCCUCUAUUUUCUCUCUAGUCACAUGCAUGACCACCCUCCUCCUCUCAACCGAACACAACAACACAAUAUCCCACUACAUGCAUAGUCCUCUUCUACUCUCUCUCUCUCUCUCUCUUCUUUCAUAUUAGUAAUUAUAAAUAAAAWUAAAACAACUAWUGCUAAAAACUAACUUAKUUGCGGUCGGUUACCGGUUUAGGGGUCUAGUGUUAGGAAAUCGUACCCUUAAGUAAAACGAAAUUAGNNNNNNNNNNNNNNNNNNNNNNNNNNNNNNNNNNNNNNNNNNNNNNNNNNNNNNNNNNNNNNNNNNNNNNNNNNNNNNNNNNNNNNNNNNNNNNNNNNNNCGGGUUUGGGGGGGUUCCGGGGGGGUAGGGGGUCGGGUAGGGGCCGGGAAGGGAAGGGAGGACCGGGACGGGUACGGUACGUUAGUGUAGUGGUGUGGUGUGGUGGUGURGGGGGGGGGGGSGCGGACGGCGCGACCGCACGUUGUGGUGUGGUGACGCACACACUAUGGGGGGUUCGUGCUCUGAUCUGCGGCUUGGAUACGUAAGGGGCUUGCGUUGGCGUGGCCUGGAGCGCAAGCAAGAGCCUGGAAGCGGCGGGGAAAAGGGGGCGAUGCGUAGCGGGGCCGUUGACCUUGGGGCUUGGCGCGCGCCUUCGGUGGUGCCCUCUCUGGUCUGGUGCAGUGGGUGGGCUGGCGCGCGCCGUCUUCCUCCGUGCGGUUUUCUAGAGCGCGUGCGAUGACGGUGACGGUGACGGUGACGGUCAUCCAACACGUGCAUCAAACAUCCGCGAACUGAUGAGAAUGCACCAAUUAACCCGUGGUUAGAUGGAUAGAAAGGCAGUGGUAUUACAGUCCAUCAGGCUUGAAGUCUUGAUACUCGUAUUUCUGAAUUUAUUCGGUAUUUUUUAUGACGCGUAUUUAAUGGAAGAAGACGUGACACUUGCUCUAUACUUUGUUAAAAAAAGAAGAAUUGAUAAGGCGUAUGAAAUCUCACAAACCAAAAACAAAACGAUAGACAAUCCAGAUGUAUCACGUGGACGUCCGACAUCUUUGCCCACAAUAAACCCUCUUUCUCGUUCCGCUUUCGCUAGAAGUAAGAACCAGUAAUAUAUUAUGAUUUCUACGUUUCAAGCCUUUCUUAGCUAUUUUAUUAUUCAACUAACAAUGUUCUUAUUUUCUUGGAUCAUAUGUGUAAGUGCAUCUAGUGCCAUCCUUUGUUGGUUUUGGAGUAUUGAAGACAAGCGUGAUUGAGGGAUUUAAUGUGUUUGUGAGAGUUCACAGGAUAACACGGAUAAAAAUCCAUGAAGAUUUGGUUUAACCAUCGAAGACGACCCCUAAAAAUAUCUGAAGACACUGAAGAUGGUUGAAGGCAACAAUAGGUGCGCGAAGAUAUAUGCAUGAAGCUAAUGAAACGUGAAGACGAAGUCUUUUGGUAGUUCCUUUUUUUCUUUCCUUAGUCAUAUGAACCAAUAUAUUGUUAAGUGGGGUCUAAGUGAUUGAAGUCAGAAUCUGACGUGAUGCUCAACCCAAACACCUAUGUCUUCGAGUGAAUACAAUAAGAAGAAAUCUCUUUCAGAGUUGGUUGAGUCAACAUUGCUUGUACCCCAAGUAAUGUUGCCAUGUGAGUCGUUGAAAUCCGACCACUGUGACAUGUGUCGGUUGGCCAUUGACCCAGGAUAAUUUCGGUCAUAUCAUGUCGGGUUGCCUGUUGGCUAUAAAUAACCCAUCGCCUCCAUCAUAAGUUGGUGGCUACUCAGAGUUAUUAUACAAUUAUUGUCGUUUUGGAGCGUCCCACUUCUAAGACAUUAAGAGCGAGAGCUAUCGUGCAAGGAUAAACCCAAACACCUAGAGCCAGAGUGUUUGGAGCAUCAUCGAAGUCAUUCUGUUCUAAGAGAACUAAAGAUUUAUUACCCUUAAAGACUGUGAUCUUCUAGCCUGUUAGUCGUCGUGGUCUAGAGCAUCCAAGAGUUACUCUGGAUUAUCGGGUGAUCGAGUUUUUGAAGGUUUCAAAAGUCUACCUUGAAGAUUUACCAGAGUGAUUGGGCGAGGUCUAAGAGACCUUGGCUCAAGGGGAAUAAGGUGAAGAUGAGGUCUUUAUAGUUAAAUCUCAGCCUCCCCAACCAGACGUACAGUUGUCACAACAACUGGAACUGGUCCACAAAUCUUGUGUCUUCGUCAAGCAGUUGGUUCUAUCUUUUCACUCCUUUACAUACUAUUUAGUAUUGUGAAGCCAUUGCUUGCUUAUUCUUGUAUGAAGACAUUCACCAAAGACAUUCAUCUGAUUUGCAUUUGUCUUCAUACUGCUCAAGUUUAUCUUUGAUUCACUUUUGUUUGCAUGAUGAAUGUGCCAUACUUGCCUGAAUGUCUCCGUAUCAUUACAUGCAUUGCCUAGCUCCUUGACUGUAAUCCCUAACUGAUCCUAAGUCAUUUUUGCUCACUUCGAAGACAUUUACUGGCUCAACUAGGCUUAGGGUUUUGGUUUGGAACUGGGGAUUUUAAAGCGGCGGGACGAUUUGAGCAAUUUCUUUCUCUUGUAGCUACCUAGGACAACCACUUCUAAGGAAUGGAGCGGGGUAGGUGAAGACAUGCAUGUUCAUGAUCGACAUAAAUUUCCAUCCGUAAAGUUAUGAGCUUUUGAAUAUGGUACAGUGGGAGGAAGUUUCAGCCACAUACAAAGAAGGUUAGCCUAACUCCCGCCGUUAGAAAUCAUUUGUUAUAUUAGGUGUGAUUCAAACACUUGAUUUUUUAUUUUGGAUGUGAUUAAGACACUGCCAUAGUUCUACGACUGUGAGUGCCAUUUUAAUUGAUAUCAAUAGCAAUACAUUAUAAAAGUUGUUUGGAUCACAUGGUAGGAAUUCACAAGAUGACUAUAAAACAUAACAUUUAGAGACUUGGUGCAAAAAACAUUUUUCACAAACUCUUUUAACUUGAAGGCAUAUUGACAGUAAGAAAACUAUAUGCUACAUGAUUUGAGAUGACAUAAAAAUUUACAGCAUGGUAGUAGACACGAUGCACUUCAUUUUAUUCAACAUGAGCAAAGGUGUUAGAGCAUAUUUAUCCAUAUGUGGUUUUGGUAAUUGAUGACAAUCUCUAUUGUCCAUAACGCUUUUGUGUACUAACCCAUGGUCUUCAUGAGAGUUCUAUGUGGGAUUAGGUGUGUUCCCAUGGGUUUGCGUUAAGAGGAAGAUCUCAUUCAACCUAUGAAGGAUGACAUCAAGUGGUGAUCGUCAUCAAUAUUGCGGUGUGCAAGUUCAAGUGGAGCAUCACGAAGAUAUCAUGCUUGAAGCUUGUCGUCCAUUCUGGUGGCAAUGGACUUGUAAGAUGUGCUGAAGAGUGGCUCACCCAUAGUGAGUAUGGGGAGCAAUCAACUAGUCUUCAUCAAACCAACACAAUCGACGAAGGUGGUCCAUCUUGAGGAAGCCAAGAUCAUCGUCAUCUAGCUCAAGAGGACUAGGUGCAAGGUACGGGUUUGCCCUUGAUAGGUUUAUCUAUUUUAGGAUAGAUUACCAUAUGUCAAGGGGGGCUCUUAAGUGAGUAGCUUGAUCGUAUCGUUCGUUGAGAGCUCAAACCAUUUGCAUCCUUGCAUUAUAUUUGUUUGUUCUUGUUUCGUGUUUCUCUUUGUGAGUUUUAGAGCUUAUGGUCAUCUUCAGGACAAGCUCGAGUUCAUCGAAAACGGACUCCAUAUGCAUCUUCUAUGAUGUUUUCGAUGUUGGAAGUUUUUGUCGGUUCUUCAUUCAUAGAGGUCUCACAUCUCUAUAACAUUGGCAUUUUCACAACUGCAUGUUCUUAAGAUUUCCAACAAGCUUGAUAGCUCUUGUCGUCCAGAAUCCACUGUUUUGAUAGCUCUUGUCGUUCUGAAUCCAACAAGCUUGAGUUUGCUCGAUUCGAAGCUCAUAUGCGAAAGUUAUGGCAGUUUUUGUGUCCAGCGGUUGAAAGUGCAUUAUAUCGACUAGAGGGGGGUGAAUAGGAGAUUUUUAGAAUUUCAUCACUGAGGAAAUUCCUUUUGAGGAAAUCCCUCACUGAUGACUAACUUACAGCGGAAACAGUAAAGGAUCAGAAGUGCAAAGUUUCACAACAGCAGUUUUUCAGUGUGAGGAAUGUGAAAACAGAUUGCACAGUGAGCAGGCAUGCAGAAAACAGAUGAGGAUUAACUAGCGUGAAGAAUUUGGGGUUGAGGAAUUUCAGAGAAAGUCUUCAGCAAAUUCUUCAAACAGUCACAGUGAAAGUCAUCAACACAUAAUCUGAGAAAUGUAAAGGGUUGAGGAAUUAGAACCCGUUUCACAGCGAAGACAGUAGUUGAUGACCGAGUUCCAACUGCUGUGACAGUCGUACAUCUGGUUUGGAGUGGCUUGGUAUUGAAACCAAAAGACACACAGUCCCUACCGUAUUCUCCUUGGGCUAAGAACACACAGUCCUCACCCAACACUCGUGGUAAGUCUUCAGGGCAGACUUCCAAACCCUCACAAACUUGGUCACCCGGCGAUCCACAAUUGACUGCUGGAUUGCUCUAGACCAUGAUGCCUAACCGUCUCGAGGAUGCACAGUCCUCAAAGGUAAAAGGCUUCAGUCCCACACAGGAACAACUUCUUCAGUGAUGCUCAAUCACUUGGUUCUAAGUUUGUGGUUUGGUGUUUGGGGUAUUUCCUCACUGAUAAAUUUCUCUCGAAGACUCUGAGGAAUUGGGUUGCUCUUAUGACAAGUGUCAGUUUCUAACGGAGCAGCCAACCAGCUAAUGGUUGUGGGGGCGGCUAUUUAUAGCCUGGGAGCAUCCCGACAUGAUUUGACACUAAUGCCCUUAAAUAAUAUGACCGUUGGUGUGGAUAAGACCAAUGAUGUGGCGUGGCUAUCGAAACGGUCGGAACCCUCAACUGUGAGAGUCCUCAUGUCACUCGUAUUCCUCACUUGAGGCUUUUGGUAGGAUUAGGCUUGGGUUGAGCAUCAUGAGGAAAUUCAUUCCAGAGUGUAACUUCCACCCCCUUUAACAGUAUGGUGUUCCUAUUACUCAAGUGUGAAGAAAAUAAAACAGAAAGAGUAAAUCUUCAUGCUUCAAAGUCUUCAGAAUGAUUUUCUUCAGGACACACCGAAUUCCUCAAUUUCAAUAUCUUCAUGAGGAAUAUCAAUUUCAUCGCGGAUUCUUUGCGAUUCAAUUCUUCAGCUUUAGACCAAUUUCUUCAACCGAAGAUAUACAUUUUUAGGGGUCGAUAUUCCUCAAAUAUUUCAAACUCCUCAGUGACUUAUAGAUCCUGUGUACACUCAUAAACACAUUAGAUACUUAACCUAUAAGUCUUCAAACCACCAAAAUCACUAAGGGGCACUAGAUGCACUUACAGCGGUAGUACCGCUAGUGCCAGCGUUAGUACCGUAGGCACAGUGGUAGUAGUUUUUUAUACUACUCUUUGGCGGUAGUUGAUAGGAAUACCAUGAAUGAUGUUGAAGAGGAUAUUCUUCAUGAGGCCUACACCAUCUUCUUCAUCAUCGUGUCCCUUGAUUGGUGCAAGGACGCUGCAGAGGAUUCUGUAAACAGAUCUUGGUUCAUACUUGAGUUCGUGGACAGGAAGGUUUUUCUCGGUGGUUGCCCUUUAGCCAAAGGCUUCAUGAGGACUUCCAUCAUCCUGUUGGGCAGCUCACGCUCACCAUAAAGCUUCACAACCUCCUCUCAGGGAAUUGAUACUGGCAAUUCACGCAGUAGCUCAGUAGCAGGAGCCUUGUAGUGAGUGUUUUGUGUCAUCCAGUCAAACACCCAGGUGUUAAUGUCUUCAGGAUCGCCAGAUAUGUGAAGAGUGGCAUAAAACUGAAGAAUGAGCUCACUGUUCCAAUCAGAGAUGUCUGAGCACAUUGGUAGCAGUCCAGCUUCAUGAAGAACAUUGAGGACUGGAACCAGGCAUGGAAUUGCUUCAAGUUCAACAUGAGGAAUAUGCUUGUGCUGGAAUAUCUUAUUUCUUCCACACAGCACAGAGGCAUAGUAAUUCAGCUGUGUCCUCGUCCAAAACUUCAGAUGUCUGAUUUGAGGCUUGUCAUAGGGAUUUUCUCCAAUGAAGUACAUGUGUUCUUCAAAGAAGUUCUCCUUUUGAAACUUUGGACGCUUGGAGAAUGGCUGAUGCUGCAUUGGCUGAAGAUUUUGCUGAGGAACUGGAGGGGAGACAACAAUUGCAGUCUCGGGGUUGAGCACGACGAAAGCAUUGUCUUGGUCAAGUGCAUUUUCCUCAACAUUGUCCUCAGGGUGAGGAAUUUCAUCAGCUUGGGCUUCAGGCUGAGGAGCUUGCUCAUGUUGUGCUUCAUGUUGAGGAAUGGGAUCUGGCUGGGCAUCAGGCUGAGGAAUUUCAUCAACUGGAGCAUCCUGUUGAGGGUUCUGCUCCGGAGAAGGAAUAGGUUCAUUCUGAGCCUCAGUGUGUAGAUCUUGUUCAGGUGGAGGAGUUGGUCAGCCUGUUCCUCAUCUUGAGGAUUUUUCUCAGGACUUUGAAUUUCAUCAGCUUGAGGAAUUUCACUUUGCUCUUCCUCAGCUUGCGUGGUGACAGAGACAGUUUCAUCAGCUGGUGCAGCUGAUCCUUGUACAGUGUCUUCCUGAGGAAUGGAGUGCUGAGGACUGUCGUCAAUACGAAUUUCUUCGUCAGUAUGUUCCUCAGAUGCAGCAUCCUUCAUUUCCUCAUCUGGCCCUUUCUCUUGGUCUUCAAAGGUGACCAUUUCAUAAGAUGGAGCGACGUUGAGGGGCACAGGGUCCAGUGGAGCAUUAUCUUCAAGCGCUUUGAGGCGCUUGGCCUCAGUGUUUUCUUCUGCUGAGGAGGCCUUUCUCUUUUUGGCUUCCUUCUCCGCGGCCCUCGUCUUCUUCACGUCUGAUGCAGACGGAGUCAUCUUCUACACCUUUGAAGCUUUUGGUGAAGGGGUUCUCUUGACAAAUUCAUCAGCUGGCUUUGAGGAACCAGCUGGAGUAGAGUCAUCAGCUUGCUUUGAUGCAGCAGCUGGAUCAGGGGCAGUCUCACCAGCUGUAGUAGAUUCAUCAGCUGGAUUUUCCAUGGUGAUUUCUUCAAUAGCCGGUACAUCCACACGGCUUUCUUGGGGUAUUUCCUUAGCUUGAGGAGUUUCAUCAGCUUGAGGAGAUUCAUAGGCUGGCUCUUCAAUCAGAGGCUGAGGAGUUGGUACUAGAGGGGCAGCCUUCUUGUUGUAGUCGUCAACAACUUUAGUGGCAAAUUUGAUGAAACUGCUUUUGAGACUCUGACGACCAGAUAGCUUGGAGUACUUAUCUGUCAAAGUCUUCAACUCGGCCUGUGUUGACACCAGUGCAUCAGGCGUCAAGUUGAGGAGAUUCUGCUUGAGGAAUUUCUCCUUUUUGAGCUUAGCAACCUUGGCCUGCUUGGCUUGCUGCUCCUUCCACUUGGCCUCAUUGAUGAAUGUGGCCACCAUGUGGCUGAUGCCAGGGGAAGUUUCAAAUCAUCAAGCGGAGUGUUAGGGUCCUCAUACCAGAUGUUUAUGUAGUCUAGGAGGACCUUGGGGUCCAUGGCCAGAGGAAUGGCGCUACCAGAAGCUUGAGCUACCCUCUCCUGCUUGUUUCUGAUUAUAGCUUGCAGGGUUUCAUCAUCAUAUUCAUCACUACCCUCUGAUGCAGACGGGACUGUGAUGAUUUUACUGGGGCUUGGUUGUGUUCCUCUUUCAGCAGACACCUGAGUCUUCAUAGGAGGUGGUGCAGACUUUGUCUCCGAGCUGGUUGCAGUUGGGAGUGAGGACCUGGAGGUAGCGGGCAGUGGCUUCAUGACCGGCUUCAGUUCUGGUUUUGAAACCUGUGGUGGUGCUGAGGAUUUUGGCGCUGAGGGUUUUGUAACUGUUGCCUGAGAUGGUUUCUCUUGAGGCUUUGGAGCCUUUGGUUUUGACGGCACAGACUUUGGUUGAGGAAUUGCUGAACCAGAGGUCUCAGCGGCAGAGGAAGUAGUUGCAGUUGAAGCAGUAGCUGAGGAUUCAUUGAAUUUCCUCACCGCAGCAUCUGCCUGCUUCUUAAUCUUAGCCAAGUGCUUGUCCUUUUCAUCAGGAUAGUCAUCAAGGGUCUUGAGGCUUGAGGGAUGUGCUACUUGAUGAGCCUCAAGUGGAGCCCGUUUGCCAGGAGGCUUCAGAGCGAAUUUCUUCGCAUACUUGGCAGUGACGAAUAUGUAUUCCUUCCACUCCUUUGCCCAUAGGCGUUCUAUCUUCUGAAGCCGAAUCUUUCUCUUUGCCAUUGUUUCAGAUUCAUCAGGUGUGCAAUAGUCUAAGUAAAUAUCCUCAGGGAUAUCCAAGGCUGUAUUCUGCUCAAGUUUCUUGCCUCCCUUUUGUUUCCUGUCAUCCUCCAUUUUCUUCAGCUGAGGAUUUUGCUGAUGAUAUUGAACUCUUGAGGAUUCUAAUGAGACUUGAAGAUUUUCUUCAAGAAACGCUGCAAAUGAGUUAAUGUGAUGAGAACCGAGAGAUUCAUCAGCUGACAUGUGUGUACCUGUGAACAAAGUAUAGUUGCGAGGAAUUUGGAGAGGUCAUAUGCUUUCUCAGAUUUGAAGAAAAUGAAAAAGUUUGACACUUGAGGAAUUUAAUGUUGGGGAACGUCGCAUGGGAAACAAAAAUUUUCCUACGCGCACGAAGACCUAUCAUGGUGAUGUCCAUCUACGAGAGGGGAUGAGUGAUCUACGUACCCUUGUAGACCGUACAGCAGAAGCGUUAGUGAACGCGGUUGAUUUAGUGGAACGUCCUCACGUCCUUCGAUCCGCCCCGCGAACAAUCCCGCGAUCAGUCCCACGAUCUAGUACCGAACGGACAGCACCUCCGCGUUCAGCACACGUACAGCUCGACGAUGAUCUCGGCCUUCUUGAUCCAACAAGAGAGACGGAGAGGUAGAAGAAUUCUCCGGCAGCAUGACGGCGCUCCGGAGGUUGGUGAUGACCUUGUCUCGGCAGGGCUCUGCCCGAGCUCCGCAGAAACGCGAUCUAGAGGAAAAACCGUGGAGGUAUGUGGUCGAGCUGCCGUGGAAAAGUCGUCUCAAAUCAGCCCUAAAACCUCCGUAUAUAUAGAAGGGAGAGGGGGGGCCUUGCCUUGGGGCUCAAGGAGCCCCAAGGGGGUCGGCCGAGCCAAGGGGGGAAGGUCUCCCCCCCUAAACCGAGUUGGACUUGGUUUGGUGGGUGGGAGUCCUUCCUUCCCUUCCCACCUCCUUCUUUUUUUUCUUUCUCUUUGAUUUUUCUUCCAAUGCGCAUAGGGCCCUUUUGGGCUGUCCCACCAGCCCACUAAGGGCUGGUGCGCCACCCUCAAGGCCUAUGGGCUUCCCCGGGGUGGGUUGCCCCCCCCGGUGAACUCCCGGAACCCAUUCGUCAUUCCCGGUACAUUCCCGGUAACUCCGAAAACCUUCCGGUAAUCAAAUGAGGUCAUCCUAUAUAUCAAUCUUCGUUUCCGGACCAUUCCGGAAACCCUCGUGACGUCCGUGAUCUCAUCCGGGACUCCGAACAACAUUCGGUAACCAACCAUAUAACUCAAAUACGCAUAAAACAACGUCGAACCUUAAUUGUGCAGACCCUGCGGGUUCGAGAACUAUGUAUACAUGACCCGAGAGACUUCUCGGUCAAUAUCCAAUAGCGGGACCUGGAUGCCCAUAUUGGAUCCUACAUAUUCUACGAAGAUCUCAUCGUUUGAACCUCAGUGCCAAGGAUUCAUAUAAUCCCGUAUGUCAUUCCCUUUGUCCUUCGGUAUGUUACUUGCCCGAGAUUCGAUCGUCAGUAUCCGUAUACCUAUUUCAAUUUCGUUUACCGACAAGUCUCUUUACUCGUUCCGUAAUACAAGAUCGCGCAACUUACACUAAGUCACAUUGCUUGCAAGGCUUGUGUGUGAUGUUGUAUUACCGAGUAGGCCCCGAGAUACCUCUCCGUCACAUGGAGUGACAAAUCCCAGUCUUGAUCCAUACUAACUCAACGAACACCUUCGGAGAUACCUGUAGAGCAUCUUUAUAGUCACCCAGUUACGUUGCGACGUUUGAUACACACAAAGCAUUCCUCCGGUGUAAGUGAGUUAUAUGAUCUCAUGGUCAUAGGAACAAAUACUUGACACGCAGAAAACAGUAGCAACAAAAUGACACGAUCAACAUGCUACGUCUAUUAGUUUGGGUCUAGUCCAUCACGUGAUUCUCCUAAUGACGUGAUCCAGUUAUCAAGCAACAACACCUUGUUCAUAAUCAGAAGACACUGACUAUCUUUGAUCAACUGGCUAGCCAACUAGAGGCUUGCUAGGGACAGUGUUUUGUCUAUGUAUCCACACAUGUAAAUGAGUCUUCAUUCAAUACAAUUAUAGCAUGGAUAAUAAACGAUUAUCUUGAUACAGGAAUUAUAAUAAUAACUAUAUUUAUUAUUGCCUCUAGGGCAUAAUUCCAACAGUCUCCCACUUGCACUAGAGUCAAUAAUCUAGCCCUCACAUCAUCAUGCGAAUUACAUUGUAAUAAAUCUAACACCCAUACAGUUCUGGUGUUGAUCAUGCUUAGCCCGUGGAAGAGGUUUAGUCAGCGGGUCUGCUACAUUCAGAUCUGUGUGCACUUUGCAUAUAUUUACGUCCUCCCCUUUGACGUAGUCGCGGAUGAGGUCGAAGCGUCGUUUGAUGUGUCUGGACUUCUUGUGAAACCGUGGUUCCUUUGCUAAGGCAAUGGCACCCGUGUUGUCACAGAACAAGGUUAUUGGAUUCAAUGCGCUCGGCACCACUCCAAGAUCCGUCAUGAAUUGCUUCAUCCAGACACCCUCCUUAGCCGCCUCCGAGGCAGCCAUGUACUCCGCUUCACAUGUAGAAUCUGCUACGACGCUUUGCUUGGAACUGCACCAGCUUACCGCACCCCCAUUAAGAAUAAAUACGUAUCCGGUUUGCGACUUAGAGUCGUCCGGAUCUGUGUCAAAGCUUGCAUCGACGUAACCUUUUACGGCGAGCUCUUCGUCACCUCCAUACACGAGAAACAUCUCCUUAGUCCUUUUCAGGUACUUCAGGAUAUUCUUGACCGCUGUCCAGUGAUCCACUCCUGGAUUACUCUGGAACCUACCUGCCAUACUUAUGGCCAGGCUAACGUCCGGUCUAGUGCACAGCAUUGCAUACAUGAUAGAACCUAUGGAUGAAGCAUAGGGGACGGAGCGCAUAUGCUCUCUAUCUUCAUCAGUUGCUGGGCACUAAGUCUUACUCAAUCUCGUACCUUGUAAAACUGGCAAGAACCCUUUCUUGGACUGUUCCAUUUUGAACCUCUUCAAAACUUUAUCAAGGUAUGUGCUUUGUGAAAGUCCUAUCAGGCGUUUUGAUCUAUCCCUAUAGAUCUUAAUGCCUAGAAUGUAAGCAGCUUCUCCUAGGUCCUUCAUAGAGAAACUUUUAUUCAAGUAAUCCUUUAUGCUCUCCAAAAACUCCACGUUAUUUCCAAUCAGCAAUAUGUCAUCCACAUAUAAUAUUAGAAACGCCACAGAGCUCCCACUCACUUUCUUGUAAAUACAAGAUUCUCCAACCACUUGUAUAAACCCAAAUGCUUUGAUCACCUCAUCAAAGCGUUUGUUCCAACUCCGAGAUGCUUGCACCAGUCCAUAAAUGGAUUGCUGGAGCUUGCACACCUUGUUAGCAUUCUUAGGAUUGACAAAACCUUCGGGUUGCAUCAUAUACAAUUCUUCCUUAAGGAAACCGUUAAGGAACGCCGUUUUGACAUCCAUCUGCCAGAUUUCAUAAUCGAAAAAUGCAGCUAUUGCUAACAUGAUUCUGACGGACUUAAGCAUCGCUACGGGUGAGAAUGUCUCAUCGUAGUCAACUCCUUGAACUUGUGAAAAACCCUUUGCCACAAGUCGAGCUUUAUAAACGGUCACAUUGCCGUCAGCGUCUGUUUUCCUCUUAAAGAUCCAUUUGUUCUGAAUAGCCUUGCGGCCCUCAGGCAGUACCUCCAAAGUCCACACUUUGUUCUCAUACAUGGAUCCUAUCUCGAACUUCAUGGCUUCUAGCCAUUUGUUGGAAUCUGGGCCCACCAUUGCUUCUUCAUAAUUUGCAGGUUCAUUGUUGUCCAACAACAUGAUUGACAAGACGGGAUUACCGUACCACUCUAGAGCAGCACGUGGUCUCGUCGACCUGCGUGGUUCGACAGAAACUUGAACCGGAGUUUCAUGAUCAUCAUCAUUAACUUCCUCCUCAACCGGCGUCGCAACGACAGAGGUUUCCCCUUGCCCUGCGCCACCAUCCAGAGGGAUGAGAGGUUCGAUAACCUCAUCAAGCUCUAUCUUCCUCCCACUCAAUUCUCUCGAGAGAAACUCCUUCUCGAGAAAAGCUCUGUUUUUAGCAACAAACACUUUGCCCUCGGAUUUGAGAUAGAAGGUGUACCCAACUGUCUCUUUUGGGUAACCUAUGAAGACGCACUUUUCCGCUUUGGGUUCCAGCUUUUCAGGCUGAAGCUUUUUGACAUAAGCAUCACAUCCCCAAACUUUAAGAAACGACAACUUUGGCCUUUUGCCAUACCACAGUUCGUAUGGUGUCGUCUCAACGGAUUUUGAUGGUGCCCUAUUUAAAGUGAAUGCAGCUGUUUCUAAUGCAUAACCCCAAAACGAUAACGGCAAAUCGGUAAGAGACAUUAUAGAUCGAACCAUCUCUAAUAAAGUACGAUUAUGACGUUCGAACACACCAUUACGCUGUGGUGUUCCAGGCGGUGUCAACUGUGAAACAAUUCCACAUUUUCUUAAGUGAGCACCAAACUCGAAACUCAGAUAUUCACCUGUUGGAGAACGUCGCACGGGAAACAAAAAUUUUCCUACGCGCACGAAGACCUAUCAUGGUGAUGUCCAUCUAUGAGAGGGGAUGAAUGAUCUAUGUACCCUUGUAGACCGUACAGCAGAAGCGUUAGAGAACGCGGUUGAUGUAGUGGAACGUCCUCACGUCCCUCGAUCCGCCCCGCGAACAAUCCUGCGAUCAGUCCCACGAUCUAGUACCGAACGGACGGCACCUCCGCGUUCAGCACACGUACAGCUCGACGAUGAUCUCGGCCUUCUUGAUCCAGCAAGAGAGACGGAGAGGUAGAAGAGUUCUCCGGCAGCGUGACGGCGCUCCGAAGGUUGGUGAUGACCUUGUCUCAGCAGGGCUCCGCCCGAGCUCCGCAGAAACGCGAUCUAGAGGAAAAAUCGUGGAGGUAUGUGGUCGGGCUGCCGUGGAAAAGUCGUCUCAAAUCAGCCCUAAAACCUCCAUAUAUAUAGGUGGGAGGGAGGGGACCUUGCCUUGGGGCUCAAGGAGCCCCAAGGGGGUCGGCCGAGUCCAAGGGGGGAGGACUCCCCCCCAAACCGAGUUGGACUUGGUUUGGUGGGAGGGAGUCCCCCUUCCUUCCCACCUCCUCCUUUUUUUUUCUUUCUCUUCGAUUUUUAUCUCUAUGGCGCAUAGGGCACUUGUGGACUGUCCCACCAGCCCACUAAGGGCUGGUGUGCCUCCCUCAAGGCCUAUGGGCUUCCCCGGGGUGGGUUGCCCCCCCCGGUGAACUCCCGGAACCCAUUCGUCAUUCCCGGCACAUUCCCGGUAACUCCAAAAACCUUCCGGUAAUCAAAUGAGGUCAUCCUAUAUAUCAAUCUUCGUUUUCGGACCAUUUCGGAAACCCUCGUGACGUCCGUGAUCUCAUCUGGGACUCCGAACAACAUUCGGUAACCAACCAUAUAACUCAAAUACGCAUAAAACAACGUCGAACCUUAAGUGUGCAGACCCUGCGGGUUCGAGAACUAUGUAGACAUGACCCGAGAGACUCCUCGGUCAAUAUCCAAUAGCGGGACCUGGAUGCCCAUAUUGGAUCCUACAUAUUCUACGAAGAUCUUAUCGUUUGAACCUCAGUGCCAAGGAUUCAUAUAAUCCCGUAUGUCAUUCCCUUUGUCCUUCGGUAUGUUACUUGCCCGAGAUUCGAUCGUCAGUAUCCGUAUACCUAUUUCAAUCUCGUUUACCGGCAAGUCUCUUUACUCGUUCCGUAAUACAAGAUCCCGCAACUUACACUAAGUUACAUUGCUUGCAAGGCUUGUGUGUGAUGUUGUAUUACCGAGUGGGCCCUGAGAUACCUCUCCGUCACACGGAGUGACAAAUCCCAGUCUUGAUCCAUACUAACUCAACUAACACCUUCGGAGAUACCUGUAGAGCAUAUUUAUAGUCACCCAGUUACGUUGCGACGUUUGAUACACACAAAGUAUUCCUCCGGUGUCAGUGAGUUAUAUGAUCUCAUGGUCAUAGGAAUAAAUACUUGACACGCAGAAAACAGUAGCAACAAAAUGACACGAUCAACAUGCUACGUCUAUUAGUUUGGGUCUAGUCCAUCACGUGAUUCUCCUAAUGACGUGAUCCAGUUAUCAAGCAACAACACCUUGUUCAUAAUCAGAAGACACUGACUAUCAUAGAUCAACUGGCUAGCCAACUAGAGGCAUGCUAGGGACGGUGUUUUGUCUAUGUAUCCACACAUGUAAAUGAGUCUUCAUUCAAUACAAUUAUAGCAUGGAUAAUAAACGAUUAUCUUGAUACAGGAAUUAUAAUAAUAACUAUAUUUAUCAUUGCCUCUAGGGCAUAAUUCCAACAGUCUCCCACUUGCACUAGAGUCAAUAAUCUAGCCCUCACAUCACUAUGUGAAUUACAUUGUAAUAAAUCUAACACCCAUACAGUUCUGGUGUCGAUCAUGUUUUGGCCGUGGAAGAGGUUUAGUCAGCGGGUCUGCUACAUUCAGAUCCGUGUGCACUUUGCAUAUAUUUACGUCCUCUUCCUCGACGUAGUCGCGGAUGAGGUUGAAGCGUCGUUUGAUGUGUCUGGUCUUCUUGUGAAACCGUGGUUCCUUUGCUAAGGCAAUGGCACCCGUGUUGUCAGAGAACAAGGUUAUUGGAUCCAGUGCGCUUGGCACCACUCCAAGAUCCGUCAUGAACUGCUUCAUCCAGACACCCUCCUUAGCCGCCUCCGAGGCAGCCAUGUACUCCGCUUCACAUGUAGAAUCUGCUACGACGCUUUGCUUGGAACUGCACCAGCUUACCGCACCCCCAUUAAGAAUAAAUACGUAUCCGGUUUGCGACUUAGAGUCGUCCGGAUCUGUGUCAAAGCUUGCAUCGACGUAACCUUUUACGGCGAGCUCUUCGUCACCUCCAUACACGAGAAACAUCUCCUUAGUCCUUUUCAGGUACUUCAGGAUAUUCUUGACCGCUGUCCGGUGAUCCACUGCUGGAUUACUCUGGAACCUACCUGUCAUACUUAUGGCCAGGCUAACAUCCGGUCUAGUGCACAGCAUUGCAUACAUGAUAGAACCUAUGGCUGAAGCAUAGGGGACGGAGCGCAUAUGCUCUCUAUCUUCAUCAGUUGCUGGGCACUGAGUCUUACUCAAUCUCGUACCUUGCAGAACUGGCAAGAACCCUUUCUUGGACUGUUCCAUUUUGAACCUCUUCAAAACUUUAUCAAGGUAUGUGCUUUGUGAAAGUCCUAUCAGGCGUUUUGAUCUAUCCCUAUAGAUCUUAAUGCCUAGAAUGUAAGCAGCUUCUCCUAGGUCCUUCAUAGAGAAACUUUUAUUCAAGUAACCUUUUAUGCUCUCCAAUAACUCUACGUUAUUUCCAAUCAGCAAUAUGUCAUCCACAUAUAAUAUUAGAAACGCCACAGAGCUCCCACUCACUUUCUUGUAAAUACAAGAUUCUCCAACCACUUGUAUAAACCCAAAUGCUUUGAUCACCUCAUCAAAGCGUUUGUUCCAAAUCCGAGAUGCUUGCACCAGUCCGUAAAUAGGAUCGCUGGAGCUUGCACACUUUGUUAGCAUUCUUAGGAUCGACAAAACCUUCGGGUUGCAUCAUAUACAACUCUUCCUUAAGGAAACCGUUAAGGAACGCCGUUUUGACAUCCAUUUGCCAGAUUUCAUAAUCGAAAAAUGCAGCUAUUGCUAACAUGAUUCUGACGGACUUAAGCAUCGCUAGGGUGAGAAUGUCUCAUCGUAGUCAACUCCUUGAACAUGUGAAAAACCCUUUGCCACAAGUCGAGCUUUAUAAACGGUCACAUUGCCGUCAGCGUCUGUUUUCCUCUUAAAGAUCUAUUUGUUCUGAAUAGCCUUGCGGCCCUCAGGAAGUACCUCCAAAGUCCACACUUUGUUCUCAUACAUGGAUCCUAUCUCAGACUUCAUGGCUUCUAGCCAUUUGUUGGAAUCUGGGCCCACCAUUGCUUCUUCAUAAUUUGCAGGUUCAUUGUUGUCUAACAACAUGAUUGAUAAGACGGGAUUACCGUACCACUCUGGAGCAGCACGUGAUCUCGUCGACCUGCGUGGUUCAACAAAAACUUGAACUGGAGUUUCAUGAUCAUCGUCAUUAACUUCCUCCUCAACCGGCGUCGCAACGACAGAGGUUUCCCCUUGCCCUGCGCCACCAUCCAGAGGGAUGAGAGGUUCGACAACCUCGUCAAGUUCUAUCUUCCUCCCACUCAAUUCUCUCGAGAGAAACUCCUUCUCGAGAAAAGCUCUGUUUUUAGCAACAAACACUUUGCCCUCGGAUUUGAGAUAGAAGGUGUACCCAACUGUCUCUUUUGGGUAACCUAUGAAGACGCACUUUUCCGCUUUGGGUUCCAGCUUUUCAGGCUGAAGCUUUUUGACAUAAGCAUCACAUCCUCAAACUUUAAGAAACGACAACUUUGGCCUUUUGCCAUACCACAGUUCGUAUGGUGUCGUCUCAACGGAUUUUGAUGGUGCCCUAUUUAAAGUGAAUGCAGCUGUUUCUAAUGCAUAACCCCAAAAUGAUAACGACAAAUCAGUAAGAGACAUCAUAGAUCGCACCAUCUCUAAUAAAGUAUGAUUACGACGUUCGGACACACCAUUACGCUGUGGUGUUCCAGGCGGUGUUAACUAUGAAACAAUUCCACAUUUUCUUAAGUGAUCACCAAACUCGAAACUCAGAUAUUCACCCCCACGAUCAGACCGUAGGAACUUGAUCUUCUUGUUACGAUGAUUUUCAACUUCACUCUGAAAUUGCUUGAACUUUUCAAAUGUUUCAGACUUGUGCUUCAUCAAGUAGACAUAACCAUAUCUACUCAAAUCGUCAGUGAAGGUGAGAAAAUAACGAUAUCCGCCGCGUGCCUCCACGCUCAUCGGACCACACACAUCGGUAUGUAUGAUUUCCAACAAGUCACUUGCAUGCUCCAUUGUUCCGGAGAACGGAGUCUUAGUCAUCUUGCCCAUGAGGCAUGGUUUGCACGUGUCAAGUGAAUCAAAGUCAAGUGACUCCAAAAGUCCAUCGGCAUGGAGUUUCUUCAUGCGCUUUACACCAAUAUGACCUAAGCGGCAGUGCCACAAAAAUGUGGCGCUAUCAUUGUUAACUCUAACUCUUUUGGUCUCAAUGUUAUGUAUGUGUGUAUCGCUAUCAAGAUUCAAUAUGAACAAUCAUCUCACAUUGGGUGCAUGACCAUAAAAGAUGUUACUCAUAGAAAUAGAACAACCAUUAUUCUGUGACUUAAAAGAGUAACCGUCUCGCAAUAAACAAGAUCCAGAUAUAAUGUUCAUGCUCAACACAGGCACUAAAUAACAAUGAUUCAAGUUCAUAACUAAUCCUGAUGGUAACUGAAGUGAAACUGUGCCGACGGCGAUUGCAUCAACCUUGGAACCAUUUCCUACGCGCAUCGUCACUUCAUCUUUCGCCAGCCUUCGUCUAUUCCGCAGUUCCUGUUUCGAGUUGCAAAUAUGAGCAACAGAACCGGUAUCGAAUACCAAUGCACUACUACGAGAGCCGGUUAAGUACACAUCAAUAACAUGUAUAUCAAAUAUACCUGAUUUUUCUUUGCCCGCCUUCUUAUCUGCCAGAUACUUGGGGCAAUUGCGCUUCCAGUGACCCAUACCCUUGCAAUAGUAACACUCCGUUUCAGGCUUAGGUCCAGCUUUGGGUUUCUUCGUCGGAUUGGCAACAGGCUUGCCGCUCUUCUUUGAAUUACCCUUCUUGCCUUUGCCGUUUCUCUUGAAACUAGUGGUCUUAUUCAUCAUCAACACUUGAUGCUCUUUACGGAGUUCAGACUCUGCGACUUUCAGCAUCGCAAACAACUCGCCAGGAGACUUGUUCAUCCCUUGCAUGUUGUAGUUCAACACAAAGCCUUUAUAGCUUGGCGGCAGUGAUUGAAGGAUUCUAUCAGUGAUAGCCUCUUGCGGGAGUUCAAUCCCCAGCUCAGCUAGACGGUUUGAGUACCCAGACAUUUUGAGCACAUGUUCACUGACAGACGAGUUCUCCUCCAUCUUGCAAGCAUAGAAUUUAUCGGAGGUCUCAUACCUCUCGAUCCGGGCGUUCUUCUGAAAGAUAAACUUCAACUCCUGGAACAUCUCAAAUGCUCUAUGACGCUCAAAGCGACGUUGAAGUCCCGGUUCUAAGCCAUACAAGACUGCACAUUGAACUACUGAGUAGUCCUGCUUACGUGAUAACCAAGUGUUCUUAACAUCCUGAUCAGCCGUAGCGGGUGGUUCAUCUCCUAGCGCAGCAUUAAGAACAUAAUCCUUCUUCCCAGCUUGUAAGAUUAGCUUAAGAUUACGAGCCCAGUCUACAAAGUUGCUUCCAUCAUCUUUCAACUUAGCUUUCUCUAGGAACGUAUUAAAAUUCAGGGUGACUAUCACGUGAGCCAUGAUCUACAACACAAAUAUAUUCAAAGUGGACUUAGACUAUGUUCAAGAUAAUUAGAGUUUAACUUAAUCAAAUUAUUCGCUAAACUCCCACUCAAAAAGUACAUCUCUCUAGUCAUUUGAGUGGUUCAUGAUCCACUUACACUAGCUCAAGUCCGAUCAUCACGUGAGUUGAGCAUAGUUUUAGUGGUAAGCAUCCCUAUGCUAAUCAUAUCAUCUAUAUGAUUCAUGAUCGACCUUUCGGUCUCAUGUGUUCCGAGGCCAUGUCUGCACAUGCUAGGCUCGUCAAGCUUAACCCGAGUGUUCCGCGUGCGCAACUGUUUUGCACCCGUUGUAUGUGAACGUUGAGUCUAUCACACCCGAUCAUCACGUGGUGUCUCGAAACGACGAACUGUAGCAACGGUGCACAGUCGGGGAGAACACAAUUUCGUCUUGAAAUUUUAGUGAGAGAUCACCUCAUAAUGCUACCGUCGUUCUAAGCAAAAUAAGGUGCAUAAAAGGAUUAACAUCGCAUGCAAUUCAUAAGUGACAUGAUAUGGCCAUCAUCACGUGCUCCUUGAUCUCCAUCACCAAAGCACCGGCACGAUCUUCUUGUCACCGGCGCCACACCAUGAUCUCCAUCAAUGUGUCGCCAUCGGGGUUGUCGUGCUACUCAUGCUAUUACUACUAAAGCUACAUCCUAGCAAAAUAGUAAACGCAUCUGCAAGCACAAACGUUAGUAUAAAGACAACCCUAUGGCUCCUGCCGGUUGCCGUACCAGACGUGCAAGUCGAUAUUAUCUAUUACAACAUGAUCAUCUCAUACAUCCAAUAUAUCACAUCACAUCGUUGGCCAUAUCACAUCACAAGCAUACCCUGCAAAAACAAGUUAGACGUCCUCUAAUUUUGUUGUUGCAUGUUUUACGUGGUGACCAUGGGUAUCUAGUAGGAUCGCAUCUUACUUACGCAAACACCACAACGGAGAUAUAUGAGUUGCUAUUUAACCUCAUCCAAGGACCUCCUCUGUCAAAUCCGAUUCAACUAAAGUUGGAGAAACCGACACUUGCCAGUCAUCUUUGAGCAACGGGGUUACUCGUAGCGAUGAAACCAGUCUCUCGUAAGCGUACGAGUAAUGCCGGUCCAAGCCGCUUCAAUCCAACAAUACCGCGGAAUCAAGAAAAGACUAAGGAGGGCAGCAAAAUGCACAUCACCGCCCACAAAAACUUUUGUGUUCUACUCGAGAAGACAUCUACGCAUGAACCUAGCUCUGAUACCACUGUUGGGGAACGUCGCAUGGGAAACAAAAAUUUUCCUACGCGCACGAAGACCUAUCAUGGUGAUGUCCAUCUACGAGAGGGGAUGAGUGAUCUACGUACCCUUGUAGACCGUACAGCAGAAGCGUUAGUGAACACGGUUGAUGUAGUGGAACGUCCUCACGUCCCUCGAUCCGCCCCGCGAACAAUCCCGCGAUCAGUCCCACAAUCUAGUACCGAACGGACGGCACCUCCGCGUUCAACACACGUACAGCUCGACGAUGAUCUCGGCCUUCUUGAUCCAGCAAGAGAGACGGAGAGGUGGAAGAGUUAUCCGGCAGCGUGACGGCGCUCCGGAGGUUGGUGAUGACCUUGUCUCAGCAGGGCUCCGCCCGAGCUCCGCAGAAACACGAUCUAGAGGAAAACCCGUGGAGGUAUGUGGUCGGGCUGCCGUGGAAAAGUCGUCUCAAAUCAGCCCUAAAACCUCCGUAUAUAUAGGUGGGAGAGGGGAGGGGGGGCUUGCCUUGGGGCUCAAGGAGCCCCAAGGGGGUCGGCCGAGCCAAGGGGGGAAGGUCUCCCCACCCCAAACCGAGUUGGACUUGGUUUGGUGGGUGGGAGUCCUUCCUUCCCUUCCCACCUCCUUCUUUUUUUUCUUUCUCUUUGAUUUUUCUUCCAAUGCGCAUAGGGCCCUUUUGGGCUGUCCCACCAGCCCACUAAGGGCUGGUGCACCACCCUCAAGGCCUAUGGGCUUCCCCGGGGUGGGUUCGCCCCCCCCGGUGAACUCCCGGAACCCAUUCGUCAUUCCCGGUACAUUCCCGGUAACUCCGAAAACUUUUCAGUAAUCAAAUGAGGUCAUCCUAUAUAUCAAUCUUCGUUUCCGGACCAUUCCGGAAACCCUCAUGAUGUCCGUGAUCUCAUCUGGGACUCCGAACAACAUUCGGUAACCAACCAUAUAACUCAAAUACGCAUAAAACAACGUCGAACCUUAAGUGUGCAGACCCUGCGGGUUCGAGAACUAUGUAGACAUGACCCGAGAGACUCCUCGGUCAAUAUCCAAUAGCGGGACCUGGAUGCCCAUAUUGGAUCCUACAUAUUCUACGAAGAUCUUAUCGUUUGAACCUCAGUGUCAAGGAUUCAUAUAAUCUCGUAUGUCAUUCCCUUUGUCCUUCGGUAUGUUACUUGCCCGAGAUUCGAUCGUCAGUAUCCGCAUACCUAUUUCAAUCUCGUUUACCGGCAAGUCUCUUUACUCGUUCCGUAAUACAAGAUCCCGCAACUUACACUAAGUCACAUUGCUUGCAAGGCUUAUGUGUGAUGUUGUAUUACCGAGUGGGCCCCGAGAUACCUGUUCGUCACACGGAGUGACAAAUCCCAGUCUUGAUCCAUACUAACUCAACGAACACCUUCGGAGAUACCUGUAGAGCAUCUUUAUAGUCACCCAGUUACGUUGCGACGUUUGAUACACACAAAGUAUUCCUCCGGUGUUAGUGAGUUAUAUGAUCUCAUGGUCAUAGGAACAAAUACUUGACACGCAGAAAACAGUAGCAACAAAAUGACACGAUCAACAUGCCACGUCUAUUAGUUUGGGUCUAGUCCAUCACGUGAUUCUCCUAAUGACGUGAUCCAGUUAUCAAGCAACAACACCUUGUUCAUAAUCAGAAGACACUGACUAUCUUUGAUCAACUGGCUAGCCAACUAGAGGCUUGCUAGGGACAGUGUUUUGUCUAUGUAUCCACACAUGUAAAUGAGUCUUCAUUCAAUACAAUUAUAGCAUGGAUAAUAAACGAUUAUCUUGAUACAGNNNNNNNNNNNNNNNNNNNNNNNNNNNNNNNNNNNNNNNNNNNNNNNNNNNNNNNNNNNNNNNNNNNNNNNNNNNNNNNNNNNNNNNNNNNNNNNNNNNNGAACCCCAACCCUACNCCSACCACCACCACACCACACCACACGCACGCGUCGGCGCCGCGCCCCCCCCCACCCCCCCCACCACACACACACAUCAUAAAGCUCCUCCCGGUCUCUCUCCGCCCAUCCACCCCGCCCCCAAAACAAUCGCGCCCGUGAGUCGUGGCUGCUGCUACCAAUCUGCCCAGCAGAGCCGGCUCUCGACACGCUCGCUCGCGCCGCGUUCGUUGCAUGCGCCGGGCCGCCGCCGCCACCAGCAGGGUCAGGAUCCACAUGGCGGCGGAGGAGGUCAGGCAGGCGUCCGCGGCCGCCACGGCGGCCGAGGCGGUGCCGGCCCCCGCGGGCUCCCGCUGGGCGCGGGCCUGGCCGGCCGCGCUGCGCUGGAUCCCCACCUCCACCGACCGCAUCAUCGCCGCCGAGAAGCGCCUCCUCUCCGUCCUCAAGUCAGUGCCCCCAUAUCCCCUACCCCUGUUCCUCUCCUCGGACCACGAUUACUUGUUUUCGUCCACGAUUACCACUUGUACCAUCUGCACGAUUAGUUGUUCCGCCUCUUCACUCCGCCAUCCCACGAUCCGUAACAGCUGAUUGACCUCCUCAUAGGGCCCAAUUUUGGGGUUGCUGGACGACUUGUAGGGCUGUAAUCCGCUCAUCCCCCCACCACGGUUCACUGGUUUCCGAGCGUCGGGCGAGGGCGAGUGCCAAAGCUGUCUGCUUGUGCUCAAAACCAUCCAGCCGGAUACUGAUUCUGCAGCCAAUUCUGAUGUUGAAGUUGCUACCUUCAUUGAUAGGACUAUAUCAGAGCAGUGUGUCACUUUGGGAUCACUAAAGCCUGGAUUUAUUUAUACGCACUACUUAAUUUGAACUGUUCGAUUGUUGUGCAUAUAUAACACUCAGUUUCGUUUAAGCAUGGAACCGGCGGCUGUUCUGUCUGCUUGUCAGUAUUGUCUAUUUGGUCUCAUGAAGCCCAUACAACAAUAUAUAGCAUAUGUUGUAGUCUUUGAUGAUAAUGUUGUUAAUACUUGAAAGCAUUGACGGGACUCCUUGACCAUUAGUUGGAUAUUGUCCAUUUGGUCUUUCUAUUAUACUGUUGAAAAGAUAUACUCAUGAACUGCAUGGUGAAACUUUGUUUGUUGUUGAUCUGGUACUUCAUUCCAAUGCAUGAUAGCUUGGUCAACACAUUGCUCUGUUUCGAUUUGUGCAAUAAGGAUUUAAAAAAAAAAUACAUUCUGUACCUGAACUCGCUAACGCCCUGAAGGGAUAAUGUUACGAGUUCGUUCCAAGACAUAAUAUUGUAUUACAGUACUACUGACAUGGGACUUCACAUCCCCGUUUUUUCGCCUACUUGGCCUUUAGUAGAUAUUCCAUGUCUUCCUUUGUUUUAUUGUAGAUAGAAGAGUUACUAUUUCAUUAUGCUGAUACAUGAUGUAACUUUUUUUAUCUUCACAGAACUGGGUAUGUCCAAGAACAAGUUAACAUUGGCUCGGCUCCACCUGGGUCAAAAGUAAAAUGGUUUAGAUCAUCAAGUGAUGAGCCAAGAUUCAUCAAUACAGUGACAUUUGAUAGCAAGGAGAAUGCCCCCACCCUUGUCAUGGUCCAUGGUUAUGGUGCUUCACAGGGGUUCUUCUUUCGAAACUUUGAUGCCCUUGCAAGCCGCUUCAGGGUGAUUGCCAUUGAUCAACUUGGGUAAGCUCUAAGAAAAUCAAUACACUAUUGUGACUAAUAUUCCUCAAUGUGGUGAUUGAAGUAAUUAUAUUUCCAUUCCUUUGCUCACUUUUUCCCAACUGUUACAAUUAUCCUUGAUACCUGUAGAAAAGAGACAUUGGUCUAAAGAGUUUUGUGCAUUGUAAUAUUUGCACACAAUGUGUCUUCAUACCCACAGCAUACUAGGAUAUGAUUCCUGACUUGUUCACAUGCCACAAAUCUAAUUUUGAUUGUUUACAAUUAUCGGUGUUAAUGAUGCUUGUUCUUGUAAUUGACAUAAAGAAAGAAAAAUAUUAGUGUAGAUUCAUUGAUCUUAGAGUUCAAGAUUUAUGUUAGAAAUUGAAUCUUAUCAGUGUGAGUUAAGAGGAGUCAAUCGUGUCCUUUUACCUCUAGGUAAGGAAAAUUAAUAUGAUGAUACAUAAAUGUUUGCCUACUAUUAGGAUAUGUGUCAUGGAUGAUAAAAAAUGUUUUAUACUGUUCUUGUAAUUACUCCACAUUGUUUGAUGUUGCAUAUUGUUGAAUUUUUCCUACCCUUUUGCAGUUGGGGUGGAUCAAGCAGACCUGACUUCGACUGUAGAAGUACUGAAGGUUAGAUACAGAUACUUUAUUUUAGUAUGCUACUGGUUCCCCUCGACUGCCACUAUCAUUUCUGUUGUUGACCAUGCCUUGGCAUCAAAUUUUAUGGUGAACAUCCUGUUUUAUUUUGAUUUUUGACGAUCCUGCAAGCAAUUGCUACUAUGGGAAACCCAUGUAGAUUUGUUCCAUCAUAUUGCUUUGUGAUGUAGUUUCUGCUAUAUGCUUUUUUUUUAAACAACGAGUAACAUGCUUCCUUUCGUUUUUUAUUUUGGUCAACUUUGUGAACAGAAACCGAGGCUUGGUUCAUAGAUUCUUUUGAGGAAUGGCGCAAAGCAAAGAACCUCAGUAAUUUUAUAUUGCUCGGUCAUUCUUUCGGAGGAUAUGUUGCGGCAAAGUAUGCGUUACAGGUAUAUUUAUAAUUAAUUUAGCAAGUGAAGCUACUCAACUGCUGCCUAUGAUAAUUAUACUAAAAUGUAUGCUUUAUUUCAGCAUCCUGAACAUGUUCAGCACUUGAUUUUGGUUGGUUCUGCUGGCUUUUCAUCAGAAACAGAUCAUAGUUCUGAGAGGUUAACCAAGUUCCGUGCAACGUGGAAAGGCAUGCUAGUAAACCAUCUUUGGGAGUCCAAUUUUACUCCUCAAAGAAUUGUGAGGUAAGGCUAGGGCUUCUUCUAUUUGUAUUUUCAUUUUUUUACCUAAUAAUGCAAAUGAAGACAAGAUGAAAAUGUAAGCCUCUCCACUUCAUAAUUAGCAAUCAUCCAUGUCUAGUUAAAUUUGGUUAGUGCACGUACCUUAACAAAACAGAGCAAUCCAUCACCCAUUUUAACUGGAAGUAUUAUGUAGCCAGCUGUGACCACCAUAUCAGACCAAACCUGCCAGCAUGAUUUUGUUAGGAAAACAGCAACGCAUAUUGAACGGAAGCUCCAAAAAUAAGCUGCAAUAUUAUUUGCUGUCAAAUAGAGAAGUGCCAAUUAUUAUCUGAAGUAACACGAAUUAACAAAAAUCGCAAUCAAAUUCAUUCUGCUGUCUUAGAAGUCCAUGAAGGCAUCAUAUAUACUCUGAACUGGCAGUCACAGCUGGGGCAUAUAACAACCUUGUCAUGCUUCAGUCAGUUAAAAUGGAUGGAAGGGCUGGAUUGCUCCUUCUAUCGAAGUAAAUGAGUACUACUCCCUCCGUUCCUAAAUAUAGGUCUUUUUAGAGAUUUCACUAGGGACUACAUACGGAGCAAAAGGAAUGAAUCUACGCUCUAAAGUAUGUCUAUAUACAUCCGUAUGUAGUCCGCUAGUAAAACCUCUAAAAAGACCUAUAUUUAGGAACAGAGGGAGUAUGUUCAAAUUGAAGUAGAGAUAGCUCAACAACGCAAAAAUAAUUUGAAGUGGAGAUAGCUGCAACAAUUCGAAAACUAUCGGAUUUCUUUAUAAGCUACCUCUUUGGUACCUUUUGUACUGAUGUCCGUUUGUUUUACUUAAACAGAGGAUUGGGUCCUUGGGGUCCUGAUUUAGUUCGGAAAUAUACCACUGCUAGGUUUGGCUCACAUUCAACAGGUGAAUUACUAACAGAACAUGAGUCCUCCUUACUGACAGGUAAACAUUUGUUGUUACAUUAAUUCUGUAAGUGCAUUUUCUUAGAUGAUGCUUGUAAUUGAACCUUAUUGUUGCUUUCUUGUAUAUGAAGAUUACAUUUACCACACUUUAGCUGCUAAAGCUAGUGGAGAGUUGUGCUUAAAACAUAUUUUCUCAUUGGGGGCAUUUGCAAGGAAACCACUUCUGCACAGGUUAGCUCCUCUUCCUAUGCACUUAGUUUCUUGGAACUGCCCCCCUGGUGAUAACAGCAUGUUCAAUUAUUAUGUUUCUCAGUAAUCAUUAAGAAUUUAAGAUAAGAGCCCCUCCUAUAAUACUACCUCUGUAACUUAAUAUAAGACGUUUUUUGACACUACGACGGUGUACAAAAACGUCUUAUAUUUUGAUACGUUGGGAAUAUUAUUUAGAACUGUAUUUAAUAAAAGUGAAAAAGGGUUGUGUGUGCGCCCAAGUAGCUGUGGAAAAUCUGCUUUCGUUGAUUGUGGCUUUUGAAUCUUUAGCGGACAGGAUGGAAUUUGUUUCACAUGUUCUUCCCUAGCAUACUUGUUAAUUUCUUCUCUCUUUAUAGCAUUAGUCAAGUAGAUAAGAUAACUAUGGCUGCCAAUAACCACUUAUUCGUUACCAUGAAUAGAUUUGAAUUCCAGAAUGGCUUAUCUAGCGAAAAGUUUGAAAAUCCGACUCUGUAACAAACUAGCUAUACUACCAAUUUUCGUCAGUAUAUUUGAUAUAUAAAACAUGAUAAGUUAAUGAUCUUGUAGAUGCAGUAAUGUAUUGACCAAAAGUACCAGAGUGAACUAUAUGCAGCGUAAAUAUAUUUGUGAUGUUUUCUCACUGGCCUAUGACUUGCGACAGUGCAUCCGACUGGAAAGUGCCAACUACUUUCAUAUAUGGCCACGAUGAUUGGAUGAAUUACCAAGGGGCGCAGCAAGCACGCAAGGACAUGAAAGUUCCUUGCGAAAUCAUCAGAGUCCCACAGGUCAGUUUUCCAUUCUGGCAGUAUGUGCCCAGCCAGCCAAAAGAUUAGUAUUGACGACAUAUACCUUAACUGCUAUGCAGGGAGGACAUUUUGUGUUUAUAGAUAACCCUGAGGGGUUCCACUCGGCGAUCUUCUACGCGUGCCGGAAAUUUUUAUCUGGAGAUGCAGAGGAAGGUCUCUCUCUUCCUGAUGGCUUGAUAUCUGCAUGAGGCGUCAUCUUGUGUGAUCUCGUACCGAAUAGCGGUGUCAGCAUAAAGCAAAGCUAUACAACAAUAGAAAUGUUUUUGUAUGUAUGAAUUGUGUGAAUAUGUCAUUCAUAUGUGCUUGCGUACCAACAACACUAGUGAGACUAUUAUUGUUUUUUUUUUUGUCAGGUCUAGACAUAAUUAUGUCAUAUAUGUAAGAUCUUCCUAGUCAGUUUUUAGGUCAAGUUGCUGUAAGUGAUGCUCUAUAUUCUUUCAGGGCAACUUUAUGUUUGCCUGCUACGAAACAUCUUCACAGUAUUAACUGCCGCUGUACAUUUGCUGCAGUCAUUGCUGCGUCGUAGCCAUUUUUAGAAAGUAUUUUGGAACAGUGGAAGUGCAUUUUGGUGUCUUACGAUGCUAUUAUCCUACCAGACUAUUUUGGUACUAGUACGUCUACGAGUAUUCUACAAUUAGUCAUGAGGCUGACAAUGGCAACGUCCGCGGGGGCUGUUCCUGUCCCUGAAGGAGUUUUUUUUGGCCCCGAUCGGACUUCCUUCCUCGAGCUCGGGGGAAUCCCUUGGUCCGGUCUCCGGACCAGGAGGCGGUGGCGGCAUGGUGUCACUAUCUUUUUGAAGGGGUCGUCUUGUUGUUCGAAGAGUCUCGAUGGUGCGGCUCGAGUCAAUGUUACCGGACUUCUUGGGCGUAAUGUAUGCCAUCUCCGGCGCCAUCUCAAAGACACCUUUCCUAGGUUUGGCCGUACCGUUCACUUGUUGAUUUUCUCUUGGCACAAUUGGUGAUAGUACGUUGGAAUGUGUUGAUGUUGAGGUGAUAGUACGUUGGAAUGUGUUGACGUUGAGUCUUGGUUUUGUUGUAGAGGUCUCGGUAUUGGUUGUGAUGUGACUUGGUUGCUUUUUGGCUUGAGUCAUUGUCAUUGACAUAAGGUUGGACUAGGGAAACAUAUAUCCUAGUAGACAAGGUGGAUAUGAGUGAUGAGUGUGGCGGCUAAUUCUCGUGAUUAACGUUGUAAUGGUCGAAAGGCUUUGUAUUCGGUUUCUUUUUUUAAUGUGAAAGGUGCUUCUUUAUACUUCUUUUAAUGCGAUGAUACGCAUAUUUACGUGUAUUCUAUAAAAAAAUCAUGGCAAAAAUAUUUGUGUUUACUAAGCUCAACAGCUUGCUGAUUCCUACUCUCUCAAAUAUAAAUCGCUUUAGAUAUUUUAAUAUGAACUAUAGUACGGAUAUGUAUAUAGAUGUAUUUUGAAACAUAAAUUCAUCUAUUUUACUUCCUACAUAUUUCCUCCGUUUUUAAAUAUUUGUCUUUUCAGAGAUUUAACUACAGACUACAUCGGAGCAAAAUGAUGAAUUUACAUUUUAAACUAUGUCUAUAUACAUUCAUAUGUAAUCGAUAGUGAAAUUUCUAGAAAGACAAAUAUUUAAAAACGGAGGGAGUAGUUUACGCACACACUAUCUUUAAAAUGAUUUAUAUUUAAAAACGAGGGGAGUAGUUCUCUUGGACAUUAUGCCUAACUUCCAACUCCAAACAAAGAAAAAGCUCGCCCUUUCAUUUCAGCAAAGAGGGAGCGAGCGUGCCGCUCUUUCGCGGUUUCGCCUACCCCAUUUGAUGAGCCUAAACCCACAGGCGGGGCGCGCCGCAGCUCGCGUGGCAGAGCAUGGAGCGCCCUCCGCCAUCGCCGGCCUGGCCGCCGCCACCUCCAGGAUCGCCUCCCACGGCCGCGCCGGCGACGCCGCCGCGGCGCGCGCCGUGUUCGACGCGAUGCCCCGCCGCGACGCCGUCGCCUGGAACGCCAUGCUCACCGCCUACGCCCGCGCCGGGCAGCCGCGCGCGGCCNNNNNNNNNNNNNNNNNNNNNNNNNNNNNNNNNNNNNNNNNNNNNNNNNNNNNNNNNNNNNNNNNNNNNNNNNNNNNNNNNNNNNNNNNNNNNNNNNNNNCGAACCCUCCAAAGACUUUUGGUUACAACCCGUGUCCGAACCAAGUUUUUGUCUAACCUUUAUUAAUUUAAUUAGGGACUUUAAACGUUACUGCAGAUUAGUGUGGACCCCGACUUUUUGUACAAAUUAAACUAAGAAUUGAGGAAGRCUAUGGUGAAGUCGCGACAUGCAAUUGACCAAUAAAAAGACCCCUUCCACGGUCCUCCUCUAUUUUCUUCUCUAGUCACAUGCAUGACCACCCUCCUCCUCUCAACCGAACACAACAACACAAUAUCCCACUACAUGCAUAGUCCUCUUCUACUCUCUCUCUCUCUCUCUCUCCUUUCAAUUGGAAUAAUUUGUAAAUAAAAUUGGACAUAAAAACAAACAUUUGCGGUGUCCGUUUAGGGGGUCAGUGUUGGAAAUGCCCUUAGUAAACGAAAAUGUAAUUCUAAGAUAUUUACUGUGAGAAAGGGGUGUUGGGAAUUAUUUGAAAUGCGAUACUCAUAUGACCAUAUGGGAUGCGGCGGGAAAAAAGAAAGAAAGGAGGAUAUUAUUUGGUUGGCUCCGUCGAGAGGAGAGAAGCGUGGGGAAAACAAACUGCAUAUAUACGGCCGGCGGGGUGGGUGGUGAAAACUAGGAGCGAGGAGAGAUCAGUUGGAUGGCGACUGGGAUAUGCGCCAUGUAGUAUACGGCCCGUGUCGUGUCAAUCAACACAUGUGUCGUUUGUUUGGCUUGUCCGUUUGUCAUUUCCUCCUUCGUAGGCACCACGACGAGCCCUGCGCCUAAACGGCAACCGCAAGUCUCAUAUGUGUUCGUCAGCUAGCCAGCUAGCUAUCCUCAAAGAAAAGGGAAAAAAGAAAAGUAGCUAGCUAGCUAUCCUCUUAGAAAAGGGAAAAAAGAAAAGUAGCUAGCUAGCUAGCGCCAUUGGUCGAUGGACGGGGAGGUUUGCGUUCCGUGUCCAUCACGGCCAUCUCCUGCCGAGCCACCGAGACCUUUCCAACCUUGGGAAGAACAUGGAGCGGAUCACUUCUAGAAUCUCUCGACAGUGGACGUUUGGUUUCUGGACUGAUGAAGCACCUGGACUCGGACGAUUGAGAUGUCAUCGCGGACACCAUGCUAUGUGGAGCAGCGUGCUGGUCACAGUCGAAAGUAUCGUAUAUUGAUACUACGUCCAUAAUGCAUAGAAUUAUGGUUUGAUAUCAUACUUAAUUUUAUUUAUUUAAUUAUAUGUUACCUUAAUAAAAUAUCUAAUUCACAUGUAUGAUACUAGCUAUUAUAUUACGGACGUGGAUUUUUUUUUGCUCUGGGGAGCAUAUGAUGCUCCCUAAUGAACAGUAAAAACCAAAAAAAAAAAGUAAAUAAGUUUUAAAAAUUCUGAAUUUUUUUUAUAGAUGUUCACAUUAGUGUGGCAAGUGUGCUUGCUAAUUUUCAUGACAUAUGGGAUAGCGGUGCUUCGUUGGUGAAAAAAUUAAAAUUAAACUAAACAUUUGAAGAUAACAUUUGACGUUGGACUUGUUCAUUUUGUGCAGACCAAAAUACUUAAGUUUUUGACCUGUAAAUUGCAUAUACCAUUUGAGUGUGACAAUGAACACAUCUGUUUUUUUCAAAAAAUUUGAUAUUUGUAAAAUACAUUUUUAACACGCAGAAGCAUAUGCUUCCUAGAAUCAAAUUGAAUAUCCAUUAUACUACCAGCCUAAGAGGCGACACAUCCGACAAACAAGUGUCAUUAAUAGGCACAUGCUCAGGUGGACAUGUUAUCAUAAAAUAAAUGAUCAAGUUAGAAACAAAGGAAUAUAAUACUCCUUCUUUCAAAAUAAAUGACUCGAUUUUAUAUUAAUUUUAUAAGGUUAGUAUAAAAUUAAAUCAUUUGUUUUGAAACAAAGGAAGGACAGGUCAAGGAGGAGGUGGCACAGACUAAAGAAAAGCUUAUCCUAUACCGACUAGAUGUGACUUGGACAUAUCCACCACAGGCAUGCAAAAGCGUCAAUGAAAAUACUCUAGGAAGGGUAGGGGCAACUAAAAUUAGAGCAUCUCUAGCACACCCUGUGUAAUGCCUCGUCCCGUAAAAUAACCGCCAAAAUAAGGAUCGAAAAUAUUACCACAUCAGAUCCCGCAAUGUGUCCGAGCCGUAAAAAACUUUGCGGGGCGCGAUAAAAGUUUGCCCUCAACCUUCAGAUUCACGGGGUGGGAGGCCGACCCGAGCUCGCCCCCUAUCCGCAACGAGAUUUAACGCGAGGGAAAUUUCCGCGCGGUUGUUCCCUGCUCCCCCCUCCUCGACUGCCAUUGCCACGCUACCGCGCGCUCCGGACCAUCUUCCCCACCAUUCCAUGCCGCCAUGGAAGCCUCUCAGCCGGCGGAUCUCGUCAACAUGGAGGUUACGCAUGCACAAUCCCAUCGGCGGAUCUCGUCAACAUGGAUUAAUACUUCCAACUCAUGGUCAAGUAUCCCAAUAAGACAGUACGAACCUUUCAGUCACUCCAAGGUCGUUGGGACGUGAUCAAGCCGACUUGUAGCCAUUGGGCAGCUUGCUUGGAACAAGUUCGCAAUGCUCCUCCAAGUGGAACCGUGGAAUCCGACUAUGUUAGUUUGUUUUCACGUCCCAAGUUCUACACACCAUUUGCAUCAUGUGAAAUGGUUCCAUCAUUUGACUUUGUUUUAAUUGUGUAGGAAAAAAUUGCCCAACACCGGUACAAAGACAUGGAAGCUUCAUAAGGCAAAAAAAUUAAACUAGAGCAUUGUUGGGAAAUGAUCAAAGACUGCGACAAGUGAAAGUUGAUUGACAAAGAAUCCCCACCGAAGAGAGGUUCACUUACGAACAUGGAUGAAGAUGAAGAUGAUGAUGACCCAAGAAACUUGAACAAGCCUGAUGGUGACAAGAAGACAAAGAAGAAGAUCAAAAGGGAACACGAAGCAUCGAGCUUGCGGGAUAGGAUAUAUGCCAUGGUAAAAUCAAAUGAGGUGAUGCUAGCGAAGUCUCUGGAGGCAAAGAUAGAGUUGGCCGAGAAGAAGGCAUGAGAGAAACAAGAGAGGUGGAAAUUGCUAAAGGACAUUGAGGAGAGAAGAGCACGUGUUGCUGAGAACAAAACCAUGGCCAACCUUCUUGCCGAAGAGAACAGGAUCAUGACUUUGAACUGUAAUGACAUGGACGACAUCAGCAAAGAAUGGCAUGAUAUGACAAGGAGAGAAAUCUUGAAGAGGAGGAUGCUUGCGUGUUACAAUGGCGGCGAUGUUUUCUCAUUGGGAAUCGGAACCAAUAUUGUCGAUGAUUUCAAUGCCGGAGUUGGAACAAGUGUCAGCGAUGGAUACGGGGGAGUCGAUGGAUUCAGGGGCGACGAUGACCUCGAUGGUGCGGAGUGAAGAGCGACCAGGAUGCAUGAAGUCCUUUUGGGUUUGUAUUUUAAACUAUGCUUUCAUUUUGCACGCGAACUAUGUUAUAUUGUUUAAAAUCGAAUUCAUUUCUCGGAACCGCUCUCAAAUUCGCUUAUUGGGAGGCUUUUCGGUUUACGGGUCAACGUGGCGGCAUCCGAGCAGACCCCGUAUUGCCAACCCGUAAAAAACAUCUUCUGCAAAUAUAUUUUUUACGGAUCCGUUUUGCGGGAUCUGAUUCCAUUCGUGCCCGCACUGGCCCACAAAACCCUUUUUUCUCGAACUGUAAACGACUUUGCGGGUUAACUUUAUACGGGGUCUGCUAGAGAUGCUCUUAACAUGAGAAUAGACAAUGCUCUUAACAUGAGAAUAGACAGUAAAAGGAGACAUCAAGGAGAGUGCAAAGUUUUAAUGGACGGGGGCAUUAGAGGACUUUAUUUCAAAAGAUUCAAAAAUGAUAUUUCUAUAUUUUUUUUAAAUCCCAAAAUAAAUAUUUGAAAACUUAUACGUAUUUGCAGUGGAUCUAUGAAAUUUCGUUUACUAAAAAUUUUAUUUUUUAACUAAGUCUGCAACAAAAAUUAAAAAAUUAAKUAGGACCCAAAAACAAAACCAAAAAAAGAAUACCUAACUUUUACUUAAUUUAAUUAGUUUUACUUUAGKUUUUUAUURUUAUACGUCYAMKUAUAGUAAAGUAUAUUAGUUAUUGUUAAUUUUUUCUACAACUAGUGUUGUGNNNNNNNNNNNNNNNNNNNNNNNNNNNNNNNNNNNNNNNNNNNNNNNNNNNNNNNNNNNNNNNNNNNNNNNNNNNNNNNNNNNNNNNNNNNNNNNNNNNNACGUAACGGUUUACGGUAACCCUACGUCCCGACAACCCCCUACCGUCCGUUACCCUUUCCCUAACCCUAAGACCACCCGGACUACGAGACGACUUAGUCACUUGUCAGCACGAUAGUCGUCGAUGAGCGCUGCAUCGAAGACACCAACCAUACGUCCACUGCAUCAUCAUGAGCGCCCAUCGGAGCUCCGACAACGUUGCGCCGCAGCACAAACAACCACCGACAAAGCUGCAUCGAAGCACCCGUUUCUCCCUGUAGAGUCGCAACUGUUGCAACGCAACAGCCUCGCCGCAGCACCGACUACUCACGCGAGCGCUCUAUUGCAGCAUUGUGACCGUUGCACUGCAGCUUCGGCAACACCGACCAGCAUUGCAUGCCGCCGGUGAGUACUCCAUUGUAGCACGACGAGAGCUGCAACGCCUCAUCCUCAAGCGGACCGUUGCCACUUUGCAACUUCACGGGUGCUGCGACAUCUCCUUUUGCGGCAGCGCCACACCCUCGAGCGGCGAUACGACGAGCCCUUAUCAGCAGCGAUGGCUGCCCUGCAACUCACGACAACAGGGUGGUCAGCGUUGUGCGGCUCUCCUCUCCUACAACAAUGGCAGAUGAUCCCCGAUUUUCAAUUGUUAGGGCAGCAACACGUGUGGGAUAUCGGGACUGCGACUGCACGACGAUCCUGCACUCGAUUCCUCAACUCCGUCGACAGUCCUCCUGAUUUCCCUCCAGUGUCUCAUCUAACAGCUGACGAAUAAGAGAACAAUGAAAAGGGAAAGGGAGAAACGAGUGGAGGGGAAGAGAUAAGGUGGGACGAGAGUGAGCGGUGGAUGAAUCCAUGAGGGCACAUGGCGUACGGAGGCGACGGUUUAAGGGAGAGAGAAUCAGUUGGUUGUUUUUAAUUGUUUUCUUUUUUCUUUCAAAGAAGGCAUUUUUUCUAAAACUGUCAUCGUUUAAUCUCGCGCCGUAACCAAAACGGUCAUGAAAAUGCAUUCGCUUGCCAUCUACCUUCCACAGAGGAAACGUUCGUCAGUUAGUAUUUCCGUAAAACAUUCACUCGAUGAGAUUUCGGUUCUAAGAGCAACUCUAGCAGACCCCGCAUCCGCCCUCGACCCGCAAAAUAACCGCCAAAAUGCGGGUCGGGGUGGAAAAGCCUGCCCGAUCAGACCCCGCAUCCCGCCCCGGCUCGCAAAAAUUUUCAGGGGGCGCGGCAAAUUCCCGACCCCAACCUGGGAAAACGCGGGUUUCCCCCUCACGGCUGCGGUGCCCUGCAUAACAGAGAGGCAGUUGGCGGGAGGGACAUUUCAGCCCGCGCUAUUUUCCCCUCCCUUCCGCCGCCGCCGCCCCGCCCUUGCUUCCUCCCGCCUGCUGGUGGCGAUUCCGGCCAUAUCUGCAGGCGAGCCGCUGCACCGCCCCUCCGGAUCCGGCGAGAAGAGCCCCCUCUAGCCGUCGCCGCCCGGGAUCGACCACCGCCUCAUCGCCGCCGCCGGUUAGUACCUUUUUUGUGGUUCCUACUAUCCUCCCGCCAACUACCCGAGAAGAUGGAGUUGACCCCAUGUGAGAAGUUCCUGCUAUCCGAUUCGUCCGAUUCGGACGGCUCGGAUGUUGAGACCAUGCUUGCGACCUUUCGUCAGCAAACAUUAGUCAUGACGCUUGCCGUGAAGGAGAAUGAAGACGAGAACCAUAAGAAGAGGCGAGGAUCGACUGUCGAGCGUUUGUGCAUUCCUCGGAAUCGCCAUCUUGGGAACGAGAUGUUGAUGCAAGACUAUUUCGCGGAGAAUCCUACAUAUCCUCCACACCUCUUCCGGAGAAGGUACCGAAUGCGCUGAUCCCUCUUUGUGAAAAUUGUUCAAGCUUGCGAGGAAAAUUGCCGGUAUUUUACUCAAAGAAGGAAUGUCGCAGGCUUAAAGGGAUUUAGUGCAUAUCAAAAAAUCUCCGCAGCUAUGCGGGUGAUUGCAUAUGGCGUUCCGGUUAACUAUGCCGAUGUGUACAUUCGCAUUGGUGAAGAUACCACAAUUGAGUAUGUGCGUAGAUUUGCAAAAGUUGAUCAUCCGUCUCUUCGGUCCUGAGUAUCUUCGGGCAUCCAAUGAAGAUGACACAAAGAAAUUGAUGGCAUCUAAUGAGAGGAGAGGUUGGCCUGGAAUGCUAGAUAGCAUUGAUUGUAUGCAUUGGAAUUUGAAAAAUUGCCCCAAGGCUUGGCAAGGAAUAUAUUGUGACAAGUCUCGUGAUGCAAUAAUUGUGCUAGAGGCCGUAGCAUCCGAGGAUUUAUGGAUUUGACAUUGCUUUUUUGGUAUGCCGGGCACUCUCAAUGAUAUCAAUGUGUUGUAACGGUCGCAUUUGUUUGCUAGGCUUGCUAGUGAUGAUGCUCCUGCUUGCAACUACGCUAUUAAUGGACAUGAAUACACAAAGGGGUACUAUCUUGCAGAUGGUAUAUACCCUCCUUGGUGCACAUUUGUCAAGAGCAUCAAAGAACCCAAAACAAAAAAAAUAAUAUGAAUUUGCAAAGGUGCAAGAGGCAGCCCGCAAAGACAUUGAAAGAGCAUUCGGUGUUUUGCAAUCUAGGUUUGCCAUUGUGCAUGGUCCUGCUCGUUUUUGGGAUAAGAGAACCUUGAAGAACAUCAUGACACGCUGUGUUAUCCCGCACAAUAUGAUUCUUGAAGAUGAGAGAGGAUUGAACUUAGAAUUCUUUUACGACAAUGUGGGUAGCCGUGUCAAACCAGCUAGAGACCCAAACCGCAUUAGAGCUUUUCUUCAGACAUACAAGGAGAUUGAAAACCCAGACACCCACUUUCAACUUCAGAAGUAUCUCAUUGAACACUAUUGGCAAAGGGCUAGACAACGACUUAUUUUUGUAUUCAUUUGUAUUUGUAUUCAUGACAAGUUUUGAAUAAUUAUUUGUAAUGCGGAUGAUUAUUGUAUUGUGUUUGAUUGGAAUAAUUCAGUUUGUUUUCGGCCGUUGAAUUAUGUUGUAUUUGAUAUUUACGGUCUAAUGAUACGGGAAGCAGCGGUGCAAAGAACGGACCCUUCAAAGUCGACCCGUAAAAAAGAAUAUUCCACAAAUAUAUUUUUUACGGAUCCGUUUGUGGGAUCUGCAUAUGUGACAGCCCAGGCCAGCCCGCAUAAGCAGUUUAGCACGACCUGCAAACGUGUUUUUCGGGUCGACGGGAUGCGGGGUGUGGUAGGGUUGCUCUAGAGAAACUCUUUCCAGCGGUUGACUGGUUUUGACUGAGCGUUACAUGCCACGUCAUCGGGUUUACCUCACCAGGACAAGUCCCGCCUCCCGAGCCCGAACCAAUCCGUCCCGUGAGAGGAGCGCCGCCACUGCCCCUCCGCCGCCGGCUUCGGCCCUCCCCGUCGCCCACUUUCCCCGCCCCUCCCCCGCGGCCCCGCUCCUCCAACUCCCCUCCUCGCCCGCACCCACCCCGUCGCCCCGGUCUCCGCCCACCCCCGCCCCACCCACCCCACCCAACYCCUAAACCCUACGACCCUACUCCCCCCUACAAAACCCCGUGGAAACGUACCCACGGUUCCUACGCCCGGAGCCCCGCCCGCCGGGGACCGGCGACGCGGUACGCCCCGGAGACCCCUNNNNNNNNNNNNNNNNNNNNNNNNNNNNNNNNNNNNNNNNNNNNNNNNNNNNNNNNNNNNNNNNNNNNNNNNNNNNNNNNNNNNNNNNNNNNNNNNNNNNGCAGAUAACAUCGUUGUGGCACUCUCCAACGGCAGGUGCGUAGCUGCCAACAGGUAUGGAGCACACGUCUACCUCUAGGUAGCUAAGCUAGCUAGGCGAUGUACCCUAGCCUCUGGAGCAGCGCGGAGCGGAGGGCGCCGUCGCCGUCGUCGUCCUGUAGUCCAGCGGGCACGUCGAUGACGACGUCCUGCACCGUCACGCCCUCCAUGCGGUGCACGCACGCGUGCUGCACCUGCAGCUCUAGCCGACCGGAGCGCACUCAUCAGCCGCGCCGGCGCGUGCCGGGCUCGUCCCGAGCUCAUCACGCGCACCGCCGCCGCGUCCUUCCCCACCAUCCGCACCUCCACCACAUCGUCGCCAGCCCCGGCGUGGCUGCCUCGGGACGAAGAAGCGGGCCCGUUCGACGCCUCCCACCUAGCGGCGGCCGCCUGCCGGCCCUCCUCCUCGAGCCGCGCGACGCGGGAGCGCAGCUCGGUGAUGUAGGCGACGGCGUCGGCGAGGAGUGAGGCCUUGUCCAUCCGGGACACGGUGGGCACGGCGGCGCGGAGGUCGCAGAAGCGUCGGUUCAGCUUGUCGCGGCGCUGGCGCUCGGCCUCCACGUGGCUGACGGUGAGACCAUCGGGCCGCGGCACGGGCUUCCGCCCACGCCGCUUUGUAGGCGUGGUCGUCGACGCCGGCGGUAGCUCGGAGUCCGGGGAGAGCGACGAGCUCCGGCAGGCCACAAGAAAUCUACACUCCUCGCUCGUUCGGACCGGCNNNNNNNNNNNNNNNNNNNNNNNNNNNNNNNNNNNNNNNNNNNNNNNNNNNNNNNNNNNNNNNNNNNNNNNNNNNNNNNNNNNNNNNNNNNNNNNNNNNNCUUCUUCGUCCGUUUUCCGUUUCGUUUCCGUUUACCCCUUACGGUGUUUAGCUAAGCCGAGACCCCUUGCCUCCNGAAAAGUCAUUCCUUUUCUAUCUUCGUCCAUGUCAACAGGAUCUGGACGUGCAGGUUUUGUACUCAGGUUUGGGAUCUAUCUCCCCAGGUCGCWACUUUCUUGGGUCAUCGUUAGGCUCAUAAUUCUCAUCCUUUGCACAGGCAGCAUCAAGCAAUUUUUUCAUAACGCUCGAGGCACUGGGAUGGUGUUCGUACCCACAAUAGGUGCAAUAGUCCUCCAUUGAGUAGGCAUUGAGCUUAGCBAAGAUGUAAGCAGUCUUCUCAUCCUCUUCCCUUGUCCACUCAGUCUGGGGUUAAUGGGCACUAGGUUAGUUAAGUAAACGUAAAUAGACAGAACCUCUAUAAUUAUUCGACAGACAACUAGAAAAACUGAAAAAUGGGGGCAGACCUAUGUCAUAAUAGAGCAAGAUAUAACCAAUUAAAAGAAACAUUAAGCAUACAUAUGACAGGUAAAGAUUGUACGGUUAUUUGAACUAAUUUAAUUUGAAUUAGAAUGUAGAAUUCAACACAGAACUAGAAAAUUAUAAGUUUAGUACUAAGUUAGUCGUUUAGGUUUUAAUUUAGACUUAACUUUAAAGGUUUUAGUAAGUUUAGGUAUUACGACAAACGUCCGUUAAAUUAGGAAAGUACCGUAAUUUAAACGGAAAUUAACUAAAAGUUUUAANNNNNNNNNNNNNNNNNNNNNNNNNNNNNNNNNNNNNNNNNNNNNNNNNNNNNNNNNNNNNNNNNNNNNNNNNNNNNNNNNNNNNNNNNNNNNNNNNNNNUAUACCAUUCCCUUUGCCCUUCGGUGUGUUACUUGCCCGAGAUUUGAUCAUCGGUAUCCCUAUACCUAUUUCAAUCUCGUUAUCGGCAAGUCUCUUUACUCGUUCCAUAAUACAAGAUCCCGUGACUAACACUUUAGUCACAUUGCUUGCAAGGCUUAUAUGUGAUGUUGUAUUACCGAGUGGGCCCCGAGAUACCUCUCCGUCACACGGAGUGACAAAUCCCAGUCUUGAUCCACGCUAACUCAAUGGACACCUUCGGAGAUACGUGUAGAGCAUCUUUAUAGUCACCUAGUAACAUUGCGACGUUUGAUACACACAAGGUAUUCCUUCGGUGUCAGUGAGUUACAUGAUCUCAUGGUCAUAGGAAUGAAUACUUGACACGCAAGAAAAAAUAGAAAACAAAAUGACACGAUCACAUGCKURCGUUUAUAGUUUUGGGUCUUGUCCAUCACAUCAUUUCCUACCUAAUGAUGUGAUCCAGUCAUACAAGUGAACAACCUACUUGCAUUAGUCGGGUACUAAACGUAAAAAACCCUUUAACCCGAUUUACCCGUUUAGUAACUUCCCGUAAAACGUUCGGGGUACCUUUAACGGUACCCGUAAACGUUCGGGGUAAACGGGUUCCCUUUAAACGGUUAAGGGGGUUUAACCCGUUUUUUUUGGGUUUUUUACGUACCUUUAAAGNNNNNNNNNNNNNNNNNNNNNNNNNNNNNNNNNNNNNNNNNNNNNNNNNNNNNNNNNNNNNNNNNNNNNNNNNNNNNNNNNNNNNNNNNNNNNNNNNNNNUUUUUCAUGAACUGUAAAAAUAUUUUUUGCGGAUCGGCAUUAUACGAGGUCUUCUGGAGAUGCUCUUAGCGCAUCCUCAAAGCGAACCCUCAAAGCUUUGGUACACCGUGUCCGAACCAGUUUUGCUAACCUUUAUAAUUUAAUGGGACUUUAAACGUCUGCAGAUUAGUGUGGACCCCGAUUUUUGACAAAUUUAAAACAGAAUUGAGGAAGCUAUGGUGAAGUCGCGACAUGCAAUUGACCAAUAAAAAGCCCCUUCACGGUCCUCCUCUAUUUUCUCUCUAGUCACAUGCAUGACCACCCUCCUCCUCUCAACCGAACACAACAACACAAUAUCCCACUACAUGCAUAGUCCUCUUCUACUCUCUCUCUCUCUCUCUCUCCUUCAUUGAAUAUUAGUAAAUAAAUGACAAUAAAACAACUAUUGCGGUGUCCGGUUAGGGUCAGUGUURGAAUCGACCUUAAGUAAACGAAAUGUUAAUUACUAAGUAUUAUUUACUGUAGGAAGGUAAAGGGGUUGUUAGGGUAAUUUAUUUGAAAUGCGUAUACUCAUAUGACCAUAUGGGAUGCGGACGGAAAAAAGAAAGAAAGGNGAUAUUAUUUGGUUGCUCCGUCGAGAGGAGAGAAGCGUAGGGAAAACNNNNNNNNNNNNNNNNNNNNNNNNNNNNNNNNNNNNNNNNNNNNNNNNNNNNNNNNNNNNNNNNNNNNNNNNNNNNNNNNNNNNNNNNNNNNNNNNNNNNGGACACUAACAUAAAUAACAAACGACUCUAAACAAUAGGCGAUCAUGACAAAAAAAAUAANACGAGUUUAUUAGUWAGUUGUCUCUUAAWAGUGAAAUCUGAUUUCACCAGUGGAUUCUUGGGAUGAUUCUACCCCAAAAGCAUAUAUAAUACAUGGGUACUUGCUUGUAACAUGUAGGCACAAAGCUAGCUCGAAAAACAACAUAGAAUCCUAUAAGAUCAUAUGAGACAUCAUCACAUGUGAACAAAGCAUUAUAGUAUCUACUACUCCUACAUAUGCACACACACAAGGUUCAUACACCACCACAUCACCAUAAUGGCAAGCAUGAGGGGUUAGCCCUCAUGCACAAGUGCAUAGGUGCACUCAUGCCCACACACACACAUGCAUAGAACAACACUACACACAAAUAAUAURUCGCCCMCCCCACCACACACUACAACCUAAGAAGGUGGCACUACAACGAAGGGGACGGUACGUACCGUCCYUYGUCGMMCWAUGUYGYGACUAGUUGCGACCAACCGUAAUGUCCACAACCACCAANNNNNNNNNNNNNNNNNNNNNNNNNNNNNNNNNNNNNNNNNNNNNNNNNNNNNNNNNNNNNNNNNNNNNNNNNNNNNNNNNNNNNNNNNNNNNNNNNNNNUAUGAUUUUUUUUUCGAACGGAAGAAGAUCAGGGGGCCUAUGGGCCAAGCCAGGAGGGCUACAGGGAGCCCACAAGCCCCCACUCCGCCACCAGGGGGAGGCGGCGGUGGGCAGGCUUGUGGCCUCCCUGGCGCCCCCCUGACCUAGAUCUAGCGCCUAUAUAUUCCCUAAAAAUCAGAAAAAAAUCAAGGGAUCCACGAAAAUACUUUUCCGCCACCGCAAGCUUCCGUUUCCGUGAGAUCUCAUCUGGANACCCUUCCGGUGCCCUACCGAAGGGGACCUUGGAGUUGGAGGGCUUCUUCAUCAUCAUCAUCGCCCUCAAUGACUCGUGAGUAGUUCACUUCAKACCUACGGGUCCGUAGUUAGUAGCUAGAUGGGUUCUUCUCUCUCUUGGAUCUUCAAUACAAAGUUCUCCAUGAUCUUCAUGGAGAUCUAUCCGAUGUAAUCUUCUUUGGCGGUGUGUUUGUCGAGAUCCGAUGAAUUGUGGAUUUGUGAUCAGAUUAUCUAUGAUAUAUAUUUGAGUCUUUGCUGUAUUUCUUAUAUGCAUGAUUUGAUUAUCCUUGUAAGUCUCUCCGAGUUCUUUGGGUUUUGUUUUCGACCUAACUAGAUUCUAUUGUAUUUCUUGACCGUAAGUGGGGAAGUAAGUUGGUCGUUUUGGGGUUUUUUCGGGUUACCUUUACCAGUUGGUUGGGUACGUACCCCUUUUCCCCGAAGUCCGGAACGUAGGGUUACGGGGGACAAAACCGAACGGGNNNNNNNNNNNNNNNNNNNNNNNNNNNNNNNNNNNNNNNNNNNNNNNNNNNNNNNNNNNNNNNNNNNNNNNNNNNNNNNNNNNNNNNNNNNNNNNNNNNNAUGUUCAACCAUACCGCAGGGCAACACUCGAUACGGCUAUAAUGUGUGAGUAAGGAUUGUUGGCUUACCCCUACUUUUUAGCUCUCUACCAAUUUUUACAAGGAACAAAACUCACUUAACAACUAUGUGAAUAUUUUUAAUGUUAAGCAAUCCAAACUGACUAAAGAAUUGAUCUCGAAAGACUGACGCCUGAGAGUACUGUCAAGGCAUUCGUAGAGUCGUGUUGGACGAUUACCGGCUURUUUGAAUGCUCAAUGGUCAAUGCCAUACCUUGCAUGAUUGCGUGAAUUUCUGCAUCAAGUGCGUCAUUGCAAUGAAAGAUAUACUUGUAUGCAUCAAAGUUCGCGGAAUCAUCCUCAUUUCACAGAACCAUUCCAGCACAUGCACGCCCAUCAUGACUACGAAAAUAGAGCCUCAAACCAAGAAAAGGACAACACCAUCCAGCUGUUAGGAAAUAUGCCCUAGAGGACAAUAGAAUAAAAUAAGUUAAUUUAAUUAAUUAUUUCCUUCUUUACGUAAGAAUUAAUUACGUUUAUUUAUACCUAUGUCUAAUUAAGUUAGUUAUUAGUAAUAGAAAGUAACAAUAAAUACNNNNNNNNNNNNNNNNNNNNNNNNNNNNNNNNNNNNNNNNNNNNNNNNNNNNNNNNNNNNNNNNNNNNNNNNNNNNNNNNNNNNNNNNNNNNNNNNNNNNAGAGGGCGAGUAGCCCACGUGGUGGUGCUGUGGUAGCAGGGGACCGUAGGGUUCCGGUAAUACCAGGGACCCCGUUUUUUUUACCCCCUUUCGUUUCAUUUUUUUCCCUUACUUUCUUUUCUUUCGUUGCAGCAAGCAUGANAGUUUUCUUUUUAGAUAGWGUUUUGGUGUGUAUUAUCUGCUGCCUAGGAUACCAUAUAUAGGUGUGUGCAAGUGCUUGUGUAUGCACUAGUGUGUGUAGGUGGAGUGUGUAUGAGUGUGUGUAUGGUGUGUGGUUGUGUGUGUGUGUGUGCACAUGAAUGAGUUGUGCACACAUGUGCAUGUGGGUGUGUGUGUGCAUAUGGUUGCACAUGCACAUGUGCAAGAGGGCCUAGCCCCUCUUGAUGCACCUCUUGUAGUGUGUGUGGGUGGGGCACAUAUAUUUGUGUGUAUGUGUUCAUGCAUGUGUGUGUGUGGGCAUGAGUGCACCUAUGCUACUUGUGCAUGGACGGGUCCCUAACCCCGUCAGUUGUCCUUUCGACCCUAUUUAGUGGGUAGUGUUGGGUUGGGUUGGGUUUUAACGUUACGGUAAACCCGUUUUGGUUAGGGUUGGUGGUUCGGCCUUAAGUUAGUUAGGGUUUAAAGGGUAGGUUUAAGGGUAAACGGUUAAUUNNNNNNNNNNNNNNNNNNNNNNNNNNNNNNNNNNNNNNNNNNNNNNNNNNNNNNNNNNNNNNNNNNNNNNNNNNNNNNNNNNNNNNNNNNNNNNNNNNNNCAUCACUCUCUUCAUCGAGACAGCUGAUCUGAAGACACACGGUGCGUGAACCGCGUCACUCCUUCCACUUAGDDACGACAGCUUCGUAUCUGAAGAUGCAGGUGCGUGAACCGCGUCACUCCCUUCAUUAGAGACAGCUUGAUCUGAAGACACAGGUGCGUGAACCGCGUCACUCCCUUCAUUAGAGACAGCUUGAUCUGAAGAUGCAGGUGCGUGAACCGCGUCACUCCCUUCAUUAGAGACAGCUUGAUCCCAAGAUACAGGUGUGUUCCCUACAUCUACACUUGUAGCAGCAGCCUUAGGAACAUUUCCCCCCUCUUCUUGGCUACCAGCAUCAACAUCCAUGCUACAAUUGGUAUUGUCCUGGUCAUCUAAUUUGGAUGAAUCAACCUUGUCAAUGGCGCCCUCGUUCAUGGUAACGCUGUCCCCACUAUGAGCAUUAGAAGUAGUCUGUCCAACUGAAGCCCCAUCGUUAUCCACUAGAGUGUCAGGCAAUGKAGGAAUAGGACCUACAAGGUCUCCAUCUACAUCUGCAUUGUCCAUGUCCAUCUGAUCCCCCUUGAUUUCUUUGCUUCCUGCAGCUUCUUCAUCAGUAACCAUAUUCGUCUGUCCUGAUUCCUCUUCAAUGUCAUGAUUCUUCCUCUCAUUUUUCUUCCUCAGCAGCACGUAUUUUGAGCUGCAGUCUUCCUCCUCCUUAGCUACGGGUUUCUGCCUCUAUUCGCCGUCUUUCCUUAGCCUACGGUUUUUCNCGCCUUCUAUUCGUCCCUUCCUUCCGUUUAGCCGUUACGGGUUUUUCUCGGCCCUUCUUAUUCGUCCCUUUCCUUUCCGUUACGUCCGUUACCGGGUUUUUCUCGUCCCUUACGUUAUUUCGUUCCUUCGUCGUCCUUNNNNNNNNNNNNNNNNNNNNNNNNNNNNNNNNNNNNNNNNNNNNNNNNNNNNNNNNNNNNNNNNNNNNNNNNNNNNNNNNNNNNNNNNNNNNNNNNNNNNUGAAGAAAUAGAUUUUACGGGAAAAUAAUCCAAUGAAAGAAGAAUUAUGUUUGGUGGACAGUUGUACCACUAACACAAUUUUAAGGGAAAUAAAAUAUUUCCAAACUCUAACUAAGAGAAAAGGGAAUAUUGUGACAAUCGCCGGUCGCGAUGCAUCAAUUAUUGGUUCAGGACGAGCCACACUUGUUCUACCUAUGGGUACUACGAUUGUAAUUGAGGAUGCACUCUUGUAUCCUGAAUCUACACGCACCCUUCUAAGUUUCAAAGACCUCAGAUCAAAUAAUUUUCAUGUGGAAACAAUUUCUGAAAAUAAUUCUGAAUAUUUGCUUUUAACAAAAAGCAAUGGGUUCUGAGAAAYAAAUUCUUGAAAAAUUCCCCUCACUUUCAUCUGGAUUAUAUUACAGUUAUAUAAAACCCGUACCACAUGUUGCGUACAAAAUAAUUUUUCAAGACCUUGAUAAAUUCAAGACUUGGCAUGAUCGCCUAGGUCAUCCUGGCAUAGGGAUGAUGAGAAAAAUUAUUGACAAUUCUAUUGGUCACAGYCUUCCAACUAAAAAAUUUUCCAAAUCAUCAGAUUUUGUGUCCACCGCAUGUGCAACUCGAAAUAAUUAUAGACCANCUAUCUUAGGUAAAAGUAAGAGUNCUAACUUACUUCUACGUACACUACUAGUAGAGAUAUAUGGUUCCGUACGUACUACUACUACUACUACUGGUCGUUACCGUUUAGUUAAUUAUUACUUAUANNNNNNNNNNNNNNNNNNNNNNNNNNNNNNNNNNNNNNNNNNNNNNNNNNNNNNNNNNNNNNNNNNNNNNNNNNNNNNNNNNNNNNNNNNNNNNNNNNNNCGAAAGUUUAGUACGUACGGAAGCGUUGUCCGAAUAGCUCGUGUGGAAAAGUUACCUAGAGUUUACGUAACGACGUAGGUCGAAGUUCGGUAAAGUACUUCUAAGAAGAAGGACAUGAGGAAAGUACACGAAUCUUCAUCUNAGGACUACAGAAAAGAACCUAGCCACAAAUAGCAAGAAAUACAGGUCAUUACAUUGCUGAAUGUCCCCGUUGGGGAAAGGAAGUCAAAGAAGAAGAAAUACAAGGAUGACAGUUCUGAUGACUCGUAGAAGAAGAAGAAAUCUUCAAAAAUCCUCAUCUUCAAAGCCCUCAUCGCACAAGAAGACUWGUUUCAGAAAGGCUCGGGCACUUAUUGGCAAGGAAAUGGAUUCCGAGGCAGAAUCAGAGGAAUGUGAUGAAGAAGAGGGUUCUGAUGAAGACUCAGAAUCCGGACAGGCUAGUCUUGCACUUGCAACCACUUUCGNGAGCAAGUCAAUCUUCAACCUUGAAGAAGAUGACAACACCAUCCACAGUGAUGACCUAUGCUGAUGACUUUGCUCCAACCUAUUGCUUCAUGGCAAAAGGUUCAAAGGUACCGAAUGAUGCUUCCCUCCUCUGAUUCAAGUGACUCUGAACCUAAUGAUUAUAAAAAACCCAGUUACAGUAAACUUAGCUAUCAUUGGCCACCUAAAACAAACAAAACGUCGCCCUCGGGUAAAAACGACGUUUACCACAAAACCGGUAUACCGUUAGAGUUAAAGAAGGUUAGAGUUGAACUCNNNNNNNNNNNNNNNNNNNNNNNNNNNNNNNNNNNNNNNNNNNNNNNNNNNNNNNNNNNNNNNNNNNNNNNNNNNNNNNNNNNNNNNNNNNNNNNNNNNNCACUAUAGAGGGGAGUAGGGUCCGAUCACAUUCACUUAGAUGAAAUAUUAAACUAAAGAAAUAGCUAUAAGUGAAUGCUGUUGAGGACUUUAAAAUCACAGUCUCUCUAUAUAUAUAUCUAGGCAAACGAAAAUCAUCAAGUGUUUUGAAGAUUUUGAAGAUGUUGAAAAACUCGAGGAUUUUGUGACAAAGCGUCAGCUUGAUGAAUUUCAACUUUGAAGAAAAACAGCUUGAAGAAUUUCAAAGUAGGGUGGUGGCGUGACCCACCAUAUAAGAAUGAUGAUUUCAAGCACCGCGUACAAUUGUCGUAGGGCCCUGUGAAUCAAAUUCUUCAUUAAUUUCCUCACACUAAGAGUGAUAUUCUUCAUUGAUUGAAGAAAAUCGAUUCUUCGUGUGUUGCACACAUAAGUGUGCAUGUUUUCACAAAACAUUUUAAUACUUCUAAGAUAUUUAGCUCACACCUCAACUUGCAACACCUUUUCUCAUCCAAGGGCUUAGUGAAAAUAUCUGCUAGUUGAUCGUCAGUCUUCACAUGGUCGAUAAUGAUAUUGCCCUUGAGGACACGGUCCCGAAGAAAAUGAUGACGAAUCUGGAUGAGCUUAGUCUUCGAUUGUUGUACUGGGUUGUAUGCAAUCUAGAUUGCUACUCUCAUUGUCGCAGUUAGAGUAGGAACUAUUUUCAUGUUGAUGUCGUAGUCCUUGAGGGUUUGCUUCAUCCAUAGCAAUUGAGCACAACAUGAUCCAACAGCAAUAGUGUGUGCGUANNNNNNNNNNNNNNNNNNNNNNNNNNNNNNNNNNNNNNNNNNNNNNNNNNNNNNNNNNNNNNNNNNNNNNNNNNNNNNNNNNNNNNNNNNNNNNNNNNNNGAAGAUCGUGCCGGUGCUUUGGUGAUGAGAUCAAGAAGNACGUGAUGAUGCCAUAUCAUGUCACUUAUGAAUUGUCAUGCGAUGUUAAUCCUUUUACUGUCACCUUAUUUUGCUUAGUAACGACGGUAGCAUUAUGAGGUGAUCUCUCACAAAAUUUACUAAGACGAAAUUGUGUUCUCCCCGACCUGUGCACCGUUGACUACAGUUCGUCGUUUCGAGACACCACGUKAUGAUCGGGUGUGAUAGACUCAACGUUCACAUACAACGGGUGCAAAACAGUUGCGCACGCGGAACACUCGGGUUAAGCUUGACGAGCCUAGCAUGUGCAGACAUGGCCUCGGAACACAUGAGACCGAAAGGUCGAKCAUGAAWMGUAUAGUUGAUAUGAUUAGCAUAGAGAUGCUUACCACUGAAACUGUUCUCGACUCACGUGAUGAUCGGACUUGAGAUAGUGGAUUUGGAUCAUGUACCACUCAAAUGACUAGAGAGAUGUACUUUUUGAGUGGGAUUUUAAGUAAUAUGUAUUAAUUGAACUAAUUGUCAUGAACAUAGUCUAAGUGGUCUUUGCGUAUUACGGAUGUAGCUUGCGCUAUAGUCUACUUGUUUUANAUUGUUCCUAGAGAAAAUUUUGUAGNNNNNNNNNNNNNNNNNNNNNNNNNNNNNNNNNNNNNNNNNNNNNNNNNNNNNNNNNNNNNNNNNNNNNNNNNNNNNNNNNNNNNNNNNNNNNNNNNNNNCCUUACUUAAAAACUUUAAAACGUUAGUUCCUAAAUUAAAAAACCAAAACUACGUAAACCUUUAGUAACGUAAACUUAAACUUAAUUUUCUUACGUUACUGGUUGUUGGAAUUACGUACCAAUUUCUAAACUUCUAAAUUAAACUUAGUUUCUAAAAUAAACCGUCAAUCUUUACCUGUUCAUAUGAUGCUUAAUGUUUCUUUUAAUUUGGUUAUAUCUGCUCUAUUAUGACAUAGGUCUGCCCCAUUUUCAGUUUUCUAGUUGUCUGUCGAAUAAUAUAGAGGUUCUGUCAUUUACGUUACUUAACUAACCAGUGCCCAUUAACCCCAGACUGAGUGGACAAGGGAAGAGGAUGAGAAGCUGCUUCAUCUUGCUAAGCUCAUGCCUACUCWAUGGAGGACUAUUGCACCUAUUGUGGGUCGAACACCAUCCCAGUGCCUCGAGCGUUAUGAAAAAUUGCUUGAUGCUGCCUGUGCAAAGGAUGAGAAUUAUGAGCCUAACGAUGACCCAAGAAAGUWGCGACCUGGGGAGAUAGAUCCAAACCCUGAGUCAAAACCUGCACGUCCAGAUCCUGUUGACAUGGACGAAGAUAGAAAAGGAAUGCUUUCUGAGGACAAGGGCUCGCUUAGACUAACACCGAAGGGGUAAAAGACGAAAACCGGGAAGGACAAAGGGAGAAACGAACGACGUGUAGGAAGGAGGCGGACGGCGGUCUGACNNNNNNNNNNNNNNNNNNNNNNNNNNNNNNNNNNNNNNNNNNNNNNNNNNNNNNNNNNNNNNNNNNNNNNNNNNNNNNNNNNNNNNNNNNNNNNNNNNNNUUUUGCAUGCCUGUGGUGGAUAUGUCCAAGUCACAUCUASYHGGUAUAGGAUAAGCUUUUCUUUAGUCUGUGCCACCUCCUCCUUGACCUGUCCUUCCUUUGUUUCAAAACAAAUGAUUUAAUUUUAUACUAACCUUAUAAAAUUAAUAUAAAAUCGAGUCAUUUAUUUUGAAAGAAGGAGUAUUAUAUUCCUUUGUUUCUAACUUGAUCAUUUAUUUUAUGAUAACAUGUCCACCUGAGCAUGUGCCUAUUAAUGACACUUGUUUGUCGGAUGUGUCGCCUCUUAGGCUGGUAGUAUAAUGGAUAUUCAAUUUGAUUCUAGGAAGCAUAUGCUUCUGCGUGUUAAAAAUGUAUUUUACAAAUAUCUAAAUUUUUAGAAAAAAACAGAUGUGUUCAUUGUCACACUCAAAUGGUAUAUGCAAUUUACAGGUACAAAAACUUAAGUAUUUUGGUCUGCAACAAAAUGAACWAACGUACCAACGUACAAAUUGUUAUUCUUACUAAAUUAGUUUUAAGUUUUAAUUUUUAAUUUUUUACCUAACCUAAACGAAGCACCGUCUACUCCCUAUAUGUCAUNNNNNNNNNNNNNNNNNNNNNNNNNNNNNNNNNNNNNNNNNNNNNNNNNNNNNNNNNNNNNNNNNNNNNNNNNNNNNNNNNNNNNNNNNNNNNNNNNNNNUGUUUCGUGUUUCUCUUUGUGAGUUUUAGAGCUUAUGGUCAUCUUCAGGACAAGCUCGAGUUCAUCGAAAACGGACUCCAUAUGCAUCUUCUAUGAUGUUUCGAUGUUGGAAGUUUUUGUCGGUUCUUCAUUCAUAGAGGUCUCACAUCUCUAUAACAUUGGCAUUUUCACAACUGCAAAAAUAGAACCCUAGACGCAGGGAGGCACCGGCUCCUUAUAUGACCUCGGGAGGCAUGCUUGGAGCCACCAGAUCGAAGGGGGAGGAAGAUCAGUGGUGGAGGUGGCGUCGUACACAGUGACGACAGCGAGGAGGAAGAAGAGGGUCGCCGGGUGGGCCUGGCUCGGGAGAAAAGGGAGGCGGCCSAGGGAGARRAAAGGACGCCCACUCCUAUCUAGCGCAUGAUAGGAAAAAAUAAACAAGGGUUUUUCCUAUUUUAUUUAAACCAAGCAGAAGCAAAAGCYAGUGCUCCAGAGUGUUUGGAAAAUAAAACUAAAGCACACAGGGCAUAAGGGAAUUAUGCCYWAUUUAAAAAAAYAAAACCAGWWUUUUAGAGCAAGUAAUUUAAUGACAAAACAGAAAUCUAUGCUGUUUUAGUAUUAACUCCCAUUCUAUUUAACGUUUAAAACCCAAACAGUAUCCCUCAUCCACAAGGUAAACUACAAAUNNNNNNNNNNNNNNNNNNNNNNNNNNNNNNNNNNNNNNNNNNNNNNNNNNNNNNNNNNNNNNNNNNNNNNNNNNNNNNNNNNNNNNNNNNNNNNNNNNNNUCCAUAUUGGAUCCUACAUAUUCUACGAAGAUCUUAUCGUUUGAACCUCAGUGUCAAGGAUUCAUAUAAUCUCGUAUGUCAUUCCCUUUGUCCUUCGGUAUGUUACUUGCCCGAGAUUCGAUCGUCAGUAUCCGCAUACCUAUUUCAAUCUCGUUUACCGGCAAGUCUCUUUACUCGUUCCGUAAUACAAGAUCCCGCAACUUACACUAAGUCACAUUGCUUGCAAGGCUUAUGUGUGAUGUUGUAUUACCGAGUGGGCCCCGAGAUACCUGUUCGUCACACGGAGUGACAAAUCCCAGUCUUGAUCCAUACUAACUCAACGAACACCUUCGGAGAUACCUGUAGAGCAUCUUUAUAGUCACCCAGUUACGUUGCGACGUUUGAUACACACAAAGUAUUCCUCCGGUGUUAGUGAGUUAUAUGAUCUCAUGGUCAUGUGUGCGUAAAUACUUGACACGCAGAAACCAGUAGCAACAAAAUGACACGAUCACAUGCUACGUCUAUAGUUUGGGUCUAGUCCAUCACAUGAUUCUCCUAAUGAUGUGAUCCCGUUAUCAAGUGACAACACUUGCCUAUGGCCAGGAAACCUUGACCAUCUUUGAUCAACGAGCUAGUCAACUAGAGGCUUACUAGGGACAGUGUUUUGCUAUGUAUCCACACAAGUAUUGUGUUUCCAAUUCAAUACAAUUAUAGCAUGGAUAAUAAACGAUUAUCAUNNNNNNNNNNNNNNNNNNNNNNNNNNNNNNNNNNNNNNNNNNNNNNNNNNNNNNNNNNNNNNNNNNNNNNNNNNNNNNNNNNNNNNNNNNNNNNNNNNNNUGUUGUGAUGUGACUUGGUUGCUUUUUGGCUUGAGUCAUUGCCAUUGACAUAAGGUUGGACUAGGGAAACAUAUAUCCUAGUAGACAAGGUGGAUAUGAGUGAUGAGUGUGGCGGCUAAUUCUCGUGAUUAACGUUGUAAUGGUCGAAAGGCUUUGUAUUCGGUUUCUUUUUUUAAUGUGAAAGGUGCUUCUUUAUACUUCUUUUAAUGCGAUGAUACGCAUAUUUACGUGUAUUCUAUAAAAAAAAUCAUGGCAAAAAUAUUUGUGUUUACUAAGCUCAACAGCUUGCUGAUUCCUACUCUCUCAAAUAUAAAUCGCUUUAGAUAUUUUAAUAUGAACUAUGUACGGAUAUGUAUAUAGAUGUAUUUUGAAACAUAAAUUCAUCUAUUUUACUUCCUACAUAUUUCCUCCGUUUUUAAAUAUUUGUCUUUUCAGAGAUUUAACUACAGACUACAUCGGAGCAAAAUGAUGAAUUUACAUUUUAAACUAUGUCUAUAUACAUUCAUAUGUAAUCGAUAGUGAAAUUUCUAGAAAGACAAAUAUUUAAAAACGGAGGGAGUAGUUUAUAUUAAAAUCUUUAAAAUGAUUUAUUAUUUAAAAACGAGGGGAGUAGUUCUCUUGGACAUUAUGCCUAACUANNNNNNNNNNNNNNNNNNNNNNNNNNNNNNNNNNNNNNNNNNNNNNNNNNNNNNNNNNNNNNNNNNNNNNNNNNNNNNNNNNNNNNNNNNNNNNNNNNNNACGCACACACUGGACAUCACCAUGAUAGGUCUUCGUGCGCGUAGGAAAAUUUUUUGUUUCCCAUGCGACGUUCCCCCAACAGUGGUAUCAGAGCUAGGUUCAUGCGUAGAUGUCUUCUCGAGUAGAACACAAAAGUUUUUUGUGGGCGGUGAUGUGCAUUUUGCUGCCCUCCUUAGUCUUUUCUUGAUUCCGCGGUAUUGUUGGAUUGAAGCGGCUUGGACCGGCAUUACUCGUACGCUUACGAGAGACUGGUUUCAUCGCUACGAGUAACCCCGUUGCUACAAAGAUGACUGGCAAGUGUCGGUUUCUCCUAACUUUAGUUGAAUCGGUAUUUGACAGAGGAGGUCCUUGGAUGAGGUUAAAUAGACAACUCAUAUAUCUCCGUUGUGGUGUUUGCGUAAGUAAGAURCGAUCCUACUAAGACUACCCCAUCGGUACCAACCAACGUAAAAACAUAGACCAAAACAAACCUAAAAAGUUAAGGUACGGGUAACCGUUACGNNNNNNNNNNNNNNNNNNNNNNNNNNNNNNNNNNNNNNNNNNNNNNNNNNNNNNNNNNNNNNNNNNNNNNNNNNNNNNNNNNNNNNNNNNNNNNNNNNNNACGCACACACUAUUUGCAUGGAUCGUACAUGCACACGUGUGUCUUGUACUUGYAACCGUACAUAUCUCUUCCUAAUAAUAAAGCGCGGAUCGUUUUUGUCGUCCGUCGCAGUCAUUUUAUAAAAACACCUCUCGUUUUUCAGUAUUCAUCCCGCAGUCCGUUUUUGAAUAAAAAAGAAUCUUUUUAGCAUUUUUCAGAAAACCCCCAGAUGUUUCACGUAAUCAACGCGCAGCCCGGAUUAAGUCAGAAAACGAAUCGUUUUUUUGCAUUUUUCCGAAAAUCCUUUGAUGUUUCAGGUAAUCAACCCGCCUCCGUAUUUAACAAAAAAACCUAACUUUCAGUUAUCAAUCCACUAUUUUAUACUAAAACAAAAUUAUCCAUAACUUUUAAACCGUACUACCGUAUUUAACAUUGUUAUAUAUAGUAAAUUUGUAAUUAAAAAAUAUUAGUAGUAACUACUAAAGUAGGUAUAGUUUACUUUUAGUCUUGUUAGUAAUUACUUACUUAAAUUANNNNNNNNNNNNNNNNNNNNNNNNNNNNNNNNNNNNNNNNNNNNNNNNNNNNNNNNNNNNNNNNNNNNNNNNNNNNNNNNNNNNNNNNNNNNNNNNNNNNAGUGUGUGUNUGUGUGUGGUGUGUGUGUGUGUGUGCACAUGAAUGAGUUGUGCACACAUGUGCNUGGGUGUGUGUGUGCAUAUGGUUGCACAUGCACAUGUGCAAGAGGGCCUAGCCCCUCUUGAUGCACCUCUUGUAGUGUGUGUGGGUGGGGCACAUAUAUUUGUGUGUAUGUGUUCAUGCAUGUGUGUGUGUGGGCAUGAGUGCACCUAUGCACUUGUGCAUGAGGGCCUAACCCCUCAUGCUUGCCAUUAUGGUGAUGUGGUGGUGUAUGAACCUUGUGUGUGUGCAUAUGUAGGAGUAGUAGAUACUAUAAUGUCUUUGUUCACAUGUGAUGAUGUCUCAUAUGAUUCUUAUAGGUAUUYUAUGUUGUUUUUCGAGCUAGCUUUGUGCCUACAUGUUACAAGCAACGUACCCAUGUAUUAUAUAUGCUUUUGGGGUAGAAUCAUCCCAAGAAUCCCCCCACUGGUGAAAUCAGAUUUCACUUUAGAGCAACUUCAUAAACUGUCUAUUUUUUUGUCAUGAUGCCAUGUUUAGAGUCUUUGUAUUAUGUAGUGUCUUUGACCCUAUGGAGGAUAGUAAUUCUUGAUGUGGCAGUAGGUGGGUACGAACCCCUCGUACGGCUAGUUGGGGUUCUUUUGUUGUAUUCAGUAGGUAGUUUGUAUGCUACGUUGGUCGGUGUCCUUGUACUAAAGGUUGUACUUANNNNNNNNNNNNNNNNNNNNNNNNNNNNNNNNNNNNNNNNNNNNNNNNNNNNNNNNNNNNNNNNNNNNNNNNNNNNNNNNNNNNNNNNNNNNNNNNNNNNUGCAUGUGAACAWGUCAGGAAUCAUAUCCUAGUAUACUGUGGGUACGAAGACACAUUGUGUGCAAAUAUUACAAUGCACAAAACUCUUUAGACCAAUGUAUCUUUUCUAUAGGUAUCAAGGAUAAUUGUAACAGUUGGAAAAAAGUGAGCAAAGGAAUGGAAAUAUAAUUAUUUCAAUCACCACAUUGAGGAAUGGAAAUAUAAUUACUUUAAUCACCACAUUGAGGCCCAUCUCCCUCUGCAGGCAGUUCCUCUUUUGCUUUUUUUUUUGUCCUUUUUUCUGUUUCGUUUCCCCCUUUUUUUGUCCUUUUUUCUGUUUCUCAUUUUUUCUAUGGUUAUUUUUUAAAGUAAGUUCAUGUUUGAUAAUUGUUGUUGAAAUUCAGAAAAUGUUCUUAAUUUUAUAGAAAAAAUCGGAAUUGUAAAAAAAUUCCAUUUUUCAAAAACAUUUCUAAAUUCUUAUUUUUUUUCGCGAUUUAGAAAAAAAAUGUUCGACAUUUUCAGAACAAUUAUUCGAAUUUUAGAAAAUGUUAUUUGUUUUGGUAUUCAUUAUUUCAUUCACUUUUAUUCCUUUUUUCCUUUUCCUAUAUUUGUGUUUGACAUUUUCUAAUAUUUGUUUUGAAUUUCAAAAAACGUUCCCGUUUUCAAUAUUUAUAUUUAAUUGUUUGCGCUUCAAAAAUUCGUCUUGCUUUCAAAAUGUGUUCAUAUUUUUAAAAAGUGUUACGUGUUUCAAAAGUUGUUCUCGUAUUAAAAAAAAUUGCUUCGUUUUUUWAAAAGUUCUWUUUUUCUUAAAUUGGUCUGUGUUUUCAGAAAAUGUUAUUGUUUYYACUUUUUAUUAAAAAUGUUCCUGUUUWMUGGAGUAAUUGUUUCUUCUUUUCUACUAAACUUYGUACUACUAACUUACGAAAACUUUCUUACUUAAACUUUUYCUUYGUUUCGUAGGUACUUUACUAAAUUUUCGGUUUAAUUUAACUUAAGUUUAACAAAAAAAACGUUUNNNNNNNNNNNNNNNNNNNNNNNNNNNNNNNNNNNNNNNNNNNNNNNNNNNNNNNNNNNNNNNNNNNNNNNNNNNNNNNNNNNNNNNNNNNNNNNNNNNNUCCUCGGAUAGAAGUUAAAGAUUUGUACGAAGAUAUUAGUGAGGAGGAGGUAUUGCGGACACUUAUCUUCAACGAAGGCGGUAAGGCCCGCGUUCUCCACCAAGUAGUAAAAUUCCUCAUAAAGUCUGGCGGCGCGUAAGAACACACCGCUUGGCCACUCGCACGCUUGAACUUCUGCGACUCGAGGGACCAGAUACUUGGGCUUCUUCUCACUUCCAUCAUCCUUGGGGUCACGGCUUGAAGAGCCUCUUAAGAACCUCCUCAUCUUUUCCUUUUCUAUCUCUGAAAAUUUCUGAAAUUUUAGUGAUUCUAAGGAAAAGUGAACAAGGCUCAACGAAACUCGUAGCAACUACUCCCACAAGUGCCUAGAGGCCAUAUUACGCAUCAAAACGACCUAGGUACCGGACGACGUAAACUUAAAAGUUACGAUAGUCGAAACGAACGUCCUAACUAAAACUAACUAGGUUCGKACCCAAACGGACGACGACGAAAACUAAAACGACCGGAACGGUAAGRCGAACGGAACGGACCUAACGUAAGGACGAAAAACCUAAAAACUUUAGGUACGAAACUAAGGUAGGGAANNNNNNNNNNNNNNNNNNNNNNNNNNNNNNNNNNNNNNNNNNNNNNNNNNNNNNNNNNNNNNNNNNNNNNNNNNNNNNNNNNNNNNNNNNNNNNNNNNNNUGAUGGAGUUCUCCAGCGAGGCAGAUGGCUUGGGGUUGACGGCGAUGGUGCUCCAAUGGUCUUCCGGCAAUGGUGUCAGCUCCAAUCGAUGCACGCGAAGACGAUGGUGAGGUUGGUGGCAUCGGACGGUGUCGGGGCAGACUGCGGCGAGCGGCACGAGCUCAACGGGCUUCGGGCAGUGGACAAAAAACUGUGACGAGAUGGUUGGGGUGGCAGUGGAGCAGUGGGAAGGUAAGGGUUUUAGGGGAGGAAUCGGGGUGCGGGGAGGGUCGGGGUCUUUAGUAGGGAGAGGCUAGUUUUGGGUGGGGUACAAACGGGAACGGGGAGCGGGCGAGAUGGGAUCGAGAGUCCGGAGAUACGGUMSGGAAAAGGGGAGGUGGAGGGUACGGGUAAAAGGAGGCGCGUGGACCCGGGUAGGGGGGGGUUCCGGGUCGGGCGUAGGGGUGGGGGUCGGUGGCGCGGAGGAGGUAGGUCGACCGUAGUUCGUUCGCGUAGUUCGGAUCCGAAUCNNNNNNNNNNNNNNNNNNNNNNNNNNNNNNNNNNNNNNNNNNNNNNNNNNNNNNNNNNNNNNNNNNNNNNNNNNNNNNNNNNNNNNNNNNNNNNNNNNNNGUAACGUAACGUAACGUAACGUAACGUAACGUAACGUAACGUAACGUAACGUAACGUAACGUAACGUAACGUAACGUAACGUAACGUAACGUAACGUAACGUAACGUAACGUAACGUAACGUAACGUAACGUAACGUAACGUAACGUAACGUAACGUAACGUAACGUAACGUAACGUACGUAACGUACGUACGUACGUACGUACGUACGUACGUACGUACGUACGUACGUACGUACGUACGUACGUACGUACGUACGUACGUACGUACGUACGUACGUACGUACGUACGUACGUACGUACGUACGUACGUACGUACGUACGUACGUACGUACGUACGUACGUACGUACGUACGUACGUACGUACGUACGUACGUACGUACGUACGUACGUACGUACGUACGUACGUACGUACGUACGUACGUACGUACGUACGUACGUACGUACGUACGUACGACGACGUACGACGACGACGACGAGAGAGNGNGNGNGNGNGNGNGGGGGGGGGGGGGGGGGGGGGGCGUGCCGGGUUACCUUCUUGAUGGAGGGGUCGAGCCACUCGUACCAGCGGGCCUUGCACUGCUUGGCGGACUUGCGGACGAGCAGCGAGGAGAUGCGCGCCCACUGGUUCUUGCCGUACUUCAUCACGGCGGCCUUGAGGAUCUCGUCCUCGGUGUUCUUCCACACCCCGCCCUUAAUCAUGAUCCUCAUCUUGCCUCCUCCCUCGCUGCCCCGCUGGGCCUCCUCGGAACUCUUCUCCUCCGCAGAGGGUCUCCGGGGCUCCGCGUCCGCCGCGCCCCGGCGGGGCGGCUCCGGCGAGACCUGGUCCUUCCUAGGGUUUGAGGGGGAUAGGUCUAGGGUUUAGGAUUGGGUGGGUGGGUGGGGCGGGGUGGCGAGACCGGGGCGACGGGGUGGUGCGGCGAGGAGGGGAUUGGAGGAGCGGGGCCGCGGGGGAGGGCGGGAAAGUGGGCGACGGGGAGGGCCAAGCCGGCGGCGGAGGGCAGUGGCGGCGCUCCUCUCACGGGACGGAUUGGUUCGGGCUCGGGAGGCGGGACUUGUCCUGGUGAGGUAAACCCGAUGACGUGGCAUGUAACGCUCAGUCAAAACCAGUCAACCGCUGGAAAGAGUUUMUCUAGAGCAACCCUACCACACCCCGCAUCCCGUCGACCCGAAAACACGUUUGCAGGUCGUGCUAAACUGCUUAUGCGGCUGGCCUGGGCUGUCACAUAUGCAGACUCCCNNNNNNNNNNNNNNNNNNNNNNNNNNNNNNNNNNNNNNNNNNNNNNNNNNNNNNNNNNNNNNNNNNNNNNNNNNNNNNNNNNNNNNNNNNNNNNNNNNNNUAGUCGGUUUAUAAUAGUUUGCAGUUGUCAUAGUCUAAUGGUUAGACACGUAAACUGACCCAACUAACCACCUACCGAUCAGACCGAAAAAUAGCUGCAAUAUUAUUUGCUGUCAAAUAGAGAAGUGCCAAUUAUUAUCUGAAGUAACACGAAUUAACAAAAAUCGCAAUCAAAUUCAUUCUGCUGUCUUAGAAGUCCAUGAAGGCAUCAUAUAUACUCUGAACUGGCAGUCACAGCUGGGGGCAUAUAACAACCUUGUCAUGCUUCAGUCAGUUWAAAAUGGAUGGGAAGGGCUGGAUUGCUCCUUCUAUCGAAGUAAAUGAGUACUACUCCCUCCGUUCCUAAAUAUAGGUUCUUUUUAGAGUAUUUCACGUAGGGACUACAUACGGAGACAAAAGGAUGAUCUACGCUACUAAAGUAUGUCUAUAUACAUCCGUAUGUACGUCCCGACUUAACGUAAAAACCCUUACGUAAAAAAACGUACCCUUAAUUAAGUUUUAAACGGGNNNNNNNNNNNNNNNNNNNNNNNNNNNNNNNNNNNNNNNNNNNNNNNNNNNNNNNNNNNNNNNNNNNNNNNNNNNNNNNNNNNNNNNNNNNNNNNNNNNNUGAUUCUCCCCCCAAAAACCCUGUGGGAAAAAAAUAUGAGGAGAAAUGUAUAGAUAUGUUGUUAAAACUACCUUUUAAAUCCAAUGGGAAAAAUUAUAAGGAGAAAAUAAUACAACAUAUAGUGAUUAUUGUCUCUUGAUAACUCAUAUGAGAAAAACCUUCAAAGAAGGAGAAAAUUAUUAGUGAGUUUUAGAGGACAAUAAAUAUGCUUUAGAUACUUUCCUUUAAAAACCUUAAUAGGAAAAAUAGCAAGUAUAGCAUAUGAUAUUAAUGAAGAUAUUGCCUCAUUAAAAACAUUAUGAGAGAAAAUUUCAAAGAAACUCAUAAUGAAAAGAGUGCAAUGAGAUGUGCCAUGAAAAACUCCUUUAAAACCUAGUAGGAAAAUAUAAGGAGAAAUAUGAUAUGGCAUGCAUCAAUGCUUGUAUUUAAUUGUCUCGUUAAAAACCUUUUAUGAGAAACCUCUUGGAAAAACUCAUAAAGGAAAAGAGUACAAUAUUCAUUAUCUGAUGAUAAUUAAAGGGUUAUAUAUUUUCAGGAGAUUUCUCCCCCUGAACUUUGCAAAUCACGAAGUCGUCUCAUACCAAUUCCAUGAAUGUAUUUCUGGAACGUUGAAUUUGGUAAAGACUUUGUGAACAAAUCUGCUAGACUGUCACAUGAUUUAGUUUGCAAAAUAUCAAUUUCUCCAUUUUUCUMUGUARUMGUNNNNNNNNNNNNNNNNNNNNNNNNNNNNNNNNNNNNNNNNNNNNNNNNNNNNNNNNNNNNNNNNNNNNNNNNNNNNNNNNNNNNNNNNNNNNNNNNNNNNCGCACCAAAUUUAACUAGAAUUUGGUCGGGGAAGGCGAACUAGAUGAUUCGAAAGGUCAASGYWYRCAYYAUACAGAAGUUGCGCGGUUGUAUGGUGUCGCACUCGCUCCCUAGCUCUCGUCAUCGGUCGUUGAGUUUUUCUUCAAGAAAAUCAUCGGCCUCGUGCAAGAAACUCACCAAGUAGCUUACGUGAUCAGUGACCGCAUCUCCUGUGUGCAUGCCGUGUGCACCCUUGCCACCUACAUCUCGAUAAGACCCAGGUCCCAAUCCAACAACCCUUUCGUCGCACAAAGAAAAAUGAAACGAAACGAAACAUAGUACAUGUCGCUCGCCCGCCGGCGGAUACAUACAACUGGACCGCGUCGCCACCACCACCACCGCGCGCGCUACAACAGAGCACGCCGCUAGUCCACUCCAGGUUCAGCUAGUUUGUUUCGAGAUGGGCAUGGCGAAGCUGCUGGUGCUGCUCCUCGUAGUCACCGCCGGCCACGGGCACGGGGCGGCGGCGGCGGGGGGAAGGAGAGGAACACGAUCACGCACGUCAAGGGGUUCGACGGGGCGCUGCCCUUCGCCCUGGAGACCGGGUACGUGGAGGUGGACGAGGCGCACGGCGCCGAGCUCUUCUACUACUUCAUCCAGUCGGAGCGCAGCCCGCGGGACGACCCGCUCAUCCUGUGGAUCACCGGCGGCCCCGGCUGCUCCGCGCUCUCGGGCCUCCUCUUCGAGAUCGGGCCGCUCAAGUUCGACGUCGCCKGCUACACCGAGGGCUUCCCGCGCCUCGUCUACUUCGAGGACUCGUGGACCCGGGUGAGCAACGUCAUCUUCCUGGACGCGCCCGUCGGCACCGGCUUCUCCUACGCGCGCGACGAGCAGGGCCUCGACGUCAGCCUCACCGGCACCGGCACGCACCUCCGGGUGUUCUUGCAGCGGUGGAUCGCCGACCACCCCGAGUUCGCCUCCAACCCGCUCUACAUCGGCGGCGACUCCUACUCCGGGUACACCGUCCCCGUCGCCGCGCUCGAGAUCGCCGACCAGCCGGAUAACGGGGGGCUCAACCUCAAGGGGUACCUGGUGGGCAACGCCGCCACCGACGACAAGCACGACUCCGGCGGCAAGGUGCCGUUCAUGCACGGCAUGGGGCUCAUCUCCGACGAGCUCUACGAGGCGGCGCAGGGCAGCUGCGGCGGGGACUUCGUGACGACCCCCCGGAACGUGCAGUGCGCCAACGCGCUCAUGGCGAUCACCAUCGCCACCUUCGCCGUGAACCCCGUGCACAUCCUCGAGCCCAUGUGCGGGCUGGCGCUGGCGCCGCGCGCUCUACGUCCGACGGCCCCGAUCAGCAGCAUCCUCUCCUCCGCGGGCGCGGGGAGGAGGAGGUCGGCGAGGCUGCUGGUGCAGGAGGCGGACCGGCUGGCGCUCCCGGUGGAGUGCCGGGACAACGGGUACCGGCUGUCCUACACCUGGGCGGACGACCCGGAGGUGAGGGCGACGCUGGGCAUCCGGGAGGGGACCGUCGGCGCGUGGAGCCGGUGCGUGCAGCUGACGCACUUCCANNNNNNNNNNNNNNNNNNNNNNNNNNNNNNNNNNNNNNNNNNNNNNNNNNNNNNNNNNNNNNNNNNNNNNNNNNNNNNNNNNNNNNNNNNNNNNNNNNNNUACUAGCGUGUACCGGUUCGUGAGUUUAAGUGAUCUAAUCUAGAUCGUUCAUUGCAGAUCUGACGGUGGACACGAGAGAGAAGCUUACAACGGCGACGAUGGAGUUCUCCAGCGAGGCAGAUGGCUUGGGGUUGACGGCGAUGGUGCUCCAAUGGUCUUCCGGCAAUGGUGUCAGCUCCAAUCGAUGCACGCGAAGACGAUGGUGAGGUUGGUGGCAGUCGGGACGGUGGUCGGGGCAGACUGGCGGCGAGCGGCACGAGCUCGAACGGGUCGUUCGGGCAGUGGACAAAAACUAURGACGAGAGUGGUUGGGGUGGCGAGGUGGAGCAGUGGGAGGGUAAGGGUUUUAGGGAGGUAAGUCGGGUGGCGGGGAGGGUCGGGGUCUUUAGUAGGAGGAGGCUAGUUUGGGUGGGGUACGAAACGGGACGGGAGGCGGCGAGAGUGGAUCGAGACGUCCGGAGACGUACGGUACGGGAAAGGGAGGUGGAGGGUACGGGGUAAAGGGACGGCGCGUGGACCGGGUAGGGGGGUUCGGUCGGGCGUAGGGGUCGGGGUCGGUGGCGGCGGAGGNNNNNNNNNNNNNNNNNNNNNNNNNNNNNNNNNNNNNNNNNNNNNNNNNNNNNNNNNNNNNNNNNNNNNNNNNNNNNNNNNNNNNNNNNNNNNNNNNNNNAACCGAACGGAAAGUAAAUUACGUACCCGAACCUUAACCGACCGUACUUUUACUUUCUAACCCGACCGAAACUAGACCCCACCGAAAAGGGUAACGGUUGUAGUAACCCAACCAACGUAGUAAGGGUAAGUACGUUUGUUAGUCUUUUUCGUUAUAAGUAAAGUAGCCGACGGCUCAAUAAGGAGCUAAAGGUAGAAUUAAUAUUCUCUCAAGUUCUAUCGACCACUGAUACAAUUCUACGCACGCUAACGCUUACUUUAUCUAGAACAAGUAUGAACCUAUUUUUCGGGAAGGAGACUAGAAGUACUUACUAGGUGAAAUAGAUAGUUUUGCAAGAAAAAAAAGAGCAAGUGAAUAAAAGUAAGGGGCUAUUUAGUAGACAGAUUUUUCUCUACAACGCAAUAGGAAGAUUGUCAAUAGGCAAUUGAAUAUAACAUAAUAGAUACAUAUCAUAURCAAUGAGGGAGAGCCGAGAUCCCUUUUGAAAAGAGACCCCCUCAGGUUUUUAUGAUACAGUGGGCGAGGACAGGCCACUUGAGCAUGUGCAGUUUCCAACUACCAUUGAGGAGCUUGGAAGGGAGGAGAAGAGUGGAUGUAGAGGCUCAAUUAAGAAAGCAAAGACAUUGACCAAGAACAAGAUUACUGCAGAGGCAGGANNNNNNNNNNNNNNNNNNNNNNNNNNNNNNNNNNNNNNNNNNNNNNNNNNNNNNNNNNNNNNNNNNNNNNNNNNNNNNNNNNNNNNNNNNNNNNNNNNNNGUCAUAACCCAAACGUUAGUUCCUAUAUGAGUCCACCACUACCUACCUACUGUGCGGUAGUCUACCUGCCGUUCCAACGUAAAUUUAGUCAUGUGUCACUCUCUAAACCUUACCUAAGAAAUAAAUACUGUUUUGUCAUGCUCGAACCGCUCAUGUGGUUACUAGGGGGCGUAUUGGUAUCUUCCAUGCUAGGCGUGUUAUCCUCGAUAUGUGUUUAUUCACUAUCAUUCACGAGAAAGGGGCCGGUAAUUGGAAUUCCCAGUUCCAUGCUCAAAUCAAAAAGAUAAUUGCAAACAAAAUACCCCCCCACGGAUUGAUGUUGGUAUGGACGGUACCCGGGGAUUCGGCUAGCCAUGGAGUGUGAUUGAUUGGUGGUGGGGGAGUCAAAACUUUACUUUUCUGUUUGGGAACCGCCUAUAGCAUGUGUAGCGUGGAAGAUGUUGAAGAACUCUUAGUCAUUGCGUUGACAAUGAAAGCAUGCCACCCAAAAUUAKUAUCUCURUUUUCAAAGCUUGAGCUCUSGCACCUCUGCAAAUCAACGCUUCCCUCUGCGAAGGGCCUGUCUAUUUAUGUUCCUGUUGAGUCAUCCUCCUCUUAUAAAAGCACCAAUUAGAGAGCACCUCUCUCAUUUUUUAUGCUUUGCUUUUAACUGUGUUGAGUAUGACUCUGACUGGAUGUUCUUUGCCAUGAAUUACAAUGUUUAGUCAGCCCUUGGUCUUUGAAGGUGCUCUGCAUUUUAUGUUCUUGGUCGGUCUCGAAGAAGAGUACGUAGGACGAAGUACUAACCUACUUACUUCGUUUACGUUACGUCGUUCCUUACUAGUAGUUAGUUUUGGUUUUUAGUAGUUUAAGGUAAGGUUUGGUUUACGGUUACGGUUUUAGGAACGUUUAACUUUUAAUUUUANNNNNNNNNNNNNNNNNNNNNNNNNNNNNNNNNNNNNNNNNNNNNNNNNNNNNNNNNNNNNNNNNNNNNNNNNNNNNNNNNNNNNNNNNNNNNNNNNNNNACCCUUAACCCGUUACGUCCCGGCCUUCCGGCCUUCGGCGGUACCGUACGGGGGGUACCGGGUCCGUACCCCUAACGACCUACCUACCGGACCACGGGUACGGUCCGUUAACCUGGGUCCGUCGUACCCUACUCGUUUUUUUACUUAAGUUAAAACGUAAUAAUUUCCUUUUUCUAUUUCUUUUUUACUUGUUUCUUCUUUCCUUUACUKKCUUUCCGUCACCUUUUUGGUCUCCUUUUCUUCCGUUUCCUUUUUAUUUUGUUAUCAAAACGAACAAAUGUUCAAUUUCUCAAUACUUUUUUUGUAAAUACUAAAUAGAUUUUUAAAUACAGAGUAACAAAAAAUAAGGAGCUUUAUUUUUUGAAAAGUCAUGAACAAAUUUGGAGACGCGGACAAUUUUCUAAAGCAUGAACAUUUUUUGAAUCUUGAUAAAGUUUUUUGAAACAGAGAACAAUUUUGAAAAAACACAAACAAAUUGAAAGCACGACAUUUUUUGAAUUUUUAGAAGAAACAAAUUAAAGCACAAACAUUUUUUGAAUCUUGAGAACAAAAUUUUCAAAAAUAUAACAAYUUUUGACAAACCCCAAACAAAUUUGAAAGCGCAAAUAAAGUUUUCAAGCACAAACAUCUUUUGAAUUUCUAGAACAAAUUUUGGAAAAUACWAAAACAAAAAAUGAAAAAAUACGUUGAAACAACUAAUUUAGUAAAGACGUGAAUAAAAUUUUUUUAAAAGUCAAUGCCCAAUUAUUUGAAUUUUAGUAGAUCAAAAAUUUUUGAAAAUGAAAGAAAACAAUUUUAGAAAAACUCCGAACAAAAUUUGGUAAGACGCGAACAAUAAUUUUUACAAGCACAACAUUCCUGAAUCUGAGACAAAAUUUUGAAAUGAGAACAUAUUAGAAAACCCGAACAAAUUUGGWAGCGCGAACAAUAUUUUCAAGCACAAACAUUUYCUGAAUCUUGAGAACAAAAUUUUGRAAUGGAGAACAUAUUUGAAAAACCCCGAACAAAUUUGGAAGCGCGAACAAWUAAUUUCAAGCACAACUAUUUUACUUGAAUCUUUGAAGAACAAAAUUUUGGAAUGGAAGAACAUAUUUAGUAAAAACCCCGAACAAAUUUGGAAGCGACGUUAACAAUUUUUAAAGCACGUUAACAUUGUUUAGAAUUUUAGUAGGAGUUUCGAAANNNNNNNNNNNNNNNNNNNNNNNNNNNNNNNNNNNNNNNNNNNNNNNNNNNNNNNNNNNNNNNNNNNNNNNNNNNNNNNNNNNNNNNNNNNNNNNNNNNNUUAACUAACUCAGGUAGAACAAGUACUUAAGGCUCAUAAUGACUUGCUCAAUGGAGUUGAAUGACAAUUAUGUUAGAGUCGUCGUCCGUCGCAGUCAUUUUUAUAAAAACACCUCUYGUUUUUUCAGUAUUCAUCCCGCAGUCCGUUUUUGAAUAAAAAAGAAUCUUUUUAGCAUUUUUCAGAAAACCCCCCAGAUGUUUCACGUAAUCAACGCGCAGCCCGGAUUUAAGUCAGAAAACGAAUCGUUUUUUUUGCWWUUUUCCGAAAAUCCUUUGAUGUUCAGGUAAUCAACCCGCUCCGUAUUUAACAAAAAAACCUACUUUUCAGUUAAUCAAUCCACUAUUUUAUACUAAAACRAAAUUAUCCAAUUAACUUUUAAACCGUAACUCCGUAUUUUAACAUGUUAUAUAUGWAAUUUGAAUUAAAAAAAUAUAGUAGUAAUACUAAAUAAGGAUGUUAUUUUUAGCUUGUUGUAAUACUUACUUAAAUUAUUAUUUUUGUAUGCAAACUUAUCUACUAGUGCGUACGUUUCCUUUUUUCCUUCGUCCUUUUACCGACGUACGNNNNNNNNNNNNNNNNNNNNNNNNNNNNNNNNNNNNNNNNNNNNNNNNNNNNNNNNNNNNNNNNNNNNNNNNNNNNNNNNNNNNNNNNNNNNNNNNNNNNUGUCAUCCCUCUCAAGGAACUGGUAGCGUGUCAAAGCAACGCGGUCAAGGAAAGCUGUAUGGAGCCGGGGAUCUCCUUCGCGGAUGGGUACUCCAAGAAAAUUUUCUCUCCGAGUGGCAUAGAUCCCACCAAAGAAAUCCCCUUCAAUAGCAUUCUUAUUCAGCCUCCUUGCUAUUAUAGCUCCCAUGUUAAAGCUCUUGUCACCCGUCACAGCGCUCUUAAGGAUACUAAGGUCGGGUGCGCAGAGGUGACAAUGCUCAAUCUUGCCAUUAAUGCAUCUGCCUAAGAAGAGGGCAAAAAAUGCAAGGCAGGAAAAUGAAUACUCCCCAUGGUAGCUUGCGUAAUGUCUCUAGUUUCUCCAACAGUAAUACCAGAGCAAAAAUCUACUAACCAAAGAUUUAGAAGGAUCACUGAGGCCUACCCAAAUAGGUAUUUUACAAUUCUAUUGAAAUCCUCUAAAUCCUAUGGUAUACGUAUUUAUCUAUAGAGAUACAAACAGUAUACGAUGUCUACCNNNNNNNNNNNNNNNNNNNNNNNNNNNNNNNNNNNNNNNNNNNNNNNNNNNNNNNNNNNNNNNNNNNNNNNNNNNNNNNNNNNNNNNNNNNNNNNNNNNNUAUAUGGUCGAAAUGCAUGAUACCAUGAAGUUAGAAAGGGCUAAACCAUUCAAAAGUAGCAAAUGAAGUUAGGAAGGGCUAAACCAUUCAAAUUUGGAAACUAUAAUGGCACAAACAGAAACUAGACAUAUAUAAAUUGGUCCAAGAAGUACAUGAUACUAGCCCAAACAGUACAUAAUAAUAGCUACCAUAGAUAUAUAUAUAUACAAGUGUUAGACGUUCAGAAUACUACUCGUCUGAAUCAUCUAAAUCAGAAUGUCCAAGUUCCUCGAGGUGACGCUGGCCAUAGUUGACGACUCGAAUCUUGCGGUACAACUCGUAUGAAACGUAUGCAUCUUUUGCUGCAUACUGAAUGUUGAUAUCAUCAAGUGGGUCCUUCUCCCAAAGUUUGUGCUGAUACUUUGGGAAACUGGUCUUCAUAUCACCAUAUGACUCGUCGAUCAAGGCAACUGCCAUAUGAGCCAUCGAAGUCCUGUCAUGUCAAAGCCUGAAUAUUGUUUGGAGAUCAACGAGGCAACCAGCUGGUAUCUCAAUACCGAAGCUGUGCCUCAUCUUCAGCCUGUCGUUCCUUAUGUCAACGGAAGCAAAAGUGACGCCGCUGCGAAGGAACUCCAUGAGUCCAGGACAAUGCUUGUCACUCCUGCAACAGAAACAAAUUAAGAAUGGAAACNNNNNNNNNNNNNNNNNNNNNNNNNNNNNNNNNNNNNNNNNNNNNNNNNNNNNNNNNNNNNNNNNNNNNNNNNNNNNNNNNNNNNNNNNNNNNNNNNNNNUACUGGAAAUAUCAGUACUAACUUUAGAAGAUAGUAAACCAAAGGAAAAGUAACAUGCUUAUUUGUUUGCAGCAUUGAAUUGGCAAGAUCGACAAUCUCAUCCAAAUUGGAAAACCUUUCAUCCGCUCGCACAUUAUCAAUGUAAGUGCAAAUUUCAGGACCAAAAUCAUCCAUUUCUUUAAUCAAAAAUAUCUGGAUAAAACUCAGCUAGCUUCACUAAGCUAUCCAAGUUAAAAGGAGCAAAUGUAUCGCUCUGGGUUGAAAGAAGCCAUGUGACCAAGUAAUGCAGAAUUUACCUCAUCGAACCGGUCAUCAAACUCUUGGAGCUGUGAGUCAAUAACAGAAUUAAGACACUCUACUCGGCAAUGCUGUAGGUUUAUCUUAUAGUUUUGUCUUGGUUUGUAUCGAUUGAUAUAUUGCUCCUGCAUACAUGUGUUCUCAAUGUGGCGUUGUUCAUAAAUUAUAUGCCUUAUGUAUCAGUGACGUCCCUAGUCCGUUACUACCCUUNNNNNNNNNNNNNNNNNNNNNNNNNNNNNNNNNNNNNNNNNNNNNNNNNNNNNNNNNNNNNNNNNNNNNNNNNNNNNNNNNNNNNNNNNNNNNNNNNNNNUCGCUUUAUGCCCUAGGCUAAAGGGGCGUUUAACGAAAUAAGGCGACCUUUGUUUGGGGUAGGGGAGAACCCCCCAAAUUAGGAAUUUUAACCCGUUCUUACCUUUUCUACUUUUUAGUUUGCGUCCACGACCAUCAUAUUUCUGUAUUGAUAGUGUCUUUUGUGUUUGAGUCCAAGCAAAACCUUUAUGACUAGUCUUGGUGAUGGUUGUUUGAUCUUGCUGGAAAAAAGACAGGAAACUUUUUGGGCUCACGAUAAUUAUUUUUCAUUUUAGUUCAGAAAGCGAUUUUUGAGUUGAUUCUUUUUUUAGUGCUGGUUGAUAUGCCUUUUUAUCCAGGCAGUCGUAAUUGUUCAGAAUUUUGCAGGUACCAUAAGUAUACGAAGUAUACAGAUUGCUGCAGACUGGUCUGUUUUUGACAGAUUCUGUUUUUGUUGAGUUGGUUGCUUGUUUUGAUGAAACUAUGGAUAGUAUCUGGGGGUACUAGCCAUGGAAAAGUGAGAAUACAGUWAUCUAACACCAAUAUAAAUAGAAAUCAAUAUUGCUACAGUACCAAAGGAGGUGGUAGUUUGUUUUCUUGUGCUAAUGAUAUCACGAGUUUCUGUUUAAGUUUUGUGUUGUGUAAGUUUUCUAAGUUUUCGGUGAUGUUCUCAUGGACAAAGGGAUAAAGAGUGGAAAGAGCUCAAGCGUUGGGGAUACCCAAUACAUCCAAAGCCAAAUUCAAGGACAUACAAAAAGCCUAAGAUUGGGGAUCGGCCCCGGGAAGGCRMUCCCCUCUUUCGUCUUCAAUCCAUCGGUAAACUAUUAYUYGGACGCUUAUUAUUUUUAUUCACCACAGUGAUUAUGUUCGUUUUGCUUGGANNNNNNNNNNNNNNNNNNNNNNNNNNNNNNNNNNNNNNNNNNNNNNNNNNNNNNNNNNNNNNNNNNNNNNNNNNNNNNNNNNNNNNNNNNNNNNNNNNNNUAAUUUGGAGAUACUCAGAGGACAUAUAUUUUCCAUACAUAAGAUUUUCAACCACUAUUUCUAUUCAAAAUGUUUGAGUAAAUUCUUGAAAACCUAUUUUGUCUGUUUUGAUAUUUUGGAUAUUUCUAUUUCCAAUAAAAUCCCAUAAAUUUCCAGCAACCUUCCCAAGCUAUAUUUAGUGGCCACACUAAGUUUCACCUCAUUCCAUGGUGGUUUGGUCCACUAAAUAAUUCCAAAAUCCUUUCUGUCCUGAACCAAGUUGCAACAUCUCUACAUUACAAAGUUUAUCCAAAUGGGAUGAAAAUUUAUGGAGAUGUUCAACACCCCAAAUGAAGAGCCUCUGCCAAAUUGGGAUUUGUGAGACUUGAUUUGCUCACACUCCCUUUGGAAAGGACAGAUCUGGCCAUUUAGGAGUGGUUUCAAGUUUACAUUGCUAAACUUGUCCAAUGGAGCCCAAACUUGGUGUAGCCUCAUGUUUUUGCACCAAACCUAGUCCUGUUAAGUUUCAUAGCUAGUGGUGGAGUGUAACCACCCCAAACCACUGUCGAGCAUCCCUUCUGACAGUAUGGCGAAACCCCACUUACGCCCCAGCUACACCCAUUCCCUUUCUCUCAAACUCCUAGAUUAGGUGGCUAGCAUCAAUCGACCCAACUCCAGACGAGUCGGCCCUUCUCUGGUUCUAAGUAGAGUGUGUGCGUNNNNNNNNNNNNNNNNNNNNNNNNNNNNNNNNNNNNNNNNNNNNNNNNNNNNNNNNNNNNNNNNNNNNNNNNNNNNNNNNNNNNNNNNNNNNNNNNNNNNUAAAAACCUCCGUAUAUCUAGGGGGGAGGGGAGAGGCCUUGCCUUGGGUCUCAAAGAGCCCCAAGGGGUUCGGCCAAUGGGGGGGGGGGGGGGAGGAGGAGUACUCCUCUAAUCCUAGUCCAACUAGGAUUGGAAGGUGGAGUCCUUCCCUUCCUUCCCACUUCCCCUUUUUUUUCUCCUUUGUAUUUUCUAUCCCCUUGCGCAAGGGCCUCUCUGGGCUUGCCCACCAGCCCACUAAGGGCUGGUGCGGCACCCCUAAGGCCUAUGGGCUUCCCCGGGGUGGGCUCGCCCCCCCCCSGGGUGAACAUCCGGAACCCAUUCGUCAUUCCCGGUACAGUUCCCGGUAAUUCCGAAAACCUUCCAGUAAUCAAAUGAGGUCAUCCUAUAUAUUAAUCUUCGUCUCCGAACCNUUCUGGAAACCCUCGUGACGUCCGUGAUCUCAUCCGGGACUCCGAACAACAUUCGGUAACCAACCAUAUAACCUCAAAUACGUAUAAAACAACAUCGAAACUUAAGUGUGACAGACCUGCGGUUACGAAAACUNUGUAAGACAUGACCCGAGGACCUCCUCGGUCAAUAUACAAUANNNNNNNNNNNNNNNNNNNNNNNNNNNNNNNNNNNNNNNNNNNNNNNNNNNNNNNNNNNNNNNNNNNNNNNNNNNNNNNNNNNNNNNNNNNNNNNNNNNNGAACAAUCCUGCGAUCAGUCCACGAUCUAGUACCGAACGGACGGCACUCCGCGUUCAGCACACGUACAGCUCGACGAUGAUCUCGGCCUUCUUGAUCCAGCAAGAGAGACGGAGAGGUAGAAGAGUUCUCCGGCAGCGUGACGGCGCUCCGAAGGUUGGUGAUGACCUUGUCUCAGCAGGGCUCCGCCCGAGCUCCGCAGAAACGCGAUCUAGNGGAAAAAAUCGURGAGGUAUGUGGUCGGGCUGCCGUGGAAAAGUCGUCUCAAAUCAGCCCUAAAACCUCCAUAUAUAUAGGUGGGAGGGAGGGGACCUUGCCUUGGGGCUCAAGGAGCCCCAAGGGGGUCGGCCGAGUCCAAGGGGGGAGGACCUCCCCCCCAAACCGAGUUGGACUUGGUUUGGUGGGAGGGAGUCCCCCUUCCUUCCCACCCUCCUUCCUUUUUUUUUCUUUCUCUUCGAUAUUUUUAUCUCUAUGGCGCAUAGGCACUUGUGGACUGUCCCACCACGCCCACUAAGGGCUGGUGUGCCUCCCUACAAGGCCUAUGGGCCGUUCCCCGGGGUGGGUUCCGCCCCCCCCGGUAGAACCUCCCCGGAACCCUAUUCCGUCACUUCCCCGGCACACGUUCCCGGUAACUACCAAAACCUUCCGGUAACUACAAUGAGGUCAUCCUAUAUAUACAANNNNNNNNNNNNNNNNNNNNNNNNNNNNNNNNNNNNNNNNNNNNNNNNNNNNNNNNNNNNNNNNNNNNNNNNNNNNNNNNNNNNNNNNNNNNNNNNNNNNUCUUGGGUUGACGGCGAUGGUGCUUCCAAUGGUCUUCCGGCAACUGGUGUCAGCUCCAAUUCGAUGCACGUCGGAAGACGAUGGUCGAGGUUGGUGGCAUCGGACGGUGUCGGGGCUAGGACUGCGGUCGAGCGGCACGUAGGCUCAAACGGGCUUCGGGGCAUGGCAAAAACUAUGACGGAGAUGUUGGGGUGGCAGUCGGAGCAUGGAGGAAGGGUUUUAGGGAGGAAUCGGGUGCGGGUAGGUCGGGGCUUUAGUAGGAGAGGGCGAUUUGGGUGGGGUCAAACGGUAACGGGAGCGGUCGAGAUGGAUCAGGAUCCGGAGUAUACGUCGGAAACGGGAAGGUGAGGUCGGGUAAAGGAAGGCGUACGUGACCGGAGGGGGUUCCGGUCGGGCAGGGUGGGGUCGGUGCGCGAGAGGUAGGUGACCGAUUCGUUCGCGAUUCGGAUCCGAUCGAGAGAGAAAUGGAAAAACUUAAGCAAAGAAGUAUAGUGUGUGCGUNNNNNNNNNNNNNNNNNNNNNNNNNNNNNNNNNNNNNNNNNNNNNNNNNNNNNNNNNNNNNNNNNNNNNNNNNNNNNNNNNNNNNNNNNNNNNNNNNNNNACGUUCUUUGUUCUUUACUAAAAUUAGUUGUUACUAUUAAUUUUUAAAAGUUAGUUACGUUGUUUCUAAAAGUUAGUUACUCGUUAAUUAAAAAAUUAGUCUCGUUUUUUAAAAGUUUCUAUUUUUCUUAAAUUUGGUCUGUGUUUUCAGUAAAAUAGUUAUUGUUUUCUACUUUUUAUUAAAAAUGUUCCUGUUUUAUGGAGAAUGUUUCUACUUUUCUCAAAAUUUAGUUACACUAACUUGUAAAACUUCUUCAAAUUUUCUUCUUGAGAUUCAAAUUUGUUAUUAAAUAUUCAAAAAAUGUUCGUGCUUUAAAAAAUUGUCUGCGCUUUCAAAUUAGUUCAGGAUUUUUGAGAAAUUGUUAUUGGUUUCGAAACUCCUCAAAAUUCAAACAAUGUUACGUGCUUUAAAAAUUUGUUACGCGCUUCCAAAUUUGUUCGGGGUUUUCAAAUAUGUUCUCCAUUCCAAAAUUUUGUUCUCAWGAUUCAGAAAAUGUUUGUGCUUGAAAAUAUUGUUCGCGCUUCCAAAUUUGUUCGGGGGUUUUUCAAAUAUGUUCUMCAUUUCAAAAUUUUGUCUCAGAUUCAGAAAUGUUGUGCUUGUAAAAAUAUUAGUUCGACGUCUUACCAAAUUUGUUCGGAGUUUUUACUAAAAUUGUUUCUUCAUUUCAAAAAUUUUGAUACUACAAAUUCAAAUAAUGGGCNNNNNNNNNNNNNNNNNNNNNNNNNNNNNNNNNNNNNNNNNNNNNNNNNNNNNNNNNNNNNNNNNNNNNNNNNNNNNNNNNNNNNNNNNNNNNNNNNNNNUCCUCGAUUGUACGUAGUUUUUUUUCAAUUCUGCGAAGAGAUUUUUUUUUCCUUGAAAGACUCACGGUGCCUUACCUCAAUUUUUCCAAUGAAGGAGAUUUGGACCAUCUACUAGUUCCACCAAUCAAAAAACCCUAAUUAACUGAUCGAAGGGUAAAUCUCACUCCCGAUCUGUCUCCCCUUUCAAUCUAAACGUCACAUCCAGCCCCGCCGCCAACCUAGAAUUCAUCUCUCUCCUCAAUCCCGAAUCCAAUCUCUCCUACAAUUCCCCCUUCUUCUCCAAUCUUUAAAUCUCUUCUUACUCCAAGUUUUCUGAAUCUGAGAUGGCCGAUGUAUCCUUCCGAAUUUGAACUUAUAUCCCGUGAUAGUUUCAAGAAUGAGGCCACCAUCGAUUCCUGUAGGUUGUGGAGUUGAACGUAAUUACGUUGGUAUUUAUGAUACCGCAGCUCACACUCCAAGCCCUACACGAUUUGAAGUCGUAGAAGAUAUUCGUAGUAUUUCAAGUCUAAUUAGUGGCGCGACACAUGCGAGGAGUCGAACGAAAAGNNNNNNNNNNNNNNNNNNNNNNNNNNNNNNNNNNNNNNNNNNNNNNNNNNNNNNNNNNNNNNNNNNNNNNNNNNNNNNNNNNNNNNNNNNNNNNNNNNNNAUAGUCAUACUUCUAAAGUCAAUUAGUACAAUGAUCUCUCGUAUAUUGUGGAACGAUGGNGUUCCCUCCACUGUUGCUACUAUCUCUGCCGCUGAUGUGAAGAAAUUGUAAGCACUUAAUUCUCAAGCGAAGAAUAUCAUCUGUGGCCAUCUGAGCAAAGGUCGGUAUGGCAGAGUGAGUGCUUUGGGCUCAGCWAAUCAAAUCUGGGAAAGGUUGUCCAAAGUCAAUGAAGGAAUAUCAACUCAGCAUGACUCUCGUGUUAAUAUUCUUUGCAAUCGCUUCAAGAGGCUUGACAAUGAAAGCUGUCAAGAUACCUUUGAUCGCCUCACUGACAUCUCAAAUGAACUACAAGCACUGGGAGUUUGAGACAUUACUGACCAUGAAGUUGUGAAGAAACUGCUAAGAUCUCUGGAUUCAUCAUUUGAUACUUUGGUUCUGGUGAUUCAAGAAAGNUUAGACUAUAAGAUGCUUGAUCCUGCUAAUAUACUCGAAAGACUCAAUACUCAAUGAAUUCCCAAANAGGAAGAAAAGAGAGAAUCUAGUAAUGACACCAAGACUAUUAUAGACCUCGUGUACUGNNNNNNNNNNNNNNNNNNNNNNNNNNNNNNNNNNNNNNNNNNNNNNNNNNNNNNNNNNNNNNNNNNNNNNNNNNNNNNNNNNNNNNNNNNNNNNNNNNNNUGAUCCGCCCCGCGAACAAUCCCGCGAUCAGUCCCACGAUCUAGUACCGAACGGACGGCACCUCCGCGUUCAGCACACGUACAGCUCGACGAUGAUCUCGGCCUUCUUGAUCCAGCAAGAGAGACGGAGAGGUAGAAGAGUUCUCCGGCAGCGUGACGGUGCUCCGGAGGUUGGUGAUGAUUUCGCUCAGCAGGGCUCCGCUGUGCUCCGCAGAAACACGAUCUAGAGGAAAAACUNUGGAGUAUGUGGUCGGCAGCCGUGAGAAAGUCGUCUCAAAUCUGCCCUAAAAGCCCCAUACUAUAUAGGAGGAGGGGAGGGGACCUUGCCGUUGGGGUCCAAGGGACUCCGAAGGGGUCGGCCGGAGCCGAAGGGGGGGACGGACCGUACCCCCCCGAAACCGACGUUGGUACUUGGGUUUGGGUGGGGACGGACGUCCCCCGUCCCUUCCCCACUUCCUUCCCUUCUUUUUUUUUCCUUUUCCUUUUACGUUAUUUUCCUUUCUUCCGUUUGGUCGNNNNNNNNNNNNNNNNNNNNNNNNNNNNNNNNNNNNNNNNNNNNNNNNNNNNNNNNNNNNNNNNNNNNNNNNNNNNNNNNNNNNNNNNNNNNNNNNNNNNAUUGUUGAGUCGCCUCGUGGCUCACACGAUUACUACGAACACCAGUUGCAGGUACGAAGUAAAGGUUUACUUAGGUACGCGAGCGGCGUUUGAUCCUUCAUUUGGAGUUGCUUCUCCUCUUCUUCAUCGAUCUAGGAUGGGGUUCCAGGCCGGCAGCCUGGGAUAGCAAGGAUGGACGUUGUUCUUCUUUUCUCGUUUGUUUUCGUCCGUAGUCGGACCCUGCUCUUCUUCAUGAUGUUUUWGUACAUGUACUUGUAACGAUAUCCAUUCUUGYGACACGACGAGAUGMKSKUCUAUCCCUGACGAGGCCUUCGUGCCAAAWUGAGGAUAGGGUCGCAUCUUGGGCGUGACAAGUCAGGUGACUUGUUUCCUUUGUGAAGGAACCACCCACUACCCAGCUCAGUGUCACCUUUACCCCAAGGUGCAACAAGUUGUCGAGCAGCAGAAAGAUGCAGUGAAGGAAAGCCUCAAGAAGAAGAUUCUAGAAGAACCGGUGAUGAACGAAAAUAUUGAAGACCCUGAUGGACAAGGUCUGACCAGAUUUUCNCCAAUGCAUGCUACUCAUGUGGAGAAGAAGGACAUUAUUCACAGGAUUGCACGAAGAGAAGCCAAGAUUAUCGUAGGGAACUUCUCGAACGGAAAAGUGGAGAUUGAUCCAUUAGAAAUAGAAGAACUGGANNNNNNNNNNNNNNNNNNNNNNNNNNNNNNNNNNNNNNNNNNNNNNNNNNNNNNNNNNNNNNNNNNNNNNNNNNNNNNNNNNNNNNNNNNNNNNNNNNNNUGAUCAUGCCAUUCAUUGCAUUCAUGUUUUCUCCUUUGUGUUGAUGUUGUUGCUUGAUCCUUCAUUAGUGGAGUGUGUUGUGUUUGAUGUGGUGAUGUCUUCAAAACAUUGUUGCUUUCAACUAGGUUUCAAAAAACCCCUUCUUCUUUAUUUAUUCGAGCUCAUGUUUAACUUGCUCAAAAUCUAUUUUAGAAAUGUUGUUCAUUUUGUAGUUUUACCUUGUGGAUGAGGGAUACUGUUUUGGGGUUUUUAAAACUUAAAUGAAUGGGAGUUUAAAUACAAAAACAGCAUAGAUUUUCUGUUUUUGCAUUUAAAUUACUUGCUCUAAAAAUCUGGUUUUUAUUUUUUUUAAAUAGGGCAUAAUUCCCUUAUGCCCUGUGUGCUUUAGUUUUUAUUUUUCCAAACACUCUGGAGCACUAGGUCUUUUUGCUUUCUGCUUGGUUUAAAUAAAAUAGGAAWRWSCSUUUUGUUUUAUUUUUUACCUAUCAUGCGCUAGAUAGGAGUGGGCUUCCUUUUCUCUCCCUGGGNNNNNNNNNNNNNNNNNNNNNNNNNNNNNNNNNNNNNNNNNNNNNNNNNNNNNNNNNNNNNNNNNNNNNNNNNNNNNNNNNNNNNNNNNNNNNNNNNNNNUCUUGUUCCACCAACCAUUUAUAUCUGUAGCACUAAGCGAAAUGAGGAGACAUCUGGGUGCAAAACAUUGAAGGAUUGCKUGUAACGUCCCAAAAUUCUAAAUUUUGGAAUGUCAUAUUAAAUGAACUAUAUUGAUUGAUUGUCUGAAUUAUUGUGUGAAACUGAGUGAAUUUGAAAACUUUUGGAAAAUAGAAGAGAGGGGAUAAAAUGACUUUCCCAAAACUUUACUUCCUUGCUUUUGAAUUCAAAUCCAAUUCAAAUUUAAAAUACAUAGAGAGAAUAUGACACGACUUCUUCAAUGGAAGAAUUUGAAAUGGGAUUUGAAAGUUCUUAAAAGUUUCCAUUUGGAGUAUUUCCAUUUGCAAAUUCGAUCCAUUUCAAUUUUUGAAUUGGAAUAAAUUCAAAUGCACAUGAUCAUAUUAAAAAUAAAGAGAGGAGAAACAUCACACUCAAAACCAGGGGCAAAUUUGAUUUCAUUUGAAUUUACAAACUCAGAAAAAUGUUUGGAAAAUAUUUGAUCUUUGGAUCAACGACAUUUUUGAAUUUUGGAAAAAAAUAUUAAGUAUUUCAAAAAUUCUUGAAAAUAUGUUCAUGUUGUAGAGCUAUUUUAUCUGAACWUGUUGAUAUAUAAUAGGUAUAUANNNNNNNNNNNNNNNNNNNNNNNNNNNNNNNNNNNNNNNNNNNNNNNNNNNNNNNNNNNNNNNNNNNNNNNNNNNNNNNNNNNNNNNNNNNNNNNNNNNNUGUUUCAAAGACCUCAGAUCAAAUAAUUUUCAUGUGGAAACAAUUUACUGAAAAUAAUUCUGAAUAUUUGCUUUUAACAAAAAAGCAAUGGGUUCUGAGUAAACAAAUUCUUGAAAAAUUCCCCUCACUUUCAUCUGGAUUAUAUUACAGUUAUAUAAAACCCGUACCACAUGUUGCGUACAAAAUAAUUUUUCAAGACCUUGAUAAAUUCAAGACUUGGCAUGAUCGCCUAGGUCAUCCUGGCAUAGGGAUGAUGAGAAAAAUUAUUGACAAUUCUAUUGGUCACAGCCUUCCAACUAAAAAUUUUCCAAAAUCAUCAGAUUUUGUGUCCACCGCAUGUGCAACUCGAAAAUUAAUUAUAAGACCAUCUUAUCUUAAGGUAAAAAGUGAGUCACUUAACUUUCUUCAACGCAUUCAAGGAGAUAUAUGUGGUCCAAUUCAAUCACUAUCUGGACCUUUUAGAUAUUUCAUGAUGCUCAUAGAUGCAUCUACUAGAUGGUCAGAUGUAUGUNNNNNNNNNNNNNNNNNNNNNNNNNNNNNNNNNNNNNNNNNNNNNNNNNNNNNNNNNNNNNNNNNNNNNNNNNNNNNNNNNNNNNNNNNNNNNNNNNNNNUGAAGAACGACUGGCCAAAAGACGAGAGCCCACCGACGAAGCUGCCGCGGCUGCCACCCACGAGAGUGACUUCUCGAAGCCGCCACACCAUAAAAGAACAACUGGGAAGACCCCAGCUGGCCGCCGACAAAGUAGCCGCCUUGCUUCGAGAGGGAAGGGCGUGGGGCGGAAGGGCGGCCCGACGACGCGGGCUAGGUCGUCGCACAUGCUAGAAUUAAUCUUCGUCUCCGAACCAUUCUGGAAACCCUCGUGACGUCCGUGAUCUCAUCCGGGACUCCGAACAACAUUCGGUAACCAACCAUAUAACUCAAAUACGYAUAAAACAACRUCGAACCUUAAGUGUGCAGACCCUGCGGGUUCGAGAACUAUGUAGACAUGACCCGAGRGACUCCUCRGUCAAUAUYCAAUAGCGSGACCUGGAUGCCCAUAUUGGAUCCUACAUAUUCUACGAAGAUCUUAUCGUUUGAACCUCAGUGCCAAGGAUUCAUAUAAUCCCGUAUGUCAUUCCCUUUGUCCUUCGGUAUGUUACUUGCCCGAGAUUCGAUCGUCAGUAUCCGCAYACCUAUUUCAAUCYCGUUUACCGGCAAGUCUCUUUACUCGUUCCGUAAUACAAGAUCYCGCAACUUACACUAAGUYACAUUGCUUGCAAGGCUUGUGUGUGAUGUUGUAUUACCGAGUGGGCCCCGAGAUACCUCUCCGUCACACGGAGUGACAAAUCCCAGUCUUGAUCCAUACUAACUYAACGAACACCUUCGGAGAUACCUGUAGAGCAUCUUURYKMGUCACCCAUUAACGUUGCGACGUUUGAUACACACAAAGAAUUCCUCCGGUGUUNNNNNNNNNNNNNNNNNNNNNNNNNNNNNNNNNNNNNNNNNNNNNNNNNNNNNNNNNNNNNNNNNNNNNNNNNNNNNNNNNNNNNNNNNNNNNNNNNNNNUACUUGGUUCAUCUCGAAGUUUUGUAGCUCUUCGUGCAUGGCAUUCACCCAAUCUAGGUCUUGAAGGGCUUCUUUGACCUUCAAAGAUUCAAUGCUAUAGAUGAAAGAAUAAUGCUCACAAAAGUUUGCUAAACGAGGGUUAGAGCGAGUGAUUCUCCCAGGUUUUACGUCACCGUAGAUUUGAUUCAAUGGAUAAUCUCUAUCGAGUCUUGCUCUAACUCUUGAUAGCUUCUUCUUGUUGGAUGGUGGAUCUUCUUCUUCAUCAUCAUCAUCUUGCACGUUGUCGUUGACGUUGUUAUUGUUGGGGAACGUCGCAUGGGAAACAAAAAUUUCCUACGCGCACGAAGACCUAUCAUGGUGAUAUCCAUCUACGAGAGGGGAUGAGUUAUCUACGUACCCUUGUAGAUCGUACAACAGAAGCGUUAGAGAAUGCGGUUGAUGUAGUGGAACGUCCUCACGUCCCUCGAUCCGCCCCACGAACAAUCCCGCGAUCAGUCCCACGAUCUAGUACCGAACGGACGGCACCUCCGCGUUCAGCACACGUACAGCUCGACGAUGAUCUCGGUCUUCUUGAUCCAGCAAGAGAGACGGAGAGGUAGAAGAGUUCUCCGGCAGCGUGACGGCGCUCCGGAGGUUGGUGAUGAUCUCGUCUCAGCAGGGCUCGAAACGCGAUCUAGAGGAAAAACUAUGGAGGUAUGUGGUCGGGCAGCCGUGAGAAAGUCGUCUCAAAUCUGCCCUAAAAGCCCCAUAUAUAUAGGAGGAGGGAGGGGGACCUUGCCUUGGGGUCCAAGGGACUCCCAAGGGGUCAGCCGAGCCGAAGGGGGGAGGACGUCCCCCCAAACCGACGUUGGACUUGGUUUGGUGGGAGGAGUCCCCUAGUGUGUGCGUNNNNNNNNNNNNNNNNNNNNNNNNNNNNNNNNNNNNNNNNNNNNNNNNNNNNNNNNNNNNNNNNNNNNNNNNNNNNNNNNNNNNNNNNNNNNNNNNNNNNUUGCCUAGGCUUGUCCCUUGCUACAAAGGGAUUGGGCCACUUUGCUACUGCUGUUACUUGUUACUUUGUUGAUGCUGCUACUGCUGUUCCUUGCUACUCCGCUGUUACUUGUUGCAAGACUUUGUUGGAGCCGUAGCCGGGGAAGCAUUCUUCUAAAGAAUAAUCCCCCGUCAACGUGCUAGCGCCAUUGAUACAACAGUUAGGAAUAGUCUGCCGUCAACAGAUCGUUUCUGGCACCGUUGCUAUCAUACUACCUUGCUACUGAUACUUUGCUUGCAGACACUAAUCUUUCAGGUGUGGUUGAAUCUGACACAUUCAACUGCUAAUACUUGAGAAUAUUCUUUCGCUUCCCGUCUUGGCGAAUCAAUAAAUUUGGGUUGAAUACUCUACCCUCGAAAACUGUUGCGAUCCCAUACGCUUAUGGGACAUCAGUCCUCUUGCUCCCGGCAGCUUCGGGGAGGAGGCGAGGUCGAGGCUACGCCGGCGUCGAGCUCGGGCCGGAGGUCUCCAUGGCGAUGGGGAUGCUCUGCUAUGUUCCUGGCGGCGCUAGAGGGAGAAGAGGAGGGGAAAAUAGAACCCUAGACGCAGGGAGGCACCGGCUCCUUAUAUGACCUCGGGAGGCAUGCUUGGAGCCACCAGAUCGAAGGGGGAGGAAGAUCAGUGGUGGAGGUGGCGUCGUACACAGUGACGACAGCGAGGAGGAAGAAGAGGGUCGCCGGGUGGGCCUGGCUCGGGAGAAAAGGAGGCGGCCCAGGGAGAGAAAAGGAAGCCCACUCCUAUCUAGCGCAUGAUAGGAAAAAAAUAAAACAAGGGUUUUUCCUAUUUUAUUUAAACCAAGCAGAAAGCAAAAAGCCCAGUGCUCCAGAGUGUUUGGAAAAAUAAAAACUAAAGCACACAGGGCAUAAGGGAAUUAUGCCCUAUUUAAAAAAAAUAAAAACCAGAUUUUUAGAGCAAGUAAUUUAAAUGCAAAAACAGAAAAUCUAUGCUGUUUUUGUAUUUAAACUCCCAUUCAUUUAAGUUUUAAAAACCCCAAAACAGUAUCCCUCAUCCACAAGGUAAAACUACAAAAUGAACAACAUUUCUAAAAUAGAUUUUGAGCAAGUUAAACAUGAGCUCGAAUAAAUAAAGAAGAAGGGGUUUUUGAAACCUAGUUGAAAGCAACAAUGUUUUGAAGACAUCACCACAUCAAACACAACACACUCCACUAAUGAAGGAUCAAGCAACAACAUCAACACAAAGGAGAAAACAUGAAUGCAAUGAAUGGCAUGAUCCAAAAGUGAUGACAUGAAAUGACCGCAUGAAAUGAUACUCUUAUAGCAUUGCCAUCAUGACCCAAAAUAGGAAAGGGUUCCACAAAAGGCAAGGGUUACAUCUGGGUCAUUACACUGUAGGUCUAAAGAAAAGCUCUAAUUCGGUUAGGGUCUCUAGCUGGUUUGACACGACUGUCCACAUUGCAUAGAAGAACUCCAAGUUCAUGCCUCUCUCAUAUUCGAGAAUCAUAUUAUGAAGAAUAACACAACAUGUCAUGAUGUUUUUUAAGGAUCGUUUGUCCCAAAAUCGAGCAGGACCACGAACAAUGGCAAACCUAGAUUGCAAAACCCCACAUGCUCUUUCAAUGUCUUUUCAGGCUGCCUCUUGUGCCCUUGCGAAUUCAGACUCCUUUCUACUUUGGGGGUCUUUGAUGCUCUUCACAAAUGUGCACCAAGAAGGGUAUAUACCAUAUGCAAGAUAGUAUCCUUUUGUGUAUUCAUGCCCAUUGAUAGUGUAUUUGCAAGCUGGAGCAUCACCACUAGCAAGCCUAGCAAGCAAAUGAGACCGUUGCAACACAUUGAUAUAUAUCAUUUAGAGUACCCGGCAUACCAAAAAAUCAAGGCCAAUUCCAUAAAUCAUGUGAAGGUACGACCUCUAGCACAAUUGUUGCAUCACGAGACUUGCCACGGUACAUUCCUUGCCAUGCUUUUGGACAAUUUUUUCAAGUCCAAUGCAUACAAUCUAUGCUUCCUAGCAUGCGAGCCAUCCUCUUCUUUCGUUAAAUGUCAUCAAUUUUUUGUGUCUUCCUCGUUCGGUGCCCAAAGAUAUUCAGGAUCAAAGACACGGACAAUCAUUUUGGCAAACCUACGCACCGACUCAAUUGUACUGUCUUCCCCAAUGCGAAGGUACUCAUCGGUAUAGUCAGCCGGAACGCCGUAUGAAAUUACCCGCAUAGCUGCCGAGAUUUUCUGAUAUGCACUAAAUCCCUUCAAGCCCGCGACAUUCCUUCUUUGAGUAAAAUAUCGACAAUUAGCCUCGCAAGCUUAACUUUUUUUAACAAACAUGGAUCUGCACAUACGGUACCUUCUCCCGAAGAGGUGCGGCGGGUAUGUUGGAUUGGCGGCGAAGUAGUCUCGCAUCAGCAUCUCGUUGCCGAGAUGGCUAUUUCGAGGAAUGCAAAGACGACUAAUAGUUGAUCCACGCCGCCUCUUUCGGUGCUCGUCUUCGUGCUCCUUCACGGCGAGGGCCAUCACCAAACUAUGCUGGCAAAAUAUGAGAACAUCGUCUCAACAUCUGGGUCGUCCGAAUCGGAUGAAUCCUCGAGCGGAAACUUCUCGCACAGGCUCAAGUCCAUCUCCGGCGGUGGCUCUCCCGCCGCCGUGGAUUGGCGGAUCCGGGGGAGUCGAUGUAGCGGCUUGGCGGAAGAGGACAGUGGUGCCCAGCGGCGCGAUUCACCCGGUAGAUUCGGCAGAAUCACCGACGGGGGAUAGGGGGAACUAAUGGCGGCGCGGCAGCGGAAGGGGGUGGGGAAAGGGCGUGGGCUGAAAUGUCCGUCCCGCUAACCGCUUCCCUCGAAUGCAGGGCAUCCUAUAGGCGAGGCGGAAACCUGUGUUUUCGUGGGUCGGGAGGGGAUUUUGCCGCGCCCGUCAAAAAAGUUUGCGGGUCGGACGCGUUUGCAGGGUCUUGUGUGGCAACAUUUUCCGUGCAAACCCUUAUUUUGGCGAUUAUUUUGUGGGUCAAACUAAUUGUCUAAAAGUUGGUCAAUUACCCAAAUAACCGUUUGAUAUCUCAACUUCUUGUUUCCGAGAACAUAAAUAAUUGUCUAAAAGUUGGUCAAUUACCCAAAUAACCUCGUCAUAUCUUAACUCUGUAUUGGCCAUUCUUGUUUUUGAAAGCAUAAAAAAUUGUCAAAUUGUCUAGAAGUUGGUUAAUUACCCAAGUAAUGUUUUUUAUGACGAGGUUGCAUCCACUUAUUCACGCAAAAGACAUACACUUAGCAAAAAUAAGUAGGGAAAACAAGAAACUUGAAAACAAACAAGGAGCUAAAAAUAUUAAAGAAAUGCUAAUAUCUCCUAUGAAUUUUAUGCCUAACAGACACAUUUAUUCUAAAAACAGAGGUGAACUAGACAAAAACAAUCCAUGCAGACAGUUUUUUUACACUAUAACGGUAUUUCAGAAUUUUUGAUGUUAUAGAUGUUCCAAGACAAUUUCAAUUUUGAAAUAUCAUGUUUCUAUGAAUGUAUACCUUUUUCACAAUUGGUUUCUUUUUUUCUUUUGUAUAUCCGUAAGUUUUUAACAUUACUUUUCAUUGUUUUCCUUCGAAUCACUUAAGUUUUCGACUAUUUAUUUACAACACUUCCUUUUUUCCUUACUUUUCUACUUCAUUUGUCCAAUGUAUAGUAUCAUACCAUUUUUAGUUUGAACAUGGGACUAGAUAUAAACAUUUUUUUACUUCUAAAAGUUCUCAAAAGUUUUCGAAUCCUUAUGUGGAAUAUUUCACAUUUGUCUAAACAUUUUAGAGUUCUUAUGUGAUUAUGGAUGUUUCCCGAUAAAUUUCAAGUCAAAAUUCCUUGUGUAAGCUUGCAGUUUUAUACACAACCGGUUUCUUGUUUUUGGUCACAUAUAUUUUUUAUAUUUUAAAUCACCUUUUCCUAGUUUUCAUUUCAAAUUAUCUUAGUUUUCAACAAAAGAAACUCUUUUCCUAUUUUUGUUUCCAAAUUAUCUUAAUUUUCGACGAAGAAAAUUAUCAACAUGGAAAACACCGAUUACAAGAAACCAGUUACCGAGUUUCUUAACUCAUUUCCUUGACUAGGUGAUCAUAAGCAUCAAAUCCUCUAAAACAAAAUCCUUUUUUAAACACAUGUUACAAUGUAGACUCAUGCAUGCGUGCACUCACACCAGAAUGUCGUCUCUAUUUUUUUUAAAUGAUGCCCAUUACCCGAGGUUUGAUGAGUGAUAGCCCGGGGCACGGACACCCUCCUAAGAGCACCUCCAGCAGAACCCUUAAAUCGUGAAACUGAAGCGCGGUUUUCAAUUCAGAAAAAAACGCAUUUUAAGAAUCGAUUUGAGUUGCGGUCGAACAAACCUCUCAAACUUAAACUAUAAAACUGAAUAUUUGCUUAUAUUUGUCUCAGUCUUCUUCUUCAUCUCGUUCAUAUCCACGAUCAACUAGCUCGCUCUAAAAAGCCGACGAACAGCACACGAAGCAGCCAAAUACAAAUCGAUCUAGCGUAGCUAGCUAGUCCGUAGCUGCUCGAGUUGGCGAGUUUCAUGGUGAAAGGUCAUCGGAGCCCGUGUGCGCACGACAAAAUCCUUUAUCAUAUACUCCCUCCGUCCGGUAAUAAGUGUACUUUUUCCUUUUCUGUCAGUCAAACUAGUUAAACUUUGACUAACUUUAUUGAGAAAAGUGUUAGCAUUUAUGACAUCAAAUAAGUAUCAAUAGAUUCGUCUUUACAUGAAGUUUUUAAAUAUAUCAUUUUUAUGCCAUAUAUGUUGCUACUAUUUUCUAUAAAAUUGAUCAAAUUUUAAAAAAUUUAACUAAGUAAAAAUCUAUAUGUACACUUAUUUGUGGACGGAGGGAGGGAGUAACGUUGACCGGUUUUUAAGGUAUCCUCAGUUCUGCCUCCAAAUAUGGAAAUAAAGGAGUCAUGGGGUGGAUGCUCAGGGGUUUACGGAUUUAACCACUUUUACGGGCUCUAUUCGUUUGAAAAUAGUACUUGAGAUGUUUGUUGACAACUGACGUUAUUUCUUAUGAAUUUAACCAUUUUUAAGGGAUCUGUUAGAGAUGAUCCAACCAUCCAAUCCCUGGCUGCUUCUCUGCAUCCAACCAUUUUCAGUUUGAACAUAGGACCAAACCGAACCCGUUUUUUCACACUCCGAGGGUGAUCGCACCAAAUUUAACUAGAAUUUUGGCGGGGAAGGCAACUAGAUGAUUCGAAAGGUCAAGGUUUGCAUCAUACAGAAGUUGCGCGGUUGUAUGGUGUCGCACUCGCUCCCUAGCUCUCGUCAUCGGUCGUUGAGUUUUUCUUCAAGAAAAUCAUCGGCCUCGUGCAAGAAACUCACCAAGUAGCUUACGUGAUCAGUGACCGCAUCUCCUGUGUGCAUGCCGUGUGCACCCUUGCCACCUACAUCUCGAUAAGACCCAGGUCCCAAUCCAACAACCCUUUCGUCGCACAAAGAAAAAUGAAACGAAACGAAACAUAGUACAUGUCGCUCGCCCGCCGGCGGAUACAUACAACUGGACCGCGUCGCCACCACCACCACCGCGCGCGCUACAACAGAGCACGCCGCUAGUCCACUCCAGGUUCAGCUAGUUUGUUUCGAGAUGGGCAUGGCGAAGCUGCUGGUGCUGCUCCUCGUAGUCACCGCCGGCCACGGGCACGGGGCGGCGGCGGCGGGGGGGAAGGAGAGGAACACGAUCACGCACGUCAAGGGGUUCGACGGGGCGCUGCCCUUCGCCCUGGAGACCGGGUACGUGGAGGUGGACGAGGCGCACGGCGCCGAGCUCUUCUACUACUUCAUCCAGUCGGAGCGCAGCCCGCGGGACGACCCGCUCAUCCUGUGGAUCACCGGCGGCCCCGGCUGCUCCGCGCUCUCGGGCCUCCUCUUCGAGAUCGGGCCGCUCAAGUUCGACGUCGCCGGCUACACCGAGGGCUUCCCGCGCCUCGUCUACUUCGAGGACUCGUGGACCCGGGUGAGCAACGUCAUCUUCCUGGACGCGCCCGUCGGCACCGGCUUCUCCUACGCGCGCGACGAGCAGGGCCUCGACGUCAGCCUCACCGGCACCGGCACGCACCUCCGGGUGUUCUUGCAGCGGUGGAUCGCCGACCACCCCGAGUUCGCCUCCAACCCGCUCUACAUCGGCGGCGACUCCUACUCCGGGUACACCGUCCCCGUCGCCGCGCUCGAGAUCGCCGACCAGCCGGAUAACGGGGGGCUCAACCUCAAGGGGUACCUGGUGGGCAACGCCGCCACCGACGACAAGCACGACUCCGGCGGCAAGGUGCCGUUCAUGCACGGCAUGGGGCUCAUCUCCGACGAGCUCUACGAGGCGGCGCAGGGCAGCUGCGGCGGGGACUUCGUGACGACCCCCCGGAACGUGCAGUGCGCCAACGCGCUCAUGGCGAUCACCAUCGCCACCUUCGCCGUGAACCCCGUGCACAUCCUCGAGCCCAUGUGCGGGCUGGCGCUGGCGCCGCGCGCUCUACGUCCGACGGCCCCGAUCAGCAGCAUCCUCUCCUCCGCGGGCGCGGGGAGGAGGAGGUCGGCGAGGCUGCUGGUGCAGGAGGCGGACCGGCUGGCGCUCCCGGUGGAGUGCCGGGACAACGGGUACCGGCUGUCCUACACCUGGGCGGACGACCCGGAGGUGAGGGCGACGCUGGGCAUCCGGGAGGGGACCGUCGGCGCGUGGAGCCGGUGCGUGCAGCUGACGCACUUCCGGCACGACGUGUACAGCACCGUGCCCUACCACGCCAACCUGACGCGGCGAGGCUACCGCGCGCUGGUGUACAACGGCGACCACGACAUGGACAUGACCUUCGUGGGCACGCAGGCCUGGAUCCGGACGCUGGGUUACCCGGCGGUGGCGCCGUGGAGGCCGUGGUACGCCAACCGGCAGGUCGCCGGGUUCACGACGGAGUACGCCCACAACCUCACCUUCGCCACCGUCAAGGGCGGCGGCCACACCGCGCCCGAGUAUCGCCCCAAGGAGUGCCUCGCCAUGCUCGACAGGUGGACCUCGGCCGACGGCAGGCUCUGAUCUGAUGAGCCUCCGACUUACCACUCCCACCUACGGUUAUGCGGUGCCUACGAGUGAAAAUUAGUGUACUGGAUUUGGACCACGGCUAGCUGGUCACGUCAUUUCAUGUACGGUGUAGUACUAUCGAUUGCAGUGCCAUGCACACCAGAGGAGGAAGAAAUAAAAGUCGGGAGAAAACUGGAGAGUUCCAUGGAGUAUAGGGUCGAGACCACCGAGCAAGCCAUACCACGUACGUCUGCAUGCAGUCCAGUUAGCGGAAACAGACGAAUCAUGAGCCGAAAGAAUGAGCAAGCCCAUUCCCUUCCUCUCGUAUGUACUUCUGUUCCCGUGACCGAGUAAACUGGGAUGAC